rnacentral:lncRNA from 1 species
ACUCAGUAAGUAUGCAAGAUAGAAUCAGAAAGCUUGCAUUUAUAUGAACAAAAGCAUAGUAGAACAAAUAUAAACCUCAUGAAAGAAUCAAUUACUCACACAAAUGAACCACACCAUAGGCUCAACUCUUGGGACAAACUCCACAGAUCAAGUUUUACUCAUCUUUUAGAUCAAAAGAAACUUUACAAGGUAUUAAUGGGGCUGGGCUAGGGGUAUGAGUUGAAGAGGAAGGAAUUGCAAAAAUUCUUAAGGACCUAGCAGAGCAUUCAAACACGCCUUAUGUCGCCAAAACAAGGGUCAAAUGUCAUCUUGUUGGGCCCUUCGUCAUUUUAAACACCUUCAAACAUUGUGAAAAAGAACAAAGGCCAAAUAUUUUGUUUUUGGGCCUUCCAUUUACAACCAAAACUCCCAUUUCACAACACAAAGACAAUGUGAAACCUGCAUCAAAUAAACCCUUUUGACGUUAGUAGCAUUGAGUAAGUAGGGUAUCGUAUAGGGCUGGGGAUUGAGGGUACCUUGCAAAACAAAGCGUUAGAAAAACACAACAAAUAUUAACAAGUAAUAAAACAUUUAAACAAUUUACAAAAGUAGCUACUGUUCCAUAGAACAGCAGUCGAAAACCUAAUUAAAAACCUAACCUAAACUACUUAGAAAAAUAUGAAAAUUUACAGAGAUCUACUAGACACACAGAGGAACUACUGUACAAAUUUUCAGGGGAUUCGGAGAUCGUUUGAUAUGAAAAUAAAAUAAAAGAAAACAGAGAACAGAAGAGUGACGAAAAUCCUAAACUAAAAAGUAACAAAAACCUAAGCUACUAUAUACAUGUGAUCGUCUCUUUGCACACAAGAAAACACUAAAUCAGAUUCAUAUAAUCAAGUAACUAUGUAAUUUCAACCCUAACAACCUAAAUCAUGCAUAUGGAGAAACGAAUCAAAUUCCAUGUUUCAAGUAAUUUACCGACGCGGACUUAACUACUUAAAACCCUUCUAACCUCUCAUAGAUAUGUACCGACGCGGACUUCAUAUCCAAAAUAGAUCAAAGGAAGAACUUGAACAUGUUAGAAUGUAAUUCACCGACGCGGACUUCAAAGACAUCCUAGCAUGCAACCUAUAACUCCUUANNNNNNNNNNNNNNNNNNNNNNNNNNNNNNNNNNNNNNNNNNNNNNNNNNUAGCAGGAUAUGACAGUCAUGACUCUUCAACCCGUACAUCUUAUUGUCCCGGAAGUUCACACACCGGGCUAUAUUUCCUGUAUAGCCUGAAGGAUACUUACACAACUCAUCCACCAGAAAUUAGGUUCUUCUGGUCAGGUCUUUACGGUGUAAUGAGCUUGAGCUAUUUUUUCUUCCCUUCUUCAACCACAGAUGUCUUCUUAAUUGCAUUUUUUUUAGAUCAAUACGUGUCUUAGGACCGUCUUUAGUCUUCCCCUCCAAGUUCAGCACUGUGCCCACAACACUGUCGCAAACAUUCUUUUCUAUGUGCAUCACAUCUAAGUAGUGCCUGAUCAACAACUUACUCCAGUAUGGGAGUUCCCAGAAUAUGCUCUUAUGUGUCCAGAAUUUGUACCUGUCAGGUCUUUCAAGUAUUGCCGCCACAAUGUUGGGAUGAUUGCUGAGCUUUCCAAAAUCGUACUCAUUAAGCACUGCUAACAUUUCUUCCCCCGUCCAUCUUCUGGGAGGCACACCGUUUUCUAUGGUCCAUCAAAUGCCUGUGCAUCGAGCCGCCAUUUGUGAUCAUAUGGAAGGAGAGUACGGUGACCCAAUUUGCAUAUCUUGUUGCAAUGACUGCUGCUCCCCUCAUCGCUAAGGCACUCUGGACAAGCCUUGUAUCCCCUAACAACGUUGCCCGACAACAUCCCACGGGCAGGAAAAUCACUGAUGGUACCAACAACCAUGACAUGCAUCUGGAACAUUUCGUGCAUGUACUUGUCAUAAGUGGGAUGACCAACGUCCCACAAAAAUUUAAGCUCUUCAAUCAAAGGUCUCAAAUACACAUCGAGACACUUCCCUAGAUAACCGGGUCCCGGAAUCAACAAACUCAACAUAUUGUAUUACUUCUUCAUGCACAUCCACGGAGGAAGGUUGUACGGUACCAAAAUCACCGGCCAUACACUGUAUUGAAGACUCAUGUUGCCAAAAGGGUUGAACCCGUCGGAUGAGAGCCCGAGCCUCACAUUUCAGACCUCUGACGCAAAAUGAGGAAACUCCCUGUCUAUAUGCUUCCAAGCCUCCCCGUCAGCAGGGUGUAUAAGGGUAUCUUCGUCAUGCAAUUCCCUAUCAGCGUGCCAUCUCAUAGCUUCGGCUGUGUGUGAAGACAUGUACAACCGGUCCAACCUAUCCCUCAAAGGGAAAUACCGAAGUACCUUUACAGGUUUCUUGUUGCCUGUAGGAGUCAGCUUAUACCUAUCAGUGUGACAUACCGGACAUGCGUCAAGGCCACCAAGGUCAUUCCCUUCUGGAUCUUUACCCCAAAACAGAACGCAGUCAUAUCUGCAUGCAUGGAUCUUGAUGUAGGAAAGCCCAAGAUCUUUCAGGAUACAUCGGACCUUAUGAUGAGUGGUAGGAAGACGAUGACCCUGAAAAUAAAUCCCUCGUUUGGAUGACUUAACGAUCACCAAAUUUUCUGAAAAUUUGUAGAAAUGAUCUACUCAUAUAGCCCAACGAACUGAACGGUGGAGAUUUGAUUUUGUGAUCGAAAAGUUCAUCAAAUGAUCUAUCCCUAGAAAUAAACAAAAAAAGGGAUCUCUCAUUGGAAUGGCCAUAUAUAUAUAUAUAUAUAUAUAGUUCAUAUCCAGAGCAAAACUUCGCUUUGAAAUUAAAUUGUGAAGUUCAUUAUUUGACUCACUUUUCGGUCAUAUAUUCACAUCUCUAGCGUUCAGUUUAUUGAUACUAAUGUAUAAAUAUACUAAACCCUUAGUUUCAGAGCGAAGCUUCACUCUGGAUAUAAACUAUAUAUUAGUUCCUAACAUAAAGUUCAUAAAUAUGUAGGAUAAAUUGAUCUACAACUUUCGCUCACAUCGGAGCGCAACCAAAUCGGCUUCAAGUUCAUCCAAGUCUUUGCACAAAGGAAUAUCAUCAAUAGUUAGUUCCCCAAUUUCUUCAGUUUUACUUGGCUUCAUCUCGAUCUUAACUUUUUUGUUACUAGUUUCUUCCAUAGGGGCUGCCUUUUUCUUUUCAAAUUUGACAGCCUGAAAAGAAGGGAAAAAAACGAGAGGAAAAAUUGUAAUCAAAGUCAACAAGCUUGAAUUUAUAUCUCUAAUACAGUACUAAAUCAUAUGAACUCACUGUUGGAUCCUCAUAGAGGAUAAAACCAACAACUUCUGGGACUGAUCGCAAAACUUUAGUAAACCUCUCAUGGUGGUAAAACUACAAGAGACAUUUCAAUUUUUAUAAAAUUUGCAUUAGGGUCUUUAAUUUUCAGAUUUGAAAACGUGUUAAACUUGAGCAUUAUUAUGAAAAAAAAUAGCAGGACUUGCAUAAUUAUAUAUAAUCUCUUCAUGCUCCAAAUAAGAAAAGAUAUUAGUAUUCAUAUUAGUCACUUACAGAGUCAAUUACAUCUCGAUAGUGAGCUUCCUUCUUACAGUGAGCUUCUUUCUUUCUUUGCCAAAUCUCGAUAGUCCAUCCCUGGAGCCUUUCAAAAAAAGAAAAUUUACGCAUGCCCUCUUUUGUUCGCUCUUUUGUUCGAGUCUCAAGCGGCACCAACUAUAGUCAUCCAUGAAAAUGAAACGUUUAUAAAUAUAUUAUAGUACAUGAUAUCUCACAACAACACUUGUUUUUACCUCUAACAUAAAAUGUUCAAUUGAGAUUAAGUUAAUAUAUAUAUUUGAAUUAAUACAAUAAUUUCAAUGAUUUAUAUGAGAUAUAAAAGUGAGCAGCAACAUAUUUUCCCGUAACACAGUCAUUUACUAAAAUAAGGUAUGAAUUGAGUACAAAGCCUUCAGCAACUGCAUGCAUGAUCAUAGCAGCCAUAUACAAUCAAGAAGAAACACAGACACACACACCUACCUACACAAAAUGGAACAACAACAUGAAGUUCUAGACAUAACUAUAUAAAAUUUGUUAGAAUAUUGAACCUAUGCGAUCACAACCAAACUGUUGGAGUUAUACUAACCUUUUCCACAUCAAUCAAGUGAAGUGGAUAAUCUGCCGGAAGGUUGAAUGAUAGCGUUCCCCCAAUAGGAUACGUCUCAACUCUUGGUAUGUCUUUUUGUUUUUCCUGAAAAUUCAAAAAAGUAUUAUGAGUGAGAUAAUGGGGAGAUCGCUUGUGGAAUAUAUUUGAUUAUAUUGAUCAUAUAUUGAUAAAUUUAUCUUUUAGUUUCAGGGCUCUAUAAGCAUAUCACUUUUGCAAUUUUGUAGUUUUCAGCCACAAUGGAUCGGAAACCGUUGAAAGAUCGAGUUAGAUCAAAUUAAUGAACAAAUAAAAUUUCUCCAAGCUGAACCGUUAAUGUACAUUAUGAUAACUCACGAUUAUAGACAUCUAAAAAUCUAUUUAAUUGAAAGUUUACCAUAUUAAUCUAUUUAUAAACCUAAAACUCUAACGGUCAAUUUUUAAAAUAUGUGAAUGAAUAGUGAGUCCCUCAAACGAUUCUUGAACUAAACAAAAAAAAAAAAAAGAUCUUUUACUACAAGGUCAAUCUAUAUAUGUAUAUUUCUACAAUCUUCUUGCCAUCAUCAAGACUAGAGAUGGGAAACACAUUAUCUUGGACAUAUUCCCUUAAUGUAAAUUUCUGUUUAAACUCAGAUGUGGUUUUCUGCGUAGAAAGAACAAAAUUUUGUAAACAAUCACAUCAAUCACUAACUACCAAGCUAUGAAUGUAAAGACAUACCGCCACCAAUAUCUUCAAUGUUUGGCGGAGUUGCGAAUGCAACUUAUCUGUAAUAGAGGGUACAACAGACAUUUUAUUUGUUAGAUAGAGAGAAAGUGAGAAAGAGCCAGUUAAGUAUGAGAUAUAUUUGUGUAUAGCAAAAAGGAGAAACAAAACAAUAGGAUCAAAGGCAGAAUCCGGAUUUUUAUAAGGUCAGACAAAUUUAAACCUUGCUCGCAGAGAGAAAUGAUGUACAUGCAUGAACCAAACAGGUGCAUGCAAAAACAUUCAUUUUCUUGCCAAAUAUAAAGUUGGUGCUAGAAAUAUGUAACAAGAAAUCAAACUAGAUAUUCAAAGUACAGUUUGAAAAGAUGGAUUCAUAUUUAUGUCUGAAAUCCAAAAAUGAAAAUAUUCCCUUAUUAGUCUAGAUUUUCUUCAUCUCACUUACUAGAUUUCCAAAUCUGGUUAUCUCAAAUAGUUCCACUUACCCAUGAAAGGUUCUAGAUCCUUUAGAGCCAUAAUUAUAUUUACAUAUCAUGCAUGAUUUAUAUUUUGAAUUUUUUCAAUAAACACUUCUAUAAAUAUGAAGGGAAAAGAAACCCAACGACUACACAAAUCAUUAUGCGUUAAGAUAAUAGUAUUAAUUAGCAUAAAUUGGUUUUAUUUAUUUAUUUUUGUCAGUGAUUUCUCUUAUUAAAAUAUCGAAAAUGAUCAUGCAAAAUACACAAUGAUACUAGACCCCAUCAGAAGAGGCACAUCAACCUAUGUAAAGAGUCACUAAUGAGUCUAACCUACAAACAAGACAAAAGCCCAAAUACAAAUUUUGCAAACCCUAAAAUCUUAUCAAACAACCAACACGGGCUACGAUGCAGCAAAGUAGUCUUGCUGUCAAAUUCGAACCAGUUCUUAAACAGAAACCACCACUAUGUAUUGCACUACCUCCUCUACCGGUUGGAGCACACACAGGGAUCAAGAGCACCUCAAACAAUGUAAUCAUAGAUACUGUAAAAACUUGCGUAGAUAUCAUUGGAGAAGUAAACAACCAUCGUGAAAUAUGUCUUAUAAAAGUAUAUGAAAAUUUUGAGAGAAAACUCAGCUACAAAUUAAAGGCAAAUUUGGUAUACUUCCAUUACUAGAUCAGAUAUGUCAUGAGAGGAAACAGAGCAUGAGUUUGUUUGCUUCAAAUGGGGACAAAAAAGAGAGAGCAGAGAGAACAAUACUCCUUGUUCAUGAGUUAUUUAUUUAAAUAACUGAUUAGUAGUAGAUUAAGUGACUGAUUUUCCCAUGAAAUAUUGACGAAAAACAUAAUAAAUGACGGAAGAUGUAACUUAUACAUAUUUUCGGUAAAGGUUACAAGUUCAUAUAUCGUUUUAAUUAUUUUAAAAGAAUGUACCAAACUUCGGAGUCACCCAUUUUUCGGUAAAUAUUUUCAGAAGGUAAUGAUGCUAAUGUAGCAACUUGAUCAUUUAACACAUGAUUGGCUCACAAGUAAGUUAAUUUGGAUGAAACUGUUACUAAACUAAGUCGAAUGUUCUAUAUAAUUACGUAUAAUUAAAUUUAGUUAACAAUGAAUUUGUUUGCAGGUCUUGAAAGGCUAUCGAACGUUAAUGUAGAUCAAGGGCAGACAACAAAACUAAUUUGAAGUGUGACAUUCUCUUGAACAACUAGUGUGAGAACCUCAACGUUUUUCUUGUACUAUAUGCGAUUUUUUGAAGUGUUGAUGAGGAGGAUCCAAGUUAGUAGAGAUACAAUGUUUAAAAUCGAGAAUGAAAUCUGCCCUAAACUCAUUGAGAAACUGGAGAAAAAUAAAGUUGCAAGUGAUUGCAUUCCUACUAGAUCAGGUGGACAACAAAUUGAACUUAAAGAUUAACAUGGUGACAAGUAUGUGGUGAACCUUCAAGCAAGAACUUGAGCAUGCAUGAGAUGAGAUUUAACUAGCAUUGCAUGUAAACAUGCAAUUUAUGCGGCAAACUUCAUGAGACAUGCCCUUGAAGACUACGUGGAUGAUUGCUAAUUGAAGGAGACUUAUAUGGCCAUUUAUAACCUCAUCAACAAACAUGUUAAUUGUAUGGAACUGUGGUCAAAAUGUGACGAACCCACAGUACACAAGCCAUCUAGGAAAGCCAAGGACAAAUGCGAUCAAUAAUGCAUCUAAGAGGGCUGAAAUUACUAGUAUAAAGCUUUGCUCUAUUUUAAAGAACUCUGAAUUAUGGUCACUGUGGUCUAGUUGAUGAAAAUAGUUUUAGUUGUCAUAAUCAAUUAUUGUUACCCAAAAAUAAGACCCAAACAAACCAUCAUAGAAAGAGGAAUCGAGAUGCCUCAACAUUAAUAACUCAAGUACGUAUCUGCUAUUAUCCUUCUUUUAUUAUGAUGUGAAAAGUCUUUUUAGUUAAAUCAAGCUCUCAUUUUAUGUGUUAGCAUGACAAUACUAAAAAAAAUGGACCAUUGACCAAGAAUGAGAUGUGGAAGAAGACUCAACUACGGGUACAAUUGAAGGUAAAGAUAGAUGUCUAUCUUUUUGGUUAAUUCAUGUUGUUGGUAUGCAUGUCAACAUGAUUGUGGGUUUGGUUAAGAUGUUUAUGUAUAUUGUGUUAAUGCAUUUUAUUAUAGGAAAAGAUAGAUGUAAAGAAUGUAACAUAUGCAAAAAUAUCACAAACUUUAGCCAAGUUAAAGGUUAGAGCUACAAGGGCUUCAACAAGUUAUGUUGUUGUCCCUACAAAGGGUAAAACGUGCUCCUAUAUCUGCUUCUGCAAAGUCAGCUCCAAAAAAGAUAGCUCGUUCAUCUUAUAAGCAACCAACAUCAGAAUCAGAGAAAAUACUAAGAGAGGAUGAAAAUAGAGAAAUGUAAUUACUUACUGGCUUUAUCAUAGCUAGAUUUAUGUUGCAAGCUUUGUUUCUAGCUCUAAUAACCUUACUUUUGAUGUUGAUUUAUGGAUGUAAGGUAUAUAUUGUGCCUAUUAUAAUGCUCAUGCAAUAUACAAUGUAAGCUACAAUUAGUCUAAUUUUAAGAAUUUGUUCAAGAAUAUUUGUUCUUUUCUUUCUUGCACAAAAUUGAUGCUCCCAAUUUCUAUCAGGGUAUGUUUGUUUUUAACAAAUGGUGUGGGUUUCAGAAAUGUAAGGGUGUAAAACAAAAACAGAAAAUCAAACUUUGUAUUUUUAGAAUUUGAAAUAGACAAAAAUGCAUUCAAUAUACUUUUUGUAGAAAAUGUUUUACAAGAGUCCUGUUUGAUUAAAAUUAGACUCCUUCCUCCACGUUCACUCUGUAGUAUACCUCCAGGUGUAUUCACACAUCUAUCAAAAGUUCAAAACUCAUGCAUAAGAACAAUCUGCAACCAAAAUGGGAUUUUCUAUGUAGAUUGGCAAAAGAAGUUGUUGAUGUCUUUUUCUCUUAAGCCUUUAAAUCUAUUAAGAGUUAAUUAAAGGAUGACUGUUCCAUCAUCUCCGAAUGAUCAAUUCUAUCCACAUGCAACUCGUAUAAAAAAAAAUAAAAAAUAUAACUCAUAUAAAAACAGAAAAUCAAUGGCUCAAUGGAGAAAACUUGCAGAGUUGCAGAUGCUCCUUUCUUCUUCUUCUCUUUGUUGUUUAUGUUCUAAUGAGUUCACAAGUUUGUGUAUAUCUACAAUUAUAUGAAGAAAACCAUAUUGACUAUGGAUCGAAGAAAAAAAAAUUUUGAAAUCUGGGUAGUCAUUAUGAGCUCGAAUUAAUUAGUUCUGGGCAUGUCAACUCCUUUCACUGAGCUUGUCGACUUACUUUUCUGGUUCAGAACCCUGUUCUCUUUUCUUUUUUCUUUUGAAAUCGGAACUUGUUCUCUGAAAACAGGGAAAACAAGCAUAAGCUAUUUUUGAUAUUUACACCGAAGCUCUGAAUUAUCCCAAAAAUUGUUUUCCCGUGUUUCCGGGAUUUAAGCCGCCAAACGCGUAUUACAUUGAAAUCUGUUUUCAGAAUUAAGAAAACAGUUUUGUGAUCGCAUACCGAACAUGCCCUAAAUAUCCUUAUUUAUUAAAACAAUAUAUUUAUCUAAUUUGUGGUAUAUAUGUAUAUGGUAAAAUUUUCAAAUUGUGGAGGCAUAUUGUGUGGAAAAGACUAUUUAGCCCUCUUUGGUCAGAUUUAAUGUCCAAUUUGGACGAAGCAUUCACCACCAUAGAACACAGUAGACAUAAAUUGGAGAGCUCAGGGGGUAUCCUUAUGAAAUUGAGAGUUUAAGAACUGUCAUAAUGUUAACCUCAAACCUCAGGGCAUAGAUUGAAUUUGAUUCAUUAAACAAUCAGUCUAACUUUUCUUUUGGGUGAGAUUAUUUGUCUAGGGUUUAGGGAGUAAGGUUUAAUCCAUUAAUUUUUUUCUUUUGUUCACCCUACUUGUCUAAAGUGAGGGAGUAAGGCGAGACGCAGGAUAAUUCUAAUUGCAUAUUUCUGGAUCAUAUAAUAGAGAGCAACCAGGCCACUGAACAUAAAAAAUUCCAAGAUGCAAACAAGAUCGACAAACUCCAGCUAGAUGAAGCGAACACGAGAUCGACGAUAGAGAAGUAGGUCACGCUUGUGAUGGAGAACGACUAGGCUUCAUCGAAAUUAGACCAAGACGACUAGGCUAUGAUGAACAAAACAAAAUCAGAUAGGAAAUUGAAAAAAUUGGAGGUAGACCAAAUCUAAGAGAAUAAAAAAAUUGUGGAAGCAAAAAGGAUAAACAUAAAUCACUAGGCACGGUUUCUGAUACCAAGGGCUCUGAUAUCAUGUCAGAUACAUGAGUUAUUGAAAAGGAAAGUGUAAAAAGUAAAAGACAAUGGGAGAAAACAGGGAGACUGCAUCAUGUAUUCUUUGAUUGAUUGUAAACAACGUACGUCACAGAGUAUUUAUAGGAUAAUGUGGACUCAUGCCCAAUUCAAAGACAAUACUAGAACUCCAAUGCUCCGACUUUUGGGGAGUGUUUUAGGGUUUGGAAGCAUAACUCAUCCAGCGGCGGCGGUGCACUUCGUGAUUUGCCGACCAACCAAUGGCCGGAUAUCAGAGAUGGCAAAGCAGAGAGGAGGAAUCCUCUCAUGUGGCGGCAUCGAAAUCCAGUCCAAUUUAGUGCUUCAGCCAUGGCGAUUUGUUGAGGUUGAGAGCGAUUUCAAAGAGACUAAUCUGGUGUCUAGGACACCAAUGAAGGUGGUUGGAGGUUUUGGUUUCAGAUCAAUGGUUCUAAUGGUAUCGAUGGCGGAUCCCGCCGGCUGGACAAUGAGUGGUAGCGCUGAAACUACGUGGGCUUUGCCGGCCGACGUGAAUGCUGCCGGAAAUAGCAGCCAAGUGGUGGAUUCUCUGCGAACGACGGAGAUCUCUACGCCGACGGAAGAGAUCUACCGGACUUGGCUGCGUGCAAGACUAGAGAACUCCCAAGUGGGUUUUGGGCUUGGAAUCGGGCAACUGGGCCUGAGUUUGAGUUUGAAUCCAAGAAGGUUGGGCCUCUUCAACUUGAAGACUUGAUGAUGAUGCCGGCAUGGUCAAAGGUGUUGGUAAUGAAGCCAUCAUGGUCGCCGUCAACGCAAUAGGAGAUUUUCGGCAAUCGACGAUGCACAUCUGCUAGGGUUUGGGUUUAGACUCGAGUUCUUGGGCCUGAGUCUAGCCUCAAGACUAUAAAAGUCAGAUUUGAAAUUAGGCUGUUAAGCCUAAUCUCAACUUGACUGUGGCUUAAAUCAAGGUUGUAUAGCUUGGCAGACUAUGCGAGCUGGCUGCAACUAAAUGGAUGCAUAGGGCUUGGAGUACCGCAAUUGAGCGCCUUGGCUCCGGUUUUAUGUUUCUUUGGUAUCCUGUUUUGUAUCUAGUUUAAUUCUUUGCCAAGCUCACUUGAAUAAAUGAGCUAAUUGUCUAAUGUAAUGGUGUUUUGAUGCCAUUCUGGCCUAAGUUUUAUCAAUGAAAUAUUUUGUCUUUCAAAAAAAAAAAUAUAGGGUAAUGUGUUUAUUAUAAUGACACAUGUAAACUAUGAGAAGAGUAAUAUAUUUAUUAUUUCAACUUUGCAAUGAUAGUCACAACCCAUUCCACACAAUGAGAUAUUGUCUGUUUUGUGGCCAUCGGCUCUCAUGGUAUUGUUCUCGAGGUUUCACCUCAAAUCGUAUCUCAAUGAAAAGAGCUAACUCUGCACAUAUAAGUAUCUCCCCCGGGUGAUGUGGGACAUGUGCACAUGAUAGCUUUCAGUGACCUCAAGCACCUUCCCACACAAGUCACCCCAAUCCACCCCCUUUAAGGGGUCUAACAUCCUUGUCUGGAUACUUUUGCAGUGACCGGCUCUGAAACCACCUGUAACAGCCCAGUUCAUACAAUGAGAUAUUUUCUGCUUUGAGACCACUUGCCCUUACGAUUUUGUUUUUAAGGUUUCACCCCAAAACGUGUUUCAGUGUAAAGAGGUACGUAGCUCUUCACAAUAAGCACAACAACUAAUCUCUCACGGCGAUGUGGGACAUGUGCACCUGCUAGCUUCUGAUAUCCUUAAGUCUCAAGCACCUACCCACACAGAACACCACAGAUACUAAAAUAAUUAUCCUAUUGAAUCAUUGAUACGAAACCAAAUACAGGAAUCACUUUUUAAUGCUCGUAGUCUGAUUUAAUAUGAUAAUGAAUGAGGGAAAAAACCAAAUGCCGCAAUCAAUUUUUAUUACUGGCGGUCUGAUUUGAUAUGAUAAUGAGGAAAGAAAACAAAUGCCGCAAUCACUUUUUGAUGCUCGCGGUUUCAUUUGAUAUGAUAAUGAGAGAGAGAUAUCCUCACUCAACGUUUGUGGGUUGUUGGCAAGAUUGAUUAAGGCUUAAGGCCUAAACGUUGGUUAUUCGUAUAUUUUUAAUUAGUAAGUUUUAGAAAUAUUUACUCAACUCAAGGAUAAAGUUGUAUUAUUAUUGCAUGUAGUGUGUGAGGAAGGCUAAAGGCCUUUAGCCUUUCUCUUAUAUGCAUUCUUUGUCAUUCUUUGGUGCGUUUUCCGACAAGCCUUGGAAGUGAUCCAUAGGGAAUCAUAAUUCUUUCUCCUAAAAAGAGUCAUGUAUGAGUACCCCAAAAAAUUGUGUAGUGAUAGUAGGUAAUGAUUUCUGAUUUAUUAGUCUUAUUCCCAACCUGACCUCAUCAUUUUUAUGAUAAUCCAAACUAUUUUCAUGAUUGUCAUUCUUUUUGUGUGAAUAUGAACAUAUUUCUUUUCUUUUUUUAAGAAAGGUAAAACUUUAUAUAAUAACAACCAUUACAACCAUGGGAGAUCUCGGUGGUAGACAACAAGUCCAUACACUCCUCUCUACCCACAUACCUGCGAUUACAAUGAACAUGAACCGAGAAUGGUCCAAAUGUAACCUACUCCUAACCCCAUCCAAAAGCCUAGAUACCUCCUUACAGCCAACCUCAAGAAGAAACAACCACGUCAAGAACUAUAUACCAAAACCGUCAGCAUUUAUGCAGGAAAAAUCGUCUAAAUAAUGUCCAAUCUUUAACCAUUCUAACUUUUGGUAUCUCAAUUGUUGAAAACUUCAAAAUGGUGUCUAACACUCUUACUUUGACUGAAGAAUGGUACCUAGAGCCGUUAGCUCCGUGACAAAAAUUACCGACUGACAUAGUUUGAUCAAUGAUCACUAACUGACCGAUUUACCCUUUAAUUUCAAAUCAUAUAUUUUUUUUGAAAAAUGAUCAUUAUGUGGAGUGAACAACAUGAGCCAUUGGAUUCGUUCUAAACUUCUUAAUGAGAUCCUUUCUAUAAUGCCCACCUUUUAUUAAACGUAUAUAAACAUUUCCUAAUGAUUCAUAUGAUAUUGUCCUUAAUGUAGAUAGGUGGGUAUCUGAAGACUGAAGACCGAAACUGUAGGUUUCGAGAGCAAGGCGGGGGAGACUCGGGGAGGCUUUUGACUGCUGCAGGACGUUUCUGAUGUUGGGCUACAUAAGCGAGCGGAGGAAGAGGCGUCGUUAGUGUCCCUUUGGAGCGGCGAAGUUUCUUUUUGGCGUCAGACUCCGAAUCUGAUUUGGUGUUUCAAGAGCAAGGGCAUCGGUGUUGGUGAGGGGUGCACAUUUCAAGCUUCCCAAGCAAGGCGGAAGGCCGGCUUUGCUUCGAUCUGAGAUUUGAGACUGACUUCUUGUCGAGGCGUGAGGUUUUGUGUGCACAACAUCAAGGGCGGCAAAUCUCGUUCUGGUAGGAAGGGCAGUACGGCGGCUACAGUAGGUUUUGCAAGUCAAGGGCGGCGGAGAGGCAGCUACUCAAAUCUCCGAUUGAGGAUGCCUGAAAGCCGGGCUCGCCCACCGGAGCGGUGAUGACCGGUACUAUGUCUCCGGGGUAUGUAGGAUGGGAGAGAAUGAGGGAGAUGGGCUUUGGGCUUAGCAUUCUGGGCCGUAUGGGCUGGUUGUUGGGCUUUUCUUCUUUUUUCUCUUUUCUUUCCUAUGGAUUGGGCUUUUGUGUUGAUCUGAAUCCAACUCGACGUUAAUCCGAUGCUGCUCACUACUUUGACGUUAAUUCAACGCAUUUUUACUACUUUUAGCUUUGGAUAGUCCGUCUUUUUGGACGUUAGUUUUAGUAUGUAGUUCUUCGAAUAUUGGCUUUUUGACAUUGUAUUGGAGAUUAUAUCUCCCGCUUGACCAGCCAUAAGGAGUGCAUUGGAGGCUUGUCUCUUGCAUGUCCGUUGGAAGUGUUGGCUUUUGCCGACGUAUGGGCGUUUUGUCUAAUCGAGUUAUCCAUUUCCCUCUAAAAAAAAAAAUGAUUCAUAUGUUAUUCAAACUUCUUAAUGAUUCAUAUGAUAUUCAAACCCAGAAAAAUCAGAGAUUGAAAUCCAGAAACAAAAAACAAAUAAUCGAAAUGAAUAUCCCCAUAGCCCCUUCCUCUCAGUUACCAUAAACUCCACAACCUAAUGACCUCAUCUUCUUCACCUUCCUCAUGUUCUGUAUUUUCUUUCUUAGAGUUUCACUUUCGCCACACCAAUUUGGCCUCUUCCUCGGACAGAAAUUUGAGAGGCUUUCUGGGGCGAUAAAAAGUUUUAGUUAUUGCAUGCCGCCUGUCCUCAGAUUCCUCGAACUGCAGAAAUCUCAUCCCACAACAAAUAACGACGUGAGGUACCGUUCUUCAGUAAAAAAUAAGAACGUGAGACCAUGGUGAAAUUUUAAAAAGUUGAGAUACUAAAAAAUUAAAAUGGCUGAAAGGUCGGACACACUGUUUUGGACGAUUCCCUUGAAUUAAAAAUGUCUCAUCUUUCUAUAGCUAAAUCAAAUAGAAAAAUAUGAAUCCCAAUAUAACUAUUACCCCCAUAUUAGAAGUCAGAACUGAUAGAAGAAAAACCGAAAGUCGUAUCCUUUUUCACCGGAAUUCCCAUAUCAACAGUGCUGCUACAGCCAUUGUUAAAGAGGCUAUACACAAAAUACCCUAAUCAACAAGCAGUUAAUGAAUUGAUAGGCAUACAAAAGGUUGUUUACAAAAUCUAAAUGACCUUCGAGACUAAGCCACACUAGGGUAAAGGCAGGGAUGACAAACUACAGAGGCAGCAUCAGUCGCGUGUUCCCCAGUUAUAAAAGGCUUGGGAAUGAAGUUGUAACCUAUUGCUGUUUGGUUGGUUUGCCAGAAGACUGUCCUCCAUUAUUAUGCUUUGUAGGAGCCACCUUGGCUGGGGUCGAACGCUCUGACUGAGAAAACCGAAUCAAGAUCUGCAUAAGAAUGGUAACAAUGCCCAAACCCAAUAAUGAGAAUGCAAUGCCCUUCCUGGAGGAUAGAAGUGAAGACCAGUAGAGGAACUUUAUGGACCCAAAAACCAAUAGACACGCCCAAGAUGUAACAACCUGUACAAGGAAUAAGUUAACUAGCAGUACUUUGAUGACACCCUUGUAAGCGAAACACAGAAAGCAUCACUGAGUAGUUUGCUAGGUUAUUAAAGCAGCUAACCCACCACAAGUGACUUCCAUGGCCUGCCAGUGCUUUGCAAUUCUUGAUCACUGAAAGUUUGCUCCACUGCAUGUUUGUCCAAUAAUGCAUCCUAGUAUACCAGAAGCAGACAGCAAACAACCAAAAACCAUGAAAUUAAUGCAUGAAUUCCAGAUUUGUAACUUUCAUAUCUCAACUACAGAGGUGAACCACCAUCUUUGGUACCACCUUAUGCAGCAGCUGAGGUAGCAGUGUCCAACCUAUCAGCAAAUUUCAUUAAAAAAUGUGGCAAAUGCCACAUUAGCCCGGAUGUAGGUGGUACCGAAAAGGUGGUUCACGCAUUCCUCUUUCAUAUAUCCUAACACAAAUGCCUAGAAAUAAAACUAUGCAUCACAUGUAUAGAUACCACCUUGGCCACAAAUGCAUCUUUACACCAUUGUGCAACAGCAUCAUCAGAUUCAGGCAAGUCCUUCAUCACAUGCCUCUUGAUGUGCACAUGCACCUAUAAGAUACCAUCAACCAAGGAAAAUUACAUGUUAUAUUACGAAUAAUCAAAAUAUAAUAAGGGCUCAUGGGUGCUGCCAUUUGGGGUAUGAUUCAAUGAGUCUUGGCAUUGGAGGUGGAGAUGAACUUUUAGGAAUGGGCACAGUGUGAAUUAACUUUAUAGCACGUUUCAACCACUACCUUAAUCAUUUUGAAGAUCUGAUGUAGAGUGAGUACACUUACCACAGAAGGUUGCCCCUCAAAAAGUCUUAGCAUUGUAGGUGCAGGUGAACUUUUAGGAAUAGCCACCGUUAUAUCAUAAAUAGCUGGUACAAAUGAGCGCAUGUGACUUACUGCUGAGACGAAACCCUGAAAAACAACAGAAUAAAUUGAAAUAAGCCAGUGUGCUUGUGCCGCAGAGAAUUAUGGCCCUCUUUUAGAGGAUUUGAGGCCAUUAUGUUCUAUUCAUGCUGAAGAGAGAAGCAUUACAAAGAAAGUAAUAACUAUUGUUCUCUCAAAGUACUAAUCAAAAUAUACUAAAACCUAUACCUUAGUGCGAGGAAUCAAAACAUUUCUAGGGACAGGUAGCCCUGUUGAGGCUGCAUAUUCUUGUGCAGCCAAAAGCUUUGCCUGUGUAAAGCGAGUCCCUUCCACAAAAAGAGCUAACCAAAAGGGUCGAGGGAAGUCCUUCAGCCGUUGAAUACCUGUCUGCAAACAUAACACGAUAACACUCAAAUGAGAUCAAUAAGGAUAUUAAAAAAGUAGACAGACUAAUACCAAUACCAAAAUACCAGUGUCGGAUAUUAGUCAUCUCUAUCUCCACUGCUAUAAAGCCAGCAGUCAGGAAGUUCACCAAAUUAUGUUUUGCCAAUAUUACCCCUAUUAAGCUAUAGCAAAUAGCAAUUUAAAAAAAAACAAAAUAAAUAAAAUAAAGAGAUAAUUGAGAGAAAAGUGGGUAGGGUUGUAUAACUGGAUAAGUUGAGUUUGAUAACUAGAAUAACUGCAUUAUUAGAGAAUUGUGAGCCCAUGCAAGGCAGGCUAGUUAAAAUUAAAGGGAUGACACGCAUAAGACAUGUUGGCUAGGAAGUUCACAUUCUAUUACUGUUGAUUUAGCACCAGUACAGAGCAAUGGAGAAGUAGCUAAACUAAGGGAGAAAGCUAAGUUAAAGGAGAGACAAAACGAAGAAAAGAGGAGAAUUCAGAUGGAGAAACACAACCACUCAACUGAUAGGGCCAAAACUACAGAAUAAGCAGCAUUAAAUUCUAUGAUAACCACUUGUAUUACCUAGAUAAAUAUAGACCAACGAAUUGCCUUUUCAUGAGAAAAUAAUUUUCAUUUGAUAAAAAGGAAAAUGCAGGGGACAAGGUCUCCCUUGAAAUAACUAAAACAUUGAUCUACGACUAGCACUAGCAAACAACAUAUUAAACGGAUUUAAACAAACAAUUAAAAUAACUGCACUAUUAUCAAGGCAAAAUUUUAUUAUAACUUUUAUUGACGCAAAAUUGUAUACCAGUUUAACGAACCUCCUUGACAGUUCCAUAUAACAUUUUUUAAGGCAAAAAUUUACCUUAAAGAAAAAAUGCAUACGUGUCCAUGUAUAUCUCUAUUAUUAUGUGUGCAAGCGUGUGCAUGUAUAUAUGACACGUUCACCAUUACCUUUAUUGUGCUUUCAUCUUUUGCCCAACUUCUUUCCAAAAAGAGAUAUUCAGAAAACCACAUUGACCACCCUAUUACCUGCAUAUAUAAGGCAUCAGAUUUCAUGAUGAGUAUUAAGGAUACCAAAAAACCAGUACAAUGACAAUACUUAUGCUUAAAAGAAAAAAAGAAAAAAAGAAAAAAAGAAAAAAAAAACCUUACCUCCUUUUUACAAUGCAUAUAUUAUACACAAAAAAAAAUAAAAAAUUAAAGUGGAAGAUCCCACUGUUGGACGCCUAGCAUAUAAAUAUGAACUGAACUUAAUAGUCUAAUCAGCUUCAUCUAACACAACUUACACAAGUUGACAGGACAUCUUAGGUUGGAACAUACCGGAAGAAAUUUGGAUGAUUUUUUCAUUACAGCUAAUGUACUGCCAAGGCAACCUGACCGCUGCAUAAAUAAGUUAACUCACAAUCAGCUGUAUAGAUUAUAAUACGGAACAAAUAUUACAAGUUUCAUUAGUCUACAACAUCUUUGGUGAACUACAACAAGUAUUAAGUAAACAGAUCAUUUACAUAAACCAAUAAUUAAACAAGUAUAGGAAUGCUUUUUAAUAGCGUGUUAUAUUUAUCAAUUCAUUUUCACAUUGGUAUCUGGUUGCCUGUAUCUGUGCACGCAUCGAUUACAGCAAUGAUAUUAGACAGUGUACCUGAGCUAGAACCCAUCCAACAAGCCAAUCAAUAUCACUUUUAUGAUUGCAUAUGACAAGUGCAUGUUCUUUACCUACAACACAUGAGAAGAUACAUAACCUUUUCUGCAUAAUUUUGUGAAGAAACAAAGAUAUACUUAGUCCUAAACGCAACAAAACAUCAAGCUAGUCAAGAAUAUUAGGUCUUACCCAUUAAAUGGAAGGUUUCAGGGUCUGUGUACACUUUGACCUACAGAAAAGAAGGUUAACAAAAUCAACAUUUAAUGUUCCGUUUCAAGAUACUCUAUAGCAAUUCCAUAACAAUAGCCUAAAAUUAUCACUGCCAAUUUUAAGCAACAUGCUUUACAGAACACAGAUAGAAUAAAAAGACUGAAAAGGUAAGAAGAGAUUCUUAACAGAAACUAUACAUGGCAUCAUGAUUCACCUUUGAUGUUGACUGAUAUUGCAGAUUCAGAUACGCGUGUUAUUUUAUGUACCUCCCAUGUAGACAUGCAAAAAGGUUCUCAAUCAACUAUAGGGAAAUAUCAUGGGACAAGGACUCAUUGUACUAGUGUGGCAUGUCACCAGCCACAUAUGGAGCUUUUAACUCCAGUUACUACUGAAGCACCCCAUAUCGUAAGUUGCGGUGGCUAAAUCCAAAAGACAAGUGAGUACUCGUAUUGGGAGUGAUGGUUUACAGCAUGGAAGGUGGGAGGCAGGAAUUAAGGCUGACCAAGGCUCCUUGGUUAUUGGCAUAGUUGGGAGACCUUUUUCUUUUCUCUCUAUGGAAAACUUGGCAAGGCUGGUAGUCUAGCUAUUCUAUAGUUUCGCCCUGGAGUAUCACAAUCUGUCUCACUCGAUCUGACCAGGCCAAACACAAUGUAAUCCUUGAGUUUCUUGUCAAGCAGAAAUUAUCAGUGCUCCCAAGCCGUAAUAGCGGUAUUACCCUAUCAGGGCUAGCUCUAGAAUAAUUUGUUAGGACGGCCAAGGUCCCUGUAAUGACUUGCAUAGACAUUUAUAGUUUAUUUGCAAUAUCUAUAUCAGAAAAGUCUAGCAGCCAAGGAAGCAAAUCAACCUCAAAGCAGCAUUAGAGUAUGAGGAUAUGUUGAUAUAUGUUGCCAUUUUUUUUCUUCUUUCUUUUCUCAAUUAUCAUCUAUUUCACUGCUCACAAUCUUGAAAGCCCAUCCCCCAACUUCGACAACAACAUCUAACUUAUCUCACCCUUUUUUCUUUUUUUUUAAUCAACAUGUUAAUCCAUCUUUCAUCGAAAACCAAUGCUCUAAAUGUAACGAAACCAAUUGGAUUCAAGAGCGCAAAACAAUAAAAUCACUUAAAAUAGAGCAUGAGACAUAUGGGUCAGCUAAACACCUUGACGCCUGCCCACCAAUCGACGAUCCAAACAAGCUCCAGCCACAGCAGCUCUGCUACCACUCGGUUGAUUCUUCUGUGUACAUUCUUCGACACGGGCCGAAUAAAAAUGAAGCAAAUCGCCUGAAACAAGCAUUUAAACAGUGAAAAAACUAAAAUUCCAUACAGAACCAACAAAUAACACAUUAAUCUUGUAAAUCUAAGAGAAGCAUUUAGGGGGCAAAAACAAAACCUAGAAUUCUCAAAAAGGCCCAGAAAAGCUAAUUUUCGAGAAAGAAAUUGGAAUUGGGAGUACCUGGAGGAGAUUGACGAAGAGGCCGGAGAGGAAGAAGAGGAGGCCGAGUGGAACGAUGACAGCUGCCGCUGCAAUCGCCAUGGCCCGAAAACCCACUCAGAGAAGAAGAAGAGAUUUCAGAGAUGGGAGGAGGGAGAUUCAAAGAAGCGAAUGGAAUUAUUGGAUUAGGGAUUUGUAGAAUGAAUCCAAUAAAUAAAAAAGGAUGGGGGGCGAUGCGAGCAGUGAGUGUGUGUGUGAAUUAAAUGGAAUUAAUGUGAAAUUGGUUGCGCGCUUUAAACGCCGUUUCUCAUAUUUUGACGAAAAAGGGAGAGAGAGAGUUGUGUGAGAGUGAGAAAUUGGUUCUGCCAGGCAGACAACCUCCAUUUCUUUGACAGUUGAGCAGCUGAUGAAUACCAACAAAAUUCCAACUCAAUUUUCUAUUUCAAAAUAAAAUAAGGAAGAUUACGAACAAAACGACGAAGGAUAAAGUGUAUAAACAAAAAUAUAUUAAGAGAAUCAUCAUCUUAUUCAUUGAUAGGAGCCUUUUAUAUAGGAAAUUACACAAUACCAAUAUAGUAAGGAUAUGAAUACAUAGAUCUAGUCUAACUACAUAUCCUAUUCGCAUAAGACCAAAGCACACAUAAAGAAUAUCUAAAAAGAUACAGAAUAUCCUAGAACACUCCCCCUUGUGCCGCGUGCUCAUAUGUCGAUGGUGCUGAUCUGUUGCCUCGUCAAAAACCUCGUCAAGUCACAAAAACCCUGUGCGAGAAAAACUGAACCAUGAUCGUAGGAGAAAAAGAGUACAACGCACUAUUCACAUUUGAUAGUGACAUGUAUAUAUGCGCUAGACUCUCCCUGAAGUUUGCACCUCCCUUUGAUCUUUAUAUCAAUCAUAGGGCUCUUCCUGAUUUUUACUAAUCACGGAAGUUUCAAUUAGCAUGUCAAUACUCUUUAACAUGUCUUCAAAUGUGGCAUUGGGCAAUGAUUAAUUAAAUCAUGCCGUAUUGUCCUCAAAUGAUCUUUUACACUUAGAUUUUGAGGAGAAGGCCACUUGUGAACUCAAAACAUAAGUUCGUGCAGGAAAUCAGAUUUCCGCGCAGCAUGCAUGACCUUCAGUUACUAGAACAGUCGUAACUUCCUCUAGGAAAUACAUAUGAAUGAACCGUAAAUGGUUUUGGAUACUAGACUCAUAGAGCUUUCCAACCGUAUAUUACACACGUUCUGGUUCGUCAGGAGCUAUUCACAAAGUCCGGUCAAAGUUGAUUGUUUUGCCAAAAUCAGAUUCUUGGACAGAUUCGUCCUACUUUACGAAAAUGGCCCUAACUCACUCAAUAUUAUAGUUAUGAUAUAAUGGUUGGUGUCCCUGGAAAGUAGACACAUAGACCUUUCCAAUGGUACCAAUUUCACCAUUUUCCAGUGAGUGAGAUUUCCUGUAGGUCCCGUGGAAGUUGACCUACAAAACUUGGCAGAUUCUGAUUUCGCUUUUGAUGUGUCUUUCUUAUGUAUAGAUAGAAUAAGCCUCAACCUUUCAUACCAUUAAUAAGUAUUGAAAAAGGAGUUACUGCCAUUACAUUAGCGUUGCGUGGGCGCAUAGGUACACUUAGCUUUACAACUUUUCAUAGCGAAUAAGAUGUCAAGUCUUUUGUAUUGUGUUGAGUACAUUGAUGCGUCUUAUUGUACUUAGAUGGGAACUCCAUCUCUUGACACAUAUUUGUCAUCUUGCUUUAGACAAAACAACGGAUCUCUCUUUGGAGCAAAGACCUUGACUAAUCAUGGGAGUAUAUGUAGGCCUCACUUUCGUUACAGCACCUAAGCCGAUUGAUGAAAAAUCAUCAUCAAUACAGUCAUCGAGUGCCUUAUCGAGACCGUGUCUUCCCAAGAUCUUUUUUUUCGGAUGUUGAUACAUAUUGGCAUCUCUUGAGCCGUCAAGAGUCCAUGUAAAUCCGAAAUGAACACGCAAAGGCAUAAUGCACCAUAUCCCUUCCAAAUCAAAUAGAGUCCAUGUGCGUUUCAAUAUAUUUAGCAAACGCAUGCUCCUGUGGUUUGGAACCACUUGAUUCGGAUGAAUGAAGUCCGUUUAAGAUCUUCAUGUAUAUCUUUGAUCCCAUAGAGAUGUUAUUAUGACCACAUUCAUAGGCUGCAUGUUCAGUUAUUCGGAAACUACCAAACUGACAAAGUAGUGCGUGGAGUUCAAUAACAUCCAUUAUGGAGCAUAUCUCAUCGUAGUCGAUCUCAGUGUGUGUUAGUGAGAGACCUUGCGCUAUAAGGUGAGUCUAAGCUCUUGUUCUUACUACGCUAUCUAACAAAUGUAUAGUUGAUAGGGUUUAACUUGCGGUGUCGACAUCACCUGCCCAAAGACCUAUCUCUUUGUUAAUGCUGGAUCUCAUCUUUCCAUUAGGCCAAUCAACUAAGUUGAUAUCCAUCAACGAAAGGUGGUUCGAUAGUAGACUCAUUAUCCCACGUCCUCAUGUACACUAGUGUAACACUUGUAGAGAUCUCUAUAUAGAUUGGAUUUGACAUUGAGGCGUCCCCCAACGAUAAACACAAUUCAGACUUCAUGAGACAGAUUUGAGUAUCACUGAUCAAUAGAUCUGGUUGUGCCAAGCUCGCUUUCUUCCUAGUGCGAGAAAGUAUCGAACCUAAGGGUCUCCCUCCUUUUGGGGAGCCACACGACCUUGUGACACCAAUUUUGCCACUAUAUUGCGUCACUAUAUCACCAUCCAUGGUGAUGGCGUCAAGACCAACACCUUUUCGUCGCGCCAUGUCCUCUUUAUGGGACAUCAAUCCUUGCAGACAUAUUUGCAGCAUGUGAUCUCGUCACUUUAACACUUUAAGCAUUUGGGAUCAAGAUGAGACUUAGUGGGGACAAACCACGACAAUUCACGUCAUUCCACUUGAACAUUUGUGUUCUUAUCUCCCCCUAACAGCGGAAAUAUUGUCUCAUCAAAGUGACCAUCCGCAAUACAGCGGUGAAAGAGAUUGCCUGACAAGAUUUCUACGUAUGCGGAUUAUAGGUGGAGGUUCACAUCCAACCUAAAUACUUAUUCAUCUCAAAUGACCCACCAUUGUGCGCAGUGGCAGUGCGAUUUGGCACCUAGAAUAAAUAUCUAGCCGAGCUCAAGGAUUGGAGAUCCGUUUCAAUCUUGUUUGAGCUUAAAGAUUGCAAUCCUGGUACAUAGUCACGAGCUGUAGUACAAAAAUAUUCAAUGAUGGUGGGUCGUAGAUGAAUAGUAAAGCUGCAUGCAAAUAUUGCAUAGCCCCAAGACGCAUAGAAAGAUUGGUGCGCAUCAAUAAUGUUCGAGCGACAAGCUAAAGUUGCUUGGUCGUAGCUUCGGUGAGACCGUAUUGCGUGUGAACAUGGGGUACAAGACACUUCAACUUACAUCCCGAUAAACUUCUUUAAAGAAUGGGUAGUGAGCCCGUUGAAGUAUAAGCAGUAGAUAAUAGUGUAACACGUGACCAGUGUGUUAACACUUCAACCAACACCAUAAAACAUAAAAAGGUGUCCGCAAGUUGGUUGUAUCUAUCUACAUAGUUUGAUGUAAGAAUAGAAUGUUCCCUUUUGUGUUAUUUAACGUAGGAAGGUCUCACUCCUAAUUUAGCUAAAGAAUAGGCUUUCAAAACGAGCAAUGAGCAUUGCAAGGGGUCCAAUGCGACAUCGAGGGAAGGCCGUGCACCUUAAUUGCUUGAGGAAUUGACCGGAUGACCUCUAGGAAGUUGGAGUCGUGUUCGGGUGACGUCAAUGUCCCCCGGGUCACCACCAUGCUUCAUGGUGAUGCUAGAUCUCGAAUGUUUUCGUUUUGAGCGGAAGAAUGGAUGUCAAUGAGAAUUUCUCAAAAUUUGGACCAUUAUAUCUCUUCCAGGUUGACCAAUUUGGUCAAACCAAAACUUAUAUGAGUCGGUGUCCCAAAUAUAUAUCAUGUUUGGCGACAACAUGGGAUUCGAUAUUCGAAUCGUAGCUAGUGACAUACAGUCCACUAGAUUGACUCAUGAAUUUCUCCAAGAUGCGCUUCAAUCUGCAUUCAUGAGAAGGUCUACACAAAAGAAUUCUUAUUCAUUCUCACAAUGUGUUUUCAAAUGAAAAUUAUUAGUAGGAAUGUCUUUAAAGCUCAACAUGGUUCGGUUGCCUCUCAAUACAUAGAGGACAUCUGUGAUGUUGAUCAUGGUGCCAUAAGGCAUCAAGAUUCAAGCUAAACCGUGUCCCUGAAUGACCGGUAUGAUUCAAUUAUUGUAGUCACGGAAGAUUUACAAAGGCACAAAAUCUAAAAAUAGUUGCCGGUUCCUUAGAAUGUUGUGGAUAGUUACACUAUCUGUGAAGCACUCAAUGUCUCGAUGAGACAUAUCUACCAGAAGGAGUAGAUAGGCGAGUUAAUAUUUCCACUUGAACCAUUUAGAAGGAUUGAAAUAAGCUACGAAAAGCUGCAAUCCUGAGAGUGCAUAAAAAUUUCCGCGCAGAAUGACCUUUGCGCACUAAAACAACCAUAACUUCUUCGUUAAAAUAGAUAUGGAUGAACCGCAAAAAGUUCUGAAAACUAGACUCGUAGAGCUUUCUAAUGAUAGAAAGCUCACUGUCUGGUUCAUCCGGAGCUGUUCACAAAGCUCAAACGAAGUUAACUGUCCAGAAGGGACAGAUUGCUGUUUUUCGCAGAAUUGGCAUGUGCGAAGCUGUGAAGCUUGCAGGUGGCGUGUAGGCUUUUGCCUUAGCCAAAAGUGACGUGUGCAUGAUCAAAACCAAGUCCUUUCGGUCGUUCUAAGGUCGUAAACUCCAUGACUAGUUAGCAAAAGCUCCCUGACAUGAACAUAAACUAACUCAGAGGACCUAGAGGAUUCGAUCAUGAUGAUAAUUUUUUGGUAUUGAUAAGUCUUCAACGUCUUUUGCAAGACGGCAAUUGGUUUGAUAGCGUAGGGGGAUCCAAAAUCAAAAGCUUUCGGUAACUCCAAGUCAGUAUGACCAGGCAUGUCCGUGGAGGGUCGGUAGUGCAAAGCACACUUGAAACCACUAUCUCCUUAAUUUCAGACAAUUCUAAGACAUCACACUGAGCUUGGAUGAGCCUAGUUGAACAAUUGAUGAUGGAAAAUCCACUAUAGGGUAGAAGACUUAACUUAACCGGAAACACGUGGGCGAUCCUCAUUUAGGAUGCGGUGCCAUGAGUCACCUUCAAAGGAAGAGACCAAAAUUGGCACAAUAUGCCAUGUUUCUAAAGACGAUGUAAGAAUGUACAUUUUUUUUGUAAAUCAAUACGAACCAUAAGAGGAGAAUAGUUUCAUGACUUUGAAAAAAUUCUUAAGGCAUUCAUUAUUGCUAAUGUGAGUACAUCGAGGUCUUAAAUAGAUGAAGGCUUAUUACAUAUAGCUUGGAAAGAAAAUCAAUGUCUAGCCAAUGAUGUCAAAGUCAGGGGUAGCUAGAGCAGGAUCCGAAUCUUCAAAAUUCGCGAUCAUGAGGAUGACGUUCUUGUCCUCAUAUUGAUUUUCCGUACCUUUUUGUAUGCAUUCACAAUUUGAAGGAGCUUGACAAUCUUGAACCAAUGAUCCAAAGAUCCACAACGGUUGCAUUGUCAUGAGCUGACGUGAGUAGUUUUGACAAAUAUAAUUGGUGUCUAGACCGGGAAUGUCGCCAUUAGGGCCGGCGGCACCUCCCCCUCUUUUCUAGACAUCGGCACGGUGUUUUCUACUGUUGUCAUGACCCAUAUUGUUGUCCUCACAUUAGGGGAUAAUCCCAAAUACGUUUAUCGCAUUAGCGUAUAUACAAUUCUCAUUUGUAUGAUCAAAAUCAAGUCUCGUUAGUAAUUCCAAACCAACUUGGAAGACCUAGAGAACUUGAUGAUGAUCGAAUCCGCUAAAGAUUAUGGAUCAUGAUGCCACAAAAGAUCAUCGACAAUAUGUAGUCAAUUAAGAUGGUAAGCAAUCCAGUUGACUAAUAACUCAACAAGUAAAGUUAUAUGAACGUUUCGAGAAACGCUCCAUGAGUGCAUUCCACAGUACUUUGUGGUCAUUACUUUUUGCACAGAUUGCCAUUGAAAGUUUUUGUCAAUGUGGCGCUCCAAAGACUUUGAGCGCAUGAGAUGUGAAAUCUCGGCAUCUAGGCUUGUUAGCCUGGGGGUCAAAAUAUGUGGUUUAAUCCUUUCUAAUGAAAGGUUCCACAGAUACCAAGUGAAGAUUCGCCUUAGGCAUCGAGUACAUCAAAACUCAAAGGAGCAAAAUGUUACAUUGCUCUUGCAUACAAAACCAAGCUGUUAUGAGACUCGAUAGAGGUCACAAACAAUGCUUUUAAUGGUUUGUCCUUCGGAUUGAUCAUACACAAUCCGGAAAAAGGCCUCGGAUUGAUCAAACACAAUCCGGUGAUAGGUCGGGGUUGAUCAUACACAACCCAGACAAGGAAACAAGAGUGAUCAAACACACUCUUGACCCGCGAAUAAAAUUCUGGGAUUUUUGGUACCUGCAAAUACACCGACCCAAGCAUAGAAUGGAGUAGAAGAAGGGGAGAAAACACUUUAUCUCCCCCGAGGUUAUUGAACUUGAAAGAGUUUUAGGGUUGUAAAAUAAACAUACCGUAAACACUUGGAUGCUUGAUCGGAUGAAAAGAAAGCAGCGGAGUGGACAGUCGAGAAGCGACGGCGGCGGCAGCGGCCGAGGCAGGGCCGAGAACCUUCAAUUUUGGUUUUUAGGGUUUGGAAAAAAAAAUGGUGGGCUAUUAGUUCUAGGGUUAGAACAAAGUGCAUGAUAACGUGAUGAAGGGUAAAGUGUAGAGACAAAAAGAUAGCAAGAGAAUCAUCAUCUUAUUCAUUGAUAGGAGCCAUUUAUAUAGGGAAUUACACAAUACUAAUAUGGUAAGGAUAUGAAUACAUAGAUCUAGUCUAACUACAUAUCCUAUUAGCAUAAGACCAAGGCACACAUAAAGAAUAUCUAGAAAGAUACAGAAUAUCCUAGAACACAAAAAUUAUUUUUGCUAAUAGGAGUGAAUACAUUACGUGGACCAAUCAACCAAAAUAUUUAUGCCGCAUGGAAUUUCUUUUCGUUCAUUGUUAUUUAUAUUUUAAACCAAAGCUUAUUACGAUGCAUCCCGUAUGAAAUAUAACUUUGUUUAAAAUUUAAACAAUUUCUUAUUUAAAAAAAAAAUUAAACAAUUUCAUUGAUUUAUCUAAAUAAUGAUACUCAACUAAACUUACCGAACAUUGCUUAUAAUGGAAGACAAAUAUGCGUAAAUACUAUAAAUACUUCUUGCAGUGUUUCUCUAACUUAGGUCGCAUUUGGUUCCAUUUUUAAAUUUAGUCAUGUGCUACAAUGUAAUUUUCUCAUAUAUCAAACCAGCUAGUGGCGGAUGAACAUUAGGUCCAGUGGCCAUUAGCCACGUCUAUGUUUUGGUCUAGUUUAAUUUGCUUUAGAUUCUUCACACAAUUAAACUCUUUCAGCUGUAUUUGUCCUAUUGAAAAUCUAUAGAACUCCCCAAGCAAUAUUUAAGACCAUUUAUACAUAUUUUUGGUGAAAAACAUAACAUAAACAUUAAAAAAAAAAAAAUCUAUCAUAGUCUUAUAGAUGUAUCAUUAACUACUUUCACCUUCUUGUAUCAUAUUUUCUUUUUCAUCUUGUGCAAAUUUUAAUAGAAACCUCUAAAACAACUUAUCACCAGGAUUAUCAAAAAAGAGUCAUAACAGCAUUGCGAGCAUAUAAGUGUAAACUGUUAGACCAACUCUUUAAUACUAUCCAAUUUUACAAUCAUGGGAGAUAUCGGUGGUUUAGGAUUAUCAAAAAAGAGUCAUAGCAGCAUUGCGAGCAUAUAAGUGUAAACUGUUAGACCAACUCCUUAAUAAUUGUCAAGACCCACCCCGAAUUUCACCCUGAAACCCGAAGUAAAUCCUGCGGGGACCACCUCCAAGGAAAGUUUACCGAAAAUUCAGCAUAACCUCCCUUGAAAAUGGACAACCCUUCCUAAUAAUACCUGCAAACACUUCUGAAAAUUUAAAUCCAACCUUAAACUCCUGGAGCCUUCGUGCUCCCCAAAUCACAACACCACCUAAUUUAUUUAUAGGUUCAGAGCAACUCUAAUAGGAAGAAAGGAAACAUAAUAAAUUAACAAACGGAAGCUAUAUGAUGACUAUGCCUCAUCUCCAUGUACGCCCGACCUCAACUAAGCUAACCUGCAAGCUGGGCAUUUUUAAAACGAAAGGCCCAGGGGAAAACAUUUAAAAACGUUAGAGUGAGUGGACAAAAAUAAAUUAAUGAAUAAAAUAUUUAUGUUUCCCCAAAUCAAUUUCCAAGGAAAAUCGAAUGCAUGUUGCAAGCGAUAAAACUUUUAUCUCAUAAAUAUCGAGCCUCUCAGGCUCUAUAAUAUAUGUAUGUAUUUACACACGUCCAUACUCCCUAUAUAAAUUCAUGGGUCUAUAUAGGGCUACUAUGCUCGCGUCCACCGCUCACGUCACGCCUUAAUGCGGUGCUACACUACGCUAUUAAGGUGGACAGACGAGUGUAUAAAUAUGUGCUCAUACCCCCUAUAUGAAUUAAACACUCAUAUAGGGCUACUACGCUCGCGUCCAACGCUCACGUCACACCAUAAUGCGGCUAUAUGCUACGCCAUUAAGGUGGACAGACACAUAGGGCUAGCUAGCAUUUAUAUACAUACUCUCCUCAAUAUACAUAUUUAUACUCACUGAAAAAUCUCAUUUUUCGGUAACUCUCCGAGAGAAAUAAAAGCGUCAAAAUUAAAUGACGUCACAACUCCAACAAUUUUAAAUGCUCAACCAAAACCAUAGCAUGCAUAAUAUUUAAAAUAAAAGUCCACUCACAACUCUAGGCAUAAGCCCGACGAAAUCCAAAUCGUCACUCCAGUGAGGUUUCCUCGAACCCUGGCACAAAUAUAUAAUUAAUUUCCCAACUAAAAAUCCAAUAUUUAAACAAAAUAGGCAAAAUUAACCGAGAGCCAUACACACGCUCAUCAUUGCCUAACUUCGAUACGGUCCACACCUCAACACUAAAACCAGUAGCCUUAACUACACCUUUCCACAGAUUAUACGACUUUAAUCCAACGGCCGGAUUCUACCUUAUUAAUCCGCCAAAAUUACCAAACUUCGGAAAUUCACAAACCUAUCCAAAAUUCAUCCAAAAAUUCCAUAAUUCAUAUCAAUAAACUCCCCUCAAUAUUCCACAUUUAAAACCAUAAAAAAUCCACUUCACAAUGGCGGUGCCGCCUUCUGCUCCGCCGGCAGCAGCAACCGGCGACCUCCAAUGCCUACCAAAUUUUAACAGCAACUUCCUCUCAACCCACUCUACAAUUUCCUAACUAGCACAAAUACAAAAUCCAAGCUUAACUAGGUCAAUCGAACAAAAACAAAGAAUUGAGCCCUAGAGUUUCCAACACCAAAAUCUCCUUACCUAGACCAAGGGGGAGUGAAUCCUUUGGAGGGAUUGCUGCACGGGAAGAGGGCUUUCAAACAAGCUAAGUUGCUCCGGCUAGGGUGGCCGAAGGAGGGAGCUACGGCGAUGGAGAGCUACGGUAGUCGGACCCUUCGAGCUAGCUUCCUCCCAAUCGGUGGCGCUAGGGGUUCUGUCACCUACCCAGAAAUGAAGAGGAAAGGGUGGUGGUUCGAUGGGGAUCAUCUUGGCGGCUGGAGCUGGCCGGACGGCGGCAGGCAGUGGUGGAGAACAACGGCGAAGGAAGAAGAAUCGGGGGAGUGGAGAGAGAGCCGAGGAAAAAGAAAGAAAUUAAGGUUUGGGCUUUCCAAACCGGUUCCCUAACCCACCAUUUAAAACCCAACACUAAAAAUUAACACCCCAAAAAAAUAAUACCCUAUAAAAAAAAUUACCUUUUUACUAGCUAGAAUUUAUCCUUUUACCGUCGUCAAAUAUUCUCCUACGAAUAAUUCCUCCGCUAUAAUCGUCCCUCAAAACCCCUCUAGGGACCUUUGAAAUUAUAAACUCAUUGACGAAGACGGUAAAACUAUUAUUAAUACCAAGCUAGUAAAUAAGGUAAAAAUUUAAGAGUAGGGAUGUGACAAUAAUAUCCAAGAUUACAAACAUGGGAGAUAUCGGUGGUGGCAAUAAAUUCUCCACACGCCUCCCUACCCGAAACACCAACGAUUACAGUGGACAAGAACUGAUAGGGGUUUAACCGAACCUAACAUAUUCAAGAUAUCUCGAUACAUCCUUACAGUCAACCUCAAGAAGAAACAACCAUUUCAAACACUACAUGCCAAAAAUACUAGCAUAUAUGCAUAGUUAACAUCCCCAUUACAUUGACGACAAGAACAAAACGACGUUAACAUAAUCCCUGGAAACGACACCAUAACCAUAGCUCACCCCAUGACACUGCUACCGACUCCAACCUAACAAAAACCUAAAUCAUCGCUCAGAUAGGAGGCCUAAACCCUCGCUCAAAGAGGAGGGACACGAAACAAAAAACAAAACCUAAAAACAACACCAAAGACCUAGACCCAAAAAGAGCUUAGGCCUAAACCUAACCCAAGUGAAUCUCAAAAGGCAGGCCCCAAUAGAUCCGACCCAAAGAAGGAAUUGGGACCUUGAUGCAGACCACCACCACGCCGUCGACGCCAAUCGCCGCACGAAGAGCAACGUCAUCCUUUUACAUCGUCACUCGAACGUGACACGAUAGAUCCAGGUCAGAAAGCAACUGGGAAAGCCAUUGCGGCAUCAUUCUACCCUUCUCCUUGCCCUGUCGCACCAACUCACACCACCAAAAUCAAGCCAGGACCUCGCCAUUGAGGCCACACAAUACCGCAGCGUAGGCCUGCCAACAACUUCCCGAUCCACCUCCAUGAAAGCUCCACCCUCUCGAUCCACCACCAUAGCCUACCAGGUGAGAACACCACCCGACCACCUUCAACGCUCAUCUGGUAGCGAACCCAGCCAUACUGACAAGGCUGGAAGCCAACGUUGGCUUGGAGGCACCGCCAGACAAGCCACAAACUUAAAACCCUAACCUUUAACCCUCUUGUUUUUAUGGAGCUCUCCCUCUCUCAUGUACCUCUUGUGCUACUGCGCAUCAUCAAGAAGGGACAUGACCAAGUUUAGCAAUAGAGUCCAGAAUGAAAUUUUAUUCACGUUGAGUGUGAUGAAACAUAGUUACCGCCACUUUCGAAAAUAAGACCUUAAUAUCUUUAACAAGAUUUUGAAUACACCAAGGAACUAGAUAUCAACCAUUGAUGCUAUCCAAAAAUUUUACAGUCACCUUCAACAUUCAAAUCAGAAAAGCCAUAUAACCAAGCAGCAAGAACACCAGCAUGUUACGCCAUAGCUUCUGAAACAAGGAAACAUAAAUUGGUUAUAGAAUUCAAAGACAUAGCACUUAGAGCAGCUUAGUAUUUAUUAUUAAAAAAAAAAGGUUCCUGUGUUCGGCAUCACAUGAUUUGGAUUUUGGAUUCAUGAGGAGAAAAUAUGGUUGGCAUCAAUCUUAUAUCCAUGGCCCGCUUCUUAUUUGAUGUUGGUUUGUGUUCUUGUGAAUUAAACAAACCAAAUGUCGUCGGUAGUGUCAAAUUUAAGUUUUUUUUUUUUUUUGAACAAAGGACGUUAGCGCCUAUUUUAUUGAUCACAAUUUAACAGUAGGUACAACAACAUGAACAUAAUCCACCCAUAUUGUGAGCUACAAAAUAAUCGAAACAUGCAAAACUACCUAGUAGACACUAAGCAAUCUCUAUGCUGUGGACCAUAGGAUGACGCACUAUGACCAAUCUUCCGUGGUAGCAAACAGACAAGUAACCAGCCACCGAGAGACAAAGAAGAAGGUAACCAGCCACAGCCACCAUGUCACUAUGUCAAAUUUAAAUACUUGUCAGUAUUUAUCGGAUGAGUAAUAGAAUUUACACACCCACAAUUACAUAUAAUCCAUAUAUCGAUUCAAAAGUGUAAAAAUGUUAAAAACAUCUCUAUUUUGAACAAUUUGCAGCAAAAAAACAAGGGUAUUUUUGACAUUUCGAUAGUAAAGGUGUGUGGAUUAUACUUGUGGUUGUACAAGUUUCACUCUCCUUAUCAAGUUUAACUAUGAUUUAAAAGAUAUCAUGGUGUAAUGUUAUUGUUGAUUAGCUAUCCAAGAACAUGAUUUUUUUCUCUCUGAAAAUGAUGAGAGUCGCCCUAGGUUUUCUUGGCGACGGCUCAGCAAUUCCUUGUUUCCUUAUUUUGACGGUACUUUUAGAUGGGCAUAAUCAAUAGCUAAAAAUGAUGCUUAUAUUUAGGUAAUGGUUCUUUUGUCAGCCCCACUCCACGAAGAGUUUGCUCCUCUAGUUGAGCAAAUUUGAGUAUGGAGAGGACAAAUCAUUAUGUGUACUCUACGUCUGACCAAUAAUAGAAGAUUGACUUGUAUCCAAAACAGUAAGGAGAUUUCACUAUGUCAAAAGCAGAUUACAAAGUGUUUAACACUCAAACUUAUAACACUAAUUAUGUCACACCCCAAUUUUUUGGGAAAAUAUAUAUAUAUAUAUAUAUUUGAUAUGCAACUCAUAUUCCAACUAUGAAAUAGAUUUUUCAUAAUUAGAAUAUAAAAUAAAUUGGAAAAGAACAACUCAAUAUUAACUGAAAUUUAUUCUUUAUUACAAUAGUUAUCAAACCAAAAUUUACAAGAGUAGACUAACUAGAAUCAAAGUCUAAUUUUACAUAAGCAAACGCCACACAUAAAUCAUAAGAUAUUAACAUCCUGAAGGUAACAACCUGUUCUUUACCUGCACAAUAAUUUAAAAGGGAUGAGCAUAAUAAGCCUAGUAGGAGGCAAAGACCUCUUCAAACAAAGCAGAUCAUAAACAAUUUUAGUAAAAUGAAUGAAUGCAAAAACAUGUUCUUUACUUGCACAAUAAUUUAAAAGGGGUGAGCAUAAUAUGCCCAGUAGGAGGUAAAAACCUCUUCAAACAAAACAGAUCAUAAACAAUUUUUAGUCAAAUGAAUGAAUACAUAUACAAUUAACUCCAUAUAGUCCAUAUAGCCAAAUGUAUUAAGUCUUCAUGUCCCAUACCAUAUAUUUUACCACAAAAAUGACUUAGGAUACUCAUUUAUAUGAACUAUCUCCCACUCAAUCUCACAUUCCCUUUUUGCUAGUCAUCUUAUACAUUCCUCUUUCGCCAAUCCAGCCAUUUUCACCUAUACUGAUCGCGUAUCUUCACUGUUAAGAACAGAACACAAUGACACAAAACUCAACUGUAUCUGGGAAUGAUCUACAUAAUCUUAUUGAACAAACUUAGGCUUUAAAUAACCUUUACAACCUUAACAGAAAGAGAUAAUUUAGCUUACGUUAUCCACUAACAUCCGUAAGCAAAGCAACUAACUAAAAAUUCAAAUGCAAGCAACAAGUACCCUAAAGACUAGGACUUAUUAAAAUAGAAAUCAAAGCUCUAACAGAAAAGAUUGACUUUCUCUUCAUUCCCCUCUUAAACUAGUCUCCAGCUAGUUUAAUUUAGGAACUUGACAAAUGCCCAGCUGACUUCUAAACGUCUUAAACGCAUCCAAGGUAAGUGGUUUUGUCAUCACAUUUGCCGACUGAUCCUCACUUCCACAGCACACCAGCUCAACAACUCCUUCCCGAGCACGAAGAAAAUGAAAUUACACAUCAGUGUGCUCACUCCGUCCAUGCAGCACUGGAUUUUUUGAAAGUUUAAUGGUGGAACUAUUAUCACAACGAAUAGUGAUGCACUUACUUUGCUCUAGUCCCAGCUUCUCAAGUAUUCUCCUCAUCUAUACAGCUUGGCUAGCACACGCUGCUGCAGCUACAAAUUCUGCUUCAGUAGUUGAGAGUGUGACAAUUGGCUGCUUCUUCGAAGACCAAGCAACAGCUCUACACCCCAACAUGAACACAUACCCUGAAGUACUCUUGCGGUCAUCCAAAUCUCCAGCAUAGUUGCUAUCCGCAAAGCCAACUAACCCUUCACACCCUCCCUUCUUGUAGAAAAUCCCAAACUCAGUGGUUCCACUCACAUAUCUAAAAAUUUUCUUGGCUGCCAUCAUAUGUAACUCAGUGGGUUUGGCCAUGUACCUGCUGAUUAAACUCAUUGCAUACAUUAAGUCCGGCCUUGUUGUUGUUAAAUACAUGAGGCAACCUACCAUCUGCUUGAACACAGUCUCAUCCACUCAGACUCCAUUUUCAUCUUUAUGAAGCUUACAACCUGGAAAAAUGGGAUUAUGAACCAGAUUGCAGUUCUCCAUCUUAAAUCUCUUCAAAAUCUCCAGAGCAUAUUCUUUUGACUAACGUAUAUCCCAUCUGACCUCUGUAACACUUCUAUGCCAAAAAAAAAUCUCAUUCUUCCCAAAUCACUCAUAUCAAACUCUCUCAACAUGGAACUUUUAAACUCAGCAAACAUUAAUUUGUCAUUGCCAGUGAAUAUUAAAUCAUCAACAUAUAUACUGACAAUGAGAAUCUUACCUCCCUCCUUCAUCUUAAUGAACAAAGUGUGCUCACUAUAAUAUUUCUCGAACCCCUGUUUGAUAAAAUGUUCUUCAGUACGACUGAACCAAGCUCGUGGAGCUUGUUUCAGUCCAUAAAGUGCUUUCCUCAAUUUGUAUACCUUCUGAGCAUUGUUCUUCACUUCAUAACCCUUAGGCUGCUCCACGUACACUUCUUCUUUUAGCUCCCCAUACAAGAAAGCUGACUUAACAUCAAGCUGAUAAAGAGUCCAACCCUUUUGAGCUGCCAAGGCCACAAUCAUUCUCACUAUAUCCAUUCUCGCAACUGGUGCAAAUACCUCAGUGUAGUCGACUCCUUGUUGUUGCACAUAGCGGUUUGCCACCAACCGUGCUUUGAACUUAUCCACCUCUCCAUUUUCCUUCAAUUUGGUCUUAUAAACCCAUUUCACUCCAAUUUUCUUUACACCCUGAGGCAAGUCAGUGAGCUCCCAUGUGUUAUUUCGCUCAAUUGCUUUUAUUUCCAUAUCCAUAGCAGUCUUCCAUUUUUCAUGUCUUACUGCUUCCUCAAAUUGUAAUGGAUCUGAUGAAGCAAACAAAGCUUGGUUGACAAUAUCUUCUUCCCCUGAGAGCCCAGUAUCUUCUUCUCUUGAGAGCCCCAACCCCUCGCCACUGACAUAAUCAUUCAUCCAAUUAGGAGGUCUUUUGUUUCUUCCUUCUUCUGAAUUUGAUGACUCUCCUCCACUCUCAUCAUUUAAAGGGCUAUCUGGUUCUUCUAUGUGAGCUUCUUCUUCUUCCCCAUCAAUUGCUUCAUCUACUUCUUCAUUGCCAUUCACUGCCCCAUUGUCUUCUUCAUCAUUCCAUUCCAGAUCAGCAAUGACAUGCUCUUCAUAGCUUCUAUCCCAGCUCCACGACUUGUCUUCCUCAAAAACAACAUCUCUGCUUGUAACCACCUUCUUUGCCUUAGGAUCGUAGAGCCUAUAUGCUUUAGAGUCUUCACUCACUCCCAACAACACACAUGUAAAGCUUUUUGCAUCCAAUUUCUUUCUUUUCACAUCCGGGACAUGCACAUGUGCUACACACCCAAAAACCCUAAAAUGUUCCACUGAGGGUUUGCUUCCACUCCAAGCUUCUUCGGGGGUCUGAUCCUUCACUGCUAGUGUAGGACUCCGAUUCAACACAUACGUCGUCCAAUUUACUACUUCCGGCCAAAAAGUCUUGGGAAUUUCCCUCUCAGAUAGCAUGCAUCGAACCAUGUUCAUCACUGUUCAAUUUUUUCGUUCAGCUACUCCGUUCUACUGUGGAGUAUAUGCCGCCAUUAAUUGCCUCUUGAUUCCGUGCUCAACACAGAAGUCAUUGAACUCAGUAGAUGUGAACUCUCCUCCUCGAUCUAUUCUCAAACACUUAAUAAACCCUCCUACUUCCUUCUCCACACAACUCUUAAAAUGUUUAAACCUAUUUGCAUCGAUACUCCACACCUAUACAGUGUCGGAGUAUAGAGUGUUGGAGUGUCCGACACUCCCCGACACACCGAUACCGAUACGAUACACCAAAAUGUGUGUCCGAUACGCCACGUGACGAGUCCAAAAAAGUUGAUUUUUUAGACACGUUGACCGACACGCCACAUCAGCCUGAAACACGUCACGUCAACGUCCGACACGCCACAUCAGCGUGUAUUGACUAAAAAAAAGAAAAAAGAAGAAGAAGUCUAAUACCUAAUCAAAGAGGAAGCCGCUUCCACUUUAACGAAGCUGCAUAGAAGAGGAACGACGAAAAAGAAGCCGAGGAACGACGUUGCCAUUCUCUGUCACUGCAUCAUUUUAUCUAUCAAGAAUAAAGGAUGAUGCCAAUGUAUGCGUGCCUUGCUCUUCUGUAUUUUGAAUACCUCAGUUAUGGGGUUUUAGACAGUUGGUGUUGUUAUGGCGUUAGGAAAGUCGGAUUUUCAUUCAGUUUGAUGAAUGUGUUGAAUUAGAUAGAACUAUUUGGUAAUCAUCCUUUAGAUUAAAUUGACUCUCUUUUAUGUUAUUUGUUACAGUUAUACAAUUGCUUAAAUUUAGAACAUUAUUUAAGUAAUGUGAUGAAUUUAUUCAUAUUUGAGCAUUUUUUUUAUUAAUUAGAAAUAUAUAAAUAAGUAAUUAUAUUUGCCGUGUCCAAGCCGUGUCGAAAAUGCAGUUUUUGAGUUUUGCCGUGUCGCUAUGUCGGUACGUAUCGUGUCUCCGUAUCCGUGUCCGUGCAACAUAGGUUUAAACAUACUCAAUGCCUCUGAUUUUUCUACCAGAAAAUAAAUCCAAGAUUUUCUAGUAAAAUCAUCAAUGUAACAUAUAAGAUACCUCUUGGUGCUGUUGGAGCUAGGAGAAAUUGGUCCGCACAAAUCCGCAUGAAUGAGUUGAAGUUUCUCUAUAGCCCUCCAAUUGUUUUACUUUGGGAUUGGAUCCCUGUGUUGCUUCCCAAUCAAGCAGUUUUCACACACCUUUGAUGGAGGCUUAAACUGAGGCAUCCCAUCCACCAUCUUUCUAUAUUGAAGAAUCCGCAAUCCCUUGUAGCUCAAGUGACCGUAACGACAGUGCCAUAGAUGUGUCAAAUCUGGUGUUAAUGUGUGGAGACAAGUUGGCUUUUGAGAUAGAGUAUUUGCUAACAAUACAAACAUUCGAUUUGUUGUCAUAUCGGUUUGUAUUAUGAGCCCCUUAUCUGGAUGAUAGAUUUUGAGCUUUCCACCCUUAAUGAGAAUCUAGUCCUCUCUCUUGUAACCCAAUACUCAGAAGAUUAUUUUUGAGCUCUGGCACAUAAUAAAUUUCUUGAACAAUAUGAGUAAAGCCACUUACUUUCAACCUUACGUUGCCUUUGCCUAUCACAUCCAUCCUUGUGUUGUUUCCUAGCUUCACCUUGUGCCUGAAGCCUUCAUUUAAAUCACAGAAUAAACUCUUGUCACCACACAUGUGAUUGCUGCACCCAGAGUCUAGAAACCAAACAUCUUCCCUUUGUGCUUCAUUCAACUCUACAUAAGCCAUGAGCAACAUCUCUUCUUCUUCUUCUUCUUCUUCUUCUUCUUCUUCUUCUUCUUCUUCUUCUUCUUCUUCUUCUUCUUCUUCAGCAUAAUUUGCUUUCUUAUCCCAACUUGGACACUCAUAUUGAAAGUGAUAAAGCUUGUGACACUUACAACACUCCACCAUGGCCUUGUUGUAGAUCUGCCUGCCUCUUCCUCUUCCUCUUCCUCUAUAAGAACCUUGACCUCUUUCACCUCUACCUCUUCCUUCUUCAACUGUGAUUUUUAAGGCCUGUUCUUCAGAACUACUAGUCCUUCGAAACUUCUGCUCAUGUACUAUUAAAGAGCUUUGCAGCUCAUUCACAGAGAGGCUAUCAAUAUCCUUUGAUUCUUCAAUGGAGCAGACAAUAUAGUUAAAUUUCUCUGUGAGAGUACGUAAAAUUUUCUCCACAAUCUUCACAUACUGCAUAUCCUCUCCAUAGUUGCACAUGUCAUUGGCCACCACCAUGACUCUCGAGAUAUAGUCUGUGACUGAUUCACUAACCUUCAUCUCUAACACCUCAAAGUUUCUGCGGAAUGCCUGAAGUUGGGCUUGCUUAACUCUCACAUUCUCUUGAUAUUUUCUUUUCAUAAAGUCCCACAGCUGCUUGGAGGUAUCUUUCUAAAGAAUGGUCUUCAAGAUAGACUUGUCGAUUGACUGAAAGAGGUAGUUUUUCGCCUUUAAAUCUUUCAGUUUCAAAUCCUCCAAAGUCUUUCUUUGUGUAGUAGUCACCGUCUCUCCAGCAGCAGGCUCAGAAUAACCAAUUUCGAUGAGACUCCAAUAUUACUUCGAUCUCAGAAGGUUCUCCAUUAACAUUGACCAAUGGUCAUAAUCUCCAUCGAAUUUGGGAAUGCUAGGUUGAGCGAAAUUGCUUCCUUCAGCUGCCAUCUCCCUCUCACUCGAUCUCACCAAGUGUUUCACUUUUUCUCUCUUGUUAGGAUACUACGGCUCCUAACCUCUCAAAAUCAGGCCCUUUUGCUCUGAUACCACAAUGUUAAGAACAAAACACAAUGACACAAAACUCAACUAUAUAUGGGAAUGAUCUGCAUAAUCUUAUUGAACAAACUUAGGCUUUAAAUAGCCUUUACAACCUUAACAGAAAGAGAUAAUUCAGCUUACGUUAUCCACUAACAUCCGUAAGCAAAGCAACUAACUAAGAAUUCAAAUGCAAGCAACAAGUACCCUAAAGACUAGGACUUAUUAAAACAUGCAUAAACCAAAUCUUUAACAGAAAAGAUUGACUUUCUCUUCAUUCACGUAUUCCCGCGCAUUAUCGCGCAUUCACACGGGCAUCGUGAAAUAUAAUACCUUCAAGAACAAGGACUCAACUAUACAAAAGUUUCAAUCCUAACUUCUUUACCCAAAGUGUUUUAUGCAUAGCACUACCAUUCCCCAUAUACCUUAGAUGAUAACAUCUCAAUACAUUGAAAUAAAUCAUAUAUAAUUUGCAGCAGAGAGACAAGCAUUCCAGACAAGCAAAAACCAGUGAAACAACAUAAUAAGCAAGCAUAGAGGCUCCAUAAUUUUCCCCUACCUUUACCGAUCACCUGAAGCAAGCUCCUAAUAAAAGAUACAAGCAUUAGUUAAACAAUCAUAUAACAACUCUAUUUCAUUUAAAACUCAUACUCAGAUACAAUAGCUAACCAAAACAGCUUUUCACUUAAACAUAAUAACACAAAUCUAACAUUUUGAACCAGUAAUAUUCAGACUGAAAACUGUAUAAAACUGUAAGGAAUUUGACUUCGUGGUCUUUUAAAGACUUGUAGAAGACACACUAAAGAAACAUUGAGAGUUGGAAUCACCUUAAAACGAUUUUUCUGUAAUUAGAUAUGAAAUUUCAAAGUUCAGAUACAGUUCAAUAAAUUUCUGCAAAUUUGCUGAUAUGCCUAUACUUGUACUUGAAAGCAAAUUAGACAUUCUAAUGUAACUAAAACUAUUGAUUACUUAAUAACAACACUUCAAUGUUCAGAACAAAGAAAACACAUAAAGAUUGCACUGAAAAAGCCUAAGAUUAACACAAAGAUAGCUAACAAAAAAAUAAUAUGCAAUAGUCUUAACUCCUAAAAUUUAAGCAACUUUAAGCAAUCUAAAAUCAUGGUUUCUACUUUUAAUAUUAGAAACUAAUAACAUGUAUAAAAACCUCAUAAUCUAAGCAUUACAUAUGUACAAUCUCAUAUCAAAACAACAAAGAUUCAAAAGCAAAGAGUGCAAUUAACAACAGAAAUCUGAAAUUACAGAACAACUUCCUAACUUUCUGACCAGUAAACUUUAUGGCUAAAAACGACACAGCUUGGCUGGGAAUUUUAGGUUGAUCUCUUCAAAACAAUUGUAGAAGACAACCUAAAGAUCAUUUGAGAACUGGAAUCGUAGAAAACUGUGAAAACGGAUUUUUCUACAAAUACUUAUGAUUUUCGGAAAUUGAAGACCUACAUCAGGCAAAUUACUGAUUUUGACUCAAAUCAGUUUUUGUUUUACAAAGUCAGUUUGCAAAAGAUAAAAAUAAGAACACAUCUUAAACAUUUUCUAAGAAUGCAAGUUGUUAACAAGACCUUGAGAAUAUGAAACAUAUACGUAGAACAAAACAUAACAAUAUGCAAUGUCAGAAACAAAGAACUAACAACUCUUAAAGCACCUCAUAUACAACUAAUCAAAUCAAUGAACAGUAAAACUAAAAUAAGAACUUUUGAUUUCACAAACUUAGAACAUAUACUCACUUUUAAAUAGAAACAAUUGAUCAGAACAUAAAAGAGAAUCAAACCUGAGUUCUUCUACCAAUUUCCUACAACACCAACAAUCUCUCUCUCCAAGUAGGAAAAGACUUCUGAACCUAAAAACUCUACAGAUUUCAGUCAUAUGUAUAACAUAUGGAAAAGGGAUAGAACUUGGCGUCCAAGACAAGAACCAGGGCCGGUCCUGAAGGAUUCAAGGCCCAGUGCGAAAGUUAAAAAUGUGCCCAUUAUAUAAUUUUUUUAUUCAAAACAUACCAAUUUUUUGGGGGUUUCAUAUAUCAAUAUCAUACAUCAAUUUUAUGUAUCUCAUAUACAUAAUUUCAGGAAAAAAAAAACAAAGGAAAUUUAAAGCAACAUUUUUUAACAUCCAAAAUGACAGGAUCAAAAAAGAAGAAUUUAAAGAUGUGAAGUUCAGAGCAACCUUCCUUCUAGUCUUGAGAAAUUAGAUUAUAUAUAAGAGAGGAGAUGCAAAAUUGAGAGUCUGAAAUUGAGAGAGGAUGGAGAACUUCGCAUGAUUGUGAGAAUGUGAACAAUUUAUAGAGAGUCCUACAAUUUCAUCGACAAAUAAAGUAAAGACUGUAUAUGAGAUUAGGUUGUGGUCUUGCGGAGAAUAUCAAUCGUCAAUCGGCAAUGAAUCUUCUUCAUAAGCCAUGCAAUGGGUAUAUGAAAUUAUGAAUUUAGAAGAAGAUGAAAAAAUUAAAAGAAAAGAAGAGAGUGAAUGGAAGACAUUUUCUCUGAGAAAAUCAAGAAUGAUGCAAUGGGACAUAAUUGAUAAGAAGCAAUAACUAGAUAGAAGUCUAGAAGAUUGAACGACAAAAGAGAAAAAGUCCGGGACUUUAAUUGUAUUUUUUUUUCUUUUAUAUUAAUAUAAUUAUACAUUAAUAUAUUUCACAUAUUGAAGAAAAAAAAAAAAUCGGCCCCCUAUGUUCCUAGGCCUGGUGCAAGCGUACUACUUGCACUGCGCCAAGACCGGCCUUGACAAGAACAAAAAAAGCAAAAUUAAAUUGUUCAAUUGAAAUCUUACCCGUGUAGGUACUAGACUAGACCCUUUCUAGCUCCUAUGGUAUAGCUUCAAAGAGUCAGCAGCUGAUCUCCAGGGUUUUGACACCUCCUGUUUAAAGAAGUCGGCUGCUAAUAUUUAAGCUUAUUUAGGGACAGUUUCUAGGUUUCAUGGCGGCAAGGUUUCAGAUUGGGAAAUAUUUACGUGCAUUUUUAUACACGUAAUUGCCACUCAAACACUAAAAUUUAGAUACUCUUUAUUUUAAUUAAUAUAUAAUUAAUCUAUUUUUAUUUAUUUGUAGGAAAUAAGCAGAAAUUUGGAUUUCGGAUAGAAAAUGGUGAUAUUUGAGUAAAAUUGGAGCACAUGGAUUUGAGAGGAAAUUAAAGGAGAUUUGUUAAGCUAAUUAAUCAUAGCAUGAUUGAUUGAUCAUUGCAUGCUUAAUUGAGGUGAACAAAUCAUGUUCAACCAUGACGCAUGUGCAGCACCAAAACUUCAUCACUUUUGGUCCUCUCCUCUAUUCAACUCGCGACACAUGGCUCCUUUAUCCUUUCAUCACAAUUCAGCCACAAACCGAGCCAACCCUUAUAUAAGACAUUCUUCUCUCUUCCUCUUGAAGAGAGCCGCACUUUGCCCUCUCCCACCAAUUCACCUUCUCAUCCUUUUUUCUCAUUUCAUAAUUUAGAUAGAGUUUCUUUGGGAAUUUGAAGGACUCACUCAAGGCUUUCAAGGCAUCAUCAUCAAGAGCACCACCUCUUCAUCAAUUGGGUAGUUGGGUGAAAAACUUAUUUGGGUUCAUACUAGCCUAUAGCUAGAAGUGACCAAUCUAGCUCUCCCCUUUCUUCUUUAUUAUCUCUUUUAUGCUUUCAAUGAUGUAUUUGAUUAUGGGUAGUGAGUAGUUCAAUUUUGGGAAUUAGGGUUGUGAAGCCCUAAACUCAUUUUGUAUAAAUAUUGGUACUUUAAUUGAAAUGAAUGCAAUUUCCAUUGUGUAUGCUUUGAAUCCGAAUGUGUUGGUCCUUAGAGGCAUGUUUCUAGGCUUUGUCACCCUUUGAGAUUAUGUUCUGGGCAAUUUGAUGAUUAGAUUGAUAAAUUGACAACUUAUUAGUCUUAUGCAUCUAGUAUUUGAAGUGUGGUAACCAUUACCUAGCUUGAUUGUAGCUAAGUUUGCUUGAGUCUCUAUUAUCUUUCAUUAGGCCUCUAAUUUGGAUGUUACGGCCUUAACUGGAGUAAUGCCCAUGUUAGAGAGUCGAUUGUAGCCUUAAUCGGCAUAAUUGAUACACCGAAAGGAUAAUUGGUCUAGUAGCCUUUACUGGUAUUAGAUACAAGACUUGACACAAUAGGAUAUGCAUUUGUGAAAUUGGUAUCAAUGUUUGCAUAUGAGUUAGUGUGGAUCACCUGACACUCCCAUGUUCUCAUCAUUCUCUAGUUCAUUAGUUAGUAGCUUAUUUUACAUUUUGUUUGUCGUCAAUUAGUUAACUCCUCAUUUCAUCUCCCUUUUAUAUUUCGACUCAUUGUAGAUAACCAUCACUAGGUUUCUAGUUUUGAUUAGGCUUUGGUGAGAACUAGAGCCGAGCAUUACUAAGGCUUGGUGCCUUAGAUUAGCAUUUCCCUUAUUUCUUUUUCUUUUUCUUUGUUUGCUUAGUGACUUUUGUUCCGAUUAGCCUAGGAUUGUGGGUUAGCCACUAAUCCCCGUGGUACGAUAAAUUGGGCACUUGUACUUCCCUAUCUUGACAAUGAUACGUUCGCUUGCGUGAAUUGUAACCAAGUCAAGAAACAUCUUGUCGGGAGGAAGAAGAAGUCAGUGAAGAAGAAGAAGAAGAAGGUGGAGGAGAAGAAGAAGACGGCAUCGUUCUGCUAUUCUCAACGACAAAAGCUUUUCCCAAAAGCUAUUUCAAGUAUGGGCUUGGGUUUUGGGUUAAGGAUAUUGGGUCAAAGUUUUGGCUUUAAAACUAAAAACAAAUAAACCAAAUAAGAUGAAAUAAAAAUAAAUCUAAAACAACUAAAUCAAUUUCAGCAAAAAUACUAAAUACAAUUUAGAGUAAAAGAAUAUAUAUAUAUACACACACACACUAGUUUAGAUAUUUAAAAUUUUGAGUCGUCACAAAUUAUACUUAAGAAAUACACUCACCCAAAGAGAAACACUAAAUAAAAAAACAACUUUGAUCCAUAAAAGAUAAAACCAUAAAUUAUGCUACUUCUCAAUUGCGACUCUCUCAACUCUCACCUUAAUUGGUUACAUAAAGGACAUAUGUGUAUGUGUAAUAGGUAAACUUUCAAAACCUGACAGGAUUAGCUUGGUGUUAAUCGGAGCAGAGGUGCACUUGAACCCUUCAUGUGGGUCCCAUCUACAUGCAAACGGAGUUAGAGACCAAAAAAGAUUGAAACCAUAGUAAAAACCUAUAAACCCAGAAUAUUGUUCGAAGAAAACUGACACACCGAGUCUCCUCCAAAACCCAGCCUCUCCUAGCUUGAAGUAGAAAGAGGAAGGCACGUGUGUGUAUAAAAACACAAAGUUUUCCAUAUUUCUUGUAUAAGAUUAAAACCCUAAUCCCACAAAUCAUUGAUUUCCCUAAAACCAGGAGAAACCCUAAAUUGGAGAAUUGGGGAAUCGAUGAGAAGAGUAGAAGAAUCGGCGUAGAUACAUGCAUGUCGCUAGAGUGAGCUUGGAUCUGAAUGACGUGCCCGUUACCGGGCGUGCAACAAUUAAGAACCCUUUUUGACAAUCAUAGUAUAAGGCAAAUAAAGUUUGAUCAAUCUGGGGACUAAAGGUGCUCUUGUAACACUGUCUUGUAAAAAGUCAGUAGCUAUCAAUUAAAAAUAUUUACAAGUAUUCAUUUACAAAUAUACAUAUGGUACAAGGUAAACAAGGGGGUUUUGAGAGUUUGUUCUAACAUUCCUACGAAAAAGAUAAAGACAGAAUCUAAACUAAUAUAUACAGGUGAUCAUCUUCAAUACACAUCAACCGGAGAUUUCAGAAUGAAUCAAACAAGUAUCAACAUGCCUUAAACGUAUAUUCAAGCUCAUCGCCAAGUGAUAUAAAAAACAAACUCGAAACACAAGCCUCAGCGGUCAUGCAUUCCUUUAAUUCUACUUACUUUAUCUCCUAAGCAUAGAGAAUCUAGAACCUAGGAUAUUUCAUGCAAAGGCUGCGAUCGAUACUUUGUGUCACUCAGAUUACCCGUCUACACUAAACAUGAAUCAUUAAGUGUUAUAGAAUUCUGAAUUUGAACAUGCCCAAGUUUACAGGAAGCUGCUUAACUUGUAAACAUGUAACACAUAGUUUCGGCUAUUAUUACAUAACCUUUACUACUGGAGAUCUACACUUACUUGAAGAAGCUUAGUAUAGAUCAUAGCAACACUAACCUGUAGAUUAGAGGUUUAGUUCAAACAAAACUAUGCAUUUAAUGAAAUUAACAAGGCACAAAAAGAAUCAUAUGCUAUCAUAGACAAGUUGAAAUAUGCUUGAAUUUAUUCUAAAAAUUAACCUAUUCAUGUUCUUAACAACCAGCCAAUUCCAACUUUGAAAUCUAAUAAAAGAAAACAAAGAACAAUAACAAGAAAGAAGAAACAAAACAUGAGUUACACUUUAUAAAUCUUCAAGGAAGCUUGAGAUGUUCAAAGGUACACACACGCCUGAUGCUUCUCGGCAACCUUCUAGAGAAGUCCAACAAAGGAGCCAGCUUGAAUUGCUUCUUUUCUGGAGAGAGGAGUUGAAAAAGAGAAGGAAGACUAAUUUGUUUCAUUGAUUUUUGUGUGAAGAAGAGAUGCUUUAAGAAGUACACAAGGCUGUCUUUAUAUAGAGAAUAUCUUGGUGAAACUUCUCUUCAAAACUGAUGUGGGACUAGCUCCACAAGUUUGACUUUUCUCCUCAUUUUUAGAGUUGGAAUCCAAAUUUGCUUCUUCUUCCUUCCUUGGGCUACUUGGGCUACUUGGGCUUCUUUUGGGCUUUCUGCUCUUCCAUCCUUGGGCUGCUUGGGCCUUCUCUUCCAUCCUUGGACUACUUAGGCCUUCCUUUGGGCUUUCUGCAUUUUUGUACUACUUGGGUCUUUUUUUGUCAAUUAAGCUCUUUGUGCCUUUUUUCUUCCUUCCUUGGACUGCAAGAAGGCUUCUUUGUCUUUUUCUGCAUUUUUCUCUUAUUUCCAUCAUUUAGCCUUCUUUUCUUGAUUUAUGCUCUCAUGUCCUUUACAAUCACAAAACAUGUCAGAAAUGGUAUUAUUAUGAGAAUAUCAUAGCUAAGUAGGGUAGGAAACACAUUAUAAACAUAGCACUUUGUGCUCAUAUCACUGAACUGGUUCCUUCAAUUGCAUAAGUGAUCAGAGGUGAAUUGCAUCGAGGUGCAGGGAGAGCUUGAUGGCCAAGCGGUGAGUAUCGAAGCGCUGAUGAAGGGGGGAGGAGCUGACGAUACAAACGUGGAGAGAAACUGGGAGUGAGAUGGGGAGGAAGAUAGGGGUCGGCGGAGGGUGGUCGUUGGAGGCCUAUGGUUUGAAGUGAACGGUGGAGGUCCUCGAUCGUGGUUCCGGGUCGGGUCCCCAAUCUGUGUCCAGAUUUCGCUACUGAUUUUGGAUUAAUAUAAUUACCCAUGUAAUAUUUACUGUAGUUUUAUGUAUUUUUACCAUGUCGAUUGGAUUUUUUUGUUUGAACAUUUUUUAACGACGUUAGUAUUGGUGUUUGUGUCAUACAGCUGACUGGAUUAAAUGAAUGAUUGUGAUUAGUUAGUGACUAUUGGUUCACAUGCACCUUGGUGCAUUGAAGAACUUUUGGGUGUUAAUUACUCUAAAAAGUAAUUGAUAGCCAAAAUUAUUGGUAAUGACCCCUACUAUGUUCUCUAAUCGUAAAGUUGCAGGUAUACAUACAUGCAAAGAUGAUAAUUGAAUUGCCUCAAGAAUCAAAACUCGUAUCCAACCCAACCAGUUUUGAAUAUAUAACACACACACUUGUAUAUACUUUUAGUUUCAAAGGUAAAAUAUUGUAUAGUCCUUGUGGUUUAAAGUCGACAUCUGUUUUGUCCUUAUGAUUUUAUUUUAAUCUGAAUAGUCCUUAAAAUCACGAUUUUUUAUCUAAAUAGUUCUUAUAGUUUUAUGAAUUAAAUUCAAUUUACCCCCUUAUGGUUUGGGGGUAACUUUAUGUUAGUCCCUACACUUUUAUUUUCAUCAGUUUACCCCUUGAACUCUUCAAUUUCUGUCUGCCGUGCCUAAAUUCUCAUAUUCCGUUUGAAUUGACCUUUAACUAUCAGCAGUUAAGGUCCGAUUUGCCCAAAUUCUAGAUACUGGCCUCACAGUUAAGGUUAAAAUUAUCGACAGUUAACGUCCGAUUUGGACAGAAUAUAGGACAUUUGGUCAUGCCUGAGGAAAAUUCAAAAGUUUGAGGGGUAAACUGAUGAAAUUGAAAGUAUAGGGAUUAACAUGAAGUUAUUCCCAAACCUCAUGGGGGUAAACUGAAUUUAAUUCUAGUUUUAUUUUAAUCUGAAUAGUUCUUAAAGUCAUGAUUUUUCAUCUAAAUAGUCCUUAUGGCCUUUAACUGAGAAAAUUGUCGGAAUGACUAUUUGGAUGAAAAAUUGUGACUUUAAAGAUUAUUCAAAUUAAAAUAAAACCAUAAGGACUAUUGAGAUGAAAAAUUGUGACUUUAAAGAUUAUUCAGAUUAAAAUAAAACCACAAAGACUAAACAUAUGUCGACUUCAAACCAUAAGGAUUAAAUAAAUUUCAAUUCUAGUUUCAAACUUCUGUUUUCCUCCAUGGCUCCAUCUAUCUAUAAUGCUAUCUUCAAUCAAUAAACAUCAACAACGACCUGCACGUAUGUACUAUUUAAUCAUAAGAUAGGAUCAAAUUUGGCUAUCUAACUUCCACUUUGGUCCUCUCUAUGAAUUAGGUUGGCCAACAACAUUUUGCCUACUUUAGUUUCACCCCUAGACCAAAACCUUAUCAAGGGCUCGGGCAAUUACUCACUCACCCAUACGUCUCAAGUCUCAACUACCUUCUUUUCAUGGAUGAUGAAUGGGAUGCCUCUUAAGUUGUCGGACUCCCUAUUCUCGUUUAGGUAGUCCAUUCAACAUGCAUCUUUUCGUUCACCACAACCUUUUCUUCUCUUUUGAUCAAAUGAAGCACCUUCGUUUAAUUUAUAGAACUUGUAUAUCACAACCUUAGAGGCCAGGUGAAGAUGCUUCCAUAAAACUUUAUUCAAGAAGCAAGUAAAGAGAAUAUCACUAUUCUUUCAUCAACAAUCAUUUACUAAAAGCUAAUUCAGCCAUGGUCAUGACCCUGCUUUCUUCCAGAGCCUGUCCCAAGAAGAGAGUGUUUCAGUUUGUCUUGUUUUUCUGUUUUAUUUUUUAUUACUUGUUUGCCUUGUUUCAUGGUUUGAUAGUUCCAAAUUCCGACUCUAGCCCGUUGUAUUUCCUCAAAGGUUAGUGUAAUUUAGGACCUCGAAAGCCCGCUUACCAUUCUUAAUAACCACGCCACAGUGCUAAUUUUCGUCUUUUUUUUUCUUUUGAGAAAAAUAGAAAAACUUCUUUUAAUUUAUCUAUCGUAACUAAUAUGCUAAUCUUUUUUAAUACAACAAAGAAAACCUAAGAGAAAAUCCUUGAAAACAACUUAUACCACAUGAACAUCUCCACGUAUCUCUUGUUUGUUGUUAAGGGAAAUGCCCUAAUGCCCAAAUAUUUAAAAACUAAAGCCUAUUUCNNNNNNNNNNNNNNNNNNNNCUCUCUCUCUCUCUCUCUCUCUCUCUCUCUCUCUCUCUCUCUCUCUCUCUCUCUCUCCUGGACGACGCAAUGACGCCGCCGAUGCAGCCGCCGCCGACACAGCCGACGCCAACGCAGCUUAUGCUUCAACAACACCUGCGCCGAUGCUGCGACGACGAGCAACGAGUAUCAAAUCUCUAAUCCUACCUCUGCUCUCUCCUCUGCAACCUCCUUCACCGCUGUCAGAAAUCAACGCCGCUCGUCAACGUCCUCCUUCUCCGAGCCCCCUCAUCCGACCCCGGCAGCAGAUCCAAAACGUUGUGCCGCUCGCCAAACGUCGUCGUCAUCUCUGGUGUUGUCCUUCUCCGGUGACGAUGUAGCGAAGCUCCCUCCAGCUACGACGUCCCGCCUGUACUCGUCCCACCUGCUCGACUGGGCCAACGAGCAAGUUCAUAGGCAGCCUCCGCCUCAGCCUCCAUGGCUAGAUCGAAGGCGUCGGGUGCGUGGUGAGGGAGGUGAAGCAGAUUUGAUGAGGGAGGUGUAUGGUGAGGGAAGGUGCAUGGUAAGAGAGUAGAUCCGAUGUGUGAGGGUGCGUGGCUCUGCGGUAGGUAUAGUUGUAUUUUUGUAGCUGAUAGGUAGUUUGAUUAUUCGUGUUGUAGUUUUGAUUGAUUAUUGGCGGUCAAUAACUCGAUUAUGUUCUGGUAUUUCUUCUUUUCUAUUACAAUAAGCUGAAAUAAGUUGAUUAUUGGGGGUCAGUAAUCAAGUUAUUGGGGGUUAGUAACUGGUUAUUGGGUGUCAGUAACCAAGAUUAUUAGGGGUCAGUAACCGAUUAUUAGGGGUCAGUAACCAAGAUUAUAAGGGGUCAGUAACUGAAAACUAAGUGAUUAUUGGGUGUCAGUAACUGAAAACUAAGUGAUUACUGGGUGUCAGUAACUGAAAACUAAAAGUUAUUGGGGGGUCAGUAACUGGUUACUGGGUGUCAGUAAUUAAUCAAUAACUGGUUACUAGGGGUUAGUAACUAGUUAUUAUGGGUCAUUAACUGGUUAGUAACUGAUUAUUGGGGGUCAGUAACUAGUUACAGGGGAAAAUCCGGUGACCGGAAUCCGGCGGUCGGGGAAAUUCCGGUGACCGGAAUUCGGCGGUCGGUGACCGGAGUCCGGUGUCUGGCGGCCAGUGACCGGAGUCCGAGGUUCCAGCCAAGUCUUUUCAUGUUGAAGAAGUGGGGGCAAAAUAGUCUUAAAAUAAUAUGGUUUGUUAAGACUUUAGUAAAGAUUUGUGCAUUUGGGUAUAAAGAUUUGUGCAUUUGGGCAUAAAAAUGGUUACCUUAUAUUGGAAUGGGCUAAUGCAAAAGGAUUAUCAUUAGAAUGGGAAAUAAGGGGUUUGAAUUAGUACUAAAUAGGCAUUUUCCCUUGUUAUUAAAUGAGUAAGAUGACAUUCUAGUGUCGACUGCUUGAACAUGACUGGCUUCUGACCUCUAACGUAUGUCUCAAACUAGAAUAGGAAGAGCAAGUCCUAAUUGGACUUCAUAAUAUCUUGUAAGAGAAGGAUUCCUUUACUAGUUAGUAAUGCCUACUUGUAAUGCCUAUAUAAAAUGGAUGUGCCGAAUUGGAAUAACGUUGAUAGUUUGAGACAUUUCAAGCAAUUUCUAAACCUCUCGAGUAUUCUCUCAACGAGUGAGUACUCAAUUAUAUUAUACUGUUGAUAGUAUUCUCACGGUGAGCACAAGUAAGACACAAAGAUUUUGCUUGCUAAACCUCGUUAAAAUUUUGGUAUAUUUUUAUUUGUUUUUUUAUCAACAAUAUUUUGUUAGCAUUAAGUCCGAUGAGAAAUUUCUAAAGAAAACAUCCUACCUUGUUAAAAAAACAUCUUGGUAUCAAAUCGUGUGUCUCUACCUGUGGAGUGAUUUAGAUUGUGGAUCAAGUUGGUAAACCAAACAGAAAAAUUAUUUUUGGAAAAAAAAAAAAAAAAAAAAAAAACCCUAAAAACCCGGUAACCGUUAACUAACUUUAAACUUAAACUUACCUAACUUUAACUUUAGGUCGUCUCGUUUUCUUUCGUACGUUAACCCGUAAACCUAACCGCCACCAACGACGUUCUUCUCUAAACUAACUACUUCUUGUCUCUUCUACUAACCCCCCCCCCCAACCCCCCCCCCUCCCCCUCCUCUCUCUCUCUCUCUCUCUCUCAAGUGUUAACUGUUCACUAUUCCAUUCAAAACCAUAUCGUGGAAUUUCAUAGAUUCUGGACAAAUUAAGCUUGCUCUAUCAGUUUUGGAUAUCUAAAUUUUCAUUCUAUACAUACUUGAAUCAGAUUUGUCACACUUUUCUGUUUUUGGAUUUGUAGAUUCCUCAAGAAGAAAGAUGAAACCAGAAAUCAUUGAUUGGAGCAACAUAGAAUCAAUAUUCGUCGAAGAUGAAACUUAUGAGAGCUUCAAUGCGCCUAAAUGGGUCAACCUUUCAUCUCCAGAUGAGCUCAUUGAUGAUGAAGCCUGGUUCUGCAAUCCUGGUAGGGACCAAUUUCGUUGCUUAGGAGCCGAAGGGAGGGAAAGCUCGAAAUUUAAUCUCUUCUUUGUUUAGGAAAUAUAUGUUCAUUUAUAUCUUACUUUCUUUCUGGGUUACAGAUUGCAAGCAUCCAAAGUCGGCAGAAGAUUUCCACAAAACACAGAGCGAAACCGCAGCUAAGGAGUACAUUCUCAGCCAGUAAUUUGCUCAAGGGACGGGAAGUUUUGAAUCAUAUCACCGGACUUUGUACUGAUAUGAAGAAUUUUGCCAAGAGGGGUUCAAGAAAAAAGAUAUCAGAGAAUCGUGGCUUGAAGGAGAAAGUAAGGGACAGAAUGCCUCUCAUUGUUAGAGAAGGUUGACUGUUACAGCACCAAUUUAGUUUGUAGCUUUCUAACACUUUGCCAUUGAAUAAAUCGCAUUUGCACCCAAAAAGAAAAAUUCGGAUGUAUUUAAGUUAUGCUAUUGAGUCUAACUAAUAUCUGCUAUGCAAGAGUUUUGUAUAGGAAUGCCAAAGGGGGAGAUUAUUGGUAUGAACUUUAGUUGGCAUCCCUAUACCAAAACUAGAAUACGUGCUAAGUGGUUAAGGCUAUUAUUUAUGGCAUCUUUGAUAAUAGCUCACAUGAUUCUAUGUCAUUAUUAAUUGAGAAAUUGUUUCAUGAUCAUAUCGAGCUAAUAUAUUGCAGAAGAUGUGAAUCGUAAGUCUUUAGGAUUUUCAUGUUGAUUAUAUGAUUAGUUGAUCUUUAGUUGAAAGGAAAGAAUCCUAUUUUGAUUAGGUUCUAUGAUCUUUGGAUUAUCAUAUCGUAUUAAUGCAUGGCAAUAAGAUCUUAUGUCAUUGAUCUUAAUUGUGAUAUGCAUACAUGUGUUCUUAAUAUAACUCUUCCUUAUGCUUGAUUAUUAGAUAUUAUAAUUGGAAUAAGUUAUUUGCAGGUGCUAUUUCCGUGGGAGUAAUUAUGUCCUAACUUGGUUAGGAUCUCAAUAUGUGAUAUGAUUGUGGAAUCAAAUAAAGAAAAGAAGAUCUAUUUUGAAUAGGUCUCCUUUGCUAGCCGUGUGAAGGAAAGAAAGAAAUCCUAUUUCAUAUAGGAUAUUCUUUUAUGGUUUAAAUAACUAAAUAUCUUGUUAUUAUUAUUACAAGGUCUUUAACUCUGAUGUAAAUUCUUUCUUGAGAUAGGGAUUAGGGUUGCUGGCGUUAGGUUCUUGCUGCUGUAUAAAAGAGACAUAUGACAGAUGAAAGGGGUGAGUCUUUGCAUGCUUGGCGUUUAAGAGAAAAUUGUUUUAUUCCGCUGCUCAUCUGAAUAUACAAGUUCAACUGUUUCUUGUUAAGUUGGACUUGUUGUAGUUGUGAUUGUGAUUCUCUUGUGUGUUGAGAAGUUCAUUGAAGAAAGAAGAAGAAGACGUUCUGCCUAGAGAUAUGGAUUUGUAAUAGUAUAGGGUUUACAAAGUGGUUGUAAGACUCUACACAAAUUCAUCUAACUGAGUUCGUUUUCUGAGUUUGUGCUCCGUUGUGAUUUUUCCUCUAUUUUAAGGUUUUUACACAGCGUCAAAAAUCUGGUGUUUUGUGUUAAUUUUUUGUCAGUUCGUCGAGGAUUGAAACAGCCCUGCCUCACGUUCCAGUACCUUCAAUAUCUUAGUGCAAGUAUGAUUUUCUUUAAUCUAUAACCAUGUAGUUUUACAUUCAGUAUGUAGGAAUUUGCAGAUGUUAGAUAUUGUCAGGUCAUGACUGCUUGAAUAAACUUGUACAACUCCACCUACAUUCUACAGAUUUUAGUCAUUUAGAAAGUAGCUAGCAAUGGCAAUUUCAGGAACCAUACACUGCAAAUCCAAAAUAUAUCAAUGUGAUUCUAAUGUUGGUACUUAGCAACAUUAAUCAUACAAAACCAACAUCAAUGGAAUCAUCUUGUCGUCAAAAUCGCUACUAAUACAAAUACCCAAAUGCUGAACAUUCCAGACAAUGCAUAAAGCCUUCCUCCAUCAGAUUCUGCAAAUGAUUAAAAUGUAGAGAAUCAAACAAACCAAAAUUCAGGAACUUGAUAAUUUGUCAAAAGAGCAACAAUGUUUUUACCUGAGAAGAGUAUUAAUUGUGUUAUAACAACAACUUUAACCCUUCGGAUACAGCACAAGAACUCGUCAAGUUUGCUGCGUAACUCACGAGUUCGCCUACUUCUUCCAGUACUGACCGAAAUCUCGACUUGUUCCAAGCAAUUAAACUUUCCAAGAGCAUUGAAGUUCAUUAUGAAACCAAACCAUGUCAGAUACUUAAGAUUUGGAGCAAACACAUUCAAACAAUUGGUGUUCGGUGAAAACUCCCAAUCUAUAUAUAUAGUUAUAUACUUUCAAGUUUUUCACCAGAGAUGUUAAGCUGGAAGAGGCCAAGCAGUUGUUGAAUCACCAAAGAUUCCAAAGACGAGCUCUGGAUGGUGACAUUCUUAAGGCCUUCCAGUCCCCAAAGCGACAAUUCCUUGAGGGAUUUGCAUGAAAUCUACUUAUUUGCAAAAUCCAUCACCAUUUUCGAUGGUAACAUUUCCCUGUUUCAAGCUUACUAGAUUAGAGCUAGAAGAAGAAGGGGAAAAACAAGGGGAUUUCAAAAUCACAUGAGGUACAUUCAAAGUUAAAGACUUCAAAGUCCCACAAACAAAAACACAUGAAGGAAAUUCGACCUGAACCCUCGUAAGACUAACCGUGUUCUCACCAAACAGUGUUUGUAGUAUCACUUUGACGCUAAUAAAAAACGUUGAGCGCCUCAACGUUGCAUCUCAGCACUGCAGUUUGAACCCAACCGAGGAUUUGAGAAAUUUCAAAACUAGAGACGCUUUCCAUUUCACUAGCUUCAGUUUCCCUUGUUUCGAAUCGAGAAACCCAUUUGACACGGAAGCUCUGUAUUUUGUUGAGGGUGUUGCUAGAUGUACCCAGCAAACUUCUUAAUAGACCCAGCAAUUAAAAAUUAUCCUGUAUUUUCCAGUUUUGCUCUUGUUAUAAUAAACCCAGCAAACAUCAUCUCUAACACCACGUUGAGACCAGAAAGAGAACUAAUAUGGGGGAGGAAAUCAGGAGGAGCUUUCCCAUGAUCUAAGUAUAGAAUCUUGAGAAGAUUUGAUGUACGGGAUAUCGGAACCGAUUGCCUUCAAAAAAAAAAAAUUACCAAUUCAAUGAUCAUCCCAUUACAUAUAUCUCACCCAUAUCAAUACAUGUAUGGAACUUCGAUCAUCUUAAAACAUAUAAUUGUAGAAUAUAUUUCAGGUAAUGGAGAAGAAGAACAAAAUCGGCUAAAAGUCUCUUAAUCAAAGAUUGACACUGCAAAUGAGUAGAUGACUACGCAAUUAAUCACAAAAUUUCAAUUCAACUCAAAGGCUCAAAGCAAAGCAACGAUAAGAUGGUAUAACGUCCCAGAUCCCACUUUAGCCUCCUAAAUAAGAUGUUGUGUUUGCGCAGUCGUUGCCACAUCUCUUCUUCUGAAUUUAAUGCCUCUGAUCCGACUCUAAGAGAAGAAUUUGUGUUUGCUGGGUUUAUUAUAACAAGGGCAAAACUGGAAAAUAAAGGAUAAUUUUUAAUUGCUGGGUCGACUAACUAAUUUACUGGGAACAUCUAACAACACCCUUUGUUGAAGGCACGAUGAGUGUGGAAGAACCCAUCUAAGGAGUUCAAAAUUUGAGAGCGGCCAUUGAAUGUGCGAAUAAGCUCGGAAGGAAACUCAGUGAAAUUCAAAGUGGGAUUUGAUAAGUGAAACUCUCUGCAUGUUUUGGAUAAAAUGCUCACUCGAGUAGAAUCGGUUAGGGGGAGGAAGGAGAGAAUAUUUUUUUUUUUUUUUUUUUUUGGUAAUGAAAAAUUCAUUGAAAGAAAAACAAAGAACAGCAGCUGAAACAAAGGAGACAAACUGCCCCAUUAAGGAGGGGGAGGAAGGAGAGAAAAUGAUGAGCGACUUCGUGCGGAAGAGCACUGAACCGGUCCAUGGAAAGUGAAAGAAAACUGGCACUACAAGUCGUCUUAACUAGUCUUUGCUCGAUAUUUAUAGUGUAUUGUAAUUUGUAAAUGAAUUCUAGAGUCGCACUUGGAAUACAACAAGUAAGCUAGGAUUGAAAUGGUUGACCAAAAAAAAAAGCUAGGAUUGAAAUGAGAGCCUUCCUGCCAUUAUUAUACCGACUUAUACGUAAAGGUAAGUCACGAGAAAUUUUUCAGUGCUACGGGAGGACCACGUGGCAGUCUGACGUGGUUCUACAUUCUAAUCAAAUUUAGACAUGUAGAUUUUUUCAUGAAAAAUUAUUUCAGUUAUUUUGUUAAAGACCAUUUUGGGUUUUUGUUUUUUUAAAUACUAAACCCUAAGCCCUAAACCCCAAACCCUAAACCCUAAACCCUAAACCCUAACCCUAACCUUAAACUCUAAACCCUAUAUCCUAAACCCUAUACCCUAAACCCUAACCCUAACCCUAAACUCUAAACCCUAAACCCGAGACCCUAGUUUGAACUUGCUAAUACCCAUGAUUGUCAUUUCACAAAAAAUAGAAAACUGUUCGAGGAGAAAAGAAUAUAAGAAUAAAGGUCUACUCAUUCAUUGAUAUCAUGGCCUUUAUAUAGGCAUUACAUAGAGAAUCCCUGUAAAUCAGGGAUAGAUAUCUAACAGAUAUUCUAGUCUAAUCAGAACAAGAUUCGGUCAAGACACAUCAUCAAAGAUAGGAAUGUAAAUUCCUUCAACACUCCCUCUUGUGUCGCGCACCGAAAUCACAUGGCGCAUAAACGUUGUCUCGGUAAAAAACUUUGCCAAGUAAAACAAAAACCUAUUGGGUAAAAACAAAUACUUGGUCGAAGGGAAAAGAGCACAACGUGCCAAUACAUCAUGGUACUUAUAGUGUUGCCUCAUUAAAAACCUUGCCAAGCAAAACAAAAACCUCGUGGGUAAAAAUCAAAGACUUGGGUGAAGGGAAAAAGAGCGCAACGCACCGUCUACAAUUGAAGGUACACAUGUGGUGUAGACUCCCCCUGAUGUCUACGCAAUGACUCCCCCUGAUUGGUAACGCAAUCUUGGAGUAUAGAUAAAACGGCACAAGCCAAUACACUUCACAUGCUUCUCAAAAGUAGAGUUGGGCAAUGAUUUAGAAAUUAGCCUCUAAAUCUAGCCACAUUAUCCUUAGAUCAGACUUGCUACACUUAGCAUUACUUUGAUCAAUAAGGAGAAGGUUGCAUAACGACUCAAAACGUGAGUCUGUGUUGAAAAUCAGAUUCACGUGUAGCACGACCUUCGUAUACUUAAACAGUCAUAACUUCUUCGUUACAAAAGGUAUGGACAAACCAUAAACGGUUCUGGAAACUAGACACCAAUAGCUUUCCAAUGAUAUAAAGUCCAUAACGUAGUUCAUUCGGAGCUGAACACAAAGUUCAGUUGAAGUUGACUGUCCUGCAAAGGCAGAGGUUUGGACAGACUGUCCUACUUUACGAGAAUAGCCAUAACUCACUCAAUAUAAAACCUGUGAUCGAAUGGUUAGUGUCACUGGAAGGUAGACACAUAGACCUUUCCAAUGGUAUCAAAUUCACCAUUUUCUAACGAGUGGGUUAUCCGGUAGGCCAUGGGGAAGUUGACCUACGAAAUUGGGCAGAAUCAAACUUUGCCAUGUAUGUGUCUUUUUCAUGUUGGGAUCGAAUAAGCCUUAACAAUUCAUAUCAUCUUGAAAGAAUGGGUUACCGCCAUCACCUUGGUGUUGCGUGGGCGCACUGACCUCAAUGUUGAUAAUCCUUCAGACUAAGCCUUAUCAAGAAAGAACUUGGUCUUACAUGUUUAUAGCGAAUGAGAUGUCGAGUCGAGUAUAUUAUACACCAUACUUAGGUGGAGAGUAUCUCUCAACACUUCUUCAUCAUUCAGACAGAAUGAGUCUUCUCAAAACUUCAACCAAUCAAGGGAUACACAUAGGCAUAACUUUGUCGUUCUUUAUAUUGUCAUAUGCCGAGUGAUGAACAACUAUCAUCUCUAAUGGUUCUCACUUCCGAGACCAAGUAUUCCCAAGAUUCAAUCAUUCUUAUCAAUGGGUCAGUGGAAUCUCUUAGAAUUCAUCACAGUUCAUCAGGAUAUUACACGCGAAGAGGCAUUAUUCUUUACAUCACAUCCCUUAUCAAGUGAAUACUUAGUGUUUCGUUCAAUAACCUUCGAUAACAAGCUCCGUGGUCAGGAGCUACUUGAUAGGGUGAAAACCGAUCAAUCUAAGAUCGUCAUGUACUUCUCUUAGUUCCCAAAUCAGAGAUAAAUAAUGACCACAAGCUACAUGUUUAGUUCUUGGGAAACUACCAAAUUGAAAAGGUAGCGGAGUGCAAUAACAUCCAUUACGAGAAUAUAUAUUUCAUCGUAGUCGAUUCCAGGGCGUUUGUGAGAAACUUUGCGCCACAGGGUGAGUCUAAGCUCUUUUUCUUACUACGCGUUCCAACAAAGACAUAGCAGAUAGUUUUACCCUUACGGUGUCGGCAUCACCUGUCAAGGCCCUAUUUCUUUGUUCAAACUGGAUCGCAUCUUUCUGUCUAGGCCAGUCUACAACGUUGAUAUGCACAACGAAGUGCGUUUCAAUAUGAAACUCAUUAAACAUUGUCAUCACGUGCACUAGUGCUACCAUUAGUAGAGAUCUCUUAUAUGGAUUGGUAUUGACAUCGAGGCGUCCCCCAAUGUUGACCCUAAUUCAGAAGAAUAGACGAAUAAGUAUCAUUGAUCAAUGGAUCAAGUUGUGCCAAACUCGCAUACCUUCUUGGCGAGUAUGUAUCGAACCAAGUGGCCUCCCCCUAAGCCUUAGGAGCCACGGCCUAGUGACACCAUCCACCACAUCGGUGGCGUCACCAUGUCACCAUCUGGUUGACAACAUGUCCUUUUACUCAAACAAUAAUCCUUGCAGGCAUGUUUGCAGCAUGUAUAGAUCUCGUCACUUAUGGGAAUUCAAAGACUUGAUGAGGCACAAUGGGGAGCAUCAAUGACAAUUUCAAGUUGUUCCACUUGAACAUAUUCGUUCUUAUCUCCCCCUAACGAUGGGAAGACUGGCUCAUCAUCAAAGUGACAUAAAAGAGAUCGCCUGACAAGGUUUUCAGACUAUAGGAAGCUCAUGUCUUACACAAAGACAAUGUUCAUCAUAGAGGACCCAUCAUUGUGCGCUUGUGGAGGCGCAAUAUGGCACAUUCAACAUGUGGACGAUUCAUGUUAUGAAACGUUAACAUCACUAGUUAACAAUCAUGCAUACCGUUAAAACAAUAUUUGAAUGUGGGUCUGUUUGACGCUUCCUUUAACGGUUCACUGACUUCCAGAGCUCCAAAAGCUACCAAAUUUCGUGAGAAGGUAGAAACAUGAGCUUGAAAUCUAAAACCGCCGGCCUCAACCACAAAACCGGCUUGAAAAGCAUCGAACCAGUCGCCAGAAUGGUCGGAGGUCAAUGAGCGUUUGCAAUGAGCGGUUCACCUUCCAAGUGUCCAAAUGCCAACAAAUUUUUACAGUAGGUAGGCAAGGAUGUUAGGAAUCCGUGGCCGCAAGAAUCACCUCGAGAACCGGUCUACAACUUAGUGAACCGUCCCUCACAAUGACUAGUCCGCGAGCAGAAAAACCGAAAAAUCAAGGUUUUUGCAUCUUUUCAAUAAUUCUUGAGGUUCUCCAUAGCAUCCAAGUGUUAUGGUUUGAGUUAAACCAUAUUUGAACAUCACCAUAGCAUUAUUAUGUCACAAUAUGGACAAUGAGAAGGCAUAUGUGCCAACAUCUUAUGUAUCAUGCGUGUAUAAUCACUUGUUGAAAGAGUAGAUAUGUAGUCACUUUUGGGUUAUGCCAUAGACAUACUCAUGUCUUACUUUGUGGACUACGACUUAGCAUCUCACGUGUGCAAGUCUCUACAUAAUAUUGUCUUUAGUGUAAGAGGGUGUCGGUCCUAAUCUUUGCUAAAGAAUAGGCUUUGUUAUGAGCAUAGUCAAUAAGAGAGUACAAGAGGGGUUCUCUUGUGUGGCGUCAUACUUGCUUGUGAAAGCAUGAGUAACAUUUCCAUUACAUAGGGGGAUGACGCAUAGGGCAUCUAUUGCCGUCAAUGCUCUUGGCAUCACCAAGUUGCAUUAUGGUGAGCUUCGAUCUCAUUGACUUCUUUGCUCAAAAGGAAUGAUGUCCGUGUAAAUUCUCAACAUUCAGAUCAUCAAAGCACGUCCUUAUUGCAUUGGACAAUUUUGGUAAAAGCCUUUGUGAGUCAACAUUCCAAUUCUCAUCCUUGGCGACAAUAACCGAUUCAUAAACCAAAUCAAAAUGACUCAUGAAUGUCGCACAUUCAUAACAAGUGAUACAUACGAAUUUUUCAUUCUCAAAAUGAGUUGCAAGGUGAUAAACGUUGGCAUAAGUAUCAUAUCAUAGCAUGGGUCGUGUACUUCUUAAUGCAUAGAAGCAUAUGUGACUUGAAUCAUAACGCCAUGAGGCAUUGAAACUUGAGCAUCAAACCGCUCUUGGAUUGUGGUGAUGAUCUAGUCACUGUAGUCACAACGGAUUUUACAUAAGUAAAUCCAUGAAUAGCUAUCCAUUCGAUGAGCUAAGCACUCAAUCUUUCUCAACACAUUCAUAUACAAGAUGUGGAGACAACCUUCAUAUUCAAAGGCAUAGAAACCGAAAGACGUACUCAAUUUCGGUGAGAGUGCAUUACAUGACAUGCAACAUUACAAAUGCCAUAAAGAAACAAGGCAUGGUCGGUCACGGCCUCAAAGGCGGUGAAAAACGGCGGCGGCAAGGCAAAGGGCGCUCCGAGCGCAUAAAAACACAUAAAGACACACAAGGGUGCUGCAGGGGCGCACAGGGGCACAGGGCGUGGCAGGGGCGCAGGGCGCCAGCAUGCGUCAGGGAUGCGCAAAGGGUGUUGAAAGCCCAUCAGUGGCGCGCAUAAGCGUUGUGUUGUUGCCUAAACUCGGCAUUGCUACUGCCUUGUGCAAUUGCCAUUCUAUUUCGAUUGCUUUCGAAAUUUCUUGCUUUUCUGCCAUAUAAUAUGCCAUUACCAAGUAUAAUACCACCAAAAACAAGUGGAUUUUCAUAUGUUGCUAUGAUAUUAAGCUUAUAGCUUUGUGCAAUUUGAACCAUGCGUAAGGGUAAUAAAAUUCUCAAUCGAUCUGAACACAGAGAUUGUUAAAAAGAUGAAUUUUAUUAAUGCCAACGUGAGUACAUCAAUGGAUGUCUAAUUCCAAUAAAGCUGACUGAAAGUCAAAAAUAACUGUGGCUAAACAUGUGCCAAACAGAAAAAUAUAGCAAUUAAACUCGUCUAUCACAUAGACUUAAUCAAUAGUCCGAAGUCUCUAAGUCCUUGGGAAUGGCUUUCUUCUUAGCCUCAAAGUCUGCUAUAGUGAGAUGGGUGGAAAGUUCAUCACCAUACUCAUCUCCCCAAUGUGUAGUUAGCCUCUUGAGCCAAUAACUACAUGUGUCGUUUGUAGGUAUCACUGUCAUCCUUGCUGGCACAACAAUCUUUGUGCAAGUGAGCGGUAGAACCGCAAUGGUAGCAAGAAGAGCGAUUGUUUGAGUUUGAUAGAGUUGGAUGGGCAUGGCGCCUCAGUAACAUGAGGGCUUGAAAUUUGAUCAACUCACUGGUAACUGCAUAUGGGCCGUCAGGAGGAAUAAUAGUGGAUGUAAAUCCUUUGCCGAUGAACUUGCAUGUCUCAUCGGAUGUCCAUCGAAGAUAAUUCUUGCCUCGUUCAUCGAGGGUCUCAAACUCAUUUCUACAAAACGACAAGGGGAAUAGUUAAUAUCGAAAAAUCGGAUACUAAAUAGAAUUACAAACGUGUACCAAUGAUGUAUGGUCACUUAUAAUCGAUGCUGAAAAAGUAGGUGACGCUGAGUCGCUAAAAGCAGUCACGGUGACGUGUAAUCGCAGUCAUAAUCGAUUUCUUCCCUUGUAUGUAACGCUAAAAAGCUGUCACAUUGACGCGUAAUCGCAGUCGCGGAUAUAUGGUGACGCGUAAUCACAGUCACAUCGACGCGUGAUCACAAUCGCGGAUAUAUGGUGACGCGUAAUCGCAGUCACAUCGACGCGUACUCACAGUCGCGGAUAUAGGCGGGAUGAGGGGUCCCAAUCCCUCAAAACCCUGUUCCACAAUAUAAGAAAUAUGGGAGGUAGCAAGGCGAAUAUUGCCCAAUAUAUAUACUUCUAUAUUCAAAAGCGGCAACUUUAAUAAAAAACUUACUUGCUAGUUAAACAACCGUAGGAUAGAGAAUUCGCCCUUGUAAUUUUCAUGAGUGUGUCCACGUGUGUAUAAAGAAUAUGCUCUUGCAAUAUUCUUUAUUAUCCACGUGCGUGCGGUGAAUUUUCUCACAAUUCCAUAGCAAUCCGUCACACGGUUCAUGAAAAUUAAAAACAUAUGGUUAGUCAUAUUCACCAUAUAUAAACAGUAAAGGUAAUUAAAGAAUUACCACAGUAACUCGUAGAGUAAAUAAAUUUUUCACUGGUGAGUAAAACCUUUUAUUGUCGGGGUAAAAUACUUUUUUACUUGGAGAUCAAAAUUACUGAAUUGCCCUCGGCUAUUCAGUUUCAAAUCGGAAACCAAAGCAGGUCCGGGUCGGGUCGAAUCUGAAACCUUCGGACCCGUGCUUGGGUCUUGGCCGGAGAGACGAGCGCUGAGCUGCCGGAGCCGAGAUGGCAGCAGAGGCGCAAAGGCGACGUCGGGGGCAGAGCUGGGCUCGGCUGGGGCUGCUCUGAGCAGCGGGUCGGAGCUCCUCUCUUCGAGCUCGGAGCGUUGCAGCAGCGAAGCGGAGCUUGGCGGCGCUUCUGAAAUGCUGCUGAUGGCGGGGAGGAACCUCGGCUGGGGCUCGGCUUUGGUGGGGUUUGCACAACGUUGAAGCAGCAGAGCAGAUGUCGCUGCAGGUUGUGCGCGGCGAGGCUAGGACUACGCUGCGCAGUGUUGCCGAAGCUGCCCUCUUGGAGGCCGGAGCAAGGAGGCAGGACGUCGAAGAACGGCUUGCGGCACAAAACAUGCAUCGGAGAAGAUGAAGGGUGCCCAAAUCAGUUUUUGGGUGCCCUAAUUAGAAAUUAGAUUUUUUUUUUUUUGAGGAAAUUUUUCAAAUGAUGCCUCAAAUUAAGUCCAUUCAUCAUUUUGACAUCUCAAUUUUAAAAACUAUGAUAAUAAUACCUCAACAUUUAAACCCAAUCUAACAUUAGUUUUCUCCGUGAUUGCCACCGUUAAGUUGGACUUUAUCCAAGUUAAGUCCAUUCAUCAUUUUGACAUCUCAAUUUUGAAAACUAUGAUAAUAGUACUUCAACAUUUAAACCUAAUCUAACAUUAGUUUUCUCUGUGAUUGACACCGUUAAGUUGGACUUUAUCCAUGGGUAAAAUUGUCUUUUCAUGUUUUCCCUCCCCAAAUCUUUUCCCUCCAUAAACAUUUCCCUCUAGAAUAAUGUCCAUUUUUUUAUCAGUAUCAGAAUUUGGGGUGAGCCAUGUGUUGGCUGCAUACAAAAAUUAGAGAUAUCUAGAAAUUAUAAUACACCAUUGGUCAUUAAUAUCCAUCAUUAAAAGUAGGUUUUGCAACUCACCAGUGAGAGAAAGAAUCAACUAUGUUGCACGGACACGAACACUGACACGGUGACACGACACGGCGACACGGUAUAACUCAAAAACUGAGUUUCCAACACGUGUCGCAGUGUCCAUGUCAAUGUCCGUGCAACAUAAUUCAUGAAUUUCUGUACUUGAUACAAAAUGCAUUUUAAUCAAUAUUGAUUCUUUCUCUCACCGAUGGGUUGCAAAACCUACUUUUAAUGAUGGAUAUUAAUGGUCAAUGGUGUAUUAUAAUUUCUAGAUCUCUCUAAUUUUUGUAUGCAGCCAACACAUGACUCACCACAAAUUUUGAUACUAAUCGGAAAAUAGACAUUAUUCUAGAGGGAAAUGUUUGUGGAGGGCAAAGAUUUGGGGAGAGAAAACAUGAAAAAACAAUUUUACCCAUGGAUAAAUUAGUCCAACUUAACGGUGUCAAUCACGGAGGGAACUAAUGUUAGAUUGAGUUUAAAUGUUGAGGUACCAUUAUCAUAGUUUUCAAAAUUGAGAUGUCAAAAUGAUGAAUGGGCUUAACUUGGGGCACCAUUUGAAAAAUUUCCUCUUUUUUUUUUUUUGACAAAAAUCAAUGGAAAAGUCUGAUUUUCGGGUUGGGGUUUUCCUCUGUUAUCAGCUCAGGUAGAGCAAGUGCAUGAUAACAUGUUCGAGGAGAAAAGAAUACGAGAAUAAAGGUCUACUUAUUCAUUAAUAUCAAGGUCUUUAUAUAGACAUUACAUAGAGAAUCCCUGUAAAUCAGGGAUAGAUAUCUAACAGAUAUUCUAGUCUAAUCAAGACAAGAUUCGGUCCAGACACAUCAUCAAGGACAAUAAUGUAAAUUCCUUCAACAAAAAUAUUAAUUUAUAUUUUAGUUGUAAAAAAUUCACAUGUCUAAAUUUGAUUGAAAUAUAGGACCACGUCAGACAGCCACGUAGUUCUCCCGUAGCAUAUAAAAAUUUCUCGUAAGUCACAGACUUGGUUAUAAUAAAUUAUGAGGUUAGAGUCGGGAGUUACCUAUCCGAUUAACUAGGCAAUAAACGGAAGGAAACAUCAAAAAAAAAAAAAAACUAGGCAAUGAAUGGGAAGCCGACGGCCAACAAAGAAAGUCUGACAUGGAACGAAACAUCUUGUUACUGUAUAUAGAAGGACGACUUCCUCUCUACUCCCUAAACCUUUCCGCUGCGCUCUUCCUUUCUCCUUCCCGUUUCAUCUUCCUUCCUUCUCCUUCCUGUUUCAUCUCUGACUCUAAAAAACUCUCUGCAUGUUUAGAGUCAAACUCUCUCUUCUUAUCUUUGCCAUGGCCUCUCCUGAUGUUAAUUUCAUCCACUUUGCACUCUGCAAGCCCAAUUGGCAUCACAUUACUCAUCUUCUUCGUUCAAUAUGUUCGCGCUGGAGAUUCUUAUUCAGCUAUUGCUAGCCCUUAUAAUUAUAGCAUUACCGAUAGCUUCCUCAAAAUUUCUCUAAGAGAAAGCAAAAGUCAAAAUCUCAAAAAAAAAAAAAAAUUUGCUCUAAACUCCAGCAGCUUCCCCAUUUUGAAGAUUUUGACAUUUAUUAAUACAAUUAAAUAUUCUACAUUAUUAUUUUUUUGACAGGUAAAGCCAUACGGCAAUCACUAGUGGAAAAAAGAAUCUAGGCGACGGAAUUAUAUUAAUUUCGUAGCCUAAGUGGGACUUAGACGACGGAAAACAGUUUCGUAGCCUAAGAAGGACUUAGGCGACAGAAAUGUAUUCCGUCAUCUAAGAAUCUCUUAGACGACGGAAAUAUAUACUUAGGCGAUGGAAUUAUUUUUAAAAAUAAAAAAUUAAAAAAAUAAUUACUUAGGCGACGGAAAUAUAUUCCAUGGUCUAAGAAUAUCUUAAACGAUGGAAAAUAUAUACUUAGGCGACGGAAUUAGUUUUUAAAAAAUAAAAAAUAAAAAAUUAAUUACUUAAGCUGCGGAAAUGUAUUCCAUGGUCUAAGAAUCUCUUAGAUGACGGAAAAAUUUACUUAAGCGACAAAAUUAUUAUUUAAAAAAAUAAUAAUAAAAUAAUUAAUUACUUACGCGACGAAAGUAAAACUUUUCGUCGCCUAAGUACUGAAAUUUUUGGCGGCAACGUUUCAGCCAAAACAUUUCAAGAAAACUCAAACCAAAAAUUUUAAAUUUUUAUUUUUUUAACUUAAAAAAACUCCACUCUCACUCAAAAAAAUUAACUCUCUCACUCUCUCAUUAAAACUAACCCUAUCCAAUUAAACUCAACCUCACCCUCUUUCUCUCAUCUCAUCUCCGUCCCUUUUCAUUUUUUUUCUCAAUCCCUUCUCUUCCUCUCCCCUCCCCUCUCCAGCCUCCCACCACCUCCACCCAAAGCGCCUCAUCUCCCUCGUCACCCGCGAACCCAACCUCAACCUCGCCCUCCGAAUCUUCCACCACGCCUCCCAACACCACCCUGGUUUCCGCCAUAAUUACCACACCUACCACUCCCUCAUCCUCCGCCUCCUCCGCUCCCGCGCCCUCCACCUCAUAGACCCCCUCCUCUCCAAACUCCUCCGCUCCCGCCUCCGCUGCCACGAGGACCUCUUCGUCUCCCUCAUCCGCCACUACGGCGUCGUUUCCCGCCCCAACCUCGCCUUCAAGACCUUCCUCUCCAUCCCCGAAUUUCGCGCCGAACGAUCCGUCCAAUCCUUGAACGCCUUGCUCAACGCUCUGGUGCAGAAUCACAGCUGCGAUUUACUCCACUCGGUGUUUCGAAGCUCUAAGGAGAGAUUCGGUCAUUCGGAGUUUCGCCAAUAUGGGUUUUUGAUGGUUUUGGGGAAGAUGUGAUACAUCUUAGGGUUGGACUGGUUGAGGGUUUUGGGGGGGGGGGGGGGGGGCUUAUGGUUUCUGUUUCGGUGGUGGUGGUGGUAUUUGGGGCAGAGGCCUCUGUGCGGCGAUGUCCCUUUUUUUAAAAUUUUUUUUUUUCAGAUUUAGCGACGGAAUCCAAUAAUUCCGUCGCCUAAGAGAAAAAUAUAUUUUUUUUGUCAUUAAACAAUAUCCGUCGCCUAAGUACUUAGGAGACGGAAAAAAUUCCGUCGCCCAAGUAAUUUUCAGUCGACGGAACUCAAUUUUUCGUCGCCCUAACACCUACCUCACAUCACUUAGGCGAUGGAUCUUAAGCGACGGAUAUUCCGUCGCCUAAGUACUUAGGAGAUGAAUUUUGUUAAUUAGGAGACAAAACUAUUCCGUCUCCUAAGUGACUUUUUCCAGUAGUGAAUUUCAUUGAUACUCAAGAUAGAAUGACACGGAUACAUGUCUUCCCUUGCCAAACAUUUGGGCAAGUUAAGGACGUGGCAUGCUAACACCAUUCAUUACAAAGACUCCGUUCAUUUAUUUCUAGCAGAAAAAGCAAGAAAUACUAGACACACAAAUGCUUAGGUUCCUAACAAAAAAAUUACUGUAAAUAGACUAGCUAAAUACUUAGUUUUGGGCUAAAGAAAAAAACCCUAGCCCAAAUUAGGUGUACUGGGCCAGAAGAUGAGUCCAAACACUAGGCCCACUUGGCUGACCCGAUCAUGAUCCCCCUUGGAUCUUCGACGCGCCGCCACGCCAAUCUCACCCAGCUCCGAUUGCCCGACCUGUGCUCUUCUAUUCUUCAUUAUUUUAAAUUAUAACAAAAAGAAAAUAUUCUAUAUCUUAUUAUAACAAUAAAAUACUCAAUAAUAUAUUUUAUAUUUUUUUCUUCUCAUUGGAGCAUGUGAGGAAUUUAUGACAAUGUUAAUUUCGAUAAUUUGAGAAAUGAAGGUUUUGCUGCAAAUUUAGAGAAUAAUUGUUUCUCUUUCUUCUCCAUCCUCAUUUUGGGGAAUGGGAUGGGGAAACUAUUGGACCUAAAACAUCUAUAUAUUCCCCAAAAUUAAGAAGUUAAAAAAUGGGGAACCUGUUGAAGAUGCUCGUUCCCAGUUGAAGUAGUCGUGACAUAAAUGCUAUUGGUAUCCCUAUGCGGUGGUCGUCCUCUUUCUCUUCAGUUCCUCUCUUUAUAUUCUUAGGCCUAGUGGUUUGCGGAAAUAAAAGUAGUUCAUUAUUUUCUCUCAUGAGAAGAGAAAGUGAACGGGAAUGAAAUUUCGAAAGAAGUUUUCAUUUCGAUGUUUGGUAACGCAAAGAAAGUUGUUGGGAAAGAAUGAAGGAAAGUUGUUUCAUUAGAUUUUGGAAUGAACCAUUUUCCCCUAUAUUUUCCCUUUAAUUAGGAAACUCUUUCAUUUCAUGCUGCCUACUUUUCGCGAAACAAACGAGGCCUUAUUCCUCUGUCCAUUCUAUUCACUUAUCUUAACUCUUCCUGCUUUCUAUUUUGUUUACUUACGGUGUCCCAAAACUGUCAGGACCCACCCUGAAUUUCACCCUGAAACCCGAGGUAAGUCCUACGGGGUCCACCUUCAAGGAAAAUUGACCGAAAAUUCGGCAUAACCUUCUUUGAAAAUGGACAACCCUUACCUAAAAAAUCAAACUCAACACUUCUAUAACCAAACAUCGAUCCUCAACACCUGGAGCCUUCCUGCUCCCCAAGUUCAUCUCAUCUCCCAAUAUAACAAUUACUCAUCUAAAACAGUCCCACAACUGACAAUAACUAACAUUAAUUCACUAACUGGUUAUCAGAGCAUAUCUAAAGUUAAACGAAAAACAAUGACUAAAGAACAAGUGGAAGCAGCCUCUGACUAUGCCUCGACUCCAUGUACGCUCGACCUCAAAUAACUUAGCCUGCAAACUGGGCAUUUAAAACCAAAAGGCUCAGGGAAAAGUAAUUUAAAAACGUUAGAGUGAGUGGACAAAAUAAUUUAAAUAAUUUAACAAAAUACUCAAUUUAAAUAUUUUCCCACUUUUCAGCUUUAAAAACUUAACAGCAUGCAACUUGAACGUCCUUAAAACUUUAAAUCCAAAAUCACUUAAUAAAGGACAAACCAGCCCCGCUGGUUAAUUAAAAUAGAAAUCUCAUUAAAGGAGAUAAACUAGCCUCGUUGGUUAAUCAAAUAUAUUACUGAGAAUAAUAAAAUAAGGGAAAAAAUUAUCACCAUGUAAAACAGAAAUCUUAUAAAAAGAGAUAAACCAGCCCCGCUGGUUAAUCAAAUAUAUUACUGAGAAGAAGAAAAUAAGGGAAAGAAUUAUCACCAUGUAAAAGGAGCCUCCAAGGCUCGGGUCGAUGCCUCCCAGGUUAUAAUAGCGUCCCACGCUAAACGCUCAACUCACAUAUGAUGAGGACCGCUAGUAAGUCUAUAAUGCUAAGCGCUCAACUCACAUAUGAUGAGGACUGUUAAUAAGGCUAGCUAACUAAUAAAUAUAAAUACCGAUCGGUUGCCUCCCAGGCUAUAAUAGCGUCCCACGCUACGCGCUUUACUCACAUAUGAUAAGGACCGCUAAUAAAGUUAUAAUAGCGACUCACAUAUGAUGAGAACCGCUAAUAAGGUUAGCUAGCAAUAAUCUAAUAAGGCUAGCUAACUAAUAAAUAUAAAUACCGAUCGGUUGCCUCUCAGGCUAUAAUAACGUCCCACGCUACGCGCUUUACUCACAUAUGAUAAGGACCGCUAAUAAAGCUAUAAUAGCGACUCACAUAUGAUGAGAACCGCUAAUAAGGUUAGCUAGCAAUAAUCAAUAUAAAUCAACCAUAUAUUAUGGUGACUAAAAACAUACGAAAUAACUUAAAUCCAUUAAACUUCCCCAAUAUCAUACGAAUGGUACGGUUCCUAACAGUACUUGAAAAUCAUCCUAAGAUAUUAUAUUAAAACUUAAUGACGUGUCUCACACGUUAAAAUAUUCUCAAAUUUAUAAAUAUAAGCAAGAUUUCAAUAUCAAAUAUAAAUCAUAAAUAAUAAUAUCUUCACUCAAAAAUUCUCACUAAAAUAUUCUCCAAGUCAAAAUCAUUAUGCAAUAAUAAACAAUUAAAUUAUGAAGGAGAACUACCGAAAAUCCCAUUUUCGGUAAUCAUUUAUAAAUCUCAAAGUCAUCAAAAUAAAACCAAAAAUAUUUAAAUCGGAGUCAUAAAGAAUAUCAAAACUCCGGAGUCAUAAAGAAUAUCAAAACUCAAAUACCAACUUUAUAACCCGAGCUCAAAUCCAUAUAUCAUGACUAACACUUAAUCAAUGAUUCAAACUCAAAUAAUUUCCAAGAUCAUCUCAUAAGCCGAAAUUAUAAUAUAAGCUCGGAAAAUAAAAUAAUAAAGGACUAAUUUCAGUUUAUCCCCAUCAACUUUAAGUCGAUCAUCAUAUUAGUCAUUCUUCUUUCAAUUUCAUCAAAAACACCCCUCAACUCCCAAUUUCAUCAGCUGCGCAUGUCCAAACCUCUAAUCUCUAUCUAAUUCCUCUGCCAAGUGAUGAUUUGAUAUCAAGAAGAAAGUCAAAUUCUUAAAGUUACAUUUCGGACCAUUUUUCCCUCAUAUCGAUACACAUCUUCGUUCCAAUCACAACCCCCUAACUUUAGUGAUUUUAGUGGGAUUGAAUGCAAUUUCUUUAUUUUUCUUUUUUUCUUUCUUCUUGAUAUCAAGUCAUCACUUGACAGAGGAAUUUGAUGGAGAUUGGAGGUUUGGACAUGCACGGCUGAUGAAAAUUGGGAGUUGAGAGGUGUUUUUGAUGAAAUUGAAAGAAGAAGGAUUAACAUGAUGAUCGACCUAAAGUUGAUGGGGGUAAACUGAAAUUAAUCCAAUAAUAAAUUAUAAAAUCUUGUAUGCGCAUAUUUAUUUAAAAUCAAAAUGUCCACUCACAAAUUUAGGCAUAAGCCCGACGAUAACCGCAUCGCCACUCAAGCGAGGUUCCCUUCGCAUCCUGGCACAACAACCAUGGUUAGAACCAAACUUCAAUUCCAGAAAAUAAAUACGUGAAUAAAAACAUCUAACUCUCUUCCGUUGAACCCACUACUCUUAAUAGGGUUAAACUCACCGGAUUCACACCAAACUCCACCACAACAAGGAAAUCCAACGGCCGGAUUUUCAUUCUAAUAACCGGCAAAAUCCUUAAUCUUUUAAAAAUCUCAAACCUUAUCAAAACUCCUCCAAAAAUUCCAAACUAUACUUUAUUAGACUCCUCUCAUUAUAACAAACCCAAAAACCUGAAAAACAACUCCCAAGUGGCAGCGCCGCCGCCUGCUCCGCCGGCAGCCGUACUCCGGCGGCGUCCAUUGCCUCCCAAAAUUUAACAGAAUAAUCCUCUCAACAAGCACAACAACUUUCAUAACUAGCACUUGGUCCAAUUCUAAGCUUAACUAGGAUAAUCGAAUCAAAACAUCCAAAAAUCCCCCAAUUCAAACCCUAGCCCGAAAAUCCUCCUACACACUUCGAAUUGGAUCAUUACCUUCUAUGGAAAUGUUACACACGGAGAGCACUUCCAAAUGGGACUGAAAUCACCAGAGAUGGUGGCCGGAGGAGCGAGUUCCGGCGUUGGGACUCUACCACGCAGCCGGAGCUUCCGAGAGCUCUUCCUCCCUCACUGUGGUGCUAGGGUGGCUCCCACCGGUCCAAGAAGAGAGCAGGGUCGACGGCCUACAGUUUGGGACCGGUGCGGCGGUCUCUGGUGGCCGGACGACGGCGGACGACGUUGGGAAAGUUUUUGGCGGGAGAGAGAGAGAGAAAGAGAAUGUGGGUGUUGGGCUUCUCCACACCCGGUCCAAGACUUAAAACACCCACAAAAUAAAACCCAAUAAAAAUUUACCCCUUACCAACUAAUGUUUACCCUUUUAAAUGAUAACUUUGUCAUGCAAACUUCGAAUUUAACGCAUAGCAUGUCUACGAACUCGUAUUAACAUCCUCUAUGACUUUCAUGAAGGAAGUUUUCCCAAAUUUUUCAAACGAAAGAAAAGUCAACUUUUGAAGUCUUAAAAUAGUAAACGGUUACUUAAAACGGUAAAAGACCAAAAUAAUACCAAAGUAAAUAACCGUAAAAUAACUUAAGAAUCGGGGUGUGACAAAAACCCUAUUGACUAGGGCUAGGCGCGGUUUGAUUCAGAUCGGUUUAAGGCUCAAACCGCAACCGAACCGCUUUUUUCUGUUUUAGAAUAUUUCAAACCGCAACCAAACCGCUUUUUUUGGUCUUAGAAUAAUUCGGUUACACAGUUUUUCGGUGCGGUGUGGGUCGGUUUCGGUGUGGACCGAUUUAUUUAUUUCAACAAGUAAUGGAUGUUCAAAUGUUUGCCUAACAAUUCCUGUAAGACAUGAACAAAUGUUGAAUGCAUUUAGAGUCUAUACAAGUCUACAAAUGUCAUCCAAAUAUCAAUUAACUAACAAAACACCAUCUUUGAUCACUUAAUAAAUCAACAUAUAUCAACUAUCAUACAAACACAACAACUUGCAAACUUGCAAACUACAAACUUGAACAUACAUGACUUAUUUACAUAUUACAAACAAAUCCAUCAAUGGAUAUAAAAAAAUAAUAAUAAUUCGGUGCGGUUCGGUUUAAAUCGGUAAUUAUAACCCCAAACCGCUUUUACGCGGUUCGGUGUGGUGUGACCAUAAAACGAUGCCGUUUUAGUUUGGUGCAGUUGCCGAAUCGUUUUUUUGGUACGGUUCGGGUCAGUAACCAUAUAUUUGGUACAAAUCGCCCACCCCUACUAUUGACCCUCUAGAGCAUAAAAUGCUACGAUAUUAAUGUAUUUACUACUCUAUUUAGCUAUGUUAUUUCUUUAAUAAUACCGUUUAUGACAUGUUUUGUGUUUUUAAGGACUUAAAGAGAGUAAAUAAUAAAAAGGAAGCUAAAUGCUGAAAUUAAGAAGAAAAAUGCAAGAAUGGCAAAAAUUUCUUCUUGCAGUGCAAGAAAAAGGAGAUCACGUCAAUAACUUGGGAUUUUGGCGUCAAAGAGGAAGAGAUCAAGAGAAAAUUUGUCAUGAGGUGUCAUCCAAGAUUCGAGAAAUUGUGAUUCAAUCAAAUAAAUUGGGGGAGUAAUGGUUCAAAUCUUAUAUCCUCGAUUUAAUCCUACCAUCCCUGCUAAUUACCCUUUCUGUUUCCAUCAUCCUAAACCCAUAAAUUAUUUGUUUAUGCAUUGUGAUGUUGCCUCUAAUGCGUCGUUACUUUCAGGCGACUCUGCACCAAGACCUUCAUAUUAAUUCUUUCUUAAAUUGGAUAGAAACAUUUUUGGAUCAUCCACAUAAAAAGUAGUGGCUUUCCAAAUUUUUUAUGCUCUGCUACACUCUGGCGUACUCACACUGGUGUAAUUUUUCGUAAGCAAUCUUACAUCCCUACUAAAAUUGCUUUUGGGGCGGCAAAACAACUCUAACUAUACCAUGAAUCUAAUCAUAUAGUAUCACAAGCUAACAUCAAAUGGAAGCCUCCCCCACCCAGUAUGUUCAAAAUUAAUUUUGAUGGUUUUGUACUCCCUCCCUCUAAUGUUGCUGCUGGAUUUGUUGUCCGCAAAUCUGAUGGACGCCCGCUCCUCGCUACUCGUCAAAAUCUUGGACAUAUGGAUAUUCUCUUAGCCGAGGCAUUGGCACUCCGUGCUGGUGUUCAACUUCUUACCACUUACACUAGACAACCAUUACUUGUGGUAGGAGAUUUCAAACUCCUCAUGGAUGCUCUUAAUGGUCACUCCCAUAUUCACUAGCACAUCAAAUUGCUGGUUUAUGAUAUUUAGGCAUUCUCUGCUUAGUUUGAAUUUGUUUCCUUUAAGCAUGUAUGGCGUGAGGCAAAUUUUUUGGCAGAUAGUUUAGCUAAAUUAGGCCACAUUUGUACUAGUCCACAAUUAUGGUUAUCUUGUAUUCCUCUUUCCUUGAUCUUCGCCUUCCGCCUUGAUCUUUUCGGGGGCGGUUGUGCUCGAGGUUUUUUGUUGUAAUUUUGUUUAUCCAUAAAUAAAAAAAUACAUACAGUAUAGAAAAGCAGUUGUUGGAAUUUGUUAACGGGUUGAUGAAAAUGCUUUUCAUCAUGCAUGUGGCACAAGAAACCAAUAUCUUCCCAAUGUAGACACAAUUGGAGUCAAUGUAUGAGAGAAACACGGCACAAAAUAAAGCCUAAUUCAUUCGGUGGUUGGUGAACAUGAAGUACAAGAAGGGUUGAAGUGUUUCGAAACAACACUUACACUACUAGAAUAAAGGAUUUAGGUGACAAACAGGUUUCGUCGCCUAAGUUUUCACCCGACGAAAGGUUCGUCGCCUAACAGUCAUCGUAUGAGCAUGGACCCGUAAGAACUUAUGCGACGAAUAAAAAAUAAUGGUCGCCUAAAUGGAUACUUAGGCGACUAUUUAUUCAUCGUUGCAUAUAUCUAAAGUGAGGAAAAUAAACACAUUCAGGCAUCGAAAUUAUUGUCACCAACACUUGAUGACGAAGGAAAAUUAUAGUCGUUUUAAUUUCUUUUUACGCGACCAUUUAUUGAUCGUCACUAUCGUGUUUACAAUAUUUAAAAAAAAUGUUUUAAUUAAUUUAAUUUCAUUUACUGUUUAAAUAAAUAGUAAAUGAAAUUAAAUUAAUCAAAACAUUUUAGUUUCUUUUUUGAGUUUAUUUUUCUUUUAGUUUCUUCUUCCUUUUUCUGUUCUUUUAUUCCCACACCAAACACCACCACACGCCGCCACCACCAACCUCUACCCACAAAACCCACCGUUGAGCUCUCCCACCAAAAUAAGCACUGCCGGUGCCCUUCGUCACAAAAUAAACCCACAAUUACAUUCAUAUAUAAUUCCCUUCACAACUCCGUAAUUUCAUUCACAUCUCCUCACAAAUUCAUUUACCCCUCUCAUAGUUCUAAUCUGGAUUCCGUCCCGGCCUCCUCCCUCCUCCUACGCCGCCACAUACCACCACAUCGUGAAUCAACCGAGCUUGAACCACAGCAAACCCACAUACACCCAUAUAAAUUCACAAUAAAUACAUAGAUUCAAUGUGAGGAUAAACACGGAACCGUACAUUACCUCCCUCAUCGACGACGUUGAGGGAGUACAGCGGGUUCGACUCUAGGAGGCGGCAGCGGCGUCGAGUUGAAGGAGCUGGAUGGAGGGGUCGGGUUCGAGUACGGACAAUUCGGAGAAGGAGGAGGCCGAAUCUGGUGGAGAGGAAGAGAGAGGGCCGCAGCAGCGGAGGAAGACUCCGGCAAGAAGAAUCGAUUUCAAGACAAAGAGUCUGUGUUGGGAUUGAGUGAUCUGAGUGAGUGAGAAGAUGGGUUAGUUGUUGUUGGGCUUGUUGUGAAACAGGUCCUUACAUGCGGCGGAGGAGGAGGUGAAGAGAGAGAAAGUUAGGGUUGGGAGGAAGGAGAGGAGAGACGAGAGGAAGGAGAAAGGGAAGAGAGAGAAAGAACAGGAAGAGCGGAGGAAGAGGGAGGUGGCUGGUUGAAGAAGAAGUUAGGCAAAGAGAUAACGAGGAAAAGGAAGGAAGAGGGAGGAACAUGAAGUGGAAGAGAGAGAGGGUGAGGGUAUAAAAGAUAAAACGGAGGCUUUGAAAUUUUCAAAAAAAUUUGUUUGAAAAUUUUCCAAAUUUCCAAAAAUUUUCCAAAAUUGGUAGCUAAUUAGGAAAUCACAUAAUGUUUCAAUAAAUGCAGUCAUCAUAAAUUUAUAUCCCUUAAAUCUUUCAAUUUUUUUAAAAAAGUUUAAUUAGCCUUUUUUAACAAUUUUUUUUUUAAUUAGCAUUGAUUAUCAUAAAAUAUUUUUGGAAUAGAAUUUAAAUUGAGUGUUGACUUUCAAAAAUUUACUUAAUUAGUCUUAAAUAUUAACAUUAAUGGGAUGAAAUAAAUAUUUAUACUAUUAAAAUUUUAAUCCAAUGAAUACAAAUUGUGUUAAGAGUUUUUUUUACCUUAUUAACAUGUGCUUUAUUUCUUUGAACUUCUUUUUUUUAAAUAGCAAAAAAUAUUGUGGACUAAAGUGGUAUGUGAACUAAAAAUAUUGAAGCUUGAAGUUGAAAAAUAAAAGAAGUACAAAAUGAAAAUUUAAUCAUAUGAUAUGAUCGGUAUACUUAAAUACGGCUAUGGAAAAAAAUUCACCUGUUUUUGUUAAAGUUUGGGUCUCGAUCCACAUGGUCAAACCAAAACCAACACCACUUAUUACAUGAAAACGCUCUUACCUACCCUUAAAUGGCCUAGUUUGGUUGAUUAUUCCACACAUAAAACAUUCACCUCCGGAUGAUAAGGCUCCCCAUAGGGAAGCAUAAGCGGAAAGAGGGUUGACUGCUUCUAUCUAGGACCAAACAUUACCGGAAAUAUGUGAUUUUUCAACCAUACCCGUAUUUCACCGUACCGAUCACAUCAUAUUUCAUAAGAUUUUUGAAAAUAUUGCUUCCUAUAUAUAGUUGGUUCACAAAGAUGUAUAUUUGCAUUUAACCUACUAAAUAAGUUAUACCACAUUAGUAGGUAUGUUGUGGUUUCAAUAGCUAAAUUUCAAAAAAUCAAAAUUUAACCGUAUGAUAUGAUCAUUAUACUUAAAUACGGCUAUGGAAAAAAAUUCACCUGUUUUCGAUAAGGUUUGGGUCUCAAUCCACAUGGUCAAACCUAAACCAACGCCACUUAUUACACAAAAACGCUCUUACAUACCCCUAUAUGGCCUAGUUUGGUUGAUUCUUCCAAACACAAAACUCUCACAUUGAUGAGAUCUAACCACCUAUGUAAAAAUUUUGGGACGUUCACUUCCCGAUGAUAAGGCUCCCUAUAAGGAAGCAUAAGCGUAAAUGAGGUCUAUUGGGGACCAAACUUUACCGGAAAUAUGUGAUUUUUCAACCAAAUAUGUAUUUCAUCAUACUGAUCACAUCCUAUUUCACAAGAUUUUGUAAAAUAUUGCUUCCUAUAUAUAGUUGGUUCACAAAGAUGUACAUUUGUAUAUGUGAUUUUUCAACCAAACUCGUAUUUCAUCAUACCGAUCACAUCCUAUUUCACAAAAUUUUUGAAAAUAUUGCUUCCUAUAUAUAGUUGGUUCACAAAGAUCUACAUUUGUAUAUGUGAUUUUUCAACCAAACCUGUAUUUCAUCAUACCGAUCACAUCCUAUUUCACAAGAUUUUUAAAAAUAUUGCUUCCUAUAUAUAGUUGGUUCACAAAGAUGUACAUUUAUAUAUAACCUAUUAAACAAGUUAUACUAAAUAAAAACAUAAAUAUCAAAACAUUGGAAAAACAUAAAUAUAUAUGUUCCAAAUAAAAAUACAUAAUAAUAGUUAUAUUACAUCAAGAUAAAAAUUGGAAACUGAACUGGAACAACUUUUGCAGCUUUCCCAUUUUUUUCUCGUCUGUUUCAAAUUUGGAAACUGAAUGGAGAUUAUAAAGUGAGUUACUUAUGCGAUGAAACAUUUUCGUCGCAUAAGUAACCACUUUCGUCGCCUAAGAUAAACUUGUGCGACGAAUCAAUAUGUUCGUCGCCUCAGUGGUUGAUAAUUUAGGCGGCGAAACCAUCUUCAUAGCCUUAAUGUCUACUAAGGUGACGAAAAUAGUAUGAGUCAUUCUUUUGUCUCUUUGGUAAUCUAAGGCGACAAACCAUUAUUUGGUUCGUCACCUAAGUGUUUUUAGGUGACGAAUGAAGGUUUCGACGCCUAACUGCUUACCUAGGCGACGAAAAAGUUUUCGUCGCCUAAGUCCUUUAUUCUAGUAGUGUUAAUUAAUUGACUUCCAAGGCAUGGUGAAUCAGUUGACAAUUAUGAAGAUGGUAUUUGAUGAUGAGUUUAUAAGCUCGUUGUCAGACAACUAGGACACGUUGGUGGCGUCAUUAGGCAACUCAACUUCUUAAAGUCAUCACACAUUGAGCACCGUAAAAGAUAACAUGCAUGUUUAGAAGAAAAGAGUAAGGAAUAUCAACAGAUACCGAAGUCCUCAUCACCAACAAUAGUAGAAGCAGUCGAAAGUUCCACAAUCAAGGUAAAACAAAAGAUCAGUUAAGGGGCAAAUCCAGCCCAAAGAAGAACAUCAGAUGUUAUCACUACGAAACUUGACACUUCUUAUUGGGUUGGGGGGGAGGCAAAACUUAAUUUUACCCUAAAGAUAUCUUAAUUAUUACAAUGAACCAAUUAUUUUCCACCAUUAUUUCAAAAAUAUUGUGGGGGCCAGAGCCCUCUCUGGCCUUCAUGUAGUUCCACCAGUUGGCAUCAAAGGUUACAUGAGGAACGAGUGUAAAAGGCACAAGGGGCAUGCUGAGAAAAAUGGUGCCAAAGCUACAACCACUACUACCUUAUAAAGACAGGGUAGCUAGUCAUCAUUUGCGGAGAUGGUCAUGUUAAUUUGACAUCUCAUAAUACAUGUUUGGUCAUUGAUUCCGGCGCAUUCCUCUAACUAAGUUAGGAGGGGGAGAUUGAUAAGUCAGAGAAGAAAAUCCAUGUGGUGGCUUAUGAUAGACGCACAAAGUGUUAUCAUCUUAAUGUGUUUCCGACACUAUUUAGCUAUGUUAUUGUCUUAGUAAUGUCAUUUUUGACAUGCUUUGUGAUUAUAUAGACAUUGAAAGCGUAAAUAGAGAAAAAGAAGAUAAAACGGCAGAAAAGUUAAGAAUUCUAAUCAAAUUAGGAUUCUCAAUCCAACUAGGAAAGAUAGUCCUAAUCAAAGAAGAAAUCCUAGUUACAUCAGGAGUCUCAACGAGGCUCGGAAUCAUCAUUGAGGGAAGAGUCCUACUCGAACUAGGAUUCCUAACUCAACAACGAGUCUCAUUGGAGCGCAUAAAUGAGUAAAUCGAUCGAUAAGUCGUUUUAGAAACUUUCCUGUUUUGAUUUGGAAAGCAUAUGUAUUUCAUUCUAAGAAAGUUUCUUAUUUUGAUUUAGGAAACUUACUAUAUAUGAAACUUUCCUAUUCUGACUUUCUUUAAGUAUUUGAGAAACUUUCUAAUUGUAUGAGACGGGAAGUUGAGUGCAAGUAGGAAGACGAGUCCAAGAGGAAGAGAGACUCCUCUUUGUUGUGCAAACCUCUUUGUUGUGCAAAGGAGGAGAAAAUGACGCCAUCCAGGGGAUUAAGACGCCAACUAUAUGGAAGAGUUAGAGUUUGACUCUUUUUAUGCAACAAAUAUUCAGAAUAAAAAAUAGCAAAUCACAUAUACAUCCUCCAAAAGGAUUUAAAACACAAAUAAAUUCACUUGUGUUGUUAUUAAACAAAUAAGGACAGUUUUUAACAAUUAAGGACAAUUUUUUUUCUGCAUGUCAUGUGUCAUGGUUUAAUUUACCAAACUAACCCUACACUAAUUAAAUAUGCUUUUAGAAGAGAAAAGUCUCUCCUUUUAAGAUUUUUCAGUAAAUGGAAUACAGAGCAUGUUUUCAAUAACUUAGUAUAAUAGCAAUUAAUUCCAGUGUAGUAGCAGGGGUUAAUAUCCCAGUAGUAGUAGCAGUUAAUUCCAGUAGAAAUAGUAUCAUGGGUUAACAUUCAGUAAAAUAGAAAUAGUAUCAUGGGUUAACAUUCAGUAAAAAGUAGUAGCAGAGGUAAACAUCCCAGUAAAAGUAGUAGCAAGUUUUCAGUGGCAUAACUAAUGUAGUAGCAUGUUUUACUGGAAAGCUACACUUCCAACAGAUGUAGUAGCAGGGUUUUAAGAGUUCAGCUAGUGUAGUAGCAGCUUCAGUAAGUGCAGUAGCAGGUUUUUAGUGGCUCAGCUAAUGUAGUAGCAUGUUUUGUUAGAAAGCUACACUUCCAACAGAUGUAGUAGCAGGAUUUUAGUGGUUCAGCUAGUGUAGUAGUAGUUUUAGUAAGUGCAGUAGCAUGUUUUUAGUGGCUCAACAAAUGUAGUAGCAGCUAUUUUCAGUAUGUACAGUAAUAGCAGGUUUUAAGUGGUCAGCUAGUGUAGUAGCAGUUACUUCGAGUAAAUGCAGUAGCAACUAUUUCCAAUAAAUGUAGUAGCAUGUUUUUAGUGGCUCAGCCAAUAUAGUAGCAACUACUUCCAGAAAAUACAGUAGCAAAGCUAUUUCCAGUAAAUGUAGUAUGGCAGGCUUUUAGUGACUCAACUAAUGUAGUAGCAGUUAUUUUCAAAAAAGUGCAGUAGCAUGUUUUUAGUGGCUCAAUUAGUUGGUAGCAAGACUAGCAACUAUUUCCAAAAAUGCAGUAACAAGGUAUUACCAGUAGAGUAGUAGCAAAUUUUUAGUGACUCAGCUAGUGUUGUAGUAUCAACUUUCAGAAAAUACAGUAGCAGGUAUUUAGCGAAAUCGAUAAGCAAUAGCUUAAUUAUCACAUAUUAGUAUAAACUUCAUCAUAUUAUCUUGUCUAUAAAUUAAUUGUUAUUCUAAUGUGCAAAAAUGGAUUUAUUCCCACAUCAUGAUUACUGAAUCAGUAGCAAUCAGAUGAUCAACAUGUAGAAGGGUUUUGUAUAACAACAACCACAUUGAGGACUUUCAUCAAACACCUUGUGUGCAUAACUCCUAUUCUGCUUAAAAACCCAAAAAAAGAUAAUCAAAUCUUUUGAAACAAAUACACCAAUUUGCCUAAAAUUAAUACAAGUUCUCAAACAAAAUCAUGAUCAUUAUUGAAUCAAAUCAAACAGACCCAAUUCUAAUUUGGAAAUGGGACAUGGAGCAAAUCUGGAAAGAAAAAAAAAACAAACAGUAGCAGCCUCUCAAUCCUUAUUCCUUUUGGAUUGAAGACUUCGACGGUGAUCGGGUUCCACAACUUCAACAGAUCGUCGCCAAAUCGUUUUCUAAUAAUCCACCACCAAUCCAAUGAAGAUGAAUAAGAAGAGUACGUACGCCGUCGGUUUAAUGAUGGAAGAGUAUGCCGUUGAUGCAACCAGUUGGCCUUUGCGGUAGAUUUCUGAGAGAGAGAGAGAGAGAGAGAGAGAGAGAGAGAGAGAGAGAGAGAGAGAGAGAGAGAGAGAGAGAGAGUAGUAGUAGUAGUAGUAGUAGUAGUAGUAGUAGUAGNNNNNNNNNNNNNNNNNNNNGGGGUGGUACUAUGAACUUUGGUACUAUGACAGUUUUGUAGAUAUUUCAGAAAAAUUGGUUUUUAGGUAUUUUGCGUAAAAAUUGCUGACAUGGGGUGGUACGUACUAUGAACUUUGGGUCUAGGCUUAUGUCCUUAUUUGUUUAAAUUUGUUGAAAUGUGGUUUUUCUGUUUUAUGCAACUGUUUAGGGUAGUGGGAUGUCAUUUCCUAAAUAAAAAAAGGGAGUUAUUGUUUCAAAUCAAAUACCUAUUUAUCUAAAUUCCUAUUGGUUCAAUGACAUCAUCAAAAUUUGUUUUCUCUUGCUUGUAGGAGGCCGCAACAACUAAUGGAAAUAGAGAGUUAGAUUCUAACUCAAUUUGAGAGAGUUUGAUGCAACAAAAGAGGAGAAGAGGUAGCCUCGCCGUGCAACUUCUUGGGAGUUAAGGAAUGUAUCUGGACAUGAUUCAAGCCAUAUUACAAGCAUUGUUUGUUGCACAAGAAAUUCUAGAGAGUUCCAUGAAGAUAAAUAUCAAAUUUUUGUGCAAUUAAUGAAGACCGUUGGAUCAAUAUUAAAUCAAUCGCCAUGACCAAUACAUGGACUCGACACUUCUCUAUAUAAAGGUAGCAUUGCUCAACGUCAAAACGUUCUCUUCUCACACAAAAAUUCAGUAAAAUCGUUCUCUUUCUCUCUUCCUUUACCCUGUGUCGUCCAAGCUAGAAGUAAGAAGCCGGUGCUUUUUAGGACGUUAAGAGGCUAUAGAAGAUCUCCAAGCUUUGCUUUGCAUUCCACCAUCUCAAAAGUCCUUUGAAGAACCAAUAAAAGUGUAAAUCAUCCUUAAAACUUGUUGGUUUCUUUGUUUCGGUCGUGGUUUUUGGAUUGAAGUUAUGAAUUUCAUCUUUAAUAUUGGAUGGUUUUUAAGAAUUGAGUUUGAUAAUUUUCAGAUUGUUUCAAGCAUGAUUUCGACAUGUUUAUGACAACAUGUGAUCUGAUUUCGUUUCCUUGUUGAUUUCAUUAAAUGCAUAGUUUUAUAUUAACAAAGACUCCAAUUCUACACUUCUGCAGGUUAGUGUUGCUAGGUUUCUGAACUAAUUCACCUAAUAGUUUUAGUUAGAAAUCCAGGUAGUAAAGGCUAUGUAAUAAUGGCCGAGGCUAUGUGUUACAUGUUAUGAGUUAAGCAGCUUCUGUAAAUUUAAGCGUUCAAAUUCAGAAUUAUGUAGCACUUAAUGAUUUAUGUACAUUUAGUGUAGAUGGGUAUUCUCAAUAUCAAUGGCAGUAUAAGAGAUAAAGUAAGUAGAGUAAAAGGGAUGCAUGACUGCUUCGGCUUCCAUUUAGAAUUUGUUUAUGAUAUUACUUGCACUACCAGAAGAAAGGUUUUAGCCGACGAAAAUAAAAAAACAGGCCGACGAACUAUUUUUUCAUUGGCUAAAGUCCACUUUAGCCGACAGAAUUUUCCUUCGUCGGCUAAUUUAAAUUUUCAUCGGCUAAAGUGGACCAUAGCCGACGAAAUUAAAUUUUCGCCGGCUUAAAGAAUUUUUUUCGUCUGCUAUAGUCUGUGAACUUUAGCCGACAACUUUAAAAUUAUUUAGCCGACGAAAUUAAAAUGUCGUCGGCUAAAGUGGCUUAUUAGUUUGCAGAUAUGGACAGCAGCUCAUCUGGGAAAAAAAAACGAGAGAAGAAAAAACAGGAGAAAAAGUUUGGGUGUUGUCGAAAUUUGUCCAUAAUUAGUUUGUGGAGCUAUAUAUAGGUACGUACAUGUGUAUAUAUGUUGAUUUUGAGUUUUAUUUGAGUUGAUCGAUUUUGGGUGUGAUUGAGUUGAUCGAUUUUGAGUACGUUGGAUGUAUAUAUAUAUGUGUUGAUCGAUUUGGUUGAUGAUUUGAUAAUAUAUAUGAAGUUGUUGUUAAUAAGUAGUAGAUAUAUAUAUAUAUGUUAAUUAAUUUAUAAUAUUGUGUUGAUGGUAUGACGUUGUUGAUGAUAUGAGUUGAUGAUGAUUUUGUGAUGAUGUUGAUAUAUAAUAUUGUUAUGUAAUUAUUAAGUAUAUAUAUGUGUUAAUUAAUUUGUUAUUAAUUAGUUGUAGUACGUAGAAUACUAAAUGAAUUGAGAUUUUAUAUAUGGAAUUUAAUUAAUAAUUAGCUAGAGUUAUACAUAUAUAUUUUGUUAUAUUUUCAGGAUAUGGAUAAGAGUUGGAUUUCGCUUCCAAAAUGGGACAAAAAUAUGGUAAAGGAGUUAUGAGUUUUCUGGAAUAUGCGCUGACUAAUGCUAACGGGAAUACAAUUUUCUAUUGCCCGUGCACGAAAUGUCAGUGUCGCAGCGAUAUGCAUUGAUUUGCGAUUGACAAAGUAUGACAACACCUGAAGAGUAACGGGUUUUGGGAGAAGUACACAUGUUGGUUAUAUCACGGUGAAACAUCAUCAGGGGGUCCGCAUGAUCAUGGGCAAUUUUCUGAGACGGGCAGUAUAUCCAACAAUCCAACAACGGCCUUCAUCAACGACAUGUUUUCUUAUGAGAGCGGUGUAUGCGCUCAAGGACAGUAUAUGCCUGAGCCUGUGCAGCCCUUCCCUAGAGUUGUCAACACUGCUGGUAUUGACAAGUACAACAAACUGCUUGCUUUCUAACAGACCCCUGUGUACCCCGGUUGUCAGAAGACCGUUCUUGAAAGUGUGAUGGACGUAAUGAAGAUUAAAGUUGAGACAAAAUCGACCGUGAAGGCUGUUGAUGAUUAUCUACAGUACACUGCUUUGAUGCUGCCCCACGGUCAUCGUCUUCCUACCACUCAUCAUAAGGUCCGAUGUAUCCUAAAACAUCUUGGGCUUUCCUACAUCAAGAUCCAUGCAUGCAGAUAUGACUGCAUUCUCUUCUGGGGUAAAGAUCCAGAAAGGAAUGACCUUGGUGGCCUUAACGCAUGUCCGGUAUGUCACACUGACAGGUAUAACCUGACUCCUGCAGGCAAUAGGAAACCUGUUAAUGUACUUUGGUAUUUCCCGUUGAGGGAUAGGCUGGAGCGGUUGUACAUGUCUUCACAUACGGCCGAAGCUAUGAGAGGACACGCUGAUAGGAUAUUGCAUGACAAAGAUACCCUUAUACACCCUGCUGACGGGGAGGCUUGGAAGCAUAUAGACAGGGAGUUUUCUCAUUUUGCGUCAGAGGUCCGAAAUGUGAGGCUUGGGCUCUCAUCCGACGGGUUCAACCCUUUUGGCAACAUGAGUCUUCAAUACAGUGUAUGGCCGGUGAUUUUGGUACCGUACAACCUUCCUCCAUGGAUGUGCAUGAACCUUCCUCCAUGGAUGUGCAUGAAGAAGGAAUACAAUAUGUUGAGUUUGUUGAUUCCGGGGCCCGGUUAUCCAAGGAAGUGUCUCGAUGUGUAUUUGAGACCUUUGAUUGAAGAGCUUAAGUUUUUGUGGGACGUUGGUCAUCCCACUUAUGACAAGUAUAUGCACGAGAUAUUCCAGAUGCAUGUCAUGGUUGUUGGUACUAUCAGUGAUUUUCCUGCCCGUGGGAUGUUAUCGGGCAACAUUGUUAGGGGAUACAAGGCUUGUCCAGAGUGCCUUAGCGAUGAGGGGAGCAGCAGUCAUUGCAACAAGAUAUGGUUUGAGGUUAAAUGCAGGUGUGGUUUGAGGUUCCCGAGCACCUGAAGAACAGCUGGGCGGACAUUGUGCAUGGGGGAAGGUACGUUGGGAAGUUAAUGAAAAAACAAAAUUGUAUAUGAUAUUAAUAAUAUUUCUAAUAUUUUUGUUGUAUCUGUAGGUACAAGGAGUGGAAGAACGAGUUGUCACUGGACUACGCACGGGAACGCACGUUCUGGUACCCUUACUUAGUUCCAGUACAGGGAGUAUAAGUGGCGUUGGCUUCUGACAUCAGAAUUCAACAACCCUGUAAACAGGUAUUUAAAAAAAUUAAUUAGUUAAUUUGUCAUUAAGUACGUCCGUUUUUAAAUAUUUUACUAAUAGUUUAUUUUUUCUUUGAAGGCCGUUUCCCGGGCGAACGCUCAGAGCCGGUACGCAACGCAACACAAGGGACCAUCGUGCCGGUUCUAGACCGUUCGCUAUCUUCAUGGACGAGGCGGACAGGGAACAUCCAGAAGUCAACCGGUACGUCUAUACGUACGAGAAGGCAUAUCCUGACACCCAGGAGAAUAUUGUAAGUCAUCUUACGUUUUUAAAUUUUUAAUUUUACUUAUAUAUAUGUCAAAAUGUUAAUUAAUCAUUUUUUCCUAUCCAAUCAGGCGAAGGUGAGAGAGGCUAGUGACGAGGUGAUGAGUGCUAUAGUGAGGGAGACAUGGCCGGACACGCAAGAGGAAGAGAUGUCCGAAGCCAUGUCCCGGAUCGACACUUCGGAUCCGAGGUUGGGGCGAGGAUCAUGGGCACAACCUUCCCACCGCGGGAAAACAACUUCUACUGCCGGGGUCUAGGAAAGAAGGGCGAUGGGGUCCUGAAGACCACUCUAGGAUUUCAACGAAAUGCAGCCUCAACCAGCAGCAAGACGACUCAGCUAGAGUCAGAAGUUGAGAGACUACGGGAAUAGCAAGCUGCUCAGGCUGCCGCUCAUGCCGCCCAGAUCGCAGACCAGAGAGCCUAUACUUCUGCGGUAUAUGCCGCCCAGCAGGCCCAGCAGCAACAGAUGUUGCAGUACUUGCAGAAGUUUACAGCUGCACAGCUUCAGGGACUUCUAGCUCCGCCCAUGCCUACGCCUAUACCGCUACCUCAGCCGCCGCAAACUCCUCAGCAGCAGCCCCCAUAAUCGGAUAUUGAUUUAGACUAUCUAGAUUUUGUGUAGUUGAUUAAUUAUAUAGUUUUAUGUGCUUGUUGUUGGUUAUAUGUAUGGAAUUGUUUUGGUGUAUUUUGCAGCUUGCUUGGAAUGGUAAUUUAGAAAUUUCGGGUUUUUUUUUUUUUACUGGAAUGGACUUAUAGCCAACGAAACAUGUAAGAUACUCAUCGGCUAUAGUAUUUCUAAUUUUUUUAAUAAGGUUUAGCCGACGAAUUAUAGCAUGUUUCAUCGGCUAAACCAUUCUAACGCCGACGAAACAGACUAUAUUUCGUCGGCUAUAGUUAUUUUUUUAAUUUUUUAUUACACACUUUAGCCGACGAAUAUCUUAAAUGUUUUGUCGGCUAAAGUAUCAGACUAUGGUCGACGAAACAUUAAAGAUAUUCGUCGGCUAAAUUCUAGGACAAUAGCCGACAACGUCUUCUGUCGUCGGCUAAAUACUGAGACAAUAGCCGACGACGUUUUGUAGUUUCGUCGGCUAAAGUCAUCGCCGACGACCCUUUCCCGACUAAACUAUAGCUGACGAAGGCUCGUCGGGUAAGAUCUUAGCCGACGAAUUAAGCUAACAGAUUUCGUCGGCUAAAGUGCUUGUCCUGGUAGUGUUGACAAUGAAAUCAGUUAUGUCACUUGAAGAUAUGUUGUGUGUUUGAUUGAUUCUAAAAUUGUUGGUUGAUGUGUGUAGAAGAUAUCACUUGUACAUAUGUAUAUCAUGAUUAGGAAUUUAAAACAAACAUUUAAACCCCCCCCCCCCCCCCUCCUUAUCUCGUGUUUCAUGUGUAUUCAUGUGUAUAUUUGUAAAAAAUAUUUGUGAAUAUUUAUCUUGAUAAUUAAUAACUUGAUCAUCAUUCGCAGGAGUAUCCCUUCCCAGCUCAAAUGAUACCCUGUUACUCUAUAUGCAGUCUUUAAUUGAAUGCCCGGUAACAAGUGCGUUAGCUUACUACAUGAGGAUCGAAAAGCAUUUGUUGUAGCAAGGCUAUAGUUGCUAUAUGAAAAGCCAAAUGGAUGCAGUAAACUAUAAUCCUUGAGUAGUACUUUUUUUUUUUGGGCAUUGCCUUGAGUAGUACUUUGAAACAACAAGAAAGUUAUGUUAUUCUGUGCUUUAGAUCAUCAGCUGCUUUGUCACCCAAAGAGCUUCCUAGCAUGCUCUUCCCAUUCUCAAACUCAAUCUAGCUCCACAAAAACAAAAAUCAACUGGGGGCAGCAACCCCCACUUGCCCCUUCCUAUAGGUCCGGUUAUGAUCUUGAAGUUGAUAUUUCUGAGAAACUUUUGAUCAUUUGGGGUUUUUGGAAGGAUCGUAAUAUGCAACUUUGGGAGGCCAAGAUCCAAAAACCUAUUGACAUUAUGUUGGGGAGCCUUACAUGGCUAGCUGACUUCCAAGAAGCUAGAAGUAGCAAGGUAGCGCCAUGUCCAGAAGGCUGUCCAAUAAUGAAUACAACAAUCACACCAAAGCUCAGUGUUGAUCGAUGGAGCUUUUAGUCUUGCUGCAUGCAUUCACACAAGCAGUCUUCCAUAUAAACUCUGCUUUACAUCUUGAGGUAUUAGGAAGGCCUGAUAUGUUCAUUACCUCUUUGCAAAUGCAGCAGGUUGUGAUAGAGAAAGAUUGUCUUCUUGCAGUUUAGCACAUCAACAGUGAUCUUGAAGACCUUUCUAAGGUGUACGUAUAGUUUGGUUCUAGAUAUUCGAAGCAAGCUGCAGUUUGUGCAGGGUAUCAAAGUUCUAUUUGCCCUCAGAUCAUGUAAUAGUAAAACUCAUCGAAUAGCCAAGCAAGCAUAUGAAGCUGUGCAACACGAAUCCUCUAGUAUUCACGACCUAAUUGUUGCGUACCAUUCCAUGAUUGAUUAAAAUCGCAGUCUUUCUCUCUUUUUGGUCGAAUCAUUCUUUACCUCAAAAACGAUAAGAUGACAAUGGAAGCUUAAUGGCCUACAAAUUUAUGUAACUUUUGUCUCUAGGAAGCUCUUCUAGUGAAGACCCUUAAGUUCAGGACUUGGUGAGGACUUUUCGGCUUAUCCCACCUUUCGAGCUUAUAUCCAUAUCUUGACCGUUCAGUUUAUAGGUAUUUAUGAGUAGAUCAUUUAUUCAAAUUUUCAACUAUAUUGAAAAUUGUUAAGACAUUCAUAAGUGUGAUUUAUCAAUUAUGAACUCGAACGGUUCAUAUUUGACAGAUUUGGUUCGUCCAUUAAUUUGAUCUAGUUUGUUAUCUUAACGAACACCAAUUUGGAUGAAAAUUUGUAGAAAUGAUUUACUCAUAUAAACCUAAAAAAUGAACAGAUGAGAUGUCAAAAUGUGAUCGAAAAUUGAGUCUUUUAAACCAUAAACCGAAAAGUCCUCACCAAGUCCUCAACUUAAGGGUCCUCAUUAGAAGGACUCUCUUGGUCUCUAUAUGCGUGGUUAAGAUUAGAGAUGAAGAAACUACUCUAGAAAAAGUAGAUUGGGCUACAAAAGAAUAAACCAUUCUUACAAUCUAUUCUCUUAUUUAUUUUCCUUUCAAUAUUAAAAUGAGAAAUUUGUCUGAAUGAUAUAUAUUGAGAUAGAAGAUUAUCGAUAACAAACCAGAAUUCAUGGAUUUAAAUACAAAAUUAGGUAGAGAUAUGAUUGACAAAAUCUAUUAAUUAUUAGCUUGUUACCUGGUUGCAUGUUGCUGGUGCAGAUCAUCAUCAAUAAAAUACAUAUCCUUUUCAUCAGUUCGGAUCCCAUCCUUAUGUUGACUUGAUUUUCUAUUAGCUCAAAAUAAGCAUAUCAUAAUUUUUUUUUUCUUUCUCAUUUCCUAGUUUAAAUGGAAUGCGAUCGGUACAUGCAAACAUUUUAGCAUUAAAAAUCUGACUGAUUCUGAUAUUUUUCAUUUUCUAGAUCACCUACCUAAUUGUCUUGAAAGAAAAGAGUUAUCAAAUGGCAUAAACACCCACAGAUAUGCCAUCCACUACUUACCCUUGUAGUUUUCCCAUCAAUUUAAGUUUUUUUUUUUUUUUUUUUUUUUGCGACAAACCCCAGUAGCUUGAUGAUGAAUAUAAUGUUCACCUAUCUCUAAAUAUUUAUUUAGAUAUGUCAUGAAUUCUUAUCAACUUAUUUAGAGAUAUUUACCAAUCUCUAAUUACGUAGUAAUUUAGAUUAAGAUUUACAUACGAGAAAUUUUAUUCACACAUGCCUAUAUACUUAAUACACACCCCAUAAUUUUUUUUGUACAAAUAUUUCCUUAAUCUUUCUUUUAUACCCUCAUUAUACAUAUUAAGUCUCAGCAAAUCUGUACAAAAUGAAUUUUAACUAGAAUGCAAAUCUGCCUGUACAAAAUGAGCACAUUCUUCUUCUCCAACAUAUAUUAAGGGCUAGUUUGGUAUUGUUGUGACUUUAAAAAAAAAACUGUUGUUGUUGUACUGCGAAAAUAAUCAGCUGUGAAUUAAAACAGUUUUCUAUUUGGUAAAUAUUAGUUUCAAAAGUGCAGCAAAGAUAAAAUUUACUAAUUUCUAGUGUUUUUAGUGACAGCUGCUUUUAAAAGUAACAUUCAGGUUGCUUCUAAAAUCUGCUGCCAGUGAUCUGUAAUUUUCAAAAAAAGCUGAUUUUCUUUCAUUUACCAAACACUAUAAAAUUUAAAAGUUCUGAUAGAAUUGUUCUAGGAUAUUCUCUAUGUGUGCCUUGGCCUUAUGCCAAUAAGAUAUGUAGUUAGACUAGAUCUAUGUAUUCAUAUCCUUACCAUAUUGGUAUUGUGUAAUUCCCUAUAUAAAGGGCUCCUAUCAAUGAAUAAGAUGACUCUCUUGCUAUCUCUUUGUCUCUACACUUUAUUCUUCAUCAAGAAUAUAAUUUUUUUUUUUAAAAUGAAGCUGUAUCAAACGAGGCCUAAGUCCCAAUAAAACAUGAUGAAUGAACAAUAGAUAUUAAUGAACUAAUAUAUCAUGAAGACCUCUUUUAUACUUUGAUUCUUUGAUUUCUCUAUACUUCAUGUAACGCGAGAGAUAGAGAACAAAAUUUUCAUUGAUUUUGACUCUAGUGCUUUUUUCAUCUUUCACCAACUCUACCUCGCCCCUAUCCCAAAUUCAAAGCUAGAUCGGUCAUGACUCCAAACACAAAUUAUUAUUAUCAUAAUCUACUACAAAUUGAUGGAUGGGAUGGUUUCAUUUUAUGAAUUCAAUAUUGAUUCAUUUGAUUGAUAAAACGAAUUGGAAUUAACAAGUUGAUCAAAAAGAUUAUGAAAUAUUGUUAUGUUGUUUAGACUCCAACAGUAUAAUAUUUAUUUAGUUUAAUUUCAGCUUUCUCAAAUUAAAGGUAAAGUAGUAUUUAAAAAAGUUUUAAAAAUAACAUGUGUGUAUCUAUUAAUUAGACAUGUGUCAAUAAAAUUUCUCUUUACAUACACAUGAUAACAAAAUAGUUUACUACACCUCUUUUGGUUUGGUUUACGAAAAAGACGUGUAAUAAAUUUAUAGUAAGUCAACAAUUUACAUUAAAUUAUGGUCCCAAAAAUUAAACUCAGCUUUACAAUUGGAGUACCCUUUUCCCUCCUUUCACCUUCUUUCUAGAAUCCUUUCCAAUAAAAGACAUUUUUUAUCAGUAAAAAAAGGAUAAAGACAAAUGUAUGGAAUGACAGAAUCACCCACUUUGAACUCAAUAAAUUGGAAUUGUUAAAGAAAAUGAAAAGGGCAAUUACAGUCAAUUUAACAGAAUUUGUGCCAAAAAGCUGUUCUGUUGGUUUCAAACCCCCAUCAAAAACCUUGGCGGCUUUUGUAUUAGACAAUAGACAUUGACUCUCUUCCAAAUCCUGUGUUGUUUGUACAUCUAUAGCUUCCAAACUAGUCAAUGUGAUAUUUAUAUUCUGGGUUUAGCUGGAAACAUAGAAGAGCAACACCUGCUACUUCAAUUUGGGUAUUUGUCUCUUUCAAUAUCCCAGCUCUUUCCCAUUGAAAUAUUCUUCUUUGGGUUCUUUCUCUUGAUUCUGGUAUUCGUACUUUGUUUCUUUGUUUCAUGGUUCUGGUUCUUUGUAUGCAGAAUUUGACCUUUCAGAUCUGGUAAGAGGUCAGUCAAUGCUGUCUGGUUGCUGGAACUGAGGUAUGUCAUUUUGUGGGCAACAGAAAAUGUUUUUGAUCAGUGUAGAGAAGAUAGAGUUUCGGUGUUUACAUUCUUGGAAGUGUUGUUAAGAUUUAUCGCAGAACCCAUGUUUCAAAUCGUUUUCUGAAUUAUUUUGAUUGUAAACUCUAAAGGAAAAAAAGAUAUGGUGCUUGUAUAAUUCAUUUGUGCAUGUUGUCUUUGAUUUAUGUCAUAUGGCUUUCUCAUAGACUACAGUGUUAACUUUUUAGGCGCAUGUAGAGGGGCUCAGGGUCAAGAAGAUGGAGAUAUAAAUUGGGGGUGUCAGUGUGUCACUCUGGAGAGUCUUCUGUGAUAAUGUUUUCAAUUCUGAGAUGGAAAGGCUCAUGGUCUAUGAUAGCAACGAUUGCUUCUAUUGUGGGAUUGAUUUCACUUGCGUUGGCUUCAAUAGUUCAUCUGUUCUUCUUUCCCUUAGUUCCUUCUUUCAAUUACUUUAGUCAAGCUCAGAACUCUUGUGUCCCAAUCAAUGGUUCCGCUGAAGCAAUUACGGAUCAUAUUAAGGGCAUUGACUUAGAGUAUCAAUUUCCAUCUGACUUGCACAAGGCAGUUGUUUAUCGUGGAGCACCGUGGAAGGCAGAAAUUGGCCGCUGGCUUGCUGGUUGUCUCUCAAUUACAAAUGAAGUCAACAUUGUGGAGGUAAUAAGAACGAUCGUUUACAUGAUGUAACAAAGUUUUUGUCUUCUGAAUUAGUGAAGUAGAUUUGCUCUAAUGGGGUUAACUCAUGUACAGAAAGAAUAAAGAAAAUUACAAACAUAGAGAUGAGUACCGUACAAGUUUGAAUCAAGAGGUGGGAACAGAAGUGGGGGUGAAUGGGUGUAUAAUCGGUUAAUCAAGAGGUGGGAACAGAAGUGGGGGUGAAUGGGUGUAUAAUCGGUUAAUCUGUGAAUCGUCAUUAUUAUUUAAUAUCUGUAAGCCCUUGGAUGUGAGGUAAUGAAUAUUCAUGAUAACUAAUUGUUCUGUUGGCAGUUAAUAGGUGGGAGUGGCUGCAAAAAUGACUGCAGUGGUCAAGGUGUUUGUAAUCGUGAAUUGGGACAAUGUCGGUGCUUCCAUGGAUACAGUGGUCAGUAUAAUUUUAUCUUCUUUCUUACGGUGUAAAUAAGUUAAUACAAAACUUCAAAUGAUUAGGAGCAAUAAGAAGUUGGCUUUGAUGCUCAAUUAGUCUUCUCUUGAAAAAUAAUAAUUAUUCCAUGGAUAGUUGGGUUUACAAUCCUUAGUGUCGAACUAACUGAGUUUAUACCAAUGGUAUCAGUUUCUGCUAUGUACUUUUAUAAAUAGCCAACUAAUAGCAGCUACUCGCCAAUGUUCUGGCUUCUCCUGGGUUAUAUUUCAUAACCAUAGCAGGUAGCAAGCAUGUGAGAAACUUGGUUUGCAUAAUGAUAUGAUGACUACAGCAGUAGCAAGCAGUCUUAUGUUGAGCAAAUUGGUUUGCAUGGUUUAGUAUCUAUUAGGAAAGUUUGAUAUCUUUCUUAUGCUUUUCUGUCGUUAAAUGUUCUGAUACCUUUACUUAAGUUGUUUCUAAUUUUUAAAUUAUUACUUUGACCCCCUCUAUUGAGUGCUUAAAAGUAUAGAUUCUGUAUUCUGGACAGUCCUGUUGUUUGGCUGGAGUUAUUGGGUCUUAGCGUAUCACAAUGAAACCUUUUGUCAUUAUGAAAGGAUAUGGAUUUUUGUCUUGUUUUUAAACAUAUGUCUGUUCUUUUAUUCCAGAAAAUCAAAUAAAUUAGCCAUAUUUUGAUGAAACAUGUUCUCUGUAUGUAAUGUGUUAACUUUACAGGGGAAGGAUGCUCUGAGACACUGCAGCUAGAAUGCAACUACCCUGGAUCACCAGAUCAACCAUAUGGGAGAUGGGUUGUCUCAAUUUGCUCGGCUCAUUGUGACACAAAAAAGGCAAUGUGCUUCUGUGGGGAAGGCACAAAAUACCCAAAUCGACCUGUGGCAGAGGCAUGUGGCUUUCAAGUGAAGUAAGUUCAUCAAAUCCUAAUUAGGGUUUCAUCAGCAAUAAAUAAAUUAUAAAAGUGCUGCAUCUCUAAUACCUGUUUCAGGCCACCCUCCAAACCUGGCGCACCUAAGCUGACUGACUGGGAAAAAGCUGACCUGGAUAAUCUUCUUACAACAAAUAGUAGCAAACCUGGAUGGUGCAAUGUUGAUCCUGCAGAAGCAUAUGCUCUCAAGGUGCAAUUUAAACAGGAAUGUGAUUGCAAAUAUGAUUGUCUCUUGGGGCGGUUCUGUGAAGUGCCUGUGCUAUGUACUUGCAUUAAUCAGUGCUCCGGCCAUGGACAUUGCCGUGGUGGAUUUUGUCAGGUAAUAGAUGGUACCUUCAUAGUUCAUACAUGUUUCCUUGUUUUUUGUGUUCCUCACUAUCACUAAUUCAUAGUGAGGUUUUGCUAUUUCAUGAGAAAGAUGCCAUCAGAAUAUUAAACCAUAAAAAUUCUAAGUAUCCAAUGAAAUAUUUUUAUUUUGGUAUGGAGUAAUGGGUGAACCACCUGCAUCCCGCCUUAUGUGGCAGCUGAUGGAACACAAAGCCAACCUAUCAGAACAUUUCAUUAAAUGAUGUGACAUUGCCGCAGCUGCUACAUAAAUUGGGUUACAUGUGGUACCCAAAAAGGUGGUUCACCUUGCAUUAUUCUUUGGUAUAGGUAUCUCAGAAUUUUAUUGUAGAGUUAAGAAUUUUUUGGCUUUGGCUAAUUAUAUGACAUAAACCAUCUCUUUUCCAUAGGGGAAAUUUUUUGAAUAAAGUUAUAUCCUUUAAUGCAUCGAUUUGUUCCUUCAACAAGACCCUUUUAGAGAUAUGAAAAAUUUGAUCAACCAGGUACUGUCAUUACUUUUUUGUGUUAUGCUAGUUUCUAGUUUGAGAAGUAAGUUCCUGUUUAUAUAAUGGACAUACCUUUAUUGAAACCAUAUAUCAAUCUGUUUGUCUUUCUAUCAAAGAUUUAUUUGAUGGAAAAUUUGGCGCUUUGUCCAUACCAACUAUCUGAACUGACUUUUAUUUACAGUGUAACAAUGGCUGGUAUGGAAUCGAUUGCAGUAUUCCAUCUGUGGCAUCUUCUGUUCGAGAGUGGCCUCAAUGGCUCCGGCCAGCUCAGGUUAACAUUCCCGAUAAUUCACAUCUGACAGGAAAAGUUGUCAACCUCAAUGCUGUGGUGAAAAAAAAGAGGCCCCUUAUAUAUGUUUAUGAUUUACCCCCAGAUUUCAACAGCCUACUUCUUGAGGUCAGGAUUAGCUUCAGUUGGGAUUAUGUGACUAAUUCUAAAAGAAAAUGUCUUAUUUUCUCACUUUAUUGUUGUAGGGACGUCACUUUAAGUUCGAGUGUGUAAACAGAAUAUAUGAUGACCUAAAUUCCACAGUGUGGACAGAUAUGCUUUAUGGCUCCCAGGUAUUAUUUGAAUCAAAACUGGAAUAUGUGUGAUAAAAGAAAUAUCUGGUAGUGGUAGUCAUCUUGUUAAACUGGAAUAUGCGUAGGAUUAUUUAUCUGGCUUGUUGAUUCUGUGCAGAUGGCACUCUAUGAAAGUAUAUUAGCUAGUCCAUAUCGUACAUUAAAUGGUGAAGAAGCAGAUUUCUUCUUUGUUCCUGUUCUUGAUUCAUGCAUUAUAACUCGAGCUGAUGAUGCUCCUCACUUGAGUAUGCAGGUAUGCUUAGUGACUGUUAAUAUAUGUGAGAUAUUGCAGUUGUACCUUUUUUUUUUUUUUUUUUUCUUAAUUCACUGUCCUUUCCAAUAGGCUCUGUUGAAGAUGUAUUUGGUGUUUGAAACUCAUAGGAACAUAAGGGCUUGAGGAGCUCUCUCACUCUGGAAUAUUACAAGAAGGCUUAUGAUCACAUUGUUGAACAGUAUCCAUUCUGGAACCACUCGUCUGGAAGAGACCAUAUCUGGGUAUGUAAAUGAAAGAAUUACUUAAAGGCCGGAGUGCCAAAUAUUGAAUAAAAUGAGAGUUUCAUGUCUUUUCCUAGUUAGAUCUCAUUAUCAAAGUAUACCUGCUAAUGAUGUCCACCUCUUUAUCUGAGGCAGUUUUUUUCAUGGGAUGAAGGUGCUUGCUAUGCUCCAAAAGAAAUAUGGAAUAGCAUGAUGUUGAUUCACUGGGGUAAUACUAACUCGAAACAUAAGCACUCAACAACAGCCUAUUGGGGUGACAACUGGAAUGACAUUUCUUCAGAUAGGAGGGGCAACCAUCCCUGCUUUGACCCAGAGAAAGAUCUAGUGCUUCCUGCUUGGAAGAGUCCUGAUGUCAACUCUUUGAGUUCAAAACUUUGGGCCAGGUAGACAUUCGAUUGAGAGCAUUCAAUAAUAUCCUUUUUGUUCUGUUUUGUAGUAUUGUUACUUUAUUCAAUAUGCCCUAUCCAAAGAAGAAAAUGUAUUUGUUCAUUAUUUUCUUUUCAGGCCCCAUGAGAUGCGGAAAACCCUGUUCUACUUCAAUGGAAAUCUGGGACCAGCUUAUCCAAAUGGAAGACCUGAAAAUACGUAAGUUAACCAAAGAGUCUCUGAAUAAUAUUUUGUUGAUGAAGAAAACAAUACAAGCGAAAAACAAAAACCAAAUUACAACGAAAAACACCUAGUACAACCUAAAUUAUGAAAAUCAAAAUUGAAAGCAGUAACUGAGGAUAAAGGGAGUCUCUGAAUAAUUUUGUUGUGGAUUUCAUAUUGAUAUUAUUUAAAUUACAUUUUUGUGGCAAGAAUGUACUGUGUACCAUCCGUUCCUUCCUGUUUUCUGUAGUACGUUGGUAAUUAAGGGAUUUUAAUCUGUGUCAGUUUAAAAAAAAAAAUAUAUUCCAAACAGAUUUAUGAAUCGCACAAUAUACAUAUAACCUGACAAAUUGUUUAUUUAUUCAUGAAGCUAUAGUAUGGGUAUUAGACAAAAAUUAGCAGAAGAAUUUGGGUCAAGCCCUAACAAGGAAGGGAAACUUGGAAAACAACACGCAGAAGAUGUGAUUGUUACUCCACUACGGUCUGAAAAUUAUCAUGAGGAUAUAGCCAGUUCUAUUUUCUGCGGGGUAUUUCCUGGAGAUGGUUGGAGCGGUCGUAUGGAAGACAGUAUUUUGCAAGGGUGCAUUCCUGUUGUGAUUCAGGUAGUGUGAUUCUAUAUCUUCUUUCUUCACUAUCUUAUUACUGUCUUGAAACAUUUGUCAUUAAUUGCAAGAUUCUGCCGAUCAGUCACCAUUCAAAUCUUGUAAUGAGAUUGCGUAAGCAAUAUAUAUUUUUUUAAGUUCUCAAAGUUAUUAAGGUAGUUGAGCUUCCCUCAUUCCAUUUCAUUCAAAUGGGAUGCUUCCAAACCAUGACAAUUGAAUAACUGCAAACUCUAUUCAUGUUUUCUCUACUCUUUUUUUUUUUUUUUUUUUGAAACGCAUGUUUUCUCUACUUUGUUUCUCUAGGAUGGGAUUUUCUUGCCAUAUGAAAAUGUUCUCAACUAUGAGAGUUUUGCUGUUCGGAUACGUGAAGAUGAAAUUUCAAACCUUAUAAAUAUUCUUCGGGUAAGUUCUGUUUCAUUUUCUUUUAACUGGUACAUAAAAGCUUUCUGAUUGGAUUAACAGCGUUUAGUAGACUGAUUUUUGGAAUUGUAACUCCUGUAGGCAUUUAAUGAGACAGAAAUAAAGUUCAGGCUAGCAAAUGUGCAGCAAAUCUGGCAAAGGUUUUUGUAUCGUGAUUCUAUUUUGCUCGAAGCUGAGAGGCAAAAAACUAGUUUUGGCCGUAUGGGUGAUUGGGCAGUUCAGUUCUCACAAUUGAUUGAAGACGAUGUCUUUCAGACAUUCGUACAGGUAAGUAUCUUCCUGUUACACAGAUGUUUCAUCUUCAUUUAUUUCCAUUUCGUAAUUCAUCAUUUGUUAAGCACUGCUGGUUUGGAUAAAGAGUAAUGCACGUUUGCAUGCAUGUGUAUUUGUUGAUCAACAGAAUAUUUUUUUUCAUUACCAGAAAAAAAAAUAAUACAAUGCUAGUGAUAUUGCAAGGUUGAACUUGUAAAGAAGGUCCGGCAUGAAUCGGUUACCAUCUUUUGGUAAAAAAAAAAAAAAAUACACAAAUACAUGUGUUUUGCUUAUGAAAGAAACAUGUAAUUAUCAUAAGGCACAUAGGAGGCUGGAGGAGAUUAGGUUGUGUCAUUAUAUUCUGGGCUUUAAGGUAUCUGGAAAAAAAAAAAGAGAACAAAAAUAACAAAAUAUUUUGGCAAUAAGUUUUUCAAGUAAGCCUUGUUAAUAAAGUUUAAUUUAAAAGUAGGAUAUAAAUAUUGAAAUAUAAUGUCUUUACCUGCUGUAAUGUUAAAUGAUGCGACCAGAUCGACAUUGAGCGUAUGAAAGUUCAGUGCAAAUUCAAACUUUAAGAACAAGAUUAGCAUUAUGUUAUCAUAAUAAGAGUUAAACUAAGUGAGCAUGAGAUGUAAACCUGCUUAUCACUUACUCUUUUUUCAUCCACUUUAUCAGGUUUUGCAUUACAAGCUACAUAAUGACCCCUGGAGGCAACAUGUUCGUGUAAAAAAGGAGUUCGGGUUACCUCAAGAGUGUUUGAUCAAGAGGAAAUAAACAAAUGUGCUUUACUGCUAAACUAAGUUUGUAUAUAGCUGCAUCACAAAGGCCACUAGGUAACAGAAAGCAAAGCUAAUGAACAGUUGAUGUUGAAGAGAGAACCUCGUCAGUCAUCUCAUUUCAGCAUCCGGUCAGAUAGGAUUUUGAAAGCCAUAUAUAUGAAACUGAAAGUAUACUACACCUCUGCCAAAGCCAUAUAUAUGAAAGUAUACUACACCUCCCAUUUUGUAAACCAAAGCUAUGAACUUUAGGAAUGGAAUUUUUGUUCAAAUGAAAUGAUGACCUCAGUUUAUCAAUUAAUUUGAUUAUCUUGUUUUCCGGGUAGCAGUGAGUGUGACUUAGCUAGUUGACUCUUAACCUAAUUCCCCACUCUCACUUACCACUUGGGUUUGUCUAUUCCAUUAUUAUGUAUCAGACAGCUCUAGAGGCAAAGAUAAUCAUUUGUGUAGGUCAUAGGUCUUAUCCUGGGUAUUUGAUAGCACCAAAUAUUGGCCAUGAAAAUUGCAUGAAAGGUGUUCUAUUAAUUAAUAACAGGGUCUUUCCAGUUUAAUCGUUUAUUCCAAAAGGUUUCCUAGAGUACAGUUGGUUCUUCAUUAAUUUGCAAAGGUUUUGUGUUGAGUCUGAAAAAUAUGGAAGGCAUAAUGGAUCAUUUGGUGCAUGAGAGGAGCAAGGCACAGUCCAAUGUUGAGGAGAUGAAGGUCAUCUGGGCAGGUUCUCACCACGCCUUCCAAGUCUCUGAUCAGAUCGCUUGACUCGUUGCUAGCGAUCCAGGCUUUAGAAAGUACAACAGAGCUGUGCUAAGCAGGAAGGAGUUGUUUAAAAGUACGAGCUCUGAGAAAAGCAGCUUAUGUGUGGAAAAGGAUCCAUGAGCUUGGACUUUAUGAAGAAGAGGCAUCAUGGUUGAGGUUCUAUGUUGAUGAAUUUACUUAUGCUUAUGUUCAUUGGGGAAUGUUUGCGCCUGCUAUUAAAGGGUCUGCUACUGAGGAUCAGCAACAACAGUGGUUACCUUUGGCAAACAAGAUGCAAAUAAUUGGUACUUAUGCACAAACUGAACUUGGUCAUGGCUCCAACAUUCAAGGCCUUGAGACAACCGUGACUUUUGAUCCGGAGACAGAUGAGUUCACCAUCCAUAGUCCUACCCUGACCUCAAGCAAAUGGUGGCCUGGUGGAUUGGGAAAGGUUGCUACACAUGCUGUUGUUUAUGCUCUGCUUAUUACUAAUAACCAAGAUUAUGGAGUACAUGGUUUCCUAGUCCAAAUUCGGAGCCUAGAUGACCACUUUCCUCUUCCAGGUGUAACAGUUGGUGAUAUUGGGAUGAAAUUUGGAAGUGGAGCAUUCGAUUCCAUGGACAAUGGUGUCCUUAUAUUCGAUCAAGUGCGCAUUCCAAGGAAUCAAAUGCUGAUGAGGUUCUCAAGGGUCACAAGACAAGGAAAGCAUAUAGAAUCCAACGUUCUGAAGCAGCUGCUUUAUGGAGCUAUGGUUUGUGUCAGACAAAUCAUUGUAGCUGAUACUUCCAUUGCCUUGUCAAGACUCAAAAGCAGGUACACAUUGCUACCCGGUACAGUGCUGUUCGUCGACAAUUUCGUUCUCCACAAAAUCAAGAUAGUGUUGAGACACAGGUCAUUGAAUACAAGACUCAGCAAAGUACUCUUCCCUUUGCUGGCUUCUACCUAUGCUUUCAGAUUUGUCGGCGAGUGGUUGAAAUGCCUAUACACAGAAUGACAGAAUUGAUCCAAAAGUUGGAAGCUAACAAUUUCUCUAUGCUGCCGAAGGCGCAUGCCUGCACUGCUGGUUUGAAGGCCUUGACUACUUCCGCUGCUGUUGACAACGUAGAAGAAUGUCGGAAACUAUGUGGUGGCCAUGGUUACUUGUCUAGCUGUGGACUUACUGAGCUAUAUCACUUACAUGCUUCUUUUUUCUCUGCUUGUAUUUAUGAAGGAGAUAACAUUGUUCUACUUAAGUACUUAUACAUGUUUCAAGAUUUCUCAUGAAGACCAUUUCUCAGUUGCAGACUGGGGAAAAGCCUAAUGGAACCACAACUUAUAUGGGUCAUGCGGAGCACUUUAUCCGAUGUCACUGUAAGGUUCAAAAAGCUGAGGAUUGGUUCCAUCCCACUGUAAUACUUGAGGCAUUUGAAGCAAGGGCUAUUAGAUUGUCGGUUGCUUGUGCCGAAAAUCUCACCAAGUUUACCAGUCCAACUUUUCUGAACUCUCACCAGAUUUAGUUCAAGCUGCAGUUGCUCAUUGGCAAUUAAUUGUGGUCUCCAAGUUCCUUGAGAAGUUGCAGCAAAACAUUGAAGGAAAUGGAGUGAAACAAGUUAAUUGGAGACCCUCUUCAACAUAUACUGUUUGAAUCUUAUUCAGAAAAAUUUGGGUGAUUUUCUGUCAACUAGAAGCAUCAGUCCCAAGCAAGCUUCACUUGCCAGUGAUCAAGUUAGGAAUCUGUAUUCCAAGCUUCGUCCCAAUGUUAUAGUCCUUGUUGAUGCAUAUAAUUACACACAUCAUUUCCUUGGCUCGAUUCUUGGGUGCUAUGAUGGUAAUGUGUAUCCCAAGCUCUAUGAGGAAGGCAUGGAAAGAUCCACUCAAUGACUUUGUUCAGUGUGUUGUACAUGAUGGCUAUCAUGAAUACAUCCAACCUCUGCUGAAGCAACAACUCCGGAGUGCAAGGCUUUGAAGAUAUCAAUAUCAAUGACCUCAAGAGCAGCAAAUCCUCUUUCAAUUUUCUGUUGUAGCUCGUUUUACUAAAGUUGUGUACCAUAGUGCUUAGAAUUUUUGUGUGUCGUCUGACCGCAAACUCUAGAGAUGGGCCAAACUUUGUAUUCCAAGUUUUCAACUAUAAAGUAAAUAGCCAACAAAAACAAAAGACGCAAGGUAUGGCAUAUGCUAGAGAAUUGUAUAAAAAAGAAGAAGAGAGAAAUCUUAUACACACCCCUAAUGAGAGAGAGAGAGAGAGAGUUUCAUAUCUGAGAGGAGAGAGGUGGCUGUUUGAUAUGAAUUAAGGGCAUACUUGUUUUUUAUAAGAAUAAUUUAAAUGAGUUAAAGGAAAAGAUUUUUAUUGGAUAGUGCUUUAACAUCCAUGUUUUUGUGCAAAUGAGCAUUUUCUCUUUACUUAACUAAUACACAUCCCUUACUCAAUACACUACCUAUUUAAUUUCUCAUUCUAUUAUUUAUUUUACUAAAUGCACGACCCAAAGUCCCCAAAAUACCCUUAAUGUAAAAAUUCAUAAAUAUAAUAUCAUUUUUUUUUGAGAAAAAAUGAAUUGUAUUCAUAUGAAGAGUAGAUUACAGUUUACAGCAUAUGAUAUGAAUUGCAUGACAUAAGUAUGGGAGAGCCAAUAAUGACAAUCCAAAACCGAAGAUGAAAACCAAGAAACAAAAGCGCACAUAGGCUACCUGUAGCCUUGUUGAUGCAAUUCACAUGUGGCUUGACUUUGGCAUGUUCAAGCUAUACAACCUUCUGAUUUCUAUAAGAUUUUUCUCCUUGCUUGGCUUUAGUCGGUCAUUUUGGAAAUAUUGCUUGAAUACUUCAUGAAGAUAGCUAGGAAGUUUUGCUCACACCUUGUAAGAUUUAGGAACGAUUGUUUCUUCGGCUUUACUUUUGCUUGGCUCCAAUUGCUUGUUUAGGCAUAAUGAAUACUGAUGGUGAUUUAGGCUUGUGUGGGGAUCUGGGUAAAUAAGAAAAGGUAAAAGCUGGGGUUUUGAGGCAUAGAUUCAUUAGAAAUGGUUUAGGGUAUUGAAGGGAUCUUAUUAUCAGGGGUAAGCUAGUAAUUAUAAGGAGAUGGUUGACGUUGGAAUUUGCAGUCAUAAGGGAAGGCUUGCAUGUGUUUGGUUCAUGAUAGAAUAAGGAGAAAUGUGAAUUUCACUUGACUGGAUAGGUUUUGUAGUUUGUUUGUUUGAAAAAUGGACUAGGACAAUGUUUUGUAGGCAUGGAAAAAUAUGUAUGAGAAACCAUAUUUGGUAGUUAAUGAUUGAUAAUGCCUGUUGAUGUCAUCAAUUUGCUUGAUUUCUCUUUAUAACUCAAAAUAGAGUAGGCAUCCCUGAAGUGCAUGAUCGCCUCAAUGAUUAGCAUGUUGGCAUGUCGGCAUGUCGGCAUGUCCUGCAUUUGAGUUCUUGAAGUCUAUUGUCGUGUUUGCAAUCCUUCAUACAAGUCUCUUUGUGUAGUCCUCCUUUUUUCUGGUGAUCUCAAAUUUCUCAAAUUGAACCAUGCCUAUGCUUGGUUAUCGAAUGGUAGACUAUCUUCCAAUGUGCAAUCAGUGUUGUUGUUUGCUGAAUGCAAACUUGAGCUUGGAAACAAAUAAAACACUAUGAUAACAUGUGCUACAGCUUUCGGUCUUCUUAGAUUUUGAUUGUCUUCUCGAAUCAGCACAGCAGACGAUUGUUUUUGUGCGCGUAUGGAUUUACAAGCAUAUAUUUGCGGUAGAGUAGUUGCAUGUGGUAUAUAAAGCUUUCUUGCAUUUUCCUUACUUCGUUUGAUUUCGCGUUUAAAUGAAUAUGCAUAUUGCAAUUGCUUGGUGUUAAGUGAGAUUUAGCUUGUGGCAACCUUGCAUAGGCAUGCGUUAGGCAUAUGUUUUGAUUGCUUUGGCUUGUGGUUGCCUUUGGUAUUUGAAUGACCAUGAAAGAGCAUGGAUAUGCAUCGAAAAAUAUUUGCAUUAGAGAUGAGCUUGGUGUGGCUUUCUCAAGGCUUUUAGAAUGGAUACAUGACUUUCAAAAGAGGAGCUUGGCAUAUGCAUGUUGUAUUAGGCUCAUGUAUGCUCCAUGUUGGCUUUUAGAAUGACCCUUGAUAUGCUUUUUGAAUGUAUAGACUCAUAUGCAUGUUGAUGUUGUUUAUAUGCUUGGAGUAAUCCUCCUAGUCAUGAAUCCGCUUGGCAUGGGAUUAAGCUUGAUGCGAUUAUAAGAUUGAAGUAUGCAUUAGCUUGUUAUAUUUAGAUAUACUUGGUAUGAAUUUAUAUGGCAUGUUCAUCUUAAGCGUAUUAGGAAUUAGGAAAGAGCAUGUAGCUUGAUUUAUUGAACAAGUGCAUACACAAGCUUGGCAAUGGUAGUUUGAUGUAAGUUUACAUAAGGAACUUGUAGUGUAGCAUGAAACUAGUAGUGUCCUGUAGCAUUAUGAAGUUUAGACAUGAAUAUAUGGGAGGUUAAUCUUAUGAAGCAUUGUUCUGAAGAUAAAGGUGUAUGUUGACCACUGCAGUAGACAUGGUUGAUCAACUUCAGGGUUUGAGUUGAUAGGGUUUGCUACUGGAAAUAUGGCGGGCAUAUGAUUGAAGUUGUGGAUAUUAGAUUUUUUGCUUGAGAUUGUGACUUCACCAUGGUAGAGAAUACAAAUUGCUAAAGAUGAAAAAUGAAAUGCACAAACCAGACUAUUGUUGUUACAGUAUUUGGGCUUCAACUUGCUGCAGGGGUAAAAUUUUGGUAGAGUACUGAUUAUUUUGGUUUGAGGAAGACUUGUAAUAUUGACAUUGGUUUGACAUUGGGCUUGGAAUAACGGUGUGUUUGGUCAAACAUAGGAUAGAAUGCUGUGAUUAAUGUCAGUGAGAUUCAGGUUCUGCAGAAGAAUAGUGACUGCAUUGAGUGUCUAUAACCUGAGAUUUUCUAGUGUGGUCACUACAAAAAAAAUUCGGUUAGCCACGGCAAAAAGCCGUCGCCAAAAACCACUUUGCCGUUGCGAAAGAGCAACGGCGACGGCUUCGCGAUGGCAUUUUUUCCGUCGCCGUUGAGAGCGUGGCCGUUGCUUUUGGCUAUGGCAACGAGCCGUCGCCAACUCUUUUGCGACGGCAGACAGCGACUGCAAAAGCCGUCGCAUAUUUAGCAACGGCAAGUGGCGACUGCUUCCACCGUCGCAAAUCACCCAUUAGCGACGGCAAACUUGCCGUGGCAAAUUCUAUUUAUGAAUUAAAAAAAAAAUCUGGCAAGCAUAUUAGCUUGCCAGAUUUUUAUUUUAAUUUUAUUUUGGACAAAAGCUGUGCAAAAAGAAAUUAAACAUGCUGAAAAGAAUUGUUACAUUCAAUUAGAGUCCUCAAACAUCAAUCUUACAUCAUAAGAACUAUCAAUAUAAGUUAUCUAUCUCUCAAAAAAAUAUAUGUCUCUCCUCCAAGCUAGCAAGUGCCCAGCCAAGUGAUAACAUUUCUUUCUGCAACAACAUUUCCAUUGUGCAAUUUGCUUGUAAGAUAAGCAUGUCAUGUUAGAACUUUUGUAAGUUGUCUUCUCUUUAUUGCACGGAAAGUGGUAUCUGCCACAACCACAAAACUUGUAUUUUCAAAUGGUACAAUAGGUAUUGGAAUCUGCCAUAAUUUACACUUUAACAAUAACUCAAAAAGUAAAGUUGAUAGCUUAGAAGUUCUUGAUAAACUAGAUGCUUAGAUAAAAAGUUGAUAACUUAAGAGGCAAUAUCAAACAAAAUGCAACACAGGAAGCAACGUAUGGACGAAACUGUUGUUUUAUAUCAUACUAAUUAUAGGCACAUUGAACAGUAUAUACACAGCUGGAUAAGACCAAGUAAUGUAAAGUGGCAUGCUCACAAUAUACAAAGGCAUGCAACAAAAUAAAUGGUUGUAUGAACCUUAAACAAACUUAAGAGCAAGAGCCAUGAUUAAACCAACAACAUUCAAUUUGUCAUGCACUAGUGACGUAACAACUUUAUAAUACACUAAUAACAAUGCAAGUAUAUAUAAUAUAGAUGUUGUAUAUACAAAGAGACUUACAAUGCGUUGCCCAGAAAUAAUUCUAGAAACAUGGCUUAGUUUAAGGUGUUUCUCCUCCUUCCCUGAGAACCAUAUCAGAACGGAUAUCAUCUUGAGGGUAAGAAUCCAAUAACAAUCAAUAUCUAUUAGCAAAACAAAUUUGUUGGAAGCUUAGCUGCAUUGAAAUGGAACUACUGUUGUGAAAAUCGCAGAAAUGACUACCACCGCCAUGCUUUAUGAAUUCUCAUUAUACAUAUAUGAGUAUGUGUGUUGCUGAGUUAUAAUGGUCUAAAUAGGUGGUUCUGAUGUAUAUGCUAGUUACAGGUAUAGUCGUAUAGUCAUUUCAAGGCUUUACUCCAUACUCAUUAUCUGUAUUAUAAUCCAGUCUUCUAAAAUAAAAAUAAAAGAAUCUUAUAAUAAGAAAAAUGAAGAAGGCAGACAGCCAGACACAAAGUGUGCUUCCUAUGAAAGAACAAAAGAAGGCAGACACAGAGACGAUAUUGCAAUACUAUAACCAGAUAUUUAGGAGUAAACUUACAUUAGAAAGGCGGAAGGGGCAGAAUUUGGGCUUUCCCCUUCUUCCGUACUUGAGCAAGUAUGCUCCUUUCUUCAAAGCAGUAACAGCCUGUUGUUAAGAUCAACCAAGAAUCCAACAUAAGCACUUUCAAUUACAUAAGCAGUAACAGCCUGUUGUUGAGCAAGUAUGCUCCUUUCUUGCCAGGGAUUGUUAGGAGAAUGAAUUGAGAUACCAUAUUCCCCUAAUUAUGUAUAUUCUAUUUUUCCACAAGUAUACCACAUAUAUUGAGAAUAUCCGUUGUCACUAAUAAAAUAGGAUCAGCAUAUAUAGAAACAAGCACAGCAAAAAAAGAAAAUAACUAGCAACUUAGCUUGUUGAUCAAUGUAACUGUAACCAUCAAUGUAACUAAGAGCAGCUAAUUCAACAACUAAGACUCGAAACAAUUCCGCAAACCAGCGAAAUGCAAAUAAUAACAAACCAAGUAUGAUCAUUGUUAAUCAUCACUAAAAUACUUUACACCAAACAAUACUACUGAAUCUAACACUUGCAGCUAAUAUCUAACAUCUUCCAAUAAUCAAAGCCAAGCAAUCCAACACUUGCAACUAAACAACAGCUUAAUCAAAAUUAACCGGAGCUAAAUAAGAGUAUAAUAGUACCUGCUCAAUGUCUCUUUCAACCGAAAAGGUCCUACUAAGAUCAAAAGCUAUCCUAUCCGUUCGCGACAUCACAAAACCCUAAUUCCUAAAACCAAACAGACCAAAGGAUGGCAGCUGGAUGAGCAUUAACCUUGUAGUAUAGAUUUGCGUCAACCUCAUUAAGAAGGUGGCCAAUAGAUGAGCAUGCUUCAAUAGAAGAUUUGUAUUUGUAAUCAAGGUCAGCUCCUAGGUUCUUCAGAGUAACUUCUUUAGCAACUUGAAGAUCAUUGCCUAACUCAUUGAAAGUAAUUCCAGUGGCUUCUUUGACAAGAUUGUGCAUGGUUUCCCUCCUCCAUGGUCACUCAAGAUGUAUCUCCACCCCCUGCAUAUAAGGAUAUAUACCAGCUAUAUAGAGAUCUGAUUCCACAAUUAUGCCAAGAAAAUUCUGUCACAAGUUUCUUGAAGGACAUUCACCUGGUAAUCAAGAGUAAGCUUCCUGUGACCUGCAAGUGCACACCGUGUAACAAUUUCCUCUGUCAUGUUCAUCAUGCUUUCAUAGUCUGAAUAUGCUUCAUACAUCUAAGAUCAAACUAAUACCAAUACCAAUCAGAGGUUCGCAUGAUAAAUUAGGAAAGUUAAAUAUCUAAUAAUAUGAAACAAGUAGCUAAUCGCGUAAAAUACAUAAACAUUAACCACAUAACCAAACGAAAUAAGAAGAAAAUUGAAUUACCUCUAUAGUGGUAAAUUCAAGAUUAUGACGAGUUGAAAUGCCUUCAUUCCUGAAUAUUCGUCCAAUCUCAUACACCUUCUCAAACCCCCCAACCUAUCAUCCGUAGACAGAACUGUUUAAUAGAUAACUCGCAUGCUAUCGAACCAGUGAUCGUUCACAUGUAUACAUGCAACACCAGUCUAGUUGGAUUAUAUAGGGAAGUCGCCGGAUCUGCAGGCCAUGCCGGAUUAGUACUUCGCAAAACCCAAAACGGGAAAAAGAAGAAUUAGGUACCAAAGCUGCGAAUUGAAGCUCAAUGAAGCUCGAAAUUGAAGAAGGAGAGAAUAUAUUACCUUGAAAAAGCAAAGGCUUGGCCAGAGAGGGAUGAAUCACGUCGGAAUUGGAAUUGGGGAUUUUAGGGUUUAGAUUCCGAUCUACCAAAUGGGUGGAUGCAUAUUGAAAUGGAAGGUAGGAGGAGGAAGAGGGUGGAGAGGGGAUUCAGUUGUGGUCUUCGUUUAGCCUGCGGCUGUUCGAAGGAUGGCAGCUGGGCAGCUCGGUCUCAGACCCUCUCUCUUCUCUAUCGACAAAAUGAGGGAUAGAGAUUAGGUUUUUCACUUCUAUACUCAGGGAAGAUAUAAAAUCCACGGCUGAGAUUAAAGGGUGGGACAAAAUCAAAAGUGGUGAUUUCAAAGUGUACCACGGCUUCCUGACGCGGUCGCAAAAUUUACAUUUUUUUUGCCACGGCUUCACAUUCCCGUCACAAAAUUUUCAUUUUUUUACCACGGCAUGAAGUUGCCGUCGCAAAAUAGUUUUAAUUUAGCGACGGAAACGUUGUCGUCGCAGCGCCGUCGCGAAACUUGGACCAAUGGCGACGGCAAAUUUGCGCCGUGGCAAUUUGGGGUGGCUAACUGAAUUCUAUUUUGUAGUGGGUAAUGAAAAUGUGAGGAAUUAUUGGAGUUGCGGGGAGAAAUAAACAAUUCAAAAUACAAAUCAUAGUACAUUAAGAUUAGCAUUGGUUCUUUAGCUUGGGGAAAGAUGAGAUUUUCUAGUGUGGUAAUGAAAAUGUGAGGAAUGAUUGGAGUUGUGGGGAGAAAUAAACAAUUCAAAAUACAAAUCAUAGUACAUUAAGAUUAGCAUUGGUUCUUUAGCUUGGGGAAAUAUGAGAUUUUCUAGUGUGGUAAUGAAAAUGUGAGGAAUGAUUGGAGUUGCGGGGAGAAAUAAACAAUUCAAAAUACAAAUCAUAGUAUAUUAAGAUUAGCAUUGGUUCUUUAGCUUAGGGAAAGAUUUGUGACAAAAAUGUCACAAUGAUAUUAGGACCACUUGGAAAUAGCAGGGGACAUUGAUUGAAAAGUGCAUGAUUUUGACUGGCACAGAAGCUUAAAGAGAUACCUGCUUGUAGAAAGCAUGACACUAAGGAGUGGUACUGAUUUUAGGGUGUUGGUCUUAAAGGUAUAUGCUUGAAUUAUAGGAAUAGAAUGAUCUCAUAAACGAGUUGGAGACUAACCCUUUAACAAUGACUUUGAACGAGAUUGUCAUCGCUUAGCCCCCAAGUGUCUUAUAAUAUCAUUUUGAGAGACUAGUGAUGGAGACUGCUUCUUGCAUGAAAUUGGCUUGAUUAGGUGUUGCUUGUUGCCUGAUUGAGUUUAGAUUGCUUAAAUGAUUUAGCUUGUUACUUGCUUGAGUAUUGUUUGUUGCUUGAAUAAGUAUUGUUUGCAUAUCGUAAUGGUUUUGCUUGACCGAGUAUUGUUUUAUGACUAAUGACAUGUGCUUCUUGUGCCUGCUUGCAUGAUGACUUUGUAGGGCAACUUAACCACAGUUGCGCAAGGAGAGGGUAGCUGCGGUGAAAGCUUGAUAUGUAAUUGGUUUCGGUUUUUGGUCCUUUGCAUAAUAUACAAGGAUUUUGGCAUAUGCUUCUUGUGCGUGCUUGCAUGAUGACUUUGCAGGGCAACUUAACCAUAGUUGUGCAAGGAGAGGGUAGCUGCGGUGAAAGCUAGAUAUGUAAUUGGUUUCAGUUUUUGGUCCUUUUGCAUAUAUACAAGGAUUUUGGCAUGUGCUUGUGGUAUAUCUCUCUUUUUGUAUGUAGAGACUGAUUUGUUUACUUGUAGGAUGAAGGCAUUAUAGUUGCAGAGUAUGUGCCUCUGGUUUGUUGCAUGUCUUCAUUUUGUUUUGACACUCCUUGUGUUUGAAUUUAGGUAUUAGUGUGGAUGUUUUAGCAAAAGAAUUGUGCAGUGUAGGCAUAUUGUAAUAAUGAGGAAGUAGCAACAUUGCUUCAUUUUGUAAUAAUGUAGUGUAUCUAGCCCCCAUGAUUAUGUGAAUUAUGGAGUGACAUACCUAUAGUUCACAUAAUCAAUGUUUGAAGUUGUUUGCUUUGCAUGUUGUUUACGCUUCUUACUACGAUCUUCUAAAUAUAUCAUUCUUCUUUGUGUAGGCUGGAUCAGUUUUCGAGAAUCAUGUUCCUAAGGCAGCAAGUGGUGGUAGUAGUGUCAAUAUCUCAGCCUUACUCCAUGGAGAGGCUCCUUCUUGUGACAUUCAUUUCCAACUCGGGUGUACAUAAGAGUGAUCUUACAAAUGUGGUUUAGAAAUUCCAUCACUUGUUUUAAAGUGGAUUGCUCUGAGUGUUGUUGUUGAGGAUGUUGCGUGUAUUUUGAGUGACACACAUUCUUCGAUUGAAGAUGGGAUGGUUCCUUCAGAGUUUUUGAUCCGUCUUGCAUAGUUUGUUGAAGAGUGUGGUGGGGCAGCUUCUUUGCAAAGAAAAAGGUAUGCUUGAGCAAAGUGAUUAAGGAGCUUGGUCUUGUGUUGCAUAAUGUGGAGCUUGUAGAAGUCAAGAUUGAGGGGACCUUUCUAAUAAGUAGGGAUGCAUGUCGAGACAUCAUGAAUUGAGAACUUGGUGUGAGUUUCAAGUUGGAUCAUCCAUUGAAGCUGCAAGGAUUUUUUUAUUAUAUGUGCAUGCUCGCUAGUUCGGAAAACUGAUGCAGGGAGGUGCACCAAGAAGAUUUGUUCUUCAGUCUUAAAGAGAGCUUUCAUGCCUUGAACCACAAUGACAAGAAGACUUGUGCACUAGGAGUUAAUGAUGGUAUUAGCUUGGAUAUCAUGUUUUGUAUAAUAGAAGCUUGUAAUAUGGAAUCUUGGUUUUAAAUCAACUCCUUUAGUUGACAAUUUGGACUUUAGCAGUAGAUGCAUGGCCUGCUUGUAAUAGAAAUCUUGAUUUGAUUUCAGCCAAAAUCGGCUAUUAAAACUGUUUCCUGUAGUGAAAACUUAAAGCAUCUGAGAAAGGCUUGAAAUAGUAGACUAGAUUUGAUGUUUUAUUUUUUGGUGAGAAGACUAGAUUUGAUGUUAGGCUUAUGAAUUUUGAGCUUCAAACAAUUUGACUACUGAAUUUGGUUGUUGUAGUGAGAACUUAGCUUUGCUCUAAUGGAUGAUGUAUGGGUUUGAGUUUUGGGCACAUGCUUUCUUUAGGUACACAAAUGAGGUCUUGGUUGUUGUAUUAGGAGCAAUUUGGAUGUGGCAUAGUGUCAAAUGGUUUAAAGAGGUCUGCAAGGAUUUUUUGUAAUGGUUUUGGCAUGAUUUUGGAAUGCUAGUAACAAAGUAGGCUUUGGCUGUGAGUGCUAUUAAGCGGGUUAUUUUAUAUAAGGUGAUCAUAUAGAUAGGGAAAAGGGUAAACAACAAUUUUUUCAGCCCCCAAGUGUUUGCUUCAGUUGACACAUAGGUGUAAAAUAUUACACAAUGUCUUGCACCACAAAAUGUGCAACUUAGCUCUAAGCGUGUUUGCAGGGCAUAAGUUGUUAUAGGCAGGGCAUUUUCCAGCAGUAGCAUUACAAAUGUUUUGAGUAUCAAGCACAAGUAAUCAUCCAAGGGAGACAAUGUUUGCUUGUAUGCCUUGAGCAUAAUAGAUCCAAGAAGAUCACAUUCUUAAUCGCAUGUAGCCUGAGUGCUAAGCGUGUUUGCAUCUUCUUCAAUUUUUUUAGAUACCAUCUAUUGCAGUGCAAUGCUACCACUUUACUACAAUUGAGGACAUGGCUAAGAGGAUAAAAACUUAGCUAGGGAUUGAGAGUUUAAGAUUUGAGAAAAGUUUAAAACAAAGGUUUCUGGUAUGAAAUAUUCUUGACUACUGCAGUAAAAAUAUUAACAACUGCAGUGAAGAUUCAUGAAUGGCAGGAAAGGCUAUAACUUGGAACAAAGACUUUUCAACAAGAACUAUCUUAUUCAAGGCAUAUUUGGUUUUAGCAUCAAGCAUGUUAUAGCCAGUGAGAUACUAAGGACGAACUUAGGGUGGAGGCAUAAAAGUUGGGAAUCAACAGCAAAAAACACACUUUGAAGGCUAUAACAUGUUAGAGGUAAACUCAUAUUAUAGUCAAUUAAGAAGAUUUCAGUUAUUGAUGUGAAGGCUUGGGCUUUGGCAAAGAAUCCUACAACUUAGAAAAGAGACAUGAAACAAGAAUCACCAACAUCUUGUGAUCUAGUUUUAUUUGGCUAUGUCAAGCGUGCUGUAGAUUAAGCCUUAGCACAUAAGGCUAUAACUUGUUAAUAUGGGAGCCCACAACUGCUUGCAUUCAACAAUAGAUGUGAAAAAAAAAAACAAUCAUGCCUGAAGUAAAAAACAAUAGGAUGAACUAACUAUCUGAACCACAACCUAGUCCCCAGCAGAGUCGCCAAAAUGUGAGAGUCUUUUUUGAAUUAAAUUGCGACUAUGCCAAGAUUGACCCAAUAAUCCGAUUAAAAAGAAAUCUUGUAUGUGAUUCAAACAACAAAUGGGCUUGACAGCAUGAAGCGUGGUGUGGGAGCUAGAAAAGCAUUGCGGUGAGAGAAUUGGGGGUUUCUGGGUAAGGAUAUAUGUGAGAAGCGGAGGUUGAAGGUGGUUGUUUUGGGAAGAAGAUGGUUAGCUGGGUAAGGAGCUUGAAGGCAUGAAGGCUUGAAUGCCUAGGAUUUGAAGGUUGUUUGUAGGCGUUUUAUGGGUUUUGCUUCCUCCCUUUUUCUACUGCAGGGACUCACCUUUUAUAGGCUCAAUGGAUAAAAUUUUGAUGAUCUAAAGUAUAUCAUUAUCCGGGUAAAAUACUCCCUCUUCAAUCCACGUGAUUUUGCCCUAAAACCAGGAAAAGAAAAGCUUACUUCGAGGUGGUGGCUCUCAAAAGAAAAGGGUUGUUGCAGUGACAACGAUCAUGACAACACAAAACAAGGAGAUGUAGACAAGAGAGAUUGGGAAGUGUGAUCAUCGUUUGAGGGAAAGAAGGAAGCUUUUUGUCACACCCUGUUCCGCUUUGUAACACUCGUUCACGCCUCGGAAUUGGCGUUCGGUGCUUAAAACCCGCCGACGUCGGGACCGGGGUACACUUUUGAUUGGUCUCAUGGCUUCUUCUACAGAAUGAGACUAUUAUUCAGAGAGGAGUUGUUUUGGACUGUAUUCAUGUGUUGCGGGGAAAGAGAAAGUUAGGUAUUUUGUUGGUGCAGGGAAAAUAGAUCAGGCGUAGAAGCAGAAAAUAGAUGUGUUGUUGUAGAAAAAAUAGCUGGGGGUCUCUAUGUGGGUUUUACGCUUUUGGCCUUUUGGGUUUGAAAGGAUGGUAACCUAAUCUCAAAUUCUCAUGCAUGUUCACCAUUUCAUUUGUUGAUCUAAGUCGUUGGGUUUAGAUUUUGGGCCCAAGACUGAAAUCACCAAUGACAUUAAACUGACAAAUGAGCAUUAUGUGUUUCUGUAACCUUUCACAUCACACCCACUUCUACAAGCCCCAAUGAUGUGUGGAUGUGGUUUGAGUCCACAUCAAUGGGCAUAUUUGCUUGGCGUGUUAAAAUCCUAAGAUUAUAGGAAUUUGCAUGAAUUGCAUAACAAAUUGUCGCGUAGCAAAGUGCAUGAUUUCUCGGGUAUCAACAAUUUGACAUCAGGAUAUGUUACAUAUCUACGUGAUUUUUUCAUUAUGUCACCGUUGUGACAAAACAAAUAGAGUCAUCAUUAGAACAAUAUUUUUUUUCAAUUGGUGUUUGUUAGAAUACAUCUACUUUGUAGAAAUUAUCGAUAUUAUUUUGGGACUUUUAUUUAUAAUUAAAAACUAAAAUUACAUCUUGUAUUUGAUUGUUUUAUGAAGAAGUUUUGACAGCACCGGUACCCCAACUUUUGUGGCACGGUCAAAGUGGUACCCAGACUUUAAAAACUAUCGAUGUGAUACUCAAACUUUAUUUUUGUUAUCAAGGAAAGGCCUGAGGCCAAUUUCCGUGACGGUGCCGUUUGUUUGGUGACGUGGCCAGUAUCAAGUCCAAAAAAAAGGGCAAAAAUGACAUUUUACCCAAAUGACACCCUAAUCCAUUCAAAACUCGACUUCUUCCCCCUCCCCCUUUCAUUUCCAUCUCUUCUCUCUGCAACCCCUUUUUUCUCGAAAACCCUAAAUUGCAGAGGAGACCGACGCAGCCGAAGCUCUCUAGCUAAAGGUAAGCCACCACAGCCCCAUAUCUCUCUCUGGGUUUCAUCUUUCCGGUUUGAUUUGGUUGAUUACUGUGUUGAAUCAACCAAUCAAAGCCGUAAUCAACCAAGUCGUCUCUUCCAAGUCCAGUAGGCCCUCGAAGCCGUCCGCAAGGGUAACGUCGCCGUCGGCGUCCGCGGCAUGGAAUCGGCGCCGGACGAGUUCAUCGGCGACGGCUUGGGCUCGAGGAAGCCUCGGCUUUUCAUCAGGGAAAUGGUCAUGAGGAACUUCAAGUCUUACGCCGGUGAACAACGCGUUGGUCCUUUCCAUAAGGUUAGGGUUGGUUUUGUUAGACGACUUUGAUGCGUUUCUGUUGGUUUAUUUACUUGUGUUUUGGCUAUGGAUUUAGAGCUUUUCGGCAGUUGUUGGACCUAAUGGGAGUGGGAAGAGCAAUGUCAUUGAUGCAAUGCUGUUUGUAUUCGGAAAGCGAGCUAAGCAGGUAUACCGAUUAAGCAGAUUUUUGAUUCAUUUUGAUGUUCCUAAUUUGUGCAUUGUGAUUCUGUAGAUGCGACUUAACAGAGUUUCGGAGCUCAUUCAUAACUCCACCGAUGGCCAGAAUAUGGAUUGAUUUGGUAAUCAUCAACAUUUUGCUUCUUUUUCUGAUUGGGAUUUUAAGAAAAUAAAACAAGAAUGAAUUGUCAGCCUUUACUGAAGAUAAAUUUGAGGAUUUUUGGUUGCAAUUGUUACAGGACGAUGGGACGUUUGAAGCUGUUCCAAGAAGUGACUUUGUAAUCACUAGGGUAGCGUAUCGAGAUAACUCCUCAAAGUAUUACAUCAAUGAUCGUUCAAGCAACUUUACUGAAGUUACCAGGAAGUGACGAAACUAAAAGGGAAACGAGUUGACCUGGACAACAAUCGCUUCUUGAUUCUUCAGGUUUGAUAUUUAAGAUGCACUUCAUUAAGUUUGCUUCAGAUUGUCUCGUCAUAUUAACAAUGUUCUUCUGGUUACUCAUCAGGGUCAAGUGGAGCAGAUUUCACUCAUGAAGCCAAAAGCUCAGGGAUCUCAGGAUGAAGGUUUCUUUGAGUACCUUGAGGACAUUAUCGGGACCAGAAAAUAUAUCGAAAAAAUUGAUGAGUCUUAUAAAAAGUAUGCUCCUAGUUCAUAGAAAAUCUUACAUUUUAUUUCUGCCAAUCUACACCAUUUUCUGCUUUCAACCAUGCAUCUUUGCUAGUUUCCCAUCUAACAGGAGCCUUAAAUUUGCCUUAAAUUUGGUAAAGCCUUAAAUUUGCAAAAAGUGAUCUAUUAAUCUGUUUGAGUACCAAAUUGUAUAAGCUUUAGAGUCCUGUCUGACUUAUUUGACUCUCAUUAUCUAUGGAUGUGUGUGUAUGUACUUGACCGAUGAUGCAAAGAAAACAGAACACUUGCUUUAUAGAUGAAUCAUUCUUUAUAGAUGAAUCAUAUCAACGUGAAGGUGUGAAGGUGUUUUUCAUAAAGUAUAGAUGAUUCUUUAUGACUUUAUUAUUUCAAUGUAUUUAUGCUUCUAGUUAUGGAGGAUCAUCUUGGUAGGAAGUAAAGCAUUAGGAUUGGGUUUUUCUUUGUUGUUACCUAUUGGGAAUCAUCUUUAAAAGGUUCUUAUACAUGUAAUUUGUUUCUCAAAUUGAAGUUAGAGAUCAAGAUUUUGGUAUGCUUAAAGUUGGUUGAACAUUAGAAGUGUAGAACUAUAUUUACUUGUUAUCUUCUGUUAACUGUCGUUGUGGUAAUCUAAUUGAUCAUUGCUUUAGAAUGUCUUUCUGUUUUGUUUGAAUGCUUUAUUGCUUUAAGCUACUUCACAACACAAUGUAGUGUUUGCAUCUUUUUACUAUCCUUUCAUUGGCAUUUUGGAAGUACUUUGGUUUUAGGGGUAUUGCUGAAAUGCUUUGUUAACUGUUGGAAAUAAUGUUGUUGUUGAAUUGUGUUGGAAAUGUCUUGUUGAAUUGUGAAGUCAAAUGUGGUUGUUGAAUUGUGUUGGAAAUAUCUUGUUUGUGUUCCACAGGUCCAAAGGGCAUCAGCCCCACCCAAGGAAUCAAGACCUAACAAGGACCACCCAAGGAAUCAAUGAAGUUGGCAAUGGAGGGUAGUUCUGCAGUAAAUGGUAGUGCAUCGGCCUCAACACAGCCUUCUACUCAAAGCAGCCAAAAUCAUGCAGCAGGGGGGUGCUCAAAAGUGAAUGUGUUGGCUUUUAAAUUAGAGAAACAUAAUGUGUACUUCAUCAUAGUUUGGAAUUAUUUUUUUACAAACAAUGUGGUUCCUUGAGUUUUUGGAAACCAAUUAAGCUUGAAUUAUGAUGCAUAGUAUGUUUCUUAUGUUGAUGUUGGUUUUAAUUCAAUGAUAUUGGCAGCCUUUUUUUGUUUUAUGUUUAAAUUUCUAUGUUACAUUUCCAGCUAUUACAUAAUAUUUCUUGUCAGCAGAUAAACACAGCAGCAGUACCUAAACUUUGUUGGACUGAUAAAUGUGAUACCCAGAAAAAUUCAAAUUUAGAGUUUUUGAAGGGAAAACGGUUCUGGUGAGAGUUAGAAGGUUAUUUUUGUUAUUGCACCUUUUUUAGGUGGGUCUCAUGUCGGCCACAUUAGCAAACUAGCGGCACAGUUACGGAAAUUGGCCUCAGGUCUUUCUUUGGUAGCGAAAUAGAAGUUUGGGUAUCAUAUUAAUAGUUUUUAAAGUAUGAGUAUCAUUUUGGCCGUGCCACAAAAAUUAGGAUACCAACGCUGUAUUUUCCUCUUUUAUUAAUAGUGGCUUAAGACAACCACACCAACCCUUUUUGAAGAAUAAGUCACAUGACUCAUCUGAAGAAAAGAAAAAGGAAAGAAGAUAAAAACGAAAAGAAACCGGUAAUCUAUACGCAGCGUGGGAGGCGCUCACUAACAAAACGUGAAUAGCAUUUCCGAGAGUUUGGUUUUGUUUUAUAAACUCUCCAAAUCCUUGUAAUCGACGGAAGCAGAGCAGCCAUGGACGGAGGGAAGAGGAAGCAGAAACCCCCGUCCAUCACUCUCGACCAGUUCAUCUCCCUCACCGCUCCUCUCAUCGACUUGGAAAAGGUUCCUCUCUAUCUCUCAUACUGCCUUCCUUUCUUUCACUCUCAAUUUGAAUGUAAGCGGAGUUUGUGUGGGGCAUUCAGGAAGCGGAGAUAUCGGCCUCCAUCACCAGCGGCGCCUCCAGGAAUCUCGACACUGCUCAAAAGAUAGGCUCCGCCAUUCUCAAUCUGAAGUGCGUCGAUGCUCAGGUACACUCUCUCUUGUUUCUCAAGCUUUUCGUGUUUCGGUUUUAGAGCACUGAACUGAACUAUGUUUUGCUUUUGAGAAUUUAGACAGGACUAAUGGGAAAGACUCUUCUUGAGUUCCAGUCUACCAAAACAGAAAACAGUAAUGCUCUUCCUCUUCCUCCUCACAAGGUGAACAUUCCAAAUUUCUAAGCUCCAUUUGAGUUUCUUGUCGGAUGCUAAUUCUUGUUUGCAAUGUGUAAGUGUGUGGUUUUAUUCGCUUCAUGGGCUGAUGAUGUGGCUGUUUUUGAAUGUGUUGUCAAAAUUGAGUCUCUUAACAUACUCUGUGUCGAAUUUUCACAAUAUUUUUCUCUUUUAUUUUGUCAGUUUGGCACACAUGAUGUGGUUGUUCUAAGACCGAACAAGGCUGAUUUGGGCUCACCUGCUCUUGGACAAGGCGUCGUGUACCGGUUAAAGGUAAUUCUAACUAUGAAAUGUAAAGUUGGACAUAUGCGGUUUUGGUCCUGAUAGGUUUGAUUGAACAGGACUCAUCAAUCACUGUCGCUUUUGAUGACAUUCCUGAAGACGGAUUAAAUAGUCCCCUACGGUUAGAGAAACUCACAAAUGAGGUAUGAAGUUCAAAUCUCAGGUCUUUGAAUUUUCUAGUUUCUUAUUCAGUUUUCUCAUCUGUAUGUUUUGAACCACCACAUGUUUUUGAAGGCCGUAUUUGUUAUAUUAGUGAUUGGGACCAUAUUGGUCAUUGACAUGGAAAUAAUUUAAAGUGAUUUUUUACCACCAGUAAUGUUCUCUUUGGUCCGUGGUCUAUGCAUUGUCUUUCAGUCUUCUCUUUCUUAUGCCUUUGUCAAAGAUUAUAUUCGUUGGCGAAGAGUUCUAGUAAUAUUUUUGUUUUCUCAGGUUACAUAUCGUAGGAUGAAGGACGCUCUGAUACAAUUGAGUAAAGGUGUGCAAAAGGGUCCUGCUUCUGAUUUAAUUCCUGUCUUGUUUGGAGAGAGGGCACCAACAGUGGCUAAGAAGGAAGUCACAUUCUCCCCAUUUAACAAAAACCUGGAUCACUCUCAGGUCCUGAAGCCUAAUAUAUGUACUUCCUUGUUUCUUGUUUUUGGAUUUUUCAAGAUGCCACUUAUGAUGUCAUCAUGCGUAAUUUUAUGUCAAUAGGAACAUGUUCAAUUCCUUUAAAUCUUUAGCUUUAUAAAAUGAACACACAAUCAGCAAAUACAAACACAAUAUGUACCUGCAUGCUUAUGUACUUAAUCUCUGUGUAUAUCAUGCACACAGCGCUACCUUUAAAUGAUGAUCGUUAUCACCUAUGGUUCUUUGAAGUUACUAAUUUGUUGGUGCAACUAAAUAAAGGUAACAUGCAUAUACUGAUAAAUAAUUAACAAAACUUCAUUACUAUGACUGAUACGUAACUUUAUUUAAGGACUCUGAGAUAUUAUAGCCUUGCGAAUAUCAUAUAAGUUUUUCAUGUGCUAUUAACAGUAAGGGUCUCGAAAUACAUGAAUUGUUAAUGAUAAGGUUUUGAUAUCAUUUGUUCAAAUAGUUCUACCAUGAAUAUUGUUGGUGUAAUUUACAAGAUUAGAUCGGCUUUGGUUGCAUACUUCUGAAUAUUAAUUGAUAUAUGAAUUUUUGUUGUUCUGUGUAUGGGUCUGCCAAUUUUUCGUUUGAUCAUCUGAAUCCAUAUUGAUAAAAUUAUACACCACCCCAGGAUUCAAUCUUAAUACUUGUCUCAUUUUCCCCUGAUCUCCACAGAAAGAUGCCAUUUCAAAGGCUCUGUCAUCCAAGAAUGUAUUUUUGCUGCAUGGGCCUCCUGGAACAGGAAAAACCACAACUGUGGUGGAAAUUGUUUUGCAAGAAGUCAAACGUGGAUCAAAGAUCCUUGCAUGUGCUGCUUCGAAUAUUGCUGUUGACAACAUUGUUGAGCGAUUGGCGCGCCAAAGGUAUUUCACUGCCUACAUAAUUGUGGAGUUCUUAUUUUGUCAAAAUUUUUAGCUCUAUUAAAACAAGUAUAAGGUGCUAAAUCAGAGAAGUCUGUAAUCCUUUUUUGCUGGCCUUUGCUUCCUUUCGUUUAUUCGUUCUCAUUUUAUUUUCAGUGUUUCUUGUCAAGCUAUUGCUAACUUCAGAUACUGCAUACAGACAGUCAAUGUUCAGGUUUUAUUGGUGAUAAAGAACCAAGUUUUACUUUGAUAUUAGUAUGACCCCAUUUUGUAGUAUAUUAAUGUUUUUAUAGUUCUUUGGGAUUAGAAACUAUUUUCAGCAUUCCUUUGAUAUUUUCUUUUUGAUAAAGAAAAUAUUGUUGAGAGGCUGGUUGUUGAUGUAUAGUCAAAUGGUCAAGGAGGCUUCUUGUUCAGAUUGCAGUUGGUGCCACUUGGUUAGGUUAAGUAGAAAUAAAUAGACUAGUAGGUUUAUGGACUUUAAAGAACUUUCUUUUUUAAUUCUUAAUAACACUUGAACAAAAAAUUGUGCAUUCAACACUUUGCACUUCAAUCAUUACAGUUGAGUUGACCAAUGAUAUAGCUGAUAGCUGAUGUGAACUUUUAACUUGUAUUGUUCUCCAACCUGCCAUGUUAAUGUAAAUAAAAUGAGACAAUCUGAAUAUUCAGUUAAUGAGUAGGAAUGGUCCUGUCAGUUGUACCAUAUUGUAUUGUGAUAAUUGAAUAAAUUAGUGCUAACUACUAAUUGUAUAAUAGUACAAGUUGGCUAUAGAUGAUGCACUCUCGUAUUUGUUUUUUUUCUUUUCUUUUGCCUCAUUAAGUAGAUGGUAAUUAAGUAAAGGCUUAAUGCUUAUUACUAUCUACAGAGUAAAGUUAGUGAGAUUGGGACAUCCUGCACGUUUACUACCUCAAGUACUGGAUAGUGCAUUGGAUGCACAGGUAUGUGAAUUAUGUUGGAAAGAUUCUAGUCUUUGUGAUAUCAAAAUUUUAUAAUUUCAUACCAUUAGCACAAUUAUUUCAUGUCUGUAUUGUGCAUUCUGCAUCAUUAAUGUUCUCUGUGCACUAAGUGCUGUGGCAUUUGUAUAAGCAUAUGAAGUUUCACAAUCUUCAUUGCACCUCAUUAUAGUACUCAUGCUCGUACACACACAAGGAGGGAGCGUUUGGUCAUUACAUAAGGAUGUAGAAUUGCACUCCAACACCGUAGAGCGAAAAAUCUAGGCCAUAAUCUCCUUGAAUUGAGGGCGUACUUUCGUCUAAUUACUUGCUUGCUUUGCUCUCAGGUCUUGCGAGGAGAUAACAGUUCUCUGGCAAAUGACAUUCGAAAGGAAAUGAAGGUAAUUUUUUAUAAUUAAAGCCUAAAUUAACGUGCAUAUUAAAAAGUUUUUAGUUCUUUUUUAUCAUUAUAGUUUACCAAACUAACACAUUUCUAUGGCAUACCUACUCAUGAAUACGUGCACAUUGUAUUAUUGCAGCAAUUGAAUGGAAAGCUAUUAAGAACCAAAGACAAAAACACUAGGAGGGAAAUCCAGAAAGAGCUAAGGAUUCUUUCCAAGGAGGAACGUAAAAGGCAGCAGCUUGCUGUGACAGAUGUAAUAAAAAAUGCAGAUGUGGUGUUGACAACUUUGACUGGGGCAUCGUCUCGCAAGCUGGACCACAUAUCAUUUGAUUUGGUGAUUAUUGAUGAAGCUGCACAGGCACUUGAGAUAGCAUGCUGGAUAGCACUGCUUAAGGUAAUGGACUAGUACAUAGGCAUAUACAUAAUGUUAACCACCAAACCUUGCAUAUUCAUUUCCAUAAAACGGCGCGCUGUUCAUGACAAAGAACUAAUGCAUGUGUUAGUCUCUGUAGUCUUAAAAGAAACACAUUGUGUGUUUUGAGCAUGUUAGUUAAUUGAAGACAUAGAUUCCAGGACAAGCAGAAGUUGAAGACUUAAACAUCUAGAGUGCUAAAAUCAAUAUGUGUAUCCUACAGUUGCAAGAAUUAUAUAUGUAUAUUUUUUAGUGAAAAUUUUUAGAAAGUCAAAUUUUACUCGCACUCCAAAAUCCACUUAAAAAAAUCUGAGUUCAUUGUUUUAGGGUUCAAGAUGUAUACUUGCAGGCGAUCAUCUUCAGCUUCCUCCAACCAUCCAGAGUGCUGAAGCUGAGAAGAAAGGUUUAGGAAGAACCCUUUUUGAACGCCUUGCGGACAUAUACGGAAACAAAGUCGUAUCUAUGCUGACUGUUCAGUACCGCAUGCAUGAGCGUAUCAUGGAUUGGUCAUCAAAGGAGCUUUACAAUAGUAAGGUGCUGAGAGGAAGUCUGGAUGGUGGCUUGAGUAAAUUUAUAAUCAAAUCACCGAAGGUCAUUAGAUUUGAUUAUAUCAUAUGCUUUCGUGUCGUUGCAGGUUAAAGCCCAUCCAAGUGUUGCUGGACAUAUGCUUUUGGAUCUUGAGGAUGUAAAGAAGACUUCUUCAACAGAGUCAACCCUUCUUCUAAUUGAUAUAGCUGGGUAUGCAGUUCAUUGCUGCUAUAAACUGUAGUUUUAAAAACAAACCUUUUACUACUGUUUUGUAUUAUAAGUCCUAGUCAGGCAGCACGGUGGCAAUUUGAUUUUUUUCCUGUCUCUCAUAGUGCUGCAUAUAGACACAACUGAAGACACAGACAUGGCAUGAGAUGAUGUCUUUUAUCUGAGAUGAGCAUGACCUUUUUGUUUAUACAUUUCAAAAUGAGUUAUACAUGUCCUUUUAUUUUGAAAGGGUUAUUUUAUCAUUUAUUAGCAAGUGCUAGAAUUUAUUACUAAGAAAAAGAGUCGUUUUGAAUGUCCCAAGGAACAAAAAUGAGUGAGUUAUGUCCACAUGGUGUCGGAGAGCUUCUCUUAGUACGACACAAGAAAUGCUUUAUGCAUCACAUGUGUGACUUGUUUGCACUGAUCUGCUUCAGGUGUGACAUGGAAGAAAAGAAGGAUGAAGAGGAAAGCACUAUGAAUGAGGGUGAAGCUGAUGUUGCUAUUGCCCAUGCAAAGAGACUCAUUCAAAGCGGUGUCCAGGCUUCUGAUAUUGGAAUUAUCACCCCUUAUGCUGCACAGGUAUCAAAAACUCCUGAAUACAUAAAAUCAGAACGUGGGUUUCUACAUUAUGCAAAUACUUUAGUAGAAUAGAUAUUUCUCUUCUCUUCACUAUAUCAGAUCUAGUAUUGCAGGUUUUCAUACUGAAGAAGUUGAAAAGCAAUGAAGAAAAGCUAAAGGAUUUGGAAAUUUCAACAGUCGAUGGCUUCCAAGGCCGGGAAAAGGAAGCCAUCAUUAUUUCAAUGGUUCGGUCAAACUCAAACAGAGAGGUAUACUUGUCGCUGGUUCUGUUGCUAAUGCAUAAAAAAAAAUAAAAAUAAAAAUAAAAAUAAAAUAAAAAAAUAGAUUGUAGACGUCUCAAUUAUUAACUAAAUUUUACAACCUAAACAAACUGAAUUGGGAAUUUUGCUAAAAAUACUCAGGUUGGGUUUCUGAGCGAUCACAGGCGAAUGAAUGUGGCUGUGACACGAGCAAGGAGGCAAUGUUGUCUUGUCUGUGAUACUGAGACAGUGAGUAACGAUGCAUUCUUGAAGCGAUUGAUAGAGUACUUUGAGGAGCAUGGUGAGUAUCUAAGUGCCUCAGAGUAUAGCAAUGAAUGAGGAAAAGUACCCUGGCAUCAACAGGUAUGUGUGUUUGGUGGCAUAGCUCUGGAUAUAUUGCCCCCAUUGCUUGUGCUGCUGAACAAUAUUUAUAUUCUAAUUAAAACAGUUUCUAAUCUCAAAAGAUAUUUGUACCUAUUGGAAAAUCUUUUGGCCUGGUUAUACCUGUUUGAAACUAGUUACUUCAGCUUUAUUCUCAUUACCAAUUUAGAUUGUUCCUACUACAUUUUGUCAAAAAAGAAGUUCGGACUACAUGUUUCUUCGCGCUCUUCAUAUCAACUUGAAACCAAGAAGAUAUUAAGAAGCAAAAUGAUAUUUUGAUUCAUAGUAACGCGAAUCACAUGAUUUCCUACUGACGGAAGAAUGAACUAAUUCUCUCCAUCCUGAAGCCACUACAACUGAUAAAAGAUGAGUAAACUGAUUUCAACCAGCUCAUACAUGAUCAGAAAUGUGGCUGAAGAGCUAUGAAGUAGCACAGUUUCCUCUAUAAUCCAACUAAGCUAGUUUAUGCGACUACAAGUGGCCACAUCUCUAAAAAGCUUCUUCUCCUCGGUACAAAAACAAGCUUUAUUUCUUCAGAAGUUCCAAAUGGAAGUGGGGAAAGACAGCUCUUCGUUCACAUCAUAAAUAUGAAAAGUACCAGUUUCUGCUCCUUGAUUUUCCAUUGCAUGCAUCUCAAUCAAUGCGUCCCAGUUGAAAUUCUUGUCAGCAAAGGGUCCAAAUCCAUCACUAGUUUCUGUAAUGGAAGAUUCUGGAGCUGCAAAACUUGUGGUGUCGGAUUCUUCUGAUUGUCUCUCAUUCUUCAGCACACCUAGCUGCUGAAGAAACUCAUUGAGAUCUAUCUGUGGCUUCUCCUCCAGUCCUCCCACAACUUUCUCCGACGUAAUUUCUACGUCUUUCUCCUUAUUCUCUGCUACAUUUUCUUUCUGGGCUUUUUCCAUGGUGACGUGAGCCUCAGGUUUUGAGUCACAGGAAGAUGAACUAGAGGAAGGAGUAGUUUGACCAAAAACCCCAUUUUGCUUAAGCUCUUGGAGCCUCUGAUGAAUGACAUGAACACUUGGCUGGGCAUUGAUGUUGAGCAUUCCACAAGGAGGAAACAUGGAAAUGAAAUUUUGGGAAGGGAACCAUUUGAACUUUUGAGACUUAAGUGGAAGGUUGGAAGAGUUGGAUUGCAGGUGAGGAAGAUUGAGAAAAGCAUCAGGGCCAUAGAGUCUCCUGGCAGCCUCAUCAUAAGCCAUGGCAGCUUCUUCAGCGGUGGCGAAUGAGCCCAACCAGAGCCUGGUUCUCUUCUUUGGCUCUCUGAUUUCCGCAACCCAUUUGCCCCAAGUUCUCUGUCGAACGCCUCGAUACUCACACGAGGCGUUCUGAGGGCCACCUUUGCCUCUUGUAGGGCCUUUCUUCCAUGGCUUCAAUGGAGAUUUCCUCAAGUUGUCCAUGGAGGGUUGGAACUUGGAAGAAGGGAGAGUGAGAGUGAGAGUGCGUACAUGAGUAGAAAGGGCGCGGGAUAUGUAGUGAAUGGGAGUGCAGUUUUGGUUUAAAUGUUGUCACGGUGGGCAAAGUCCAUGCAUGUGACAGUUGUUUAGUCUAUAGCGCCAUUAGUAAGUGAGCUACAUUCCCAUUUCACCUUUUCAAAUUUUGACAUCCCAAUGGUAAAUGUGAGGAUUACAUGUUGAAAUGAGGGUCUAUCUUGAUUAAUAAAUUGAAUCAAGGUAUCUUAUAACAUGACAUGAUCAUCUGAAAAAAUCAAUUUUGUAUAAUCUUAGAACAGAUGUAUUAGGGAAUUUUCAAAUGUCAUUCUCUAAUCGAAAAUACAGAUAAAAUCAAGGGACUAUCCAUCUUCUUAACAAAAGUUGAUGUAGCUGAAAAACAAUUAUUGGUAAUAUAUAUACAAAUCACGGAGUAGAGAUUGACAUUCGAUCAGUGUUCGAGGAAUGAAAAUAUCGACUAUAUGUGAUUAUCAUCCUGUGAGCCAAGUAGUCGUGGUCAUUCUCAUUCCAACCUUUCUGCUUAGUUGCUUGGUCACAAUCUUCCUAUGUGAGGAACCCUUAUUAGUAAAACAAAUCAUCAAAACAGUAUAACCAUAGUACAUGGAUCUGUUUUGUUCUUGUUGAAUAUUUGCUCUCUUUGUUUAUUUGAUCUUUUGCAACUCAAGAAACGAAACAGUUUUAGGUGGAAGGAUUACAUUUCUCUUAGAUGACUUGUCUGUUCUUGUUUCAACUUUCAACGCAAGUAACAUAGUGGCCUGUAUCACUGGGUGUUAUCUUUUAAUCUUGCAUCAAGAUAUGCUUACAUAUUCGUAUUUUUUUUAACAACUUUUGAUAACUUAAAAUACUAACAAUAGUAAUAAUUUCAUAUAAAUCGUCAUUUUGCCCUUUGAAUUUCAUCAGAUGUAUGAUGUAUCUGAAAUUGGUGAGUAUAUGAGAUUUAAGGUGUAAAAGCCACGGAGUUAAAGAUGAAAUUUGCCCAAAAGAAAGUGAUUUGUGUUCAAAACAAAAUGGAGACACAUAGGAGUGUAAGGCCAAAUUAUAAACCUCUUAUGAAACAAAGCUCUUAGUUAACACUAAAAACUAAAACUGAAAAGCAAAAAUACAGCAGAUAUUAUAUAUUGCAACGUAUUUGAAGCUUUAAAUGUGGUGGUGGUGGUGGUGACUGGAGAUGUAGCUAGAUAGCCAUCUGUUUUUGACUUAUGAGUAGUGUCUGGAGCUGAAUUCUUUGAAUGAAAUCUGACAGUCUCCCUUGGAUUCCAUUUCAUAGGAGUUGCUUCUUCACUCUUCAGUAAUGACUUGAAUUCCCAGAGAAUGAGAUCAAGAAGUAAUACCCACCUCACUACAUUUUUCAUUUUCACGAGCUCUUCUAUUUCACAUGUUUUCCUGCCAUUCACAACCUGAUGCCCGGGACUCUCCUCACCUUUAUCCCAUGCUUGUCCUCUCUUCUAUUUCACAGGUGUGAAGCUUGGCUUCAUGUUCAUCCCUAUGUUGUAUAUGAUGAUGCAGCUGAUGACGCUGUUACCACAACUACAAGCACCUUCCUUGUUUCUUUUAAUUUUCGAAACAUUGUGCAAUGUACACAUAGUUUUCCGAUAAGAAACCGCAGAGUCUGGAAAGUAAAUGAACCAAACGGCUGGGCAUUAGAGGCAUAUAGAUAUAAGCAGUGAAUGGGAUCGAAACUGAAGGGUAACCAGAAACCGGUGGUGGAAUGUUCUGUAAGCCAGUUCAUUGAGCAAUAGAGAGCAAGAUGAUUGUGGGUGUCGGAACAAAUUACUCCCAUUUUUCAUAAUGAUUUUCAUAAGUCUUUCAUAUAUGUACAUACUGUUACAGAUUGCGCAGGUGCCGAUAAUAACACAAUGGCAGAUUGAGAAUGAUUUGCAAAAGUUAACACGCCCAAAACAACAUACGAGUCCAGUAGAUAUAACAUCAAGGGUUGAGAAUGACCAACUCCAACUCCGAUUAUCUCCGUACUCCGUCCAACUGAGCAUACUCAAAACUCUCUUUCUUUCCACACUUGGUGACUAAAUUGCUGAAGCCAAGAAAUCUCAAUUUAAAAAACUGCCCAAUAAUAUGGAAAGCUAUUAAUUAACAAAUAUGCACAGAGGAAGAAAAACAAACUAUCAUAUCAUCAAGUGAAUGAGCACUACAAACACUUUUACAAGGAUUCUUAGUUUCUGUGGAAAUUUGAAGUAAUACGUUAGUUUAAUUCAAAACACUAGAAGUAUAAAGCUACUUAUCAUUCCGUAUUUGACAAUUGAGCUUUGCCAUUAAACCUGAGAUGCACUGUUCUCCUUGAUACAGACCAACUAAAAACUCCGGUCAAUUUGGUCCAAAGACUGCUUUCAAUGUCCUAAAACUAAUCUGAAUGUCUAGCAACUGAAAACUAAGAACUAAUCUGAAUGUCCUACUAAGAAACUGGAAGGUGGACCAGACGUGAGCUCCGUGGCAAAUCAUAUUAGCCACUACAAACUACUUUAGGUCUUAGGUCAUGACAUGACCCACAAAUGGUACUUAGUCUUGAUAACGGUUCCUUCACUAAGUUCCAUGGGUGUUGAAAUUGCUCCUCCUAUAAAAGAUCAAUUUGUUUGCGAGUCUUCAAAUGCCGCAUGCAAUAAUUGACUAACUACCAAGGAUUAGCCCCUGCUGUUGCAUCAAUUCAUGUUUAAGGACAAAGAGAAUACAAGAUAUCGAAACUGUUCAUAACUAAAUGAAACUCGUCACCUGGUCCCAGAAGUCUCUACACGAUACUCAUAAUUCAGAGUUACUGUUUGUAAUUUCAUAUGAAAUUGGUAGUGUCAAGUGAAUUACUAAAUGUCAAAGAGAGCAAUGCUUACAUGCAAAUGACCACUUCAUUGAAUUCCCUUGCAUUGGUUCCUCCAUUUAUCCUUGAGGUCUGACAGAAACACAUCAUAACCAAAUUCCAAUAUCUGCUUCCAUGGCAUUCUUGUUUCAUCAUUGCAUUGAAAUUUCUGCACUCCCUUCUGCAACAGUAUUAAAGAUGUCAUCAAAUAUCCGAAAUUGGAAGCAAAAAGUAUAGAACAGAAGGCAGAACAGAACAGAAAGAAAAAUGCAUAUUUUGUUGGUCCUCUAGAUAAUAAUAACCAAAUUGAACAAGGCACUUCAAGGACCCAAGUAGUUUGAAGUUUUGCACCAACUGUUAGUCUCUUAUGUAAUUGAGGAAGACAUGAAGCAAUUAUUUAACGGCAGGCCAGGUAUAUGAGAUGAAAUGCAGCUAUGACAAAAUCAUAUCUCUGAAGAUUCAUUGAAAAAGAAAUCCAAGAACCUUGAGCAUCUCUUCUUCCUCAACAGUCCAUGGAAUCUUUUUUCUCCUUGACUGAGUCAUUGCCAGCUGAGUGAGCGCUACAAUACAGAAAAAGAAAAGUAAAUUCAAUUAACUAUCCUCACAAAACCCUAGGAAAAAGAACUAUUAGAUUCUAAUGAAAUCACUGUUUUCUAAACAAACAGGUAACGUUGUGGGUCAACUGGGGCGAAUAUACGCUUACGUUUAUAACUCCUGGUAACAUAAACACUAACGUUUUCAGACAUUAUUUGAGCAUAUGCAGAAUAUUUCGCAAUUUGAAUAGACAGGAUGGGAAAAUUAAAAUGUACAAGUAGAAUUGCAACACUUGGAAAUAUAAUCAACCUACCACGGAUAUUUGCCCCUUUUUCUUAAGGACUCAUCAGUAAUGUGCUGCUGCAGGACUUCUUGCUCAGUUACUGCACCAGCUUUUCCUUGGUCAACAAGGAUGCUCUGUGUGGUUUUACUUGAAAAAUUAUCACCUUCCAAUACUUGGUUUUGAAAUUUAUCCAGGCCUGCAGACGCACAUUCAUGGACUACCGUUUCUUCCGCAUCUUUCUCACCAGCUGGUACAUGAACUUUUCCACGAAUGGAAUUGAUGUCAGUGCAUGAUGAAGAAGGUGGUCCUUGCUGCUUAUCAUAGAUAAUUCUGUGAAACUGGACAUCAUCAACUUCAUUUAUAUGUUCUUCACAUUGAUUUCCCUGAUCAGGUCUCCCGAGAAGAUUAUCCUCAAAUUUCCUAGUGCAAUUAUUCUUUUUGCUAUGUGUUUUUCCAACAGGUUCCAUCAGUUGGUCUUCCAAAUGAGCAUGAACAAAUGCAUUUAGCCCUGUAUCUAACUGGGAAGUUUUUUUCUUAGCAUCAAGGUAAGCAGUAAGAGCACGAGAAUAUGAACAGAAGGGGCAGUAAAAGUUACCCUUCUGAUAAGAAAUGGCUGAGGAACGCAGCCAGUUCUCAUGAACCACCACAGGACAAUUACUUGUUUUACAAGUCAAAAAUUGACCACCUUCAUUACAGUCCAGAGAACGAUUUUUAUUUGUGACUGUUGUCUCGAAGGAAUCAUGACUAGAUGUGCAUUGAGAAAUCAAGAAAGCAUGCUUCUUCAUGGCAGCAUCAACCUUCUUAUCAUAAAAACCAUCACUUUCAUUUGAUGUUUUUUUGCUAUGUAAAUCCUUGAGCUGUUUGGAUUUAUCAGCAACGCUCUUCUGCUGGGAGCCAUCUAAAAGUGCAGGGUAUGCCGCUUUAAUAUGAGAAUCAUGCUCACUGACACAAUCUGACUGUUUAGAAUUCUUCUGCUGCGUUCCAUUUAGAGAAGCAACACCUGAUGAACUUGGUUUUGAACAAUGCUCAUAAUAGUCUUUCUGUUUAUUAGCAAGGCUCAUCCGCUGGGGUCCAUCUGUGGUUGCAGGGUGCAGCACUUUAAUAUGAAAAUCAUUAGCAGUGUUAUCACUGAAUACAUUAGCAGACACUGUAUGCUGGGAUCCCUCAGGAGCACCAAAACCUGAUGCUCUUAGUUCAAGCUGAAACCCACCAUAAUUUUUGGUUUUAUCAACACAUGCAUGUUGACACGCUUCAUCCUGAAUUAUGUCUUGAGGCAUUGAAGUGGUAGUACAACCAUUCUCCAACUGACUCUGAUGGGUUGCAUCAUAAGUGCUUUGUCCAUUCCUCGUUGACUCGGUAUAAUCAUCCUCUAAGACCCUGACUUCCUCCAUCAGUUCCAUUUGACCUUCAGCCAAGUCACUCCUUAACCUCUCAGAAACUGGAACAUCUCUUUCGGAUGAAUCUUCUGAACAUAACGGAAGUUGGUUCUCCACUAUAGACUGUAAAACAUAAUAGGCAUCCCACACUUUCCUUUUGGCUCUUUUAUGGAUAUCAUCAGAAUAAUUUACCCUUUUAUGGUUUUCACCACCCAUAUUUUCAGGAUCCCGGCCAGUGCCUUCAACAGCAUUGCUUAGUUGCUGAGGUUCAUCGGUGGAUGAAAGAAGCGGUACAAUAUGACUACUACACUUGAUUUCUUUAGCGGAAAUCUUAUGCUGGGUUUCACCUAGAGGAGCAGCAUUUGAUACUAUUAUUUCGCAAUCAAGUCCACUAUCAUCUUUGGCUUCACCAACACAAGAAUAUUGGUGGCCUUUAUCCUGAAAUGUAUUCUGAGGCACUGAUGUUGGAUUAGAAUGAUUUUCUGUCUGAUUCUUUUGGAUUGCAUCAUCACUGCUCUGUCCACAUCUCUCUGACACAGCAUAAUCACUGUGACCAUCUUCUACCCUGUUUGGCCCCAUUGCCAUCUGACAUUCUGCCACGUCACACCUUUCACUCAUAGAAACUGGAACAUGUCUUUCAGACAUGUCUUGUAAACGCUCUCUUCCAUGUAAAGGAAUUCGGUUCUGUUCUACUUCUAUGGACUGUGAAACAUGUGAGGCAUCCCACUUCAUCUUUUUCGCUUCAAUAUGCCAAUCAACGGAAUCAUUUACCCUUUCACGCUUUUCAUUAUCGGAUCCAAUCCUAUUCCUUUUGGAAAGCAAAAGAUUUUCAUUCUCUGAUUUCUCUUCCACGCCUGUGUUUUGAGCACUAGAGCAGCUCUUAUUUAGACUUUUAUUACUCCCACUCACAUAAACUAAAUUAGCAUCACUUGUGAAUGUUAAACUGCUCUUUUCUCUCAAGACAUCAGCAUGCGGAUGGGAGCCAUCAAGCAUCGACUCUUUCAACUGCUAGUAAAGAAAACACAUUCCAUUUCCAGGCAACUAAAGAAAAACUAACCGAUCAAGAAAACUGCAAUGAGAACAUCAAAAUGCAUAACGUACCUGUUCCAAAGCACAUUUUGGCAGAGAAGCAUUUUUAUGCACAAUAAAGGGGUGAAUAUCCCAUUUCAACAGCCCUGGUCUACCGUUUCCCAAAUCAGACUCCAGUGUCUGACAAAACAAAACAAAACAAAACAUAUCUCAUCUCAUUAUUUGAAGUUUUGAACAUACUCCCUACCUCCAAGAACUCCUCAAAAAGACAAAAUUCUUCAAAUUUAACCUCUUUCAUUUCAUAAUUCUAAUGACUUGCACAUUAAAGGUGAAAAGAUCAAAACUUUACCUCAUCGAUGAUGCGUUUGAGGACACUUUCGCAACUUUCGGAUAAAUCAAAACUGAUUUUAGAAUUCUGGGAAGAUAGAACAUGAGUACUCAUCCGGUAAUCACUGCUAGAGCCAAAUAAUUCCUCCAAACAUCUGAGAGCAAUCCUUUCCCUUGCAUUUUUGGACAUGUGAUCAGGUAAUGCUGAGCCUAUCUGACCCAACAAAUCUGAGAAAACAACAAAGUCCUGAUCUUCACUCACACUGUUCAAGUGAAAUAAUAAUGAUAAAUAGCGUGAAAUUGAGAUUGAAGUAAAAAUGGAGGUACCCCAUAAGACAGAAACACCAACUUGUUUCAUGGUGGCCACGCCUUCGACGACCCAGAGCCAAGCAAUGGCUUUCUGCUGCUCACUCAUGUCGUCCAUUGGAGUUGGAGUCUGAAAGAGGCUGCAGCAGAAGAAGCUGUGGAACUGGAAUCCCCCAAUACAAUAGUUUAAAUUAUAAGCCGAGGGAAGAGGGACCGGGCCCUUUUGGGCACACACCAUUUUCACACUGAUGUACUGUGCUUCUAUUGUUAUAUUUUAAGAGAGUGAAAUUUUUAAUUUACACUCCCUAAAUUGUAAAUCACAUGUUUUUUUGUCCGUCAUUUCAACUACUUUAAUCUUCAAGUUGAAGGCAACUCCUCUGUAAUCAUAAACUGCAUCAAAGGCAAGUGUGACACCUUAUGACCUAUCAAAUCGUUCAUAUCAGACAUCGUUGUUGACUAAGCCUUCUUCGAGAAUAUCUCUAACCAUGUUUGCCAUGAGGCAAAUUUCCUAUCUAAUGCUUUGGCUUUUAUGGGCAUGCUUUGUGUCACGAGCUACACUAAAAGGCAGUGUCAUUGUGGCACUCCAAUGAAUGCCCCUCAGGGGCAUGUCAAUGACAAGCAUGAGGGCUCACAUGAUGUUAAGUGGCAAGUCGUAAGUGGAACUUCUAGUUCACUUCUAGUUUGAAGUAUUUCGACUUGGAAUUUGGGAAAAGUCUUAACACGAAAGUUGUCUGGAAUGUUGAAACGAGUUCAACACUUAACGGUAUAUUUUAUGAUGUCGCUUGAAUUAUUUAUGAAUUAUUUAUAGGAGUUGGUCCUCCUAGGCUUUUUGAUAUUUCCUCUUGCCAAGUGAGAAUUUGCACGAUAUGUUCUAUAGAGAGGUACCUGGUGUCAGACUCUCCACCACCCUAGGUGCUGGCCUUCAUGGGGCAUUAAGCGAGCCAUUCCUAGGAUCCAAGAGCUUGGUGUAUGUCAUUAGGAAGGGGCAACAUGCAUCUCCAUGAGUCAUGAAGUCUCAUGGACAGUAUCUGUCGGCAAGCUGAUAUUGCGGUCCCAUGUUGAUGGCGAGGUUCAUAUGUGGUAGGUCCUGAUGCCAUCGGCAUGGGAAAGCGUGUGGGCUAAAAAAAUAUAUGUUGGGAUCUCGCGCGUGGUGCUCAUUGGCCACAAAGUAAGUGUCGCGUGCAUGGGUUUGGGUUUGACCAUGCCCCUAGGUGAAGUGCUGCCAACAAGCACAGAAGGGCGACACCGUGCUAGAUGAAGGGAAACCAAAGGUGGGCAUUGAGAAGGUGAUGCCUACUCAAGCAGUAUGCUGACAAGGUAUGCUAGCAAGCCAGACAUGUGGGGGGUUAAGAUCAAGAGGUGAGCCAUGUGACGAACCUCGCUAACAAGCCCUCAAGGCAACAAAGAUGUGCAAGCUCUUAGGAAUAACCCGACAAGUAAAGUCGAAGGCCAACUAAACCAUGGUGUAUUGUCAUGGCACUUGCUACAAGGUGUAAGAUGCACUCUGGUCAACAACGGGUUGGCACAUGCCAAGAUGAUAAGGAAUCCUAUCAGUUGGGUGAGUGUCUUGGGAGACAACCAUGACACAUGGAAGCGAUCGGUUAGUCAUAAGGUGUACGUGAGACUCAUGCGUGAGUAACUUUUGUUUGUGAAACCCCUAUAUGUGUGAGGAUAAUGUGUGAAGGGUCGGAUUGACACGGGAGGCACACAUCACAAAACUUCCUUCCUUUAGCUACUAAGAUGUUUCAAUUCACUAAAUUUUAAAAGUCCAAAGAGUGCAAACUUGCCACAGAGCUUGGAUACGGUUUUUGAUCGAAGAUCCUUGGAUCAUAGACGGUAUCUCCCCAUGGUAUUUCGCUUCUAAAAGCGGCAUUCCUUCUUAAUGCCCGGGUAUCCAUUCAAUGCAUUUUUUACGGUCUUGUACUAAGAUACAGUGAACACGAAUAGAACCGUCGAGAGAGCUUUUUAUUUACUCAACCAGUAAAGGCGCCCCAACUUGAAAGUCUUUUGUAAUUCUAUAAAGGGUGUCACAUCCAGGGCCGGCCCUGAGAUUUUCAGGGCUCUAGGCGAAAACGAAAAUGGGGCUCUCAGUCUCUCACCUUCAAAUAUAUAUAUUUUUAACUUUUUUCUUCUUUCUUUGAAAGUAAUUUAGUAAAUUUAAGUAAAAUUCACUAAUAAGGUUAACAAUACAGCAAUCUUAAAAUGAUGAUGGUAUAAUGCAUCAAAGAAAGAAAUCUAAAAGGAAAACAGAAAAAAUAAAUAAAAAUUAUAUGUAUAUAAGAAGGGAAAGAAUAAUAAAAAUAAAAUACAUGCAUACAAAAAAAAAUCAAAGAUGAAAAAAAAAAUUCAAAGUUGAAAGCGCGUUUCGAACCAGUUAAGUCCUCCAAUUGUAACAUUCGCUUUUGCCACCACGUCAACAACAAUUAAUGUUUCUUCUAAGAACUUCUAUUUAUAUAUUACAUUUUAGUAUAUUUAAAAAAUCAGAAAACUUGAUUUUAUUUUUCAGGGGCCCGUAAGUUUGGGGGCUCUAAGCACAGGUCUUCUGGGCCUAUAGUCAGGGCCGGCCCUGGUCACGUCGUAUGAUCUUUCUAAGUAUAUAUCAUUGUCUUCUCAUAAAAAAAAAUAAUAAUAAAAAAUAAAAUGAAUGUCCAAAUGCUAAGCAUCCAAGAAUAUAUUUGCAUAUGCUUCAGGGGCGCGCCCCUAAACAAUUGAUCUAUAAUAACAAAUAUGUGAUGCUAGAACUAUCUAUUUAAGAAAUAGAAUUAAAUUCAGUUUACCCCUUCAAACUUUAGCUCUAAAAUCAGUUUGGUCCCUGAACUUUUUUUUUUAAUCAGGAUGAUCCCUAUACUUUAAAUUUUCAUCAGUCGUCUCCAAAUUUUGACUUUGACUCUAACCAUGAUGUCACAUGUUGAGUUGGCUCUGACAUAAGGGAUUAUUUUUCAAACUUUGACCCUCUCAGCAAGGUAUAUGACAUUUACACAUAUUAAACCUUAAUAAUAAUUAAACUCAUUAAUUAAUUCUCUUCCUAUAAAAACAUAAUUAUAAUUCUCUUCCUCUCUAAUCUCUAUAUUUCUCUCGUCAUUCCCUUCUCUUCUCUGUGCCUUUUCUUAUGUCAAUCAAUCUCGAGUAGGAAGAGGAGACCAAGCUCCUCUUAAUUGAUCAAUGAAUUGCUAACUUGAUCCAAGAAUUCCUAUUCAUCUUCACAGGGAUUGGUGGCGGGGCAUGCUCUAUGCUGGGGGUGGAGAGGGACUGCUAAGAAAGAAGUGUUGGGGUGGGGAGGGAUUGCUAAGAAGAAAGAUGAAGAGAAGGGGCCAGCAACAAGGAAUAGGCUUUUCACCACUUCAAUUUCAUAUUCUAAUUUCUAUUUUUCUUUCUUCCGUCUCGUUUAAUUUUUUCUUUUUUGUGUUCAUAUGAAUGCAUCGGUUGCUUUAGAUUUUCGUUUUUAUUUGGGUAUAUGAGAUAGUUUUUGCAGGGUGGAUAUGUCUUAUCAUUGAGUUUCUAGCAAAAUCUAGUGUUCUAGAUGUGUGUGGUUUUGACAAUGAAGAGAUGGGUAUAGAAGUAGUCCUGUUGGAGAUGGGAGGGUGUGGUUGAGCUGGUGAUCAGUUGAGUAAACUUAUGAAGGGAUCUGAGUUUCAGGGGUUAAAGUUUAACAUAAGAGGGUAGGUAAGACAUUUUAUCCAAAUUUUAGGUCAAAUUCUGAUACGUAGGUCCUUAUGUCGUGGCCAACUCAGCUUGUGAUGUCAUGUUUAUAGUCAAAUUCGAAAUUCAGAGAUGACUAAUGUAAAUUGAAAAAGUAUAAGGAUCAUCCUGAUUAAAAAAAAUGUUCGAGGAUCAAACUGAUUUUAGAGCUAAAGUUUAAGGGGAUAAACUGAAUUUAAUCCUAAGAAAUCUAAUGUUGUCAAACUAUUACAUACUAGUAUUUCAUAAUUUGAUUGGUUUACCCACAAAAGGGUAGCAAGGCGCGCGUAUAAAGUCUUAGACUUAGAGCAUCUCUAAUGAUAGUGUAAUUUUUUUGGUCAAAUUUAUACAAAACCUUCUCCAAUAGAAAGGUCAAAUAGCAAUAAUAUUUUACUUUUUUUCAAAAUUUUCUUACUUUUUAUAUCUUGCUAUUUCUCUCUCUUCUCUCUCUAUCCGUCUCUCCUUCUCAUUCUGUGCUUCUACUUCUGAGGAGACUACAACCAGCGAAAAUUAUUCAGCACACCCGACAUCUCCACCGUCCGUUUUAGCACGUGGACUUGGGCCGUUAGUUGGGCGUUUGCGGUUUGUUAGGUAGGCAAGUGAUGGCCUGAUGGGCGAUUAAGGGCAGAGUGGGCAGAGGUAAGUUGAUCCGCUCUUGUGUUCUCACUCAGAAACUCAACUUUAUGGUUUCGCCAUCGUCGACGAUGGUAGCGAUCGUCUUCGUCUUCUUGUAUGGAAGAGAGCUACAUUACAGGCCCUGAUUUUCUUCUUCCGUUGCACCUUACCAAUCUCUACUGGUCCAGAACCGCCAAGAGAUGGUCAACCGCCACAGCCUCCACGACGCGGCGGAGGAAGCCGACGCUCUCCGUUGAGCUGAACAAGCAACUCAGUCUCCUCAUCCACGCCUCCAUCCAGAAAGAGAUCGAAGCUUCUUCAAGCUCUGUGGAGGUCGCCGUUUGGGAUCGUCAACAGGAUUUGUGGCCUAUAAAUGACGGCAAGGAGUCCUAUAUUGUUUCUGUGUGUUCAAGUUUACUUUUACUCAUGGGAAUUGUAUUUACUUUCACUCUCUGCAGCAUCUCCAGAAUUAGCUUUGAAUCAGAUUUGAUUAUCAAUUUUGUUUAGUGCUCUUCCAGUGUUUGUUUACUUUUGAUCCAUGGAAUCCUUUGAGUUUUAAAUUGGGGGAGAUUUGGGCUGCAUUGCAUGAGUGGAACCCUUAGUUCAUAGAGUUCAUUUAGACUGGGUAUAUAAGCAAUGCACAUAACCUGUUUGUAAAAAUGCCAGAAUGAGAUUGGUAAUGAUACUACCAGUAAAUAUAUUCUUAGAACAUUGCAUCUUCUAAUAUAGUGUUGAUUUGUGAAAGCAUGUAGUUUAACUGACAUAUUUAAGCUUUACAUAUAAGUAAUGCACAUGAACUGGUUUGUGAAAAUGUAAAAUUGUGACGUGUGAUGAUUCUUUCACUACCAGAAGAAAGGCUUUAGCCGACGAAAAUAAAAAAACCAAGCCGACGAAUUAUUUUUUUGUGGGCUAACGUGGCCUUUAGCCGACGAAAUUUUCCUUCGUCGGCUAAUUUAAAUUUUCAUAGGCUAUGGUCAACUGUAGCUGACGAAAUUAAAAUUUCAUCGGUGAAAAAAAUUUUUUCAUCGGCUUUAGUCUGUAAACUUUAGCCGACGAAUACCCUAAUAUUUUGUUGACUAAACCCUAAACCUUAGCCGACGAAUACCCUAAUAUACGACUUGUUGCGUCUCAUCGAUUUGAAACUAUUUUCAGUUGAAGGUUCGGCCAAAAUACGUAAUUUAGACGGUCCAAUGACCUUUUCCGUGCGUUUAGGGGUUUGACUUACGGGAUUGACCGUCCGAAUCUAGCCCUUAACCUUAUCGGAUCAAGUUGAAUUUUUUCCCAUACAUGUAUUUUAUCAUGACGGUCGGAUUUUCGUUUCUCAAGUUUGAUCAUCACAAUCACAACAUGCCUACUAAUGUUGCAUAACUUGUUUACCAAGUGUUAAGUAAAUGUUCCGUUUCAAAAACAAACUAUACGUAGAACCUUCAAACGCAAAAAAUUCGUGAAAUAAGAUAUUACCAUAAUGGUGAAAUACGUCUACGGUUGAAAAAUCACGGUAUUCCAGUAAAGUCUCGGUGCUGAUAGUUGCAGUCAAUGUAAUUUUUCAUUCUUUCUCCCUAUGGGUAGCCUUAUCUUCGGUGGUUAUUUUCCGUAAAAUUUUUAUACGACUUGUUGCAUCUCAUCGAUUUGAAACUAUUUUCAGUUGAAGGUCCGGCCAAAAUACGUAAUUUAGACGGUUCAAUAACCUUUUUCGUGCGUUUAGGGGUUUGACUUACGGGAUUGACCGUCCGGAUCGAGCCCUUAACCUUGUCGGAUCAAGUUGAAUUUUUUCCCAUACAUGUAUUUUAUCAUGACGGUCGGAUUUUUGUUUCUCAAGUUUGAUCAUCACAAUCACAAUGUGCCGAAUGUAUAAAAAGUACUAUAGCCGACGACAUUAUUGAAAAUUCGUCGGCUAUAGUUAAUAAAAUAAAAUAAAACAAAUAAAUUGAAAAUAUUAAAUAAAAAGUACUAUAGCCGACGAAUUUCAUUAUUUUAGCCGACGAAUUUCACAGGUUUAGCUGACGAAAUAAAAUUUCGUCGGCUAAAGGUAUAGGGUAUAUAAUUAAACCCAGCGCUGGGCAGCCUCCACAACGCUCCAAAAAACCCUAAAAAACCCACCACCGCCUCCUCGAGCCCACCACCGCCUCCUCGAGCCCUCCACAGCCUCCUCGAGCCGUCCUCGAGCCUCCUCCUCGAGCCAUCUCUGUUAUGCUCCAGCCCCGAUCCCUCCUCCUCUUCACCGUCCUCACUAUCUUCCUUAUCUUCGUUUUCACUUCCACCCAUCAAAAGGUAACUCUUUUCUUGACUUUGCUUGCUCUGUUUGCUUUAAUUUGCGGAUUUGGGUUGUUAAUUUGUGAUUUGCAAUGUGGGUUUGAUCGAUUUUGUUGAAAUUUCGGUGCUUUUUGACCUUUGGAAAUUUGUGGUACUAUGGAAUUUGGGAAUGAUUAAUGCUAAAUUGGGAUGGUAAUGAUUUGGAAUAUUUGAUAUGGUGGAAGGGUGGUUGUUAUAGAUGUUGAACUCUACUGGUUGAGUGGAGUCUUGGAUGUUAGGAAAGCUGCUAGGUUCUAUAGUAGUGUGAUUCUAGUUCAUUCUUAUAUAUGAAUGUAUCUUAUGCGACUGGCAUUGUAGUACAAUUCAAGUUUAGGCAUUUUGUUUCUGGAAGCAUCGUUUCUAGUUGUGGGUUCUUACCCGAUUUGUGAUCUGUAUGUUCAGGGUAUUAGUUGCUGGUUUGUUGAAAAUAGAGACAAGGUUUUAGAAAGAAAGAUUGGGUUGGCUAGGAUUAAUAUUUCUUGCUGACUUGAUGAAGAUAGAGACUGGUUUCUAGAAAUCAAGAAUUGGGCGGUUAGUCGGGGGAUUAAUAUUACGGUAGUGUCUUGGUUAUUGUCUUUGUUAAGGAUACUAAUAUGGGACGACUCAAUUUGGCUGCAGGUUAUUUCAGUUCUUUUGGUUGACCAGCACCGUUUUGGUGGUCUGUAGUUCUAUCUUCAUUUUAUUGAAUAUUGGUUUUGUUACUUGUGCUUUGUGCUAAUUUUAAAUCUAUAAACAAAUGAAUUUGUAGUUUCUAAUUUGAAUCAUUUGAUUAUGUAGGAGGAAGAGAAAGUAGAAGAAGCACCUGAAAUAACCCAUAGAGUAUACAUGGAUAUUGAUAUUGAGGAACAGCGCUUAGGUAUAGUUUUAUGCCAAUACUUUCACAUGAUCUACCUACUGUUGAGUGCCCAUUAAUUUCUUAUUCACUGAUGACAUCCUAUUACUACUUUUCAUUCCUCAGCCUUAAUUCAAAUUAAUAUUUUAAACAGGAUGAGUGGUAAUUUUAGAUUGACGAAGGGUUCGAAGGGCCAAAGGUCCGAAUCGUCUGAGAGAACCUCUAGCAACCCUCAAACGUCGUUUCGGGGCCCCAUGACAGCUAAACGUGCGACCCUUCUGGAGACGGCGCAGAGGCAUCCGAGCGUUUCCCAUUCCUCGAGGUAGCCGGAGGUGCCCCCUUCAUCGAGGCAGCCAGUCGUCCCUCAUUCCUCGAGGCAACUAUGGCCUUAGACCCAGACGGAGGUGUCUGCACCCUGUAUGCCUAAGAUACACCGGGCGUGUCACACCCCAAUUUUCGAAAGAUAAAUUUUCAAAAAUUUGGGCAUGAUAUAUCUUAAAAUCUUAAUAUCCCAAAACCUGCUCAACAUCUAUCAAACUAAAAACAAAUACUGGAAAUGCAAAUGUCAACAAACUCAACAACUGAGUUAAACAUUAUAUCUCUUUAAUUACAUCAACUUCAAAAGUCUAGUAAUAAUAACGUCGCUCACAAUAACAAGAGCUAGCUAACCACCGAAACCUAGAGCUAGGAAACUGCCGGAUGCGCUGCCACACGCCACCUUAGGUGGCGGUGAGUGGGCCCCACGCGCCACCCCAACAACUUCAAAAUCUUGACAAACUUCCAACAGCAAACUAGUAGAUUGAAGCAAGGGGAGCAUCUUUUAUACUUGACGUUUGAGCCAAAUCGGCUGGAAACCGGCCGGAAAAGUUCAAAAACAGAGUGGCCAAGGAGUGCCUCCAAUCCGACUUCUAGACUUUAAGAUGAGGUGAAAGGGAGCUUGGAUCAUGAUUUAGGAGGAAGAAACGUCAAGAAACGAGCACCCUCGAUAUCCGGGUUCACCAGAAAACACCAACUCCGGCGGGCCACUUGAUGACGUUCUUCUCCGACCCCGAGCUUGGUCUCCGGCCUGAAACGCCGUGCUACGCCACUCCAGCCUUGGAGGCGAUGGCCAAGCGGACCCAAAGAGACCGGCGGCGGUCCAAGCGGUGGCCGGACGGCUGAGUUUCUUGCCGGCGACAGUGAGGGCGCGGGAGCGGCUUGGGAGGAAGGAGAGAGAAGGAGUUAGGGUUUUUCUGAAAAAUAUUGUUUCUAAAAACAACCCUCACAUUUUUUCUAUUUAACCAAAAAUCCCAUAAAGUCACGAACUUCCGCUGACCAUAACUUCUUCAUACGAAGUCCGUUUUACACGUGCCGCAUGUCUAUGAACUCGUAUCGCCAUGCUCUACAACUUCCAUGAAGGAAGUUUCAUGAGAAACCCAAUGAAUAAAAAGUCAACCGAAUAAAAAUAAAUAGAAACUAGUAUCUAAAAUUCCUGUAUAUUACAUUCUACCCCCCUUAAAAAAAUUUCGUCCCCGAAAUUUAAACCCAUUAAAUCACACCACACCUAGUGGUAAUUGAUCGACUUCUGACACACUCCCCUACAUAAAGUCAUUACCACCACAUGGCUAUCUAAACAGAAACAAAGGUUACCAUGGAUGCGAACCAGAUCACCACUCACUAAGAACUCAACCAAUCCAAAAACACCCAUCCCACAAAAGUCAAACCGCAACCAACCCAAUCAUAAAAUAAAACAUGCUAUCACACAUAAGACAAGUUACAAGGGAUUUUCCUCACGGGAAGUCUAACACACAAGUGUAACUACAUACAUAAGGCACGAACAACGAGACACCACCCAACACAACCUAUCAAAAGAGAACAAAUAACUCACCUGAAACUACUGGGUCGGAGGCAACUGCCUCUGUUGGUACCCCUGCCUGUCCUCCUGAGGUCGAGUACACUCCCUAGCAAGGUGCCCCACCUGCCCACAACUAUAGCAAGCCUGAGUCUUUCGCUUGUUGCACUCCUUCGAAAUAUGUCCCAAACCAUCGCAAAGGUAGCAUCUCCUAGGCUCCUCCUGUCAGAUAGGUGCAACUGGCACUGUAGCUAGAGCCUGCUGAUCAGUCCGCUGCCUCUUCCAAAAACCACCUCUGUGGUCCCCUGAACUGCCGCUCCCUGCUAGGGCCUUGCCCUUCCCUUGGACAUCUCUUUGUCCCUCAGCCACAUGCAUGGCCUCCUCCUGCUCAACUGCAAGGGCACUCUCAACCGCUUCUGCUAGAGUAGCAAAUCGUUGAGAAGUCACCAACUUCCGGAGCUCAUGCCUCAAACCCCGAAUGAACUUCCGAGCCAAAUCUACUGCAUCCAUCUCUCUAACAAAACGAUACAGCUGAGAAAACCGAGCCUCAUAAUCCCUGACACUCAUCAAGGCCUGCACCAGAGCUAUGAACUCAAGUUCCAACUGCUCCCUCACUGUAUCAAGAAAAUACUUCUCCCGAAAGAGCUGAACAAACCCCUCCCAAGUUAGGGCGGUCACAUCUCUAGAUCUCUCUACCCCGCUCCACCAUACCCGUGCCUCAUCCUUGAGAAGAAACGUAGCAAUAUGCAUCUUCUCAAUCUCCGUACACGUGAACAUGGUGAAGUAUGUCUCGAUGCUCUCUAUCCAAUGAUCAGCUACGAGGUAGUCUGUACCUCUAAGAAAAGAAGGCACUCUUAACCUAAUGAUACCCUGAGCCAGCCUGGCCAAUCGAAGACGAUCAUCUACUGCAACUGGCACCGGCACCUCCAACACUACCUCUUCCUCAAAGAAAUUAUUCACAGGUGGAGCCCUACCUUUGCCUCUAGCCCCACCUGCCCCUCUGGCUCUACCGGCCCCUCUGGCCCUACCUCUGCCUCUAGCUCUCCCUCGCGGUGUCACACUCCGGUUCUUAAGUUAUUUUACUGUUAUUUACUUUGGUGUUAUUUUGGUCUUUUACCGUGUUGAGUAACCGUUUACUACUUAAGGACCCUAAAGUUGACUUUUUCUUCCGUUUGGAAUUUGGGAAAACUUUCUUCAUGAAAGUUGUAGAGGACGUUAAACAGAGUUCAUGGACACGCGGCACGCUUAAAACGGAGUUCGUAUGAAAAAGUUAUGGUCUAAAAACAAAAAUUACUAUAUUGGUAAAAAGAGGUAAAUUCUUGUAGGCUUUAUUUUGUGGGUGUUUUAAGUUUGGACCGGGUCAAGAGGGGGUCAAAGCCCAGCCACACACUCUCUCUCUCUCNNNNNNNNNNNNNNNNNNNNCUCUCUCUCUCUCUCUCUCUCUCUCUCUCUCUCUCUCUCUCUCUCUCUCUCUCUCUCUCUCUCUCUCUCUCUCUCUCUCUCUCUCUCUCUUUCUCCCGAGUUCUCCCGACCCGGAAACUUUCCAGCCGUCGUCCGCCGCCGUCCGGCUGAGAUAGGAGGCGUACUUGGUAUCAAAUCGAAGCUUGGAACAUCCUCUUCAAUUCUAGGUAGGUGGCUGGUCGUGUUGCGCUACCGUGAGGGAGGAAUCACGCCGAGAAGGAGCGGCUGUGCGUGGUGGAGUUUCGCCGGAAACUCUCUUUUUCGGCCACCAUAGCCGGAGCUGUUGGUCUCAACUUGAAGCUCUCCCUCCUAGCAGCUAAACCCUAAAAGGAUUCAUCCUAACUCGAGCUAGGUAAGGAGAAUCGGGUGUUUGAAUUUCCUAAGGUUUUCUUGUUAUGUUUGGCUUCGAUUGCCCUAUUUAGGCUUGAAAUUGGACUUAAUGAUAGUUAUGAAAGUUGUUUGGGAUGUUGAGAGGAAGAUUGUGUCAAAAUUUGGUAGCAAUUGGAGGUCGCCGAUGUUCGGCUGCCGGCCGGCAGCGCCCCUUAAGGGCAGUUUUUCCUGUUUUUGAGAUGGUUUUAAUAAGAGGUGUUUAUUGAAGUAUAGUUUGGAAUUUUUGGAUGAGUUUUGGUUAGGUUUGGAAUUUUUCGGAGAUUGGAGAAAAUGCCGGUUAUUAGAAUGAAAAUUCGGCCGUUGGAUUUCCUUGGUAUUUAUUAUAGAAUGUUAGAAUUGAUGAAUUAAGGUUGUUGUGGAGUUUGAUGUGAAUCCGGCGAGUUUAACCCUAUUAAGAGUAGAGGGUUAAACGGAGGAGAGUUAGAUAUUUUAAUUCACGUAUUUAUUUUCUGGAAUUGAAAUUUGGUUCUAAGCAUGGUUGUUGUGCCAGGAUGCGAAAGGAACCUCGAUUGAGUGGCGAUGCGGUUAUCGUCGGCUUAUGCCUAAAUUUGUGAAUGGACAUUUUGGUUUUAAAAAUAAAUAUGCAUGCAAGAUUUUAUAAUCUAUCAUUUUAUUUUCCGAGCAUAUAAUAUAACUUUUCAGUUCAUGAGAUGAGCUAGAAAAUUAUUUGAGUUUGGUGCAUUUAUUAAGUGUUGGUCAUGAUUUAUGGAGUUGAGCUCGGAUUAUUAUUUUGAUAUUUGAGUUUGGAUAUUUUUAUAAAUUCCGGAUUUCAUUAAAUGGUUUUAAUGGUGGAUUUUGAGAUUUAUAUAAGAUUUCCAAAAAUGGGAUUUUCGGUAGUUUCCUAUUUUUAAUUCUUGAAAUUAUUGGUGGAAUAUCGAUCUUGACUUUGAGUUUUAUAAAUGGUUACCGAAAAUGGGAUUGUCGGUAGUUCUCCUCAUAAUUUAAUUGUUUAUUUGAGGCAUAAUGAUUUUGACUUGGAGAAUAUUUUAGCGAGUAUUUUCGGGCGGAGAUACUAUUAUUUAUGAUUCAUAUUUGUUAUUGAAAUCUUGCUUAUAUUUAUAAAUUGGAGAAUAUUUUGACGUGUGAGACACGUCAUUGAGUUGUGUUAUGAUUUCUUUUGAUGAUUUUCAUGUACGGUUGGGAACCAUACCAUUCGUUUGGUCUUGGGGGAAGUUUAAUGGAUUUAAGUGACUUCGUAUGUUUUAGUCACCAUAUUAUAGGGUCGUUUAUCUUGAUUAUUGCUAGCUAACCUUAUUAGCGGUCCUCAUCAUAUGUGAGUCGUUAUUAUAGCCUUAUUAGCGGUCUUCUUCAUAUGUAAGUAGAGCGCUUAGCGUGGGACGCUAUUAUAGCCUGGGAGGCAACCGAUCGGUAUUUAUAUUUAUUAGUUAGGUAGCCUUAUUAGCGGUUCUCAUCAUAUGUGAGUUGAGCACUUAGCGUGGGACGCUAUUAUAGCCUUAUUUAGUGGUCCUCAUCAUAUGUGAGUUGAGCGCUUAGCGUGGGACGCUAUUAUAGCCUGGGAGACAUCGACCCGAGCCUGGGAGGCUCCUUUUUCAUGGUGAUAACUCUUCCCCUAUUUUAUUCUUCCCAAUAAUAUAUUUGAUUAACCAGCGGGGCUGGUUUAUCUCCUCUUAUGAGAUUUCUGUUUUAACUAACCAACGGGGCUGGUUUGUCCUUUAUUAAGUGAUUUUGGAUUUAAAGUUUUAAGGAUGUUUAAGUUGUAUGCUGUUAAGUUUUUAAAGUUGAAAAGUGGGAAAGUAUAUAAGUUUUAUAAUUGUUAAGUUAUUGAAUUUAUUUUCGUCCACUCACUCUAACGUUUUUAAAUUACUUUCCCCUGUGUCCUUUGGUUUAUAAAUGCCCAGUUUGCAGGCUAAGUUAUUUGAGGACGAGCGUACAUGGAGUCGAGGCAUAAUCAGAGGCUGCUUCCACUUAUUCAUUUUCAUUGUUUUCAUUCAUCAUUAGAUAUGCUCUGAAAGUCCAGUAGUAGCUCAUUAAAUGUCCUUGUUGUUGGUUGUGGAAUUAUUAUUAGAUGAGAAAUUGUUAUUGGGAGUUUUGAUGAACUUGGGGAGCAGGAAGGCUCCAGGAGAUGAGGAUGGAUGUUUGAUUAUAGAAGUGUUAAGUUGGAUUUUUCAAGAAAGGGUUGUCCAUUUUCAAAGAAGGUUAUGCCGAAUUUUCGGUAACUUUUCCUUGAAGGUGGACCCCACAGGAUUUACCUCGGGUUUCAGGGUGAAAUUCGGGGUGGGUCCUUACACGUGGAAGAUCCAUCACCUAAGAAGCAAGUAAACCUUGAUUAACUCAUGCAUAAAACUUAAACCAAAGUAUAAGUCAAAUGCGACAUUUAUUAACCAAGGCACUAACUCAAGAUGGAACACAAAGAUUUAAAAUCCUACUAACAAAGUACUCUCUACUCUGACAUCCUAUUGACCUAGAGGCGACACCUAACCCUUCACAUACCCAAUGACAUAUCAAUAUCGAAGAGUUUAUGAUGGUGAUCCGCUGCAGUCGGGCCAUCACUCCAAAGUAUUGAUUAUCACCAAAUAUGUAAACCUAGGCUCUGAUACCAAACUAUCACACCCUAAUUUUCGAAGGAUAAAUUUUCAAAAAUUUGGGCAUGAUAUAUCUUAAAAUCUUAAGGAACUAUCAUGCCGGUUUUAAACCAUUCGUUGUCUUCAUGGACGAGGCGGCCAGGGAAUAUCCAGAAGUCAACCGGUACGUCUAUAAGUACGAGAAGGCAUAUCCUGACGCCUAGGAGGAUAUUGUAAGUCAUCUUACGUUUUUAAAUUUUAAAUUUUACUUAUAUAUAUGUCAAAAUGUUAAUUAAUUAUUUUUUUCCUAUCCAAUUAGGCGAAGAUGAGGGAGGCUAGUGACGAGGUGAUGAGUGCUAUAGUGAGGGAGGUAUGGCCGGACACGCAGGAGGAGGAGAUGUCCGAAGCCAUGUCACGGAUCGACACUUCGAAUCCGAGGGUUGGGGCGAGGAUCAUGGGCACAGCCUUCCCACCGCGAGGAAACAACUUCUACUGCCGGGGUCUAGGAAAGAAAGGCAAGGGGGUCCUGAAGACCACUCCAGGAUUUCAACAAAAGGCAGCCUCGACCAGCAGCAGGACGACUCAGCUAGAGUCGGAAGUUGAGAGACUACGGGAACAGCAAGCUGCUCAGGUUGCCGCUCAUGCCACCCAGAUCGCCGCCCAGACAGCCUAUAUUACCACAGUAUAUGUCACCCAGCAGGCCCAACAGCAGCAGAUGUUCCAAUACUUGCAGAAGUUUACAGCUGCCCCAGUUUCAAGGACUUUUGGCUCCACCCAUGCCUACGCCUAUACCGCUAUACCUUAGCCGCCGCAACCUCCUCAGCAGCAACCUCCUCCGCAGCAGCCCCCAGAAUCGGAUAUUGAUUUAGACAAUCUAGAUUUUUUGUAGUUGAUCAAUUAUAUAAUUCUAUGUGCUUGUUGUUGGUUAUAUGGAAUUGUUUUGGUGUAUUUUGCAGGUUGCUUAGAAUGGUAAUUUAGAAAUUUUGGGUUCUUUUUUUUACUGGAAUGGACUUAUAGCCGACGAAACAUGUAAGAUAUUCGUCGGCUAUAGUAUUUUUAAUUUUUUUAUAAGGUUUAGCCGACAAAUUAUGGCAUGUUUCGUCGGCUAAAUCCUUAUAAAGCCGAUGAAACAGACUAUAUUUCGUCGGCUAUAGUUAUUUUUUUAAUUUUUUAUUACAUACUUUAGCCGACGAAUAUCUUAAAUGUUUCGUCGACUAAAGUCUCAGACUAUGGUCGACGAAACAUUUAAGAUAUUCGUCGGCUAAAUUUUGGGACAAUAACCGACGACGUCUUCUAGUUUCGUCGGCUAAAGUCAUCGCUGACGACUAUUUCCCGACGAAACCAUAGCCGACGAAGGCUCGUCGUAUAAGAUCUUAGCCGACGAAUUAAGCUAACAGGCCGACGAAACUUUUUCGUCGGCUAAAGUGUUUGUCCUGGUAGUGUUUCUAAAACAUUGGAACUCCUUCUGAUGAGUGUGUGGUGUAGCAAAAGGUGUAGAUAAUCUCUAAUUUUUUUUUUCCAUCAAACGGUAAUUUUUAUUUUGACAAAUUUUUUAUUAAAGCGGUAUAACUUAUUUAGUAGGUUAUAUGAAAAUUGUGAACCAAUUAUAAUGAGGAAGUAAAAUUUUCAAAAAUAUUGUGAAAUAGGAUUUGACAGGAAUAGUGAAAUACGGCUAGGGUUGAAAAAUCAAAAGCUUCCGAUAAUGUCUGGUUCCCGAUAAAAUUGGUCAAUCAUUGUUACGCUUAGGCGUUUUUAAGAGGAGUUUAACCACCGGAUGGUCAAUUUAACAAAAAUAUUUUUUUGAUUCCUAAAUCUCAUAUAUACAAGUUUUAGGUUCGAAAAUAGGGAAAAAGAGGGUUUCGCACGAUGCCGGUCAACCGUGUUUCGUGUAAAAAAUGAGGUUGAACUAAGUUUGACCGAUUCGAUGGGUGGCCUAACGUAUUCGAAACGAGGUGGAUUUUUUUCAGUAAACAUAUUUAAUUACCAUGACUAUAUCAAACGGUUGAAUUUUUAUUUUCACAUAUUUAUGACUUUGGAGAGCUACGUGCCUACUAAAGCGGUAUAACUUGUUUAGUAGGUUAUACGCAAGUGUACAACUUUGUAAACCAACUAUAAAAAUGAAACAAAAUUUUAAAAAAUUUCAUGAAAUAAGAUUUGAUCGGAGUAGUGAUAUAUGACUUUGGUUGGAAAAUCACGUGCUUCGGUUAACGUCUAGGUCUCGAUAGAAGCAGUCAACCUUUUUUAUGCAUAAUAUUCCCUAGGGGGAGCCCUAUAGUCGGGAUGUAAACGUCUCUAAAUUUUUAUAUGAGUGGUUAGGUCUCAUCUAUGUGAGAGGUUACUGUGAGGAAUGAUUGACCAAACUUGGUCACAGAGAGGUAGAUAAGAGCGUUUUCGUGUGAUAAGUGACGAUUAGGGUUGACUGUUUCGAUCGAGCCCCGAACGUUGCCGAAUACAAUUGUGAGAGUUUACUGUGAGGAAGGAUUGACCAAACUAGGUCACAGAGAGGUAGAUAAGAGCGUUUUCGUGUGAUAAGUGACGAUUAGGGUUGACCGUUUCGAUCGAGUCCCGAACGUUGCCAAAUACAAUUGAAUUUAAUACCAUAGCCAUGUUUCACUAUAAUGAUCACAUCAUACGGUCGAAUUUUCAUUUUGUGAAUUUUAGUAAUUGGAAUUACAACGUACCAACUAAUGUAGUAUAAAUUGUUUAGUAGGUUAUAUGCAAGUGUACAACUUUAUGAACCAACUAUAUAGAUGAAGCAAAAUUUUAAAAUAUCUCGUGAAAUAAGAUGUGAUCAGAAUAAUGAAAUAUGGCUAUGGUUGAAAAAUCACGUACAUCGGGUAACAUCUGGGUCUCGAUAUAAGCGGUCAACCCUUUUUACACUUAAUAUAUCCUAUGGGGAGCCCUAUCGUCGGGACGUAAAAAACUCCAAAUUUUUACAUGGGUCGUUACAUCUCAUCUAUGUGAGAGUUUAAUGUGUGGAAGGAUCGACCAAAAUAGGUCACGUAGGGGUAGGUAAUAGCGUUUUUGUGUGAUAAAUGACGUUGAAUUAGAAUUGACUGAUUCGAUCAAGCCCCGAACGUUGCCGAAUCCAGUUGAAUUUUUUACCAUGGUCGUGUUUCAUUAUAACGGUCAUAUCAGAUGGUCGAUUUUUUAUUUUGUGAUUUUAGUCAUUGGAAUCACAACGUGCCUACUAAUGUGGCAUAACUUGUUUAAUGUCAUAUGCAAGUAUCCAACUUUGUGAACCAACUAUAUAGUGAAAGCAAAAUUUUUAAAAAUCUUGUGAAAUAAGAUGUGAACGGAAUAAUGAAAUACGACUAUGGUUGAAAAAUCACUUACUUCGGGUGACGUAUGGAUCCCGAUAGAAGUGGUCAACCCUUUUUACGUUUAAUAUUCCCUAUGGGGAGCCCUAUUGUCGGGACGCAAACGUCUCCAAAUUUUUAUAUGAGUGGUUACAUCUCAUCUAUGUGAGAGUUUACUGUGAGGAAGGAUUGACCAAACUAGGUCACGGAGAGGUAGGUAAGAGUGCUUCCGUGUGAUAAGCGACAAUGAAUUAGGGUUGACCGAUUCGAUCAAUCCCCGAACGUUGCCGAAUACAGUUGAAUUUAAUAUCAUAGCCAUGUUUCACUAUAAUGAUCAUAUCCGACAGUCGAAUUUUCAUUUUGAGAAUUUUUGUCAAUAGAAUCACAAUGUGCCUACUAAUGGGGUAUAACUUGUUUAGUUGUUAUAUGCAAGUGAACAACAUUGUGAACAAACUUUAUACAAAAAGCAAAAUUUGCAGACAUCUUGUGAAAUAAGAUGUGACCGGUAUAGGGAAAUACGGCUUUGGUUGAAACAUCACUUGUUUCGGGUAACGUCCGGGUCCCGAUAAUAGCGGUCAACUCUUUUUAUGCUUAAUCUACCCUAUGGGAAACCCUAUUGUCGGGAUGUAAACAUGUCCAAAUUUUUACAUGGGUGGUUACGUCUCAUCUAUGUGAGAGUUUAGUGUGUGGAAGAAUCGACCAAAAUAGGUCACUGAGGGGUAGCUAAGUGCGUUUUUGUGUGAUAAAUGACGUUGAAUUAGAGUUGACCGCUUCGAUCGAGCCCUGAAUAUUGCCGAAUCCAGUUGAAAUUUUUACCAUGGUCGUGUUUCAUUAUAAUGGUCACAUCAGACGGUCGAUUUUUUCAUUUUGUGAUUUUAGUCAUUGGAAUCACAAUGUGUCUACUAAUGUGGUAUAACUUGUUUAGUUAGUUAUAUGUAAGUGAACAACAUUGUAAACCAACUUUAUACAGGAAGCAAAAUUUGCUGAAAUCUUGUGAAAUAAGAUGUGACCGGUAUAGCGAAAUAAGGUUGUGGUUGAAAAAUCACCUAUUUUCGAUAACGUUUGGAUGUCGAUCAAUGCGGUCAACCUUAAACCAACGUCAUUUAUCACACGGAAACGCUUUUGCCUACUCCUAUACGACCUAGUUUGGUUGAUUCUUCCACACACAAAACUCUCACUAAUGAUAUGUAAUCACCCAUGUAAAAAUUUAGGGACGUUCACCUCCCAACGAUAGAGCUCCUCAUAGGAAAACAUAAGCGUAAAUAGGGUUGACCGCUUCUAUCUGGGACCAAACGUUGCCGAAAAUAUGUUAUUUUGCAACCAUAGUCAUAUUUCACCAUACCGAUCACAUCCUAUUUCAAAAGAUUUUUGAAAAUAUUGCUUCCUCUGUAUAGUUGGUUCACAAAGAUGUUUAGUAAUACCACAUUAGUAGCCACGUUGUGCUUCCAAUGACUAAAUUUCACAAAAUGAAAAUUCAACCGUCCGAUAUGAUCAACGUACUUAAAUACGUCUAUGGAUAAAAAUUCACUUGAUUUUGAUAAUGUUUGGGUCUCGAUCCACGCGGUCAACCUUAAACCAACAUCACUUGUUACACGAAAAUGGUCUUACCUAUCCCUCUAUAACCUAGUUUGGUUGAUUAUUCCACACACUAAACUCUCAAAUUGAUGGGAUGUAACCACCUAUGUAAAAAUUAGGGAUGUUCACCUCCAGACGAUAGGGCUCCCCAUAGGAAAACAUAAGCGUAAAUAGGGUUGACCGCUUCUAUCGGGGACCAAACGUUACCGAAAAUAUGUGAUUUUUCAACCAUAGCCCUUUUUCACCAUAUUGAUCACAUCCUAUUUCACAAGAUUUUUAAAAAUUGUCACACCCCAAUUUUCGAAAGGAAAUUUUCAAAAAUUUUGGCAUAAUAUCCCUUAAAAUAAUAUAAUCCCAAAACCUGUUUUAACAAAAUUUCAAUGAAACUAAACUCAAUGCGGAAAGUAAAAUUUACACACAACUACAUAUUGAGUUAAAUAUUACAUUUCCUUGUUUACAUAAACUCGAGAGUCAACAAAAUGAGACGCCCACAUGAGUUUAUUAUUGUCUAUCCCAAUGUAUAUAUAAAAAUAAAUAUAUACAAUGAACAACCAAAACCCAACAAAAAACCCUGCCACUAAGCCUCCACCUCAACCCUGCUGAUCCUCACCUGCAGGUCUAACCCCUACACCAAGAAUUUCUGCACCAGGUUGUAAACAACAAACCCGGUAAGCUAAAAAGCUCGUAUGAGUAAACUCAAAAAUAACACAACAUUUAUCACAUCCAAUAUUCCACACGAGAGAUUGGAUCCAUAAUUAAAGAAAAACACACAUCCAACACAUUACCCAAGAAAAGUACCCACGAGUCCCAGAUAUUUAAUAAAAUACCCUUCAUGACCUACAACAACACUAUGUGUACCCAUGGGUCCCAGAUACCAUACAAUAUCUCCCAUAACCUACACUGACAGACGGACUAGAGCUUUAUUCCUAACCGCAACCAAUCACCCGGCUAAAUGCUUGGAACCCGGUUUGACUGUCUAAUAUCAAACACAAAAAUGAUAAAUAGCAACUUAACCGCAACCAAUCACCCAAUUAAGGACUUGGAACCCAGUUUGGCUAUUUAUCAAAAAAUCAGAAUAUCACAACAUUAACCUCAACAACACAAUAUCACAUCAUUAUUCUCAACCACACAAUAUCACAUUAUUAUUCUCAACAACACAAUAUCACAUCAUUAAUUCUAUUCUUUCACAUGGAAAUAUUUACCUGAACAAAAUAUAGAUAUUCCACAAGAAUAAUCUAUAAAUAAUCAAUAAACUCAUGAUCACAUGAAUCUCAAAAUAGCACAAAAGAAAACUUGUUUUAUCUUACCUUUGAGCCGUUGGCGAUCAAACUCAUAUAUUAUUAAAAACAAUUAAAAAGCAUAAUAUUAAAUCCAACAUCAUCAUCAUUAUCAUCAUCACAUGACCAUAAGUAAAUUUGAUUCAAAAGUGAACCUUGGUGAGAUUUACUCACCUUGAAAUCCUGCUGCAAAACCCCCAACACAACGAAGGCAAGCCAAUCACAAAAUCACAAAUCACCUAAAAUCACACAAUUAAAAACCUUAGAAACCAAGGUAUUGAAGGAUAACACAAAACCCUUAAACUAACCCUUAGCUCAAGGGAGGACAACUUCCCAAAGUCGUUGAACUCAACGACUCAAUAGAGCUGCCUCAACUCUUCAAAACCUAAACUCUAACCCAACCAAACCAACACCAAUAAACUUAAGUUCUAGCAUGCCAACAUUUCUUAAAAACUAGCCACACUACCACUCAACAAGCUCACAACAGUAAGGACUACCUAACCACAGGAAACUAGGGCUGCAACUCAGCCGUACGCGCUGCCACGCGCCGCCACAGGCGGCGGCGAGUGGGCCCCACGAGCCACCCCAAACUUCCGAAUUUGAGAAAACUCCCAACAGCAAAGUUGAAGCUUGAAGCAAGGGGAACAACUUUCAUACUUGAUACUUCGACCAAUUUUGGCCGGAACCGGCCGGAAACCGUCCCGAACCGUGACCAGAAAAUCAAUUCCAAAACCUGCAAAAUCGGCCUCAAAACCUCAAAAACUUGCUUCAAUCUUUGCCUAGACACUACUAGGAGGAAGAGGGGAUCAAGACUCAUCUAAACUUGGCCGGAAACGACGUCGAAAUCGCCGGUUUUCCGGCGGGACAGCAGCAGCUCCGCCGCUUCGUGGCGGCCGGACAGCGGGCGGGACUGCUCCAGAAAUGUAGAGGACGUCGGUACGGAUCCAACGGAACCGGCGACGUCCAAAAAGGUGGCCGGAUGAGGAAGAAAAUGACCGGAGAAGGAAGUGGGUAUGGGUCGGGAGAGAGGAGAGAGAGACUGAGAGCUGGCUGCUGCUGCAGUUUUAGGUUUUCCAAAAAUAAUUCCCACACAUUUUUCUACUUAUACUCUUUUCAAACCCGGAAACAAACUUCCUCUGACCAUAACUUCUUCAUGCGACAUCCGUUUUAGACGUGCCGCAUGUUCACGAACUCGUAUCGACAAACUCUACACUUUCGUGAAGGAAGUUUUCGAAGAUAACUUACGAAAAAUAAAGUCAACUUUUGGCUUCUCAAAAGUCAAAGCACUUUAAUUAAACUCCCGAAACUUUAAUUUCGCAUAACCAAAGAAUUUCCAUAAAUAAUCCUUCAUUAAUUAAGGGAAUAAUACAAGAAAAAAUGAUAUGAAAAUCUAGGGUAUUACUAUCUACCCACCUUAAAGGAAUUUCGCCUCGACAUUCACCUUAAAGAUACUAACCCAAAAACAACUUGGGGUACUUAGCCCUUAUGUCCGACUCUAACUCCCAAGAUGCAUCACCCUCAUCAUGGUGACUCUAACACACCUUAACCAAAUCGACUUCCUUCCUUCGAAGCCUCUUGGUUGAUUUAUCCAAGAUUCGAACCGGUUCAACAACAAAGGUUGCAUCCGCAUUCACCUUGAUAGAACUAUAAUCAAUGACAUGUGAUGCAUCCGGAAUAUACUUCCUCAACAAGGACACAUGGAAUACAUUGUGUACCCCGGACAUGAUAGGAGGUAAGGCAAGCCGGUAAGCCAAAUCUCCUACUUUCUCCAAAAUCUCAAAAGGCCCCACAUACCUAGGAGCCAACUUCCCCUUCUUGCCAAAUCUCACCACCCCUUUAGUAGGUGAGACCUUCAAGAACACAUGAUCCCUAACCUCAAACUCUACUUGCCUCCUCUUCAAGUCGACAUAGCUCUUUUGCCUGCUUUGCGCCGUUCGGAUCCUGUCUCGGAUAGUAGAGACUUUCUCAGUCGUCUCUUAAACAAUAUCAGGACCCAACAGCUCACUAUCACCCACCUCCGCCCAACAAAUAGGUGACCUACAUGGCCUCCCAUAGAGUGCCUCAUAUGGUGCCAUGCCGAUACUAGAGUGAUAGCUAUUAUUGUAGGCAAACUCAAUCAAUUGGAGGUGAUCCUCCCAACUUCCCUUGAAGUCCAUGACACAAGCCCUCAGCAUAUCUUCUAACACCUAAUUCACCCGCUCAGUAUGCCCAUCAGUCUGAGGGUGAAAUGCUGUGCUCAUGUCUAAGGUAGUACCCAUGGCUUUCUGAAAGCCAUCCCAAAACUUUGAAGUGAAUCGGGGGUCUCGAUCUGAAACAAUCGAAGUAGGCACUCCAUGAAGUCUCACUAUCUCCUUCACAUACAACUUGCAUAAAGCAUCUACCGUGUACGACAUCAACACGGGAAGGAAAUGCGCUGACUUCGUCAAAUGGUCCACAAUCACCCAUAUAGCAUCAUGUCCAAGCUUGGACUUAGGCAGUCCGGUCACAAAGUCCAUAGAAAUCUGCUCCCACUUCCAAGUAGGAAUAGAUAAUGGCUGUAACAUACCUCCAGGCCUCUGAUGCUCCGCUUUCACCUGCUGCCAAGUGAGGCACUUGGACACAUACUCUGCUACAUCUUUCUUCAUCCCACUCCACCAAAACUGCCUACGCAAAUCUUUAUACAUCUUGGUGCUCCCUGGGUGCACCGUAUAAUGAGAUCGAUGUGCCUCCCAAAGGAUCUCCCCUUUGAGAUCAUUACUAUUAGGAACACACAAUCUCAAUCUAUGCCUCAAUCCACCAUCUGAUCCAACCGACCACUCGGUAGGACACUCAUCCAACAAGUCCACCACUAACUCUGCCACCUUAGCACGUGAGAACUCGUCAUGUGCUUGGCCCUGGAUGAUCCUGGAAAUCAAAGUGGGCUGCACAGAGGCGCUCCCAAGGAAGAUCCCCUGCUCCCUGCCUGAUGGCAGAAUGCCAAACUCAAAAGCAGUCUCCAAUAUGAGCCACUCCUGCACCAUCAUAGAGGCGACUAUACCCCUAGGCUUCCUGCUCAAUGCAUCAGCCACUACAUUGGCUUUCCCAGGGUGAUACUCCAAAGUGAAGUCAUAGUCCUUAAGGAGCUCUAUCUUCCUCCUUUGCCUCAUGUUCAAAUCUUUCUGAGAGAAUAAAUACUUCAAACUCUUAUGAUCAGAAAAGAGUUUGAACUUCUCUCCAUACAAGUAAUGCCUCUAAAUCUUCAAGGCAAAUACUACAGCGGCUAGCUCUAGGUCAUGAGUUGGAUAAUUCUUCUCAUGAACCUUCAACUGCCUAGAGCCAUAUGCCACAACACCGCCAAGCUGCAUCAACACACAACCUAAACCCCGAUGAGAAGCGUCGCUAUAAACAACAUAGCCGACACCACUAAUAGGAAUGACCAACACUGGGGCGGUAGUCAACCUAGUCUUCAACUCCUCAAAUGCCUUUUCACACUCAUCGGUCUACACAAACUUGGCAUUCUUCUUUGUCAACUUGGUCAAAGAAGAGGCAAUGCUAGAAAAUCCCUCAAUAAAUCUCCGGUAGUAUCCUGCCAACCCAAGGAAACUAUAGAUCUCCGUGGGAGUAGUGGGACGACUCCAAUUCAACACCGCCUCCACCUUAGAGGGAUCCACCGAAAUCCCCUCCUUUGAUACCACAUGACCAAGAAACUUGACCUCUUCCUUCCAAAACUCACACUUCUCAUACUUAGCAUCCAACUUGGCCUCCCUAAGAACUUGUAGUACGAUCCAUAGAUGCCUAUCAUGUUCCUCCAAAGUCUUGGAGUAAAUCAAAAUAUCAUUCACAAAUAUUACCACAAACACAUCCAGAUAAGGACUGAACAUGCGGUUCAUCAAAUCUAUAAAAGCAGCAGGGGCAUUGGUUAAUUAGACCAAAGGACAUAACCACAAACUCAAAAUGUCCAUAUCUAGUCCUGAAAGCGGUCUUCGGAAUAUCCUCCUCCUUCACCCUCAACUGGUGAUAACCGGACCUCAGGUCAAUCUUAGAGAAUACCGUAGCACCUCUAAGCUGAUCAAACAAAUCAUCAAUCCUAGGUAAGGGAUACCUAACCUUGACGGUCACCUUAUUCAACUCCCGAUAGUCCACACACAAUCGGAGUGUAUCAUCCUUCUUCCUCACAAACAACACUGGUGCACCCUAAGGCAAGGUGCUUGGUCUAAUGAAUCCCUGCUCGAGAAGACCCUCAAUCUGAACAUUCAACUCCUGAAGUUCAGUUCUCCCCAUUUGAUAAGGAGUCUUUGAUACCGGUGAAGUACCUGGUACCACAUCGAUAGCAAACUCCACUACCCUCUUAGGAGGUAACCCUGGAAUCUCCUGGAACACGUCACUAAACUCAGAGACUACUGCAAUAUCCGCAAUACCCACGGUACUACCGGUAGCCUCAAUGUGUGCCAACACUCCUUCCCACAUGGUCGUGUCCAACCUAUGACAAAGAUAGCGAAAGCUUGGCUGUCCAGGAAUGUGGAAUGACACUACCAUACCAAAACAAUCAAUCAAGGUAUGGUUUGGCCUUAGCCAAUCCACUCCCAAAAUCACAUCAUAAGAGCGGUCUGGAAUCACAAUCAGGGAAGCAAGGAACUCUCUCCCACUAAUCACUAUAGGGCAAGCAUCACACAAAGUGCCAAGCUCUAUAGAAACACCGAGAGGUGAAGAAACACACAAGGAUCUAGUAAGCGGCGUCGGAGUCAAGCCUAAUGCCCUCACCACUGAGCUAGAUAUGAAGGAAUGGGUUGCCCCCGUGUCAAACAAAAUGGAAGCAAGCAGAUCAUAAACAAGAAUGGUACCUUCCACUCCUGCACCACGCUGACCAAUGGCAUAUACUCUGGCUGGCGCUGGAAGUAAUGGUCUCUGCUGAACACCCUGCCCUCCAGCCUGAGGUCGGGUGCAAUCUCUGGCAAAAUGGCCUGCCUGCCCACAAGUGAAGCAUUCUUGCCUCUUAGGCUUCGUGCAUGCCGAAGAGAAGUGGCCCGGCUCACCACAGUUGAAACACUUCAAUGGUGCUGCCUGCCUAAUAGGUGGAGACCUAAUAGGUGCAGCUGCUGCUCUAACUGGAGCCAGCUGAUGAGUCUGCCGCCUCUUCCCAUAACCACCUCUGUGGUCCCCUGAGCUGCUACUCCCCGCUAGGGCCUUGCCCUUCCCCUGGACAUCUCUCUGCCUCUCCAUCUCAUGCAUCACCUCCUCUUGCUCAACUGCAAGGGCACUCUCCACUGCUUCUGCUAGAAUAGCAAACCGGUGGGAAGUCACCAACUUCCGGAGCUUAUGCCUCAAACCCCGAAUGAACUUCCGUGCCAAGUCGACUUCAUCCAUCUCUCUAGCAAAGCGAUACAACUGAGAAAAAUGGGCCUCAUAAUCCCUGACACUCAUCAGGCCCUGCACCAGAGCUAUGAACUCAAGGUCCAACUGCUCCCUCACUGUAUCAGGAAAAUACUUCUCCCGAAAGAGCUGAACAAACCCCUCCCAAGUCAGGGCGGUCACAUCUCGAGAUCUCUCUACCCCACUCCACCAUACUCGUGCCUCAUCCUUGAGAAGAAACGUAGCAAUACGCAUCUUCUCGAUCUCCGUACACGUGAUCAUGGUGAAGUAUGUCUCAAUGCCCUCUAUCCAAUGAUUAGCUACGAGGUAGUCUGUACCUCCAAGAAAGGAAGGCGCUCCUAACCUGAUGAUACCCUGAGCCAGCCUGGCCAAUCGCAGACCAUCAUCUACCGCAACUGGCACUGGUACCUCCAACACUACCUCCUCCUCAAAGAAGUCAUCCACAGGUGGAGCCCUACCUCUGCCUCUAGCCCCACCUGCCCCUCUGGCUCUACCAGCCCCUCUGGCCCUACCUCGGCCUCUAGCUCUCCCUCGCCGAGGAUCCAUCACCUAAGAAGCGAGCAAACCUUGGUUAACUCAUGCAUAAAACUUAAACCAAAGUAUAAGUCAAAUGCGACACUUAUUAACCAAGACACUAACUCAAGAUGGAACACAAAGAUUCAAAACCCACUAACAGAGUACUCUCUACUCUGACAUCCUAUUAACCUAGAGGCGACACCUAACCCCUCACAUACCCAAUGACAUAUCAAUACCAAAGAGCUUAUGAUGGUGAUCCGCUGCAGUCGGGCCAUCACUCCGAAGUAUUGAUUAUCACCAAAUAUGUAACCCUCGCUCUGAUACCAAACUAUCACACCCCAAUUUUCGAAAGGAAAUUUUCAAAAAUUUUGGCAUAAUAUCCCUUAAAAUAAUAUAAUCCCAAAACCUAUUUCAACAAAAUUUCAAUGAAACUAAACUCAAUGCGGAAAGUAAAAUUUACACACAACUCCAUAUUGAGUUAAAUAUUACAUUUCCUUCUUUACAUAAACUCGAGAGUCAAGAAAAUGAGACGCUCACAUGAGUUUAUUAUUGUCUAUCACAAUGUAUAUAUAAAAAUAAAUAUAUACAAUGAACAACCAAAACCCAACAAAAAACCCUGCCACUAAACCUCCACCUCAACCCUGCUGAUCCUCACCUGCAGGUUUAUGAUAAGACGUAUUUGCACACGUAUCAAUUAACUCUGUCAACAAAUCAACCGUAGUAUAAAGCAAGCAGGGAUCGUUCUAAACCGGGGAUCCAACUACAGGGUAGAUCCAUCUAAUCUAAUAAAAAUGUCGAAAUAAGCAUAUAGGGUUUAAAGGUUUUGAUGAUUUUGGAAUAAACAUUGAAAAUAAAUCCUAAAUUACUUCUAUACAUAUUUACAUGUGAUCAACCAACAAUCAUGCAAACUUAACUAAACAACCAUGUAAGAACAAAGAAGACGAUCUCUAAUCUCAUUUAAGUCUACACCGUGAGCAAUUAUACAACCUAAAUUUGAUAUGCACAUAAGUUCCUACGUGGUUCCUAUGACAUAGACCUACUUAGAAUUAGACUACGGGUUUCAUUCAACAUCGUGACACAAACAAGCUCGGCUACGUGCUCUACUUAUAGGUCACACACAUAAACUAAUCAUGCAAUUACGUAUCACAUAAAGAAUCGAUGUGUUUAAGCACAAGUCCAAAUCAAACAUAGGUAGAAAAUCGGUGAAAUAACAAAGACAAUGCAACUUAUCAACUACUUAUAUCAAAGUCGAACUUUGGAUGAUUAACACAUGCAAUAUCAACUACUUGUAUCAACUACACAUGAUAAUGGAAGAAUGCACCGAAAAUCUUAAAGUAUAUUGACAUAAAACUCACGGCAUAAAAUCUAAAAUCAUUGAUUAAAAAUUGAAAACUUUAAUUCAAAACAUGGUUAAAAGUGUUUCUAUCUCAUAGACAAGAAUCGAAACAUACUUAAGCAAAAACCUAAAACAAACAUUAAAAAAAAUACAAACACAUACUAAUCCGAAAGUAAAAGAUGAAAUACACUCUCAGAAUAUCCCUACUUGUUCUAUUCUUCGAGUGAGCGGAAUCCUAGGCUACGUGCUUUGGAUCAAGGAUGAUGGUGGAAUCGGAUUAUGGUGUUUGGAGGUUGAUGGAGUUUCGGCAAAGGCUUUGGUGUUAUUUGCACAGGUUGAUGAUGAUAAUUGCUGCCAUGCCGUGCCCUAUUUAUAGAGUAACAAGUCUUGAUCUCCAAGAAUUCCUCAAGCACAAGGAAUCCUAUUGAAUCGGCAAAACCAAAUCCAAGUUGGAUUUAAUUUCUUCUAUUGUUCUUCAAGGAAUCCUCAUGCAUUAAGGAAUGACAAGACCAUCUUGAACUUGGAAACCCUUCUCUCUUGGGCCGCACGGUUUCUCUCUCCUUGGUGACUUGGGAAAUCUUCACGGCAUCUCCAUACAUAUCUCGGAUUGUACUUCUCCUAGCUCAAGCAGGAAUUCCUAGCUGCCGGCCACCUUUCUCUCAUGAGUCAGGAAAACAUUUUCCUAGUCAACACGGGUUUAGACUUUCCUGAAAUAGAAAUAAGAAAAUUAGAAACUAGGAAAGAGGAAAGAUGGAAUCCUGAUCAAGACAGGAAUUUUGAGUAAACAAGGAUUUCCAACACUUAGCACAAUUUCAACACCAAAUUAUUCAAAUCCGAAAAUACUAUGAAUUCUAACACCAAAACCUACAUAUUUCUACAUUAAGCAAUUAUUCUACACUAAACACAAAUAUAAAGCUAAAACAACUAAAUAGGAGUUAACAAAGGGUAAAUAAAGGGUAUAAACAUAUUAAGAACAUCACACUUUGUGCUCCUAUCAACAACCCCACACUUAACCUUUGCUAGUCCCUUAGCAAACCACUAAAACAAAAGCAACAGAAUUAAUCUCGAAAAUACUACAAUGACUCAAUCUAAUGCCUUCAACGAAAUUGUCUCACAGACCUUCAAAAUCAUAGCAUCAGGAAUAGCACAAGAAUCGAAAUUGAAAGAUGAAUUCAAUGGUUAAUAAACAUGAGAUUUCGAUGUAACAAGUAAGACAUGGCAGAAACAAAGGUGAAAUUAAGCUCGACACGUUCCAAACAAGUUCAAAUUCAACUCACAAAGGAUAUGCACUCCGAAAUUUUUUUUUUUUCUCUCAAGAACAUGGCAUAUGCUUAAAAGCUUUUCACACACAAGAGUUAUAAAGAACAUAGUGAAUUCGAAAACCUUAUGAAAGAUACCAAUCAUAUGCACAAAUAAACCACAACCAUACGCUUACUCAUGAAACAGACUCCACAAUCAAAGGCUACUUAUCUUAAGAAUCAUGCGGAUCUUUAGAAAAUAGGUUGGUUAGGCUCGGCAUGGAAAAAUUUUCAAAGUAAAGGAAUCACAAAGGUCAUCCUCAAGACUUAGCAGAGCAAGAACAUCCACCUUAUGUCACCAAACACCAUCAAGGGCCAAAUAUCAUCAUGUUGGACCCAUCUUUCACUUUAAACACUGUGAAAAUGAACAAAGGCUAAAAGUAUAACAUAUUGAGCCUUCAACAAACAAAUCACAACUCCAAAUUCACAAAAAAAACUUCAUCUAGGCCGAGAUAUCUUCAUCAAAAUCAAUUCGUAAACUUUUUUUUUUUUUUUUUNNNNNNNNNNNNNNNNNNNNCUUAAACUAACCCUUAGCUCAAGGGAGGACAACUUCCCAAAGUCGUUGAACUCAACGACUCAAUAGAGCUGCCUCAACUCUUCAAAACCUAAACUCUAACCCAACCAAACCAACACCAAUAAACUUAAGUUCUAGCAUGCCAACAUUUCUUAAAAACUAGCCACACUACCACUCAACAAGCUCACAACAGUAAGGACUACCUAACCACAGGAAACUAGGGCUGCAACUCAGCCGUACGCGCUGCCACGCGCCGCCACAGGCGGCGGCGAGUGGGCCCCACGAGCCACCCCAAACUUCCGAAUUUGAGAAAACUCCCAACAGCAAAGUUGAAGCUUGAAGCAAGGGGAACAACUUUCAUACUUGAUACUUCGACCAAUUUUGGCCGGAACCGGCCGGAAACCGUCCCGAACCGUGACCAGAAAAUCAAUUCCAAAACCUGCAAAAUCGGCCUCAAAACCUCAAAACCUCAAAAACUUGCUUCAAUCUUUGCCUAGACACUACUAGGAGGAAGAGGGGAUCAAGACUCAUCUAAACUUGGCCGGAAACGGCGUCGAAAUCGCCGGUUUUCCGGCGGGACAGCAGCAGCUCCGCCGCUUCGUGGCGGCCGGACAGCGGGCGGGACUGCUCCAGAAAUGUAGAGGACGUCGGUACGGAUCCAACGGAACCGGCGGCGUCCAAAAAGGUGGCCGGAUGAGGAAGAAAAUGACCGGAGAAGGAAGUGGGUAUGGGUCGGGAGAGAGGAGAGAGAGACUGAGAGCUGGCUGCUGCUGCAGUUUUAGGUUUUCCAAAAAUAAUUCCCACACAUUUUUCUACUUAUACUCUUUUCAAACCCGGAAACCAACUUCCUCUGACCAUAACUUCUUCAUGCGACAUCCGUUUUAGACGUGCCACAUGUCCACGAACUCGUAUCGACAAACUCUACAACUUUCGUGAAUGUAGUUUUCGAAGAUAACUUACGAAAAAUAAAGUCAACUUUUGGCCUCUCAAAAGUCAAAGCACUUUAAUUAAACUCCCGAAACUUCAACUUCGCAUAACCCAAAGAAUUUCCAUAAAUAAUCCUUCAUUAAUUAAGGGAAUAAUACAAGAAAAAAUGAUAUGAAAAUCUAGGGAAUUAAAAAAAUAUUGCUUCCUUUGUAUAGUUGGUUCAUAAAGAUGACAUUAGUUGUCACGUUGUGGUUCCAAUAGCUAAAUUUCACAAAAUGAAAAUUCAGCUGUCAGAUAUGAUCAGCGUAGCUAUAGAUAAAAAUUCACCUGUUUUUGAUAAUGUCUGGGUCUCGAUCCACGCGGUCAACAUUAAACCAAUGUUACUUAUUACACGAAAAUGGUCUUACCUACCCCUAUAUAAUCUAGUUUGGUUGAUUCUUCCAUACAUAAAACUCUCAAAUUGAUGGGAUGUAACUACCUAUGUAAAAUUUAGGGACGUUCACAUCCCGACGAUAGGGCUCCUAUAGGAAAACAUAAGCGUAAAUAGAGUUGACCGCUUCUAUCGGGACCAAACGUUACCGGAAAUAUGUGAUUUAGUAGUCACGUUGAAAAUAUCCCUAUGUCAACCAUAUUCCUAUUUCACCAUACCGAUCACAUCCUAUUUCAUAAGAUUUUUGAAAAUAUUGCUUCCUCCGUAUAGUUGGUUCACAAAGAUGUACACUUGCAUAUAACCUACUAAACAAGUUAUACCACAUUAGUAGUCACGUUGUGGUUCCAAUGGCUAAAUUUCAAAAAAUAAAAAUUCAACCGUUGGAUAUGAUCAACGUACUUGAAUACGGCUAUGGAAAAAAAUUGACCUGUUUUCGAUAAAAUUUGGCUCUCGAUCCACGCGGUCAACCUUAAACCAACGUCACUUAUUUACGAAAACGCUCUUAUCAACCCCUAUAUAACGUAGUUUGGUUGAUUCUUACACACACAAAACUCUCACAUUGAUGGGAUGUAACCACCCAUGUAAAAAUUUAGGGACGUUCACCUCCCGACGAUAAGGCUCUCCAUAAGGAAGUAUAAACGUAACUAGGGUUGACCGCUUCUAUCGGGGACCAAACAUUACCGAAAAUAUGUGAUUUUUCAACCAUAGUCGUAUUUCAUCAUACCGAUCACAUCCUAUUUCACAAGAUUUUUAAAAAUAUUGCUUCCUCCGUAUAGUUGGUUCACAAAGAUGUACACUUGUAUAUAAUAUACUAAACAAGUUAUACCACAUUAGUAGCCACGUUAUGGUGUUAUCGGAUGGUCACUAAAUUGCAAAAUUUGGUAUGUUUCACUAGCAUGGUCAUAGUGACCAUAUUGCUAGAUCAGUACUCCAACUAGGCAAAAUGAACAUAAGACAUGAAUCUCAAUCUAUUAAUUAAAUUUGCAAAUCCAUAUAUACAAAUGUCAAUAUCCAAUCUCAAUAGCAAUUACAAAACAAAAGGAAAUACACAGAAAUCCAUAUAUAACAUGGACCUUUUUAGGCUAUCUAUUGAUUCUUUGUUAGUCCCCCUGUUAUCAAGAGCUGCUUAGUUUAGGACAUCCUCCUCUUUUAGAUCAAAGUCAGAUACCCUACAAUAAAAUCCAUGUAGCUAUGUUAGUAGUAGAAAAUAACAGACAACAGAGAGAUUAAACUUAUUACAAUGUUGGGGCUUAGGUAAGUACAUACACAACUUCUGACUAUUGGAGUUGCAAACAAACAAAUAACCUAUCUCCUAACAGAGAAGAGUUUUGAAGGUAAUCUCUUACUACCUUCAAGAACUACGAUAAAGGACGAAAAAAAAUGAAAAAAUGAAAGAGAACCAAAGUGACGAUUUAUAUAGUUCCUAUGUAAUAUACUAGCACAAUGAAUUGCAAAGAAUAAAACCGAUAUAGCCUUUUCAUAGAUGCCUGCUUUAUGGAGGUGCAGAUUACCUGGGCAAGUGUUGGAAAAUUUUCUUAAAGUGGUCUUGACAAAUAGACCACUGUAAAGCAGCAACCCAUGAAGAUCACUCUGUAAAAACAAUUUUGCAUGUAAAAAUAUAAGAAUAUUAAUAGAAACAGUAAAGACGGUUGGAGGUUUGAAUAAUGGUGUGCCUGAAGAGAAGACCAUAAUAAUGCAAAGCCAUGGCUCAUCUUUAUACAUAUCUUUAUUAUUAACCACAACAGCUAAAAUUAGGCACUGGUAAUAGUAGAACUAAAGAUGGGAUCCCCUUGUCAAAUCAGUAUGUUUUCAUAUCAAACACAUUACAUUAACAUACCUUUUACCUUAUUCCUGCAAGCAAUUCUAAGAAUCUUUAUGUACCAUCAUCACAUAAGGCAUGCUAGGAAUGCAUUGCAACCAUCCAAUAUCAUCAGAGGAACCUCGCAAUGUUCUCUGUACACAAGAUGCGAUACUACAGAUGUAAAAGCAAAUCUGAAAUUAAUGUUUAAGUUUACUACAAGCAAUGAACACCAGUGAUACUCAAAGAAACAUUUCAAACUGUGAAUACCAUUGAUACUCAAAAGAAACAUUACAGAUUAUUCACAAAUGAAAAAUACUUCUAUAUAAGAUGUUAAGAUCAUAUGGCUAACUGUUCACGUGUAACAGGGAUCUUUUUAGGCUAUAUCUACCUACUGGUUCUUUGUUAUUCAUGCUGUUACCAAGAGCUGCAUAGACCAAGACAUCCUCUUAUUUUGGAUCAAAGUCAGAUACCCUACAGUAAAAUCCAUGUAGCUAUAUUAAUAGAAAAGAUCUAUAUGAGGAGAAUGCACCUAGCAAAAGGCAUGAGUCAAUAGUCAACUCGUCUAUAAAUUUGCAUGCAAAAACACGACACGUAUUAGAGAAGCAAAAGGCAGGAUUGUACACAAACAAACAUAUAGCAAAAAUAUGAAGAGAAUGCACCUAGCAUGUAAAGAGAUUGUUAGAGCAAUGUACCAAAUUUUAAUAUUCAUGAGCCCUCUCCUUAAAAAUACAGGCACUGAAUGCAUAAUAUGCAUCAGUAUUUCAUAUUGUCAUGAAGAACAGCUACUGGUAAAGCAACAAGGGCUACAGAUGCUUUGAUGCAGCUUCCAGAAUAUGCUUUUCAGUCUUAAUUUCACUAUAUAGAAACAAAUGCAAGCAUACUAAGAAUUGAUUUUAUUUCAGUUUACGUCAUAUGCAUUGAAUUGACUUGAAUUCAGAAAUGAUUUUAUUUAGCUUUGACUAUGAAAACAAGGUCAAGGUGCAAACAGAUGUCUAAAUUCCAAGUAAAAUCUAUGCUAUGACCUGUGCAACAACAACAAUAAUAUAGGGCAGCAAUACUCUCAUAAAAUUAACAGAAGGAAUACUUGAUAAAAACAUGAAUCACUGCUGCACAUAAAUUGAUUGGAUUCUACAGCUAAUGAAUUAUACAAGUCCAUGCCAAACUAUAUAAAUCAAUGAACUGAAUCAAGAGGUAACUCUACAGCCAGUAGCUAAAGCUGAAGCAAAUUCAUAAGGCCAGAGAUGAAGCAAUUUUGAAUGGCCUGGCUUCCAUUAACGCCAAUCGAAUUCGAAAAAGAGAAACAGAAUCAGAGGGAUUGAUUAGAAAUUUGAAGAUUGAAAAAUCUGAAGCAGUAAACCCUAGAAAAUCAAAUCAGAGUGAGUAGAGUAGAGUGAGAGAUCGUACCGACUGGAAGUUGCGGCAAUCGACGAUCGUCGAAGAGAGGCAGAUCAUCUGAUACGAUUAUCAAAUGGUCUCUCAGAUUUAGCAAGGAGAUAGGAACAAGAGAAAGAGGGCCACUACCAAUCCACAAUCGCACAAACAGCGCGUGCCGACCACUCCCCGUUAAAUUUUCCGGGUGCGCGAUGCGCUGAAUAGGCUCUCCUGUAACCAUAUCAUGUACAUACCCAUCUUAAAACAGAUUAAGCAAUCCAAAGAAAAAUAAAAACACAGAACGUCAUCUUCUUCUUCUUUCCUCCCUAGCCUCCUGCUCUUGAUUCACUACAGUAUUUAGAAACCCAAAUCACACUCCCACUCUUCAGAAACCCAAAUCGUCCUAAAAUCUUAAUCGCAAUUUGAAUCCUGCCCAAUCCUAUAGUCUUCCCACUCAUCCCAACAAAAUGUUAACAAAUGCCCAGAAUAGAUCUAGGUAGAAGGAAUAGAGAGUAGCAAAAGGAAAGAGAGAGAAGAACAGAGAGCAUUGAGGGAUUAAACAAUCAAAUAAAGCAAUUUGACAAUUUCGAGAGCACGGUCAAGUUUGACAUAGAGAAGGAGAUCGUCAAAUCCAUGUAGGAUUUGUCUAGUUCAUUGGAAUAAAUGUUUGUGUCAAAUGUAACCGUUCGAGCUCCACGCUGUCAUUUGACAGUAUAGUUGGAGUUGCUCUUAUAGAGAUUGAUUGUGUUGUUUGUCAUAUUGAGGUAGAAACUGUGCUUCAUUUAUUUGGGGAUUUCCUGGUUCUAAGGUGUUUUUGGCGUCAUAGCCCUAUUCAGCUAAACAACACAUCUUUUCCGGCUAUUGAUCUCUUGAGUUGGGUGGCUAUGAUGGUGGAUAAACUUGAUAGUUAGCAAUUGGAGAUAUUUAUGUUGUCCUUGCGGGUAGUCUGGAAUGAGAGGAUCACAGUCACACUGUGAAGACUAUCACGCUCUCCACCCUUCCCCAACUAAACACACUGUGAGACGUCCAAAAACAAAUUGGCAGUGUCCCCAAGUGGAAGGCUCAAAGUGAAAGUCGAUGAUACAUGGUUGCAAGAUUGAGGAAAAGGGGGGGAUCAAUGUUGUCGUUAGGGAUGCAACAAGCCGGUGUGUGUUGCUGCCUCAUACAGAUGCACAAUUUAUGCUUCAUGUGGAGGUUGAGGCCGUUCGUGCUGGGCUACUCAUUGGUAUAUAUUCACCAACAGUGGUAAGAAAUUGAGCUCCGAAAGUGACCGCAUGGUGAUUUUAUCCCCAACCAAUGAUGCAGAGGACUUGUCUGAGAGUGGAGUAAUCUUGAAUGAUUGCAGGUACCAUAUGCAAGCUUUCAAUUUCAAUUUACUUAGACAUGUCUAUCGUGAAGCAAACGGUGUCGUACGUAAGCUUGCACACCUUGCUAGUAUGUCAUCUAUGGAUGAGUUUUUGGUAGAUGAAUUUUUGAUAUUAUUCAAGAUGUUCUUAUAGAAAAUAGGUGUAUGAGUGUACGAGGUACGCCCUUGGUCUCUCUCGGUGCACUAUCUUGUUUUAGUAAUGUGGUUUUAAGCAAUGCGACAUUCUAUUCCUUUUCUUUUGGUUAAUCUCAUAUGACAAUGUACAUUUUACCUUCUCAUUAUUAAAAAAUUUCAUUCACAAAAUGUGAUGUUUGGGCGAAAAUGCCUUAUUUUGUAAAAAUUGUGGCAUUGGACAUACCAGGACAUUAAUCAGAACUUCCCGGAGCUAGAAAAAGAUUUGCAUACUUGCGUAGUUAGACUAUAUGCUAAGAUCACAUGUUACUGAGGGGCGGAUCCAGAGGGGUAACAUCACCUCUUGCUUUCUGUCUACUUGUCAAUUUGAUCUCACACUUCGCUAACAGACAAUGAGACAAAGGCUUGUGCAAUUAUUGUCUUAUUGAAGAUGCAUAUACUUCUACUUCUAUGUGUCUCUUAAGUUACAAUAUAUAUACCAAAAAGAGAACGUUUUGUAAGCGGAACAUUGCUGUUAUUACUUUUUUUUUUUUUUUGAGAACGGACAUUGCUGUUAUUUACUUUGUCAUCCAUAAAUGAAGAAAAUCAGAAAUAAGAUAAUUUUUCUUUUUCAUUAACAUUAAACAAAAUUAAUAAUGAUUUUGAUUAGUUAAACGCUUUAAAUCAAUGUGAAAUGUUUUGAAAUGAUAAGAGUAAGAGAGUUUGCGCUACCUUAGAGGAACCCAUCAGUACAACUGUACAACCAAAGAAACCCAGUUGGUAACUUGGUAUGCUAUAUUAUUGAUCGAAUAUGGGUUAAUUUCUGUAAACAAUAUGUUACAGCUCAAUAAUUCGAGACAAAAACAUCUGGAAGAUAUAUUAAAUCCAAAAUGAACUAAUCUAAUCCCCAAACCCGAUCAUGAUUUCAUGAACAACAACAAGAGAACAACUCCAAGUAAAUUACAACCCUGCUGGCCUCCUCAAUGAAAUAGUUAUACAGAAGAAGAAGGAAAAAGGAAAUUAAUGAACAAGAGGAGUUGGGAUCCGGCGGAAAUGGAAGUGUGUGUCUACCUGGAAAAGAAGAGGAGGGUGUUGAAGAAACGAGACCAGGCGAAGCGAACACGAGGGUAAACACUGACCGUGAAAUUCACAGUUUGCCGGACGACGUCUUCGAUGGUCUCGACGAACAAGGUCAGGCUUCGGACCGGCGGCACGUAAAGCGUCAGAGGCACCGCCGAGAAAGCCACCGCGAAUAUCAGCUGAAGCAUUUGAAUUUGAUGAUGAACAACAACACAACCUAGCUAGAGACCACGGUUAGAUAUGAUCGAGCAAACCCAAUAAGUAGAUGAACUCAACCCCCACGCAAUCACCAACCACAGGACUCACUGUUGAUCUUUGAACUGUUCUUGGUAGAUUUUGGUCAACGGGGUGAUAGAGUUGAAGUGACUUUUCAAAAGCGCGAGAGAGAGAUGAAGGUUCUCAAUUUCUCUGGUUAAUUUCCUUAUUUUUGUGAAAGUUGUGUAUGACUAUGAUUGGGGGUGGUGGCCCGGUUUUUAUAGGAGGAUAUAUUAUUUGUUCCUACACCACUUCACCUUUAAUUGCAAGAAAAAAAAAAAAAAAAAAAAAAAAAACAAAGAACUUUCAGAAAAACGAACUUUCCCAUGUAAGAAGAAACAUACUGUCCUAGGUUUUAUUUAGACAAGUGAGAUCGAACUUUCUACUCGAUCCUGUUAGAACAUACUAGGUUUGAUACAAAUGCAUUAAUUAGAACUCUCUUGGCCGGUGAAAAACAGUAACUUAAAAAAAUAGUGUUAGGUCGGAGUAUAGGCAUGAAAGUGAUGGAACCCUAUUUAUUUAUGUCUGAAUCUCGUCGACGUUGAUUUGAGUUAAAAUAUCAAUUUAUUCUUAAUGGCUUAAAGAGUAAGUGUUUUGACAUAAUCUCUCGACCUAGAUUUAUAUCUUUAAAAAACGUAACCAAUACAGAUGUAAAAGGUAAAGUCGAUUUAGAAGUUAUAAAAAAAUUAAUAAUCAUGAUUUACAAUUAUAAACAUAAACGGUUCAAUGACUUCAAUAUAGACAUAUUUGGGAAAAGAUCAUUUAGAUGGAGAGAGCGAUGUGGAAGCUUGUGGACAACGGGACAAGUUAGUGGGGGGUACAAAAUUAAAUUUAGGUCACCAUAUUCGUUAUCAAAUUGAGUUGCCAAACCUCCACAUGCAUGUCUUCAACUUUCUCAUGGCUGGUGAUUCUACUUGCCAUAUAUCGUGCUAUGUGUGUAACUGUUGUAUCUUACAAGUGGUUGGUUGACCACUAUUAAACAACUCAUUAACACAAGUCGAUAUUCCAUUAUUCCCUCAAUCCCUCCCAUACCUUCGUUGACCCUAAAUAAACAAAGAAAAAUGGAAAAUGGAUUGAAAAUGUAUUUGUGGAAAAAUAAAAAUUUAACAAUUUUUUUUAAUUUAUUUAAUUACCAAAUUCUUUCUUGCCCAAGUUUAGAAUCAACUUGUAAACAACAUGUUGAGAAAAUCUUCCGUGCAACGGUUGCAUCAGCUGGCUUGCGUGACCAACAAAUCAUAACAAGACACGUGUAAAACAUUUGUCCACUUCAGCCUUGCAUUUUUUAUUUUUCUUUUUCCUCUUCCUUUUAUUUUAAUCCCUAUUUCUCUUCUUUUAAUUAUUAUCUUUAUCUUCUUCCUCUAAUGAGUUAAUCCCAAAUUCUCAAUCCCAGAUUACAUGAACUCUAUCUCUCUCCAGAUUAAGGACUUAGUUUCUUAAUUUCCUCCCCCAAACUCUUACCCAAAACCCAACUAUCAUGUGAUGCAUAGAGGAACAAGAGAAACCACUAUGCCAAAAACAUCAUCAGACGACAAUUAAGGACUGUCGUCUGACGAAAAAACAUAUGUCGUCUGAGGCCCUGCCGUCUGAUUGAUGAUCAGACGACAGUUCUCCACCGUCGUCUGAGUGGUGAUCAGACGACAUAUCAUAUGUCGUCUGAAAUUUGACAAGUCUAGAGGGUUUGCGAACUUAUGUGGUCUGAGUUAAAGACGACAACAUAUAUAUGUCGACUGAAACAAGAAAAAUUAAGGUUUUGUCAAAAUAGAUGUGGUGUGAUACAACCUUACACUGCAUAUAAUCGUCGAGCUACAAAACCUUCAACGACAAAUAUAUUCACCUGUUGUGGUUAGAUGAGGUUUCUAAUGACAAUAUGAUGUCGUCUAAUGUUGUCAAGUUUGGAAAAUUAUUACUCUAUGUCGUCUCAAUGGAAAACCAACGACAUAUAUAUGUCGUUUGAUGAGACACUUAUGUCGUCUAAUAGAUUGUUUCACUUCACUUUUAUCUUGUAGGGUAUGAUGACUUAUGUCGUUUGAUUGUCUAUUAGACUUCGCAUUCUUGUUUCUAUUCUUAUUGCUUAUGUUGUGUGAUUGUGAAUUGAACUUCAUAUGUAACAAAAACUAAGAAUAAAAUGAACAAAGUACCACUUUAUUACUUCAAAUACAAAAUUAUAUUAAGUGUAAAAAUACAUGUGUACAAUAACAAUACAUUUUAAUUCUAAUGUACAUAUAACUACACUCAUGAUCCCACUGCUCACCAUUCAUCACUGACAAUGCUCACAAAAAUUACAUACUGUUGUGUUAUUUGGGUCAGCCUCACCAGGAUUUCCUUGAGUACUUGAGUAGGCAGCUGCAAUGAUGUAUGCAUAUUAAGAUCCGAAUUGAGGGGAAUCAGCUACAAAAGGAAAAGAAAAAAAACAGCAAUGUAACUACGAACUAUACUAAUUUUCUCAUUUGUUGUGUUCUAUAAACCUUGAACAUGUACCAAGCUGCAAGAACUCUAUUGAUUUGUCCUUGUCAAAAUGAGAACCUAAACAAACAAGCCAAUAAACAGAAACUUAAAUAAGUGAUACAAUGUCAGAGGCUCAAACUACAUUUAGAAGUCAACUAGAAACACACAGAAGCAAAGCAACCAAUAUCAGAUGGUAUCAACUUGGCAAAUACACAUGUGGGGUACUUUAUUCUUUGAGUAACUCAAAUUCGAUAGGGAGUACUUUAUUCUUUGACAUAUCAUAGUAGACUAGGUAGUAAUUAGAGGCAUGUGAGUUCAUGACACAGAUAUAGUUCAUAACAGUAAAUACACAUUCACAUAAACUCUUAACCUUCUGACAUUUUGAGUCAGCAAGCGUGAGUAGUUCAUUAGCUGGUCUAACUUAAACAUUAAAGCUAGAGUAGCUGAUUUGAACCCCCAAACUAAAUUAGAAAGAAAAACAGUAGAAGAGGAAACAUGAGAUCAAAAACAUAUGUCUGAAUUCUGUCACAGUCUAUACUUAUAUGAAAAUAUGUCUGCAUUUCCAUUCAUUAUCAUGAAGAUCUCUUGCAAUUACUUCCUACACUAGGGGGGCUUUGAGUAAUCCUGAAGAGCCAAAAAAAUGAAUGAAUGAGACCAAGUUCAUGAAAUAAUAACAUAUAGACAGUGCAUAUAUGAAUAACAAAGAGUUAUAAGAUCAUUAAGUCGAAGUCUUACUAGGAUCAUAGCCAAAUGCUCAUUAAAGGUUACAAUCUAAAGUGAGGAUCAUAGCCAAAUGCUAGAGUAUCAUCCAAUAAUUGUAAUUGCAUGAACAAAUGUUUACCAUUCAAUUGUUUAAGAAACACAAGCUGCUCACCAAGCUUGAAAUGAUGCUUUGAAGCACUUGUGUACAGAAGCACUUGUGUACAAAAAGCUAUCAGUUCAAAGAGAAACUAUAGUUCUUAUAAAAAAAAAAAUUAGGUUGGUGUCAUGUUCAGCAAAGUUACAAAACCUUAAUCAGUCAAGAUAAUACAUGAGAACCCAACAACUGCAAGAAACUGUUACAGGCAGUUAUGCAUCCCAUAACUAAUUUCAAAACAUUCCGCAAACCAAUUUUAACCAAAAGCAUGCAAAUUGCACAGCUCCUUCAUGAACUAAUAACAAAUUGGAGCAACAAAAUUAACAUACAAUUGGUUACAAGGUGAUGUCUCCAAUCCUAUCGAGCCUUUAUCUACUCUCAAUUCUACACUGAUCAAUAACGAAACACUUCAGCUUUUUAAUGUGAUCUCUCAUCAAAAUUGUCAGGACCCACCCCGAAUUUCACCCUGAAACCUAAAGUAAAUCCUGCGGGGACCACCUCCAAGGAAAAUUUACCGAAAAUUCGGCAUAACCUCCCUUGAAAAUGGACAACCCUUCCUAAAUAAAACACCUGCAAGCACUUCUAAAAGUUCCAACUCCAACCUUAUAAACUCCUGGAGCCUUCGUGCUCUUCACAAUCACAACAUCUCCCAAUAUAGAUUCACUAAUCUAACAAAGAUCCUAAACCAACAACCACAUAUUCAGAGCAAUAACUUUACUUGAGAGGAGAGGAACUAGAAAUAAAUAGAAAUGAGCGGAAGCUAUACUAUUGACUAUGCCUCUUCUCCAUGUACGCUCGGCCUCAACUAUGCUAACCUGCAACUGGGCAUUUUAAAACGAAGAGCCCAGGGGAAACAUUUGAAAACGUUAGAGUGAGUGGACACAAAUGAAUUUAUUAAAAAAUAUUUAUGCAUUCCCAUUUUUAAUUACCCUAGAAAUUAUGUUGCAUGCAACAAGCUCAAAAGCUCUCAUCUCAUAAACUGACAAUAACACGACUAGCUCCGGCUAGUCUCCAAAGCUUUAUAAAAUAGAGCCUCUCAGGCUAAAAUAUAUGUAUAUAUUUACACACGUCCAUACUCCCUAUAUAAAUUCAUGGGUCUAUAUAGGGCUACUACGCUCGCGUCCAACGCUCACGUCACGCCUUAAUGCGGUGCUACACUACGCCAUUAAGGUGGACAGACGGGUGUAUAAAUAUGUGUCCAUACCCCCUAUAUGAAUUAGGCACUCAUAUAGGGCUACUACGCUUACGUCCAACGCUCACGUCACACCAUAAUGCAGCUAUAUGCUACGCCAUUAAGGUGGACAGACACAUAUAGCUAGCUAGCAUUUAUAUACAUACUCUCCUCAUCAUCAAUAUAUAAUUAUAUUCACUGAAAAUCCCAUUUUCGGUAACUCUUCAAAAGAAAUAAAAUCGUCAAAAUAAAAUGACGUCAAAUGCUCCAACAAAAUAAAUUGCUCAAAAAUCAAUCAUUGCAUGCAUAUUAUUUAAAACAAAAGUCCACUCACAACUUUAGGCAUAAGCCCGACGAAAUCCAAAUCGCCACUCUAGUGAGGUUUCCUCGAACCCUGGCACAAAUAUAAAAUUAAUUUCCCAACUAAAAAUCCAAUAUUUAAACAAAAUAGGAAAAAUUAACCGAGAGCCAUACUCACACUCAUCAUUGCCUAACUUCGAUACGGUCCACACCUCAACACUAAAACCAGCAGCCUUAACUACACUCUUCCACAGAUUAUACAACUUUAAUCCAACGGCCGGAUUCUACCUUAUUAAUCCGCCAAAAUUACCAAACUUCGGAAAAUCACAAACCUAUCCAAAACUCAUCCAAAAAUUCCAUAAUUCAUAUCAAUAAACUCCCCUAAAUAUUCCACAUUUAAAACUAUACAAAACUCCCAAAUAGCGGCGGCGCCGGCGCCGGCCGGAGGCCGAUUCUGGCGACCUCCAAUGCCUAUGAAAUUUUGAUAGAAUGAUCCUCUCAUCAUGCUCUACAACUUUUCUAACUAGCACAACACCCAAUUCCAAGCCUAACUAGGCCAAUCGAACGAAAACAUCAUAAAAACCUUAGAAUUUCCACCUCAAAUUUCUCCUUACCUAGCUCAAGAGGGAGUGAGACCUUUGGAGGGGUUGCUGCACGGGAGGAGGGCUUCACAACGAGCCAAGGAUCGCCGGCUAUAGCGGCCGGACGAGGGAGUUCCGGUGAAGGAACCACCACGACAGUCGUCGCUUUCGGGGGGAAGAACUCCUUCACGAUGGAGCUAGGGCGGCUGUCACCGGUCCAGGGAGGUAGCUGGGUCGGAGACCGACAGUUUGGGACCGGAGCGGCGGCGAUUGGUGGCCGGACGGUGGCGGGCGAACGGUGGCCGGACGGUGGCGGGCGAACGGCCGGAAAAUCGGGCAGCGGGAGAGGGAGAGAGAUCGGGAGGAAGAGAAGAAGAAGAGAGAGAGAGAAGUGGUGUUUGGGCCUCACACCACCCGGUCCAACACUCUUAAACCAACCCAACUCCAAAAUAAAACACCCCGAAAAAAUAAUACCCUAAUAAAAAUUACCUUUUACUAGCUAAAAUUUACCAUUUUUACUGUCAUCAAAUUUUUCUCCUACGAAUAAUUCUCCGAAAAUAAACGUCCCUCAAAACACCUUUAUAGCCAAUUAAAUUAUAACCUUAAUGACGGAGACGGUAAAAUUCUUAUUAUAACCAAGCUAGUAAAAAAGGUAAAAAUUUAAGGGUCGGGAUGUGACAAAAAUGGCACAAGCAUUGAGAAAACGAUAAGAUAGACCAAACAAACCUCUAACUCCCAUACUAAACAGCCUGAUAACAUAUAUUUCUAAAGCUUUAGACUAACCCUGUGAUUGGAAGCAACAAGCUUUCUGGUUCAUUAACUUCUGCAAUUGGUUAAAUUACUUUAUCAUAGUUCUUGAUUUUCCGAUCCAAAAUUCACAAAUAUAAAUGAGAAUUUCAUCGCAAAAUUAACUUGAGAAAUAAGAUCUAGAUCUGUGAAUGGCGGAUCAGAUUCACAUGAAGAAUGAAGCGGUGAAGAGGAGGCCGAGGGAGAGCAAACAACCGACGACGACAUUCGAUUCUAGGAAUAUCGGAUGACAGAGGCGACUUGGGUUUGGUGGCGAGUCGGAGUACCAGAUGCCUUGGACGACAGUUGAGGAGGAACAAGAUGGCGACUAGAGGGGGAAUAAGGGUAGUAGCGGUGGGACUCCGACGCCAUUCUAAUACUUCGAUGAUAGAAAAGCAGAAACCCUAGACGGAGUUAGGGAUUGGGGAAAGAGAGAGAGAGAGAAAGAGAGAGAGAGAGAGAGAGAGAGAGAGAGAGAGAGAGAGAGAGAGAAGAGAGAGAGAGAAGANNNNNNNNNNNNNNNNNNNNGAGAAAGAGAGAGAAGCAGAAACCCUAAACGGAAUUGGGAAUUGGGGAAAGAGAGAGAGAGAGCGAGAGAGCGUGAAGAAUGAGGUGUGGGUAUUGGGCUCGGAGUGAUUCCGGUGAAGAAGACGAGGGUGAAGAAUGAAGGAUAAAGAGAUUUAAGAGGUUUGAGUAUUUGGGUAUUUGGGAUAAACUCCAAGGAUAAAUGACGAGCAGAUGAGGUGUGGGCAUUUGGGAUUUAAGAGGUUCUGUUUUCGAUGGAAAAAAAUGUGGGAAGUUUAAGUUUUGGUGAAAAAAUUGAGCGGGAGCCUUAUGAAUUUAUAAAAAAUAGCUUUAACAUUUUUAAACAAUAUUUAUCAGACAACAUGUAUAUGUAGUCUGAGCUUAUUAAAAAAUGAUUGAUCUAACGUUGACUGCAUCAACCGAGACCCAAACAUUAUCGAAAAUGUCUGAAAUUUGUACCAUGGCUAUGUUUUGUUAUCAUGAUAAUAUCCAAUACUCAAACUUCAAUUUUUUAAGUUUUAGUCAUCUCAAUCAUAACGAGCCCAAUAAUGUGCUAUAAGACGUUUACUAGAUUAUACCUAAAUGUGUAUCUUUAUAAUCCAAAUGUAUGAACGAAAUCUAAUUUGCAAAAUUUGACCGUACGAUGUGAUCAAAGUAGUUAAAUAUGGAUACUAUAGAAAAUUUACCCAUUUUCAAAAACGUUUGGGUCUCGAUCGCAUGGAUCAACUUUAUUUACGUUAUACUUAAUUCCUUAUGAUUCUCUAAGGGGAACUAUACUAUCGAUUUGUAAAAGUGAUCGAAUUUUCACAUGGAUUAGUUUCGCCAAUACCAUAGGAGAGUUUGAGUUUUGAUGAAUCGAAUAUAUAAGUUUUGGGCGGAGUAGAUAAGAGCGUUUCCAUUUUGAUAAUUGUGUUGACUUUUUCAAGUAUUAAUCAGACAACAUGUAUAUGUAGUCUGAUUUUAUUGAAAAAUGAUCGAACUAAUGUUGACUGCAUUGAUCGAGACCCGAACAUUAUCGAAAAUGUCUAAAUUUUGUACCAUGGCUAGGUUUCGUUAUCAUGAUAAUAUCUAAUACUCAAACUUGAAUUUUUUUAGUUUUAGUCAUUUCAUUCAUGAUGUGCCUACUAAUGUGCUAUAAGACGUUUACUACAUUAUACCUAUAUAAACAUGUAUCUUUAUAAGCCAACUGUAUGAGCAAAAUCUAAUUUGCAAAAUUUGACCGUACGAUGUGAUCACAUAAGUAAAAUAUGGAUACCGUAGAAAACUUACUAAUUUUCGAUAAAGUUUGGGUCUCGAUCGUAUGAGUCAACUUUAUUUACGUUUAAAUUUUUCUAUGGGGACCUAUAUAAUAGGUUUAUAAACGUGUAUAAAUUUUCUCAUGGAUUAGUUUCGUGGGAACUCAAUGAGAUUUCCAGCAUUCACGAAUUAAAAAAAUAAGUUCGGCCGGAGGAGAUAAGAGCGUUUCCGUAUGACUACAACAAAUAUAGUCAUUUCCGACCAACAUUUUUGACGCUUGUCGCAAAAACACGCUAUCAUUAUUUCGUCAUCGGAAAUACUUGGUAAAGUCAUACAUUAUUUCCAACGGACAAUUUCUUGUGGGAAAAGAGUUCAAAUAUGGUCGGAAAAAGCAAAAAUUUGGCGGGAUUUUUUGGCGCCAUUGUUAUUUCCGAGAGGAAUAUACUUUCGUCGGAAAUGCGUUUUUAUUUGCGAGGGUAAGAUUAUAUCGUCGGAAAAGGUACCCUUAUUUCCGAGAAGAAUAUGCUUUCGUCGGAAAUACGUUUUUAUUUGCGAGGGUAGGUUUAUGUCGUCGGAAAAGGUACUCUUAUUUCCGAGAAGAGUAUUCUUUCAUCGGAAAUGCGUUAUUACCCUCGGUAAUAACAAAUCAUUUCUGACGACUAGAACCCUUGAAAAUAUUUCUAGAAAUUGUUUUUGUUUAAGACGGCAACAAAAUAUCGUACGUAAUAAGCGAUCAUUUCGGUCGAAAAUAGGCCCUUGGAAAUAAUUUUGUUAGUUGUUUCUAUUAAAAUAUUAAGCACAGAGGAAUAAACUAUAUGUAAGCCAUUCCGAUCCUAGCUAAACCGUAAACCCUAAGCAAACAGUGUAGAGGAGGCCGGCCAGAAGAGGGAUUUACAUUCUCUUCCACGCUUCUGCAUUUCCCAUGAAGAACUAAUUGAUCAUUGUCUAUUUAUCAAUUUAUUUUCAGUUUGGAUCCCAAGGGAUUGUGUCUCGAUCGAAUGGGUUGUAUCGAUCUCAACGAGGUUGAAUUGUAGCUAGAUGUACGAAUUUUCCUCGAGCAUAUUCUCUCGUCAUUUUGAUUCUCCUUGAAGGGAAUAAGAUCUUGCUUAAGUUAUUCCUACUCGACAGGCUAGUCUUGAUUAGAUAUUAUAGCUUCAACUAAAUAUUUGCAUCUUUAUUAGAUUUCCCAUUGUCAACCGGGUAUUUACACACCUUAAUCCGAGUGCUUAUCGUUUUCGAAGGGAUCGUAUCUCAAAGAGGUAGAGGUACGUAUGAGUUUUCCUUAAGAUCGGAAAAUCUCUCCGCUCGAGCUCGGAUCCUUAUCGAAGGGUUAAGAUGUUCCUUGACCAGUUAUUCCUACUCGACGAUAUAUAUAUUCCCUCUAUGACUGGAUUUUUCCACCUCGAUCUAUGUCAUGACCGGAUUUUUUCACCUAUCAAUGCAAUAAUCAUGUCGCAAGCAAACAUUAACGAAGAGCUACAUGUUAUUACAUGUUUUUAAACUCAAUAACUAUCUUUUACAUAUUAGUUGCCAUAUAUAUUUAAAACAUAUAGAUUAUAUUAUGAAUUUGUCCUAGCCCAUUCCUAUUAAUGAAGGGGAUCGAACUUCAUUAAACUUAGUUUUCACUUUUCUAAUAGGUUAAGGACAAACAUUUAUAUUUAUGUUCCUUGAUCUACAUAAACACUUAGUAAGGAUAAAAUUUUCGGAAAAAUAAUGAAAUUUAGGUUAGAGGGAGAAGUUCCCGCCUGUGCUAGCUAUGCUAGGAGGCUAGGCUCUAUACUCCUUAUCUCAGAAAAAAGGGGAAAAAAUAAAAUCUUUACUCCUAGAAUCGAAACUUCCUCAUAUCUCCCCAAAACCCUAAACUCUUUCUGACCCGAUAAGAGAAGAUCGGAGAAGAUCAGAGAAGAUCUGUAAACAGGGCUGUAAACAGAGCUGUUCUCAAAAUCAGGGUUGUUGUACGUCGGAGAAGCUUCUUGAAUUGAUCGGGUAAGAUUUUCAAUUGAAAUCUUUCAAUUUCGUGUUCAUAAACAUAUGCGUUCAUAUCUUCAAUUUUGGGGGUAUCGUUCAUAUCUUCAAUCUUCUAUAGCAGCUGAGGCUAUCGUCGCCGGCGUUUGAUGGUUUGCCGUUGCAUAAGUUUAAGGGGUUGAAGGAGCUCGAGCUUUCGAAAGUGCUGUCGGCACAGAUUGACUGAGUAGAACUUAGUAGUCACUUGUGCAUUUUCCCUUACUUCUUUUCAGUGCUAAGCCUGGUAAAGAACGCUACACCAUGAAUCAGCAAGCUAGCUAAUAGAUUGUCAUCUAGAUGAAGAUGUACUCAGUUUAAAGACACUUUUGAAAAUAAUUUACUUAUAUAUUAAUCUUUCUAAAACACAUUUUGUUUGAUAUGAUAGCUUGAUCGGAAUGGAGUCGAACCUAGCCCAAUAGAGUGUUGGAGAAAAUUCUAUGUAAGUAAAGCAGAAGACAGUAAAGAAGAACAUUGGAAAAGUGAGAAGGCUAAGGAAAUUUAUGUAUGUUUCCAUACCUGAUAUUUAAAUCAAACUUUUUCUAUUCAUAUUAAAUUGUGAUUAUUUUUACAUAGAUUAAAUUUGCAAACUAUUAUUUGUAGGAGGAUCUUAUUGAGAGGAGGGAUCAAAUAGAAGAUGUGUUUGGUGAAGUUGAUGAAGUUGAUGAAGUUGAUGAUUGGGAGAUAUAUGAGAAAGUAAUUCGUGAGCAUAGUCAUGGCCGUAGUCAUGGCUGUGCACUUGGGUUAGAUGCAGGGGCCAAACUCAAAGAUAUCAAUUCACAUAACCAAACUUGUAAUAAGCCUGCAUGUUUGGAAGCAAAAGAGAAUUAUGAGACAGUGAAAGGCGAAGUGGAUACUCUGAAAGAUAAAUUGGAGAAAUUGACUCAAGUUGUUCAAAAUUUGCUGCCUUAUAGCUCUGACAAUUCUAAAAGUGUAAGAAACUCACAUUAUGUGGUACGAUCUCUACCUUAUUGAAUCUUUGUAUGUUGUUAUUAUUUAUGUUAUUUAUAACAUGGUUUAGCUCUUGUUUUUCAUUCUAAAUUCUGUGUUUAAUUAUUUCUUUUUUCUUCAAAAGGAUAAUAUUAUUGCAACGGAUUCAAGUGCACUCCAUGAUGACGAUGGUUUUUAUGAAGAUGGUAUUGUUAGAGAUGGUACGGAUAGAGAUGAUGAUACUUAUGGAGAUGGUGUUGAUGAUGAAGAUGAUGAUAUUGAUGGAUAUGGUGCUGAUGAAGAUGGGACUGAUGGAGAUGGUGGUGAUGAAGAUGGUGUGAAUGGUAAUGCUAAGUUUCAUGAGGUGUUUUACAGCCGCACUUAAAACAUUGUCUUUCUUGCUUGCUGAUGAACCAGAUGUUUUAGUAGUUUAACUUAUUUGUCUUUCUUGCUGAUGAACCAGAUGCUAAGGAUAUACUAGCUUUGACAUAUCUUAGAUGUGUUUCUUGUAAUACAGUUUGAUAUACUAGCUUUGAAAUUCUACUUUUCUUCUUUUAUGUUUAUCAUCCAACCAGUUCUUACAAUUAAGUUUACAGGUUUCAUUGAAUGGGAGGGAAAACAAAUAUUUUUUAACAAAUUUUCAAUGAAUAAAUAAGCUGGUUUGGAAAAAAUUCCGACCAAUCUUUUCCCACCGUUUCACUCUCGGAAAUAAUAGAUCACUAUUUCCGACAAAGAAAUAUUCAUUUCCGAGGAAAACAUGGUCAUCAAAAACUACUCAUUACAGACGAGCAAAUGUUAUUUCCGACAACAUUCUUCGUCGGAAUAAGUUAUUUCCGACAACAUUCUUCGUCGAAAAUAAUAUUUGUCAUCGUCAGUGGAGCUCACUUUCCGACCACUGAAACCUAUUUGCGACCACAUAAGUUUGUUGGAAAUAAUGACCUUUUCCUAGGGUUCAUCGGAAAAACACUUUUUCCAACUAGACUUUUUACCAACGGCCUCUGUUCGUCGAAAAAGGUUAUUUCCGACGGCAAACGGCUUUUUCCGACCAAAUCUCACCCUUGGAAAUGACUAUGUUUGUUGUAGUGAUGGAUAAUAGGCAUAUCGUUUGUUGACCAAUUUCGGACCUCUUACUAUCACAUAUUUAUGUCGUCUGAGUCACACAAAGAAGUGGCGCCAUAAUUCGUUAAGAGCGGGAAAAUUUCAAAUUCGCUAAGGGUGAGAAAACUGUUUUCGCACGUAAUUGAAAAUUUAAGGUUCUUUUUAGACGACAUAAAUAUGUCGUCUCAAAGUUGAGCACAUUAAAACUCGCACAGGGAAGUUCGAAUUGAAAAUUUCAGUUUUUUUCAGAUGACAUAUAUUUGUCGUCUCCAUAAGUAUAUUAAAAGAGCUGAAAACCAGAUUUGGACAGCCUUCCUCACACAACAUAUAUAUGAGGGUCUCAAUUUUUAGCUAAAAACCUCAUUUCAGCUCAAUUUUUAGCUCAAUUUUCAGAUGACAUAUAUUUGUCGUCCUUAGAAGUACAUUAAAAGAGCUGAAAACUAGAUUUGGACAGCCUUCCUCACACAACAUAUAUAUGAGGUCUUAAUUUUCAGCUAAAAGUAGUGAGAAUUUCUGGGUUUGUUGACAUCACACCUAUAUGUCGUAUGAUUUUUACAAACCUAGAAAAAAUGAACUAACCUUUAAAAGUAUUGAAGUAGGAUGUCAUUGAGACGACUUUUACAUUUUACAUAUCGUCUAAAAAACCACAAAAACCAUCAAACGACACUUGUUUUAAAUGCUGCUUUAUAUGUCGUGCAUCUUGUGUCGUCUGAUAAUGUUAUUGGCAUAGUGAACCAUGCUCUAUCAACUUGGUGGGUACUGCUUUUGAUUUUGAUUCUUCAGGUUGGUGUGAAGUAUAGUCAGAGACACUCCGGCCUCCUAAAGCUAAACCACCACCCGGGAAUAAAACGCGAUCGGGACGACAACACCUUCGGCACCACCACCUGAAGAUCGAUUUCCUUUUGCUGCAAAUCAAUAUAUAUAUAUAUAUAUAUAUAUAUAUUGGGGUGAGAGAGUUCUUAAUUUGGGAUUGGAGAGAGAGAGUUCAUAAUCUGGGAUUGGGAUUUUUUUUUUGAACAGCGAUCUGGGAUUGGGAUUAAAGAGGAAGAAGAUAAAGAUUAAAGAAGAGAAAUAGAGAUAAAAAAAAGAGGCAAUGCUGAAGUGGACAAAUUCUUUACACGUGUCUUGUUGUGAUUUGUUGGUCGUCGCACAAGAGAGCUGAUGCGGCUAUUGCACGGAAGAUUUUCUCCAACAUAUUUCUACCAUAUUAGAAAGCGAGGUGUUUUUGGUGUCAAAAACUUCACCAAUUUUAUGAACUCUCUAUAUUACCCAUUAAUUAUGAAAAAACUGUUUAUAUAGAAAAUAUGUUGAAAAAUGUAUUACGGUAAAACAAAAAGUAAAUAAACCAAAAAUAGAAAUUAUGAGAUUACAAUGGAGAAAAAUAUGGGACUUGAUGAUAAGAUGGUAGCAGUUUCAUUUCACUUUUAGUGGAGCAUUUCAAGUGGAACUGCUCUUCAACCGCUCUCACAAUAAAAUAAAUAAAUUGAAAACGUGGAAGAUAAUUAUGGAAGAUAAAUGUGGAUAUAAUCAGAUAGUGGGAGUAUAAAAUUGAAAACUACAAUUUCAAGAAACAGAUAAAUAACAGUGAGUCACUACUCCUUAAUUUUAGGUAAUUUUAUGACAAUGUGCAAAUAUGCACAGGUAAAUGCUAGUGUAUUUAUAAAUUGAGCCGAUCGUGCUGCUCAAGCUCCUCCGAUGUUAAUUUGUAGAUAUGUACUAUUGUAUGUGUAGAUACUUUUCUGUUGAUGUUUUGUGCUUUUUUUUUUAAUCACGUAACAACUAAGAAUAUGAGAAUACACGAGUAAUACAUGUUUGAGUUGAACUCUAGAGCUCCACCAACAGAAAAAAAAAUCUAAUGUAAUUAGACUAGAUGAUAUCUAAUGUGCAUUUGUGUUGGACGUACAUUUUCAUUGAUAGUAAAAACUCUCAUAUUCAGAGCGGGAAAAAAAAACUGAAUUAAUUUGGAUAAACACGUUCAAAUUAGUUAGGGUUAGGGGAAGUAGCUGGCUGGCUGGUUAGCUACCUUAUGGUGGUUAAUUCUUCAUUCCUCACAUGCAUGCAGUAGAGUAUAGAAAUCAAAUGAAUGACUUCAAAAGCAAGCAAUGGGAAAUGGUAUAUCUUAAUAAUUCGUUCUUUAUAUAUGGAUCCCUUUACUUCAUCUUGGAUCUCUGUAAUGCUUAAAUUAUGAUAUUAUCAAACAAUAAUUGAAGCGAAUUAGGUUUAGCUAGUUUCACGCACCGACGCACGUACAUUUUUUAAGUUGUAAGAGGGACAAAGAAAAAGAAGAAUAAAAUGCAGUGAUUGAUCGAAUUGGCUAGCUAGCUACCAUAUAUAUAUAUAUGCAUGCACAUUUAGUAGCUAGGCAGCUGAGUAAGUAGUACGUGGUGCAGAUAGCUAGGAGCACACCGAAGAAAUGAUGAGUAGUGUUGAUUUCUCAACUACUGGUCUACCCAGCAUCCAACAAAUUAAGAUUGUACAAUCGAGACCAACUAGUCUCUUGCAUGUCCACAAAUUACUUGGUUUUUUUUUUUUUUUAUUUGAACAAAUUAAGUAAAUGGCCGGGAAAGAAAGGCAACGUCGAUCGAUCUGGAUUAUGAGGUACGUAGCAGGUUAUAUAUGUAGGAAAAUGCGUGGCUAAGCUUGUUCAAAUAUGAGCCUCUCGGUUUCGUUUGAGGGCAUGCAGAAGAUCACAAACAGAUCUCGAUGAUAGCAAUUGCAGGUAGGUUUGUCUUUCACAUUAAAGGACUAGCUAGAUUGCUGGUUCCAUCACAUCUAUACAUAUUUACCAGAAGUUCUGUUUCAUCAUUUUGACAAUAAUAUUUAUACCAACAAAAGUAUCUGUUUCAGAAACUAAUUAAAGGGCUGCAUACCCAGUAAACUUUUUUUUCUUUCUUUUUUUUGAAAAUGAAUUUCAUGAUUGAAUCAUUAAUUAGUGAUUUCAAUCACUUAGAAUAAGAAUGACCACAAACCAAUUAAUCAAUUAUAGCUGAUCGAGAUGAGUUCAAAGCAUGAUUGCAACUUAGUGCGCGUGUGUGAUGGCAACACUCUAUUAGCUUCACUUCUUGAGUAAGCCCAAGCUAGCUAGAUAAAUCAGCAACUUCUUGAGUAAGAGCACAAUCUGUUCUUUUCAAGUCUAACUGUCGCUUAGUAAANNNNNNNNNNNNNNNNNNNNCCCAAAAUAGUCCCACUUGGGAUUUAGUAAUUAGUAUACAAUGACGUAGUUACACACAGGUUCUGAUGGACUAUAACACAUUUCAAAUUUUACAAAACACAUUUAUUUCUAGCUAAAUUUUAAUUCAGAAAGCUAAAAAAUAAAAUCCAGCCCACCCUAAAUUUUUAAAUUUAGUUCAUAUGUUAUUAAACUUAGUUCGUUUUUAACAUAAAUUAGUAAGUGUUUGUUUAUUGAAGGAAAAAUUUGUAGCCCUCCCAUUAAAUAGUAUGGGCACCUUUUACGUCAAUAUUAACAUACUAAUCAUUGUCUUAAUUUUAUUCUUUACUGUAACUUAUGGGUUCUCAAAUAUGAAAAUAUGAACUAUCAGUCGUGAAAGUUGUUAGCGGACUGCAUCGUACUUGUCAGAGUGAGUUCUGAGAGUCAAAAGCCUAGGGUUUCGAGGAGGCGGCGCCGUUUCUCCCUUAGGGAGAGGGCUGAUGUUGCAGCAAGGCGGGUGUGUGGGUUUCGCUACCCGUGCUGAUCAUAAGGACGGCGAGAGGCUUUGGUCUAUUGAAGCGACGGCUCUUGAGCGGCAGUUUUGAAGCAAAAUGCGUCUCCGAUUGUAUUUGGUUUUGUUUUGUCUGGUCUUAAAGGCGGAUAAGACGGCGAAGAUCUGAAUUUGGUUAACUGUUUGGUCUGGAAAUCUCUUUGGAUCAUAUAAGUUGAUUGGUAGACAGGGUUUGGUUUCGAUCUGCUCCAAAUCGAUCUGAUUCAUAUUGGGUUGGUGGUGCUUAGACUCCGACUUUCUCGAGGUUGCGGUUCGGCAUCUUCAGGCCAUCGGCGGCUCUUGGUGAUGCCGAUUGCAGUGGGGUUGAUUGUUGGUCAAGACUGAUCUUGUUGCUGGUUGAGAGAGGUGAUGUUGAUGGUUGUUCGCUGGGGUCAAGGCCGCUCUCCUGAGGCGACCGCGGCGGCGGCAAAUGGUAGACUACUUGCGGCUAGGGUGCCCAUCUCGAGCGCCCUUAGCAUUUGGGUCUGAGCCUUUGGGCUUCAGCAUGCCUAGGUCUUUGUUUCAGGUUUCUUUGGGCCUGAGUUAUUAGAUCUGGGCUUGGGGCCCAAUUGCCUUUUAAUUUUGUUGUUUGUUUUUUUCUGCUUAGAAUAGAAGCCUAUAAUUUAUGUUUCCCAUAAAUUAUUAGGUUUGUUAUUUCCCUUUUCCUUAGAGUAGUUGUUCAUAGUCUUUUUAUGAUGUGAUGAUGAAUGAGCGAGAAAAGUGUAAUGAGGGUGCUAUCCUACGUGAGUCAUUUUAUCUUAUUUGCUUUCUGUACGCAAAGCAGUAGAUCGAUUCAUGAUGUAUAAUUUAUUUUCAACGAAUGAAAUAUCUUAACUCAAACAAAAAAAUGAAAAUAUGAAAGAAUGACCAAGAUUGGCACCAUCUUGGCCUUAAACCGAGGUAUGAUUUGAGGGGUUCUCAAGCAAGAGAAAUAAGAAUAAGACCAUGAUUGACCAGCUUAUAAAGUUAUAAUAAGGCAGAAGCAGCUUGGAAAACCAACUUGCUAAAUCCUCUGCCCUGGGGUUUUCUCUCUAGCACUUCAUCGUUCGCCCUUCAUGGGCGAUUUCCUUGGAGCUUGUCUCCGAUUUGUGUCCUCCCUAGCUUUGGCGUUUCUCUUCACCCACCCGAUAGUGUUGUUCGUCUCUUUGAUGGUCUGAUCCGUCCUUCCGACGACGUCGUUGUUUCCGAUUUUGGCUAUGGAGUUCAUCUUUUGCAUGUCUUUCCUUCAGUGCCUCUCUCUUUCAUCCGGAUCUGGCCUCAUGCUUUGUGUGUCUCACCGAACCUCACCUUGCAAGGCUCCUUGACAGCCUUCACCUUCAUCCUCAGAUCGCAUCUCGUUGGUAGCUCUAAAGUUCCAAAUAUGUGGUUUUGUCGUCUCUCCCCAACGUUUUGUUGUUCUAUGAUAGCUGUGCAUCUUGUUGUCUUGUUGUGUUUGUUUUGGUUGGGUUUUGUGUUUUACAGGUGGUAGCUAUUUCAGAUUUGGAUCGUUUGUUUUGGCUUUCAAUACAAGUUUUUUUCUGGCCGAGGAUGCGACACUUGCGGCGGAGACUUUGGGUGGCGACAAUCUUCCCCUUUGUUGUGUUGUGUUUUGUUAACUAGGGUUUGUCCUGGUUUUAGGCCUUUCUUUUGGGGUUUCUUUCCUUGCUUGUUGGGUCUAGUUUAGUUUUUUCUUUUUUAACUCUGAUAUUGUGUUCAAAGGUCACAGCCUGAGCUUGGUUGAUUGGGUUUUGUUGUUGGUAUAUAUACCGCAAGCAUAAGCAAUGACCUCGUAGACCGUUUUCCUGCCAUGUAGGACCCCGCCCCCGACAUACUUCCGGUAGACCAACAUCCAGGCUACCUCGUCAUGGUGAAAGAUCAUCGGUACCACAUCGGGAAGGUGCUCUCCCAAGCUCUACAAGAAGGCAUCAUAAGAAGAUAUAUGUGUAGUUAGUCCCACGUCGGAAACAUAAUAUAUGAGGGAACCUUCUUUAACUAUAAAAGGAUGGCUUCUUAUAUGUAGAAAGGGAUGGAUGCCAAUCACUCCAUCUUGGAGAGCUCUUGUAACACCAAAGGCAUAUUGGCCAUGAUAGUAGAAUCUUAAGUGGACGUAGCCAUGUCCUCCGAUGACAUGGUGAACCACUAGCCAUGUCCUUGUCUCCUAUUCAUUAGUCUAUAGUUUGUGUUCCACCGUACUUCUACAUAGUCUCCGGGAUUAUGCAGAAACAUGUUUAGUUUUUCUAUUUCUUCCUUGUUAGCUUCUGUAUGGGGUACAUCAAUGGGGAAGACCUCCUUUCAGUAUGGCUGUGAUCGACUUCCCCCAUUGUCUGUAUCGUAUACAUAUGGGUUUAGGAGGCAGUAGUUAGUUACUGAAUAUGAGCUUAUUUCUAGUUUGUGAUGGAUUCCUUGUAAUUGCUUGUUGUCUUGUACCUAAAUCUGCAAUUAAUAAAAUUGUUUACGUGUUUACUAAACAAAAAAAAAACAAAAAAAAAAAAACAAAAAAAAAGGCAGAAGCAACUUGACAUGCUCAUAGGAAUGACCAAUAGACUAAUUUGGAAUAUCCAAACAUUUACAUUUUAUUUGUAAAUAUCCAAACAUCACUUGCUUUAUUCAUGCGCAAACCAAAUAUCCAUAUAUUAAAAAAUCAGAUAUCAAAAACAGAUUUUAAAAUUCCCACUAGCAAUGAGACUAAUAGGAAUGACCAAUGAGACUAGUUUCUUUCUGAGCAAUCAAACGACCAAAUGAGGCCAAGAGUAAAACGGUGCCCAAGUUAGGUCAAAUGUGGGACAAAUUUUUAAAUGUUCUCUGAGGACGACGUGGCAGUUUGACGUGGUCCUCCCUGCCAAUUAAAUUUUGAUAGGUGUAUUUCUUACAACUAAAAUAUAAACUAAGGUUUUCCAUAUUUUGUGAAAUGACCGUCAUGGGUCUUUUGUGAGUUUGGACUAGGGUUUAGGGUAUAAGAUUUAGGGGAUAGGAUAUAGGGUAUAUGGUUAGGGUAUAGGUUUAGGGUUUAGGAUUUCAAAAAUCAACAAGAAACCCAAAAUGGUCAUUGACAAAAUAGCUAAAAUAGUUUUUCAUCAUCAAAAUCUACAUGUCAAAAUUUGUAUGGAAUGGACUUAAGACUGUCACGUGAUCCUUCAAGAACAUUGAAAAAUUUCUUCAAAAGCGGACGCAUGUAGGAGCCUAUGGGGCCACUGCCUCACUCAAGUUUGGACAUGUAUCGCUUAAGUAUCAGUUUUUUAAUUUCUUUUUUAUUUAUUUAUUUUUUUUACUUUCCCUUCCCCUCAAUCACGUAUGAUUACAGUUUGCUAUACGGAAGUCUAUGAUCCACCCACUUAUCUUUGAGGUAAAUCUGUUUACAUAAUGUUUUGUUUGCCUUGCAACCUCUCUGCACUUUAUAGUCUACAGUACAUAUUCCUUACACCAUGUCCUGCUUCCCUUUGAUGGUAAUGAACAAUUGUUCCGCUACCUUCUGUAAGUUGAUUAAUAAAUUCUGUCCUUUGCAAGCUAUAUACAAAUUAUGUAGUGUUACUUAAAUAUCAUUGUAUCUCGGACAAAUGUGUAGUAACUCUUUAUAAAGAGUACACAGUUUGUAAACUUUAAUUUGUAGUUUAUGUAGUUUAUAAUUGUAUCCAUAAGUAUAGUAUAUGAAGUUGAAACUUGCACUAUGUUUCCUUAUAUUCUUCUGCUUUUGUAUGCUAUUGUUUUUCUUUUGCCUAGCUUGAUUGUAUGUAUGAUAUUGUUGUUUUGGUGAAUAUGUUCAUAAAUGAGUUGCAUAAAACUAGCCCCAAUAUCUGCGUCCGCCACUGAGUUAGGUGACAUAUUUAUCAUUUUAAAAAUUCCUUUUUCUUAAGGUAUAUUUGAAAGUUUUCUCGAUGAGAAAGGUAUAAUUCAAAGGAUUCAUAAUUGGAAGGCUAAAUUAUGGGUCAUCAUUUGGCCCGCGGGCGGUCCGCCGGCCAAAAGGGCCAAAGCCCGGCCCAGCCCAUCAAAAAGCCCAUCUUGGCCCGGCCCAUAAGGCAUAAGGUCGGGCCAAUGGCGGAGGAUUCAAAGCCUCGACCCGUUACAUGCCUAUCAAAACUCGCCCCGCCCGGCCCUAAAUAGCCCGUCUAAAAGCCCUUUCAAUUGUUUUAUUAAUAUUUUUAUGAAGUUAUUAGUUAAAUAUGUGAACUAAUUAUUGGAUUAAGUCAUAUUUUUCUUUGAUUUUUUUAUUACAUUUAGUUCAAUCAUUAACACAUCCUAAACUCAGAGAACGAUAGUCUGGCUCUGCUAGGGUUUCGUUUAGCGCAUCCAACCUCAACCUCAAUGGAGAUUCUGGCAUGGAAUUGUAGGGGAGCCAACAACGAUCGGUGUGUCCAAGCGUUGCAAACCCUAAUCUGGCAGAAAAAACCCUCCUUCAUCUUCCUCUCGGAGACUAAGGUGAAUGAUGUUGAAUACAUGAAUCAACUGCGUCUCACAAUAGGGUUUCACAAUUGUGAAACGGUGUAUAGUGAGGGUUAGUCGGGGGGAUUGUGAUGUUUUGGAGGGACGGCCUUGAUGUUCGUCUUCUCUCCAAAUCGAGAUGGCAUGUUGAUGUGGAAGUAUUUGAUAUUGAUGGAUUUGGGAUUGCUUGGCGUCUAACCAGUUUGUCUGGUGAACCGUCAGCGGGAGACAGACAUCUCACUUGGACUCUUCUUCAAGAUCUGUUCAAGGCGUCGUCUCUUCCAUGGGUGGUGAUCGGAGAUUUGAAUGAGAUCUUGAACGAUGAUGAGAAGGAGGGUGGCCUUCCUCGUAACCCUAACCAGAUGCUAAGGUUUCAGGAGGCUCUGGACUCGGUGGAGUUACUGGACCUAGUGUUUCUAAGGGUCCCUUUACCUGGAAGGGCGGUGAUGUCAGAUGCAGACUUGAUCGUGCAGUUGUGUCGCCAUCAUGGUUGGAUAUCUUUCCAGCUUCAAGAGUGCUGCAUCUUCCUCCUAUUCAUGGUGACCAUGUUCCAUUGCUACUUGGAGUUUUCAGGUCUGGUCCGGUUCCGAACUCCAGGAGACCAUCUAGGUUCCGUUUUGAAUCUUUCUGGUCAACUCACGAAGGUUGUAAGGAUGUGGUGUCAUCUGGAUGGUCUCGGUUUACCCUUGGAAGGCCGAUGUAUCAAACUAUGUCUCGUAUUGCUAAUACGAGGAUAGCUCUCCAUCAACGGCAAAAAGUGACUUUUGGAUAUAGGAAGAUGGAGAUUGAAUUGAUCAGAAGUCGGUUACAGCAACUUAUGUAUCUGCCAAUGACUUCGGUUAACCUUGAGGAGCAUGCUACUUUAUCAAAGAAAUUGGAGGGUUUGUUGGAAGAAGAACGCCUUUAUUGGAUGCAGCGUUCAAAGAUUACUUGGCUCACGGUGGGUGACAAGAACACUAAAUUCUUCCAUAGACAGGCGUCGAACAGGAAAGCCAAGAAUCGACUCAUUGGUCUAUUUGAUGAAUUGGGGAUUUGGAAACCGGCUAUUAAUGGGAUGGAGCAGAUAAUUUUGAAGUACUUUUCGAAUGUGUUUCGCUUUGAACCAGUUGAUAUGGGGCGUAUGCAGUCUAUUGUGAACUUGGUACAACCGAGGGUAGCUGAAGCAAUGAAUGAGGAUUUGUGUGCUUCUUAUUCGGAUAGUGAGAUUCGUGCUGCUCUAUUUCAAAUGUAUCAUACUAAAUCUCCCGGUCCAGAUGGGAUGCCUCAUGAGUUUUUUUCAGAAAUAUUGGGAGACUAUUGGAACUGAUGUAUGUAUGGCAAUGAGAAGUUUCUUGCAAUCAGGUUACCUUUUGAAGGAUGUGAAUUUCACGCAUGUCUGUUUAAUACCUAAAGUGCCCAAUCCGACUUAGGUAGCUGGUUUGAGACCUAUUGCUUUGUGUAAUGUGCUCUAUAAGAUUUGUAGUAAGGUGAUUGCGAACCGACUUAAGAAGCAUUUGUCAGAUAUUAUUUCACCAUCUCAAGUGCUUUUAUUCCAGUAAGAUUGAUUACGGAUAAUUCUCUGUUUGCAAAUGAGGUUUCCCAUUUUAUUAAUUCGGAUUUGGCAAAGGGUACUAUGUCUUUGAAAUUGGAUAUGCGUAAGGCUUAUGAUAGGAUGGAGUGGUCUUUCUUGAAGGCAGUACUGCUCUAGUUGGGGUUCCAGGUCUCUUGGGUGAAUUUAAUUAUGCAGUGUGUGUCAACAAUUCGGUAGUCUUUUCUGAUCAAUGGAAAACCUUGUGGAUCCUUAUUGCCUAAGCGGGGGCUCCGACAAGGUGAUCCUUUAUCACCAUAUUUGUUUUUAUUAUGCACGGAAGUUUUCUCAACUUUAUUGGAGCAGAGAGUAUCUGAAAGGCGUCUUCAAGGUAUCAGAAUUUGUGAGGGGGCUCCAGUUAUUAGUCAUUUGUUGUUUGCUGACGAUAGUUUGUUGUUUGGGAAGGCCACAAUGGAUGAAUGUUUGACUAUCAAGUCUGUUUUGGAUGAUUAUGAGGCGGCUUCAGGACAACAUGUGAACUUCUCUAAAAGUAAUAUUGUUUUUAGUAAAGCUGUUUCUGAUGUUACCAAACAUUCUAUUGCUACGGUGUUAUCUGUCAGCACUGUUGCUAAACAUGAGAAGUAUCUUGGCCUUCCUAAUAAAACUGAAACAUUUCAGUAUAUCAAAGAACAGCUAAGUCACAAGCUUGAAGGGUGGCAGGGUAAGCUGCUAAGGGGUGCAGGGAGCGAUAUUCUUAUCAGAGUAGUAGCCCAAGCUCUUCCCUCUUAUUCAAUGAGCUGUUUUCUACUACCAAAAUCUUUCUGUAAUUCUCUUCACCAGAUGUGUGCUAAGUUUUGGUGGGGUAGUAAUGCUGAUAAUAGGAGGAUUCACUGGAUGUCAUGGGAGAGGCUGUGCCGACCCAAAGAAGAAGGUGGUAUGGGUUUUCGGGAUUUAUAUGCCCAUAAUUUGGCUCUGUUAGCCAAACAGGGUUGGAGGAUAGUCAAAAAUCCCUCUUCUCUUCUUGGUCGGUUGUACAAGGCUCGAUAUUUUCCUCGUUGUGAUUUAUGGUUAGCUCCUACUCCUUCUUCUCCUUCAACAUGUUGAAGAGGUAUUUUUGAAGCUAGGGAUUUGUUGGUUAAUGGUAGCAAAUGGCAGAUUGGUGAUGGGGUUUCGGUUGAUGCUUGGAACGAUCCUUGGCUACAGAGGCUGAGAGAUUUCCGUCCUCUCAGUAGGCUCAGUCGCAGCGCUUCAAAGGUUAGUGAGUUUAUUACUAAUGAUAGAACCUGGAAUGUUAGUCUACUGGAAGAGCAUUUUGAACAACCUGAGCAUUUGAUUCUCACUAUUCCUCUAAGUCACCGGAUUACUCACGAUAAAGUGAUUUGGCAUUAUGAUUCGAGAGGAAGGUUUUCGACUCGGUCAGCUUAUUAUUUAGCCAGGGAAUUGAUGCAUGACAUUCCUUCUGGUUCUCAUAACACUUCUUCUGCUCUGGUGCAAUUCUAGAAAGGUAUAUGGUUUUCAGCUAUUUCGAGCAAGAUCAAGGUACAUAUUUGGCGAGUUGUUUAAGCUAUAUUACCUACUGUUUCUUCUUUGAGAACAAAACAUGUUUUCCUCAAUCAAGGAUGCUUAUUUUGCAACACAGAGGAUGAAUCUAUUGAGCAUAUUUCUCGUGAUUGUUGUUAUACGAGAGACUUAAUUAAAUUGUUUCCCGAGUUGAGAAGGGUGCUUCAGGGAUGGAUUCUGCCUGUGGUUGAGUGGCUUUCUAUGUGCAUCGAGGUUCUAAUUAAGGAAGAGUUUGUUCUAUUGUUGGUCAUUCUUUGGUCAGUAUGGAGAGAGCGUAAUCUCAGGCUUUGGGAUGGUAAGUACAGGUUAUGUUCCCAGCUAUACUAUCAGGUAUGUACGCAAGUAGCAUUAAUGCGUUCUUGCUGGUCUAAAAAACGAGGUUUGCAACGUGAGUUCAAACCCUGGGUACCUCCUCCACAAGGCUGGGUGAAAGCUAACUUUGAUGGUGCUUUUGAUAGUUCUCUUGGUAGGGGGGAGUAGGGGUGAUUUUCAAAGACUCUCAUUCAAAAGUUAUUGGAGGUCAGUAUUGCAGAGUGGAGCAUGUGUCUUCGCCUGAGAUGGUUGAGGCUAUGGCGGGUAGGUUUGCAUGUGAAGCAGCUCAGGUGUUGCUGGUGUUCCCAGUUGUUUUUGAAUCUGAUUGUUUGAAGCUUGUAAAAGCUACAAAGUGUGAAGAUGUGGAUGAUUCGGCUUUUGGUGUCAUUGUUGAGGACAUUAAGCAGAUCUUUGUCAUCUUAAUUCAUCAUUUUUCUCUGAUGUUUAUAGGGAGUCCAAUUUAAUUGCUCACAAGUUGGCUAAAUUGGCUCUUAGUAGCGUAGUUCCUUGUAGUUGGGUAGGUCCUCCUCUAAGGGAGCUUCAGGGUUUACUAAACCUUCCUUCUUGUAACCAUUAGUCAUCUCUUUCAAUAUAUUCUAACGUUUCCGGUCAAAAAAAAAAAAACUUUUUCAUAAUUUUUGUUUAUUUUGAUAAAAAUUUAUUAGAUAUAUGUAUAUAAUAAGUCCGGCCUAGCUUGGCCCUAAAAAGCCCUUAAGGCCAGGGCCUACGGGCUUUGAUUUUUUUGAAUAGCCCGGUCCGGCCCGACCCUAUAAUUUAAAAAAUAUGAUUGAGACCAGGCUGGGCCGGGCUUUUUGACGACCCCUAGGCUAAAUUAAAUUGAAGUCCCUUUUUUUUUUUCUUGAAAGUAAACCGUACAAGGAGACCUUUGGAUGACUCAUAUCAGACAGUACGAGACAAACGUCUUAUGGGCUCAGGCUGGGCUGGGCUUUUUGACGACCUCUAGGCUAAAUUAAAUUGAAGUUCCUUUUUUUUUGUUUUGAAAGUAAACCGUACAACGAGACAUUUGGAUGACUCAUAUCAGACAGUAAGUGACAAACAUCUAAUUCAACCUUGUAUAUUCAACCUUGUAUGAAUCGUCUUUCUCAUCUCUUUUGCUGUUGUGCUUUUCGUUGGGCCCAAGUGAAAUACCUGGUUAAUGUACACUAGCCUUCCCACACGCGCAAAAGAGCUUUUCAAUUGUUCAUUCAUAUACGUGAGAGAAUAUGAUCUUUUAAAAUCAGAUCUCUCUCUCUCUCUCUCUUUAAUAUGCAUAGUGUACAACACCAUAAUAAAAAAAAAAAAACCCUAGAGGCUGAGAGCAAAAGUCGAAGAUGCAUCUCUGUCUGGCGGCGUGCUCUCUCGCCGUCGUCGGACAGGCCUUGUCGGCCCCGUGUGGGUUCAGAAUAAGCCAAUUUCCCCUAUUGAGAUCCUUGAUCGUGAUGGGGAACUUUUGGUGGCGGUUUGCAGGGUGAGGAAGGGUGAAGGCAGGGCUCUGCUUGGAUGUUGGUUCUCCCAUUGUUGGUCUGAUUGACGGAGGGGAUGGGGUGCACUGCAAUGGUGGUGGCUGGGAACUGGAGAGAUUGUGGCAGCGCGGCUAGGCUUCGAUCAGAUCACUCCGAAUGGGUUAAGAUCUUUUCGAUCUGGUCUGGAGGUGAGGUUGCAGAGCAAGGGUUGCGUUCUUCUGCGCGAGGGGGAGGACAGAGUGGGUUGGGCGCUCCGGCGAUGCCGACGCGGCCGAGUUGGUGGUGAACCAUCGGCGACGGCCGGCGAUGGGAUUGACCAGGUUGGGCGAGCACCGUGUUUUCUUCUUGAUUCUUCUGUGGAAGAUUGGGCCUUGUCUCUUUAUUUGGGCUUGGCUGUGGUAUUUUGUUUUUUAGUUGUAAUUUAUCUUAAGUUUACAAUAAGUCCUGAUCUCUAUCUGAUCUGGAUACGUGGGUUACAUCCCGGUUUGCGUGAUUUGCGUACCAUGUUUGCUCUUGGAAGGUGGCGAGUUUCUUGUUUCGUCAAAUGGUCACAACCUCCCAGUGGCAAGAUGAAACUCAGUGUCACUGGUAAUCUAUUCCAGUGGCAACAUAGUAGGAAAGCUGUUAGACAUAGUAACUUAUGGCUCUGCACGAGCAUUGUCUUUCCGGUAUGUCACCAAAAUUGUAAAGCAAAUGGAGUAGCCAUUGAUGCACUCUUUGCUAAAUGGUGCUUGUUAGAAUGCAUAAGAUUGAGAACUCUUGAUAUUAUUUCGGGAUGUUCAGGCAAUAUGGGUUUAGGUUUUAUGUCCCCCCCUUAUAUUCUGCGGUUUCGUUAAUGGUUAAGGCAUGAGGGCGGCCGAUUUAGCCCAUUUUCAAAAAUCAGAUCUCUUCAUCCUCUGCUGGUAAAAGCUAACAUUUUGAGAGAGAACUGAAAAAUUAAACCGGGAAUUAGAAUUGAACAGAUGAGAUCAUUAUCUCCCGCUUCCAUUUUUCUUGAUGACCUUGUAAAUCACAUAACAUUCUUGAAAGAAAGGAGGGAUACAAAAAUUCAAUUUAGACAAAAAAAAUAAUAGUUUAAGAGAACAUAAUACAAAGAUACAAAGAAGCUGCUUCAGUCUUUCUCAUCUGAGGUGUAGUACUCAUGCUAUAAUAUUCUCAAAUCUCAAAUACUCAAUGGAAAUGAAUUUUUGUAUUCCUCCUUUGUGGAUAGCAGACAGCUGAAAAGGUAGACAUGAAAUUCAAUUUGGCAAACAUAGAACUUAUUAGAGAAGAAGAGCAGCACCCAGAUAACAGCAGACAGUUGAACAAGUAGACAUGAAAUUCAAUUUAGAAAACAAUGUCGGAAAGGAAGAUGAAACUCUUAUACCCAAAAACCAUCUUGCUAAACACAUUACAGAUGUUUAUAUUUGUUAAAUAUAUAUAUUUAGAUCUUGAAACAGCAAACAAAAAAAAACUUAGCAUGUUAAUUGAUUUUAGUUGAUGAAUCCAAUAGGAAAAUGUGAGUUUGAUGUUGUCAAAAAUCAUCAGAUAAACAUGAAUAGAGGUUUGAAUCUCUAUAGGAGCUUGCUUCUCUCCGAAAUAAAUAUUAGUGAGUAAGGUUCAGCUAAUACUUAGAAUGACAGUACUUAUGUCAAUCACUGACCUUAGCAAAAACAUGGAGGAGGAUGAGAUAUAGGUGUCAAUUUGCCACCUACCUUACUGUUCUUUUUGCUAAACUGAUACUAAGAGAUAUGCAAAAACAUAUAAAAAAAAAGUCCGGAUAAAUGUUAAUUUUGUCAAUAUCAAUAUAUACAGUACGAUUAGAGACUUUAGUGAUAUGGCACUCAUAAGAAUAGCAAGCCACUUAUGGGAAUGGAAAUCAAUGCAGUUGUCCAAGACUAAUUUUGAUAAGGAACUGGUCAAUAAAUGUUUUACUGAUCCACCUGUACAGAAAAAUUUCAUUUUGCAAUUAAAUCCAGUAUAUAGCCGCUGUGCCACAUGUUAGCAAGAACCUGAGUCAAGCUCAUUCCUCCCUAAUACAGAUUAUUUCCUGCCUGAUAUAUCAUUUAUUUAAACAUUUAGUGCUCACCCCAGGCAAAACAUCCUGCGCGGCUUUCUGUAGAAGGAGUUCCAUUUCUUGAGCCUAUUGGGUCACGAAGCACCAAUUUCUUGUCAGACAAUUCAGAUUACAAAAGAAUUCUGAAAACCUUUUUUUAUGGGUUGAUCUCAUGCCGUGGGAUCCUCUGUUUGAUAACAUCAUAAUAUUUUAACCCCAACUGCUGUGAGUGUGUCAAUGAAUCUUCAUCCUUCAAAUCAUCUAAUGUGCGAUGUCCUUUCUCAAACAAUUUCAGUGCAGUAGGUGGACCUACGCCCCAUAUUUCCUCAAAUAAGCUGAUUGUUUUUACCUGCAAUUAACUAACAGAAGGUAGUACUGUCAGAAAUAAAGAACUGAGGUUAAGCCUCAUAAUCAGCUCAGAUACUGAGUUAUGUCGUUCAAACUAUGGUGAUUUAAAUAGGAUCUAAUAUCUACUUAUGAAAAAUAAAUACUAUACACAUUUAGAACAGUGUCAGGCUCAAAGCAAAUAGUGAACAUCAACAUAACAGAAAGAAGAACUCAAAGAUUAAAUUGGCAGUAGAAUGUUUAAAUCACAGUACAACUGAAAACCUUUCCAUUACCUUUUCAUCUGUUUCAAAGUGUUCCAGCUUGGAUAGCUUUCCCGUAGUAACUAUCUCCUGAAUCUGAAAUCAAGGAUGAAAAAACUACAGUUAUUUGGAGAAUUUGCCAGUCUGUGGAGAGGAGUUCAUGUACUCUCCCAGAAUAUGAACUAAAAUUUAACCUCUCAAAAUUGGCGGCAGGGAUUUUGUCCAAGGAGUGGAAGACGUCUUUGUGAACGCGGAAGAAGCGGAAGACGUGUUCGACGUCGGAGUGAUCGCCGGCGGCGGCAGAAAUGGUAGAGAGAGAAUAACCGUGCACUAUGCCAUAUACAUCAUCAGACGACAGUCCAAGUCUGUCGUCUAACAUUUUUUUUAUGUCGUCUGAGGAGCUGUCGAGUGAUGGUCUAUCAGACGACGGAGAAUAGCCGUCGUCUGAAACGCUAUCACACGACAUAUCUUAUGCCGUCUGAGAAUAGUGAAGAUUGAAAAAUUUCAGUAAACACACCACAGUUAAGUGUGGACUAAAUAAGCAUCCAAAAACUGUAAUAUCAUAUCACAAGACACAUCAAAUGUCGUCUGUUUUGUAUACCUACCACAUAUAAGUGUGGACUGAUUGGAGAAUAAUUUGAUUUAUUGGAUUUUUCUAUCAAAUCACACUUCAAUUAAGUGUUGAGUGUGUGAGCUUACAACGUCAAAAACUUGUAAUAUAUGUGGUUAUAUAGAAGAUCUAACCUCACUUAUCUGUUGUUUCACAUUGUAAACUAUUAGAAAUUUUUUUUGGUGCUUCUGUCAUACGAUAUUUAGUUGUAGUUGCAUUUGUAUUCAUACCACAUAUUUUUACUUUUCGACUUGGUAUUACCACAGUUAAUUGUCGACUGAAUGAAGCAUUAUCAUAGUUUGUUAUGAUUUUGUCGUGCCGAGGUCCUUUACUUGACAUAUAUAUGCCGUCUGAUUGAAGAAUUACAAAAAUUUAAUCUUGUGACUCCUUCUCAGUCCACAUAUAUAUGUUGAGGUAGCUUAUAUCCAUCAACAAUUUUUUUGUUUUAUGUUGUUACAUGACAUUUGGACCACAUAUAUAUGUAGGUUGAGGGAUAGCAAGUAAGUUUUUCCUACCCUAAGUCGACAUUUUAAUAGAGUUUGAUUCUGUAAAAUAUGUCGUCUAAUGCUCAAUUGCACUACAUUAUCAUGUUUUUUGGGAGUUUACAUAUGUUGUUUGAUUUAGUACGAGACGACACAUUUGUGUCUUUGGUUGCAUGAUGUUGCCUGUCUGUUUUGGCUCAAAAAGUACUAUUCAUAUGGUAAAACAACCUCAAUUUAGUACAAAAACCUGUGCAUUCUAAACCAUAUAUGCCAAUCAAACCUCACACAUUAUGAACCAUAAGGAAAUCAAGUUGCAUUAAACUUGUAGAUCAUAUUACUUAAAUUAAACAAAAGCCUUGUAGCCAUUUCUAAGUACACAACAUAUAUAAACAAAAAUAUAUGUUUGCGCGCAUAAGUAAAUUUGUUCAACAUAGAAUAACUUAGCUACCUAGUUGGCAUCAGACCCACAAAAUAGGCAUAUUAGUCAUAACUAUUUAUUAUGUUCCAAAGUUAUAAUGCAAUAAAGCAGCACACCUAUGUAUGAGCUAUACUACCAUAAACCAACAUCAAGUCUGAUUUUACUAGUCUGGAAACUGUAGCACAUGCUCUGCCCACUCUCCUUGAAUUUCAUCAAUUUCCUCGGCUGUGUAAGUCAGACCAGCCCUAGUUCCCCACUGAAAGCAAAUGUAGCAUACAUAAUGAGUUUCCAGUGUACGUAUCAUCAGAAAAUACGUAAAUUAACUAAAUAACAGUGUCAGCAUUAUAAAAAGUGCCAAUAAAAAAAAAGUGCCAAAUAGCUGAUGUAUUGUUGGAAUAUAAUCGCAUCCAUUCCACUGCCAGGUUUAUCCAUAUAAAUACAUAAAUGUGAAGACACAAGUAUAUAUAAAGUUUAUAUGUGGUUCCUAAAUCUCACCAUCCUAUGGAUUUACAUAAACAUACUAGUUCCAAGAGCUAGCUAAUUCAUAAAAACUUAAAUCACCAAUGUCCAUCACUUAUAAGCAGGUCAUGAUUAAUCUACAAAAUUGUAGUACCUUUUUAUCAAGGUCAAUGUUGUUGUCCUCCACAAUUUCCUUCAUGUAGCGCAUGACGUAAUAUCCACAACUCACAUCAUCUUUUUGUAUCGGAGCACCCUGAAAAUUAUGAAUCAGGCUUAUCAAACAGAAACAAAAAUCAAAUUAUACUGUAAAAUUAUACACUACUAAGUUUUAAAAUGCUUACAAGUAGAGGUUUCCAAGGAGAUGCUUUCUUCUUUCCAGGCUGCUUCUUCAGUAGGCCUUUGUACAUUUUUAUGGAGCUUCCAACAGAAAAAAUAAUAGUUAGCAUCUUCAUGGCUAAACUAAUCAAUGAGUAAUACUAAAAGGCUAGACCAUAUAGGAAAACUAGCACACACUUACUCAGUGACAAUAGCAGGCCAUUCACUUCCAUACAGGCGCCUUUUCAGUGGAUCCAUAUAGCGUGCGGUUUCCAAUUCCGUGUUCACAAUCGUCAAGGUCCAGUGUUGACUAUGCAAUAACAUACAAUGUCAUCCCAGAUGUUUGUCUUAAGCACUAAAUCAUUUGUACCCACAAAAUCUAGUUCAUUGUUACGUACCUUGUGUUAUAUGGAAUCAAAUAGAUCUGCCCAGGCUUCCCAUUCUUGUACAUAACGGACAAAUCACGAGACCUCGCUGUGGGAGUUCCACUUCCAAUUGCACUGACUUUAUCAGAGUCGACAAACCGUAUCAUAUCCUCCAUCUUGUUCUGCUUUAACACUUUAUUCAAGUAGCUACAAACACAUAUUGCAACAUAAAAUGAUGAUAACUACUUCAAAAUAAACAAAGAAACAUGCUUCAUAAUUCAGCCGCAUAAUCCAUUAUGAAAUAUAAGAACCAGUAAACAAGUAUAAUAAUUUACCUCAUGUAGAAGAAAAGAGCACUGUUCGAUACUUCUUUCUUGUGGGCUAUGGCGUAAACAUCAGCUCUGCAUAUAUAUGCUUUCUUUGGAUGUCCAAAAAGAUCUUCUUGAAACACAGUGUUCACUGUCUUCCCUUCCUCAAGAAAAGUGUUUGCCCAAUUGCAUAAGUCAAUCAAUGCCUUCGGCAGAUUCGGGGGCAAAUUAUCUAGAUCUUCAUUGUCCUGAAUGCGUUGAAUUGGUUUCUUCCUACCAUAACCACGUUUUGGUUUCUUGUUUUGCAAAAUUAAGAGAAAAUGCAUGUUAGCAACUUAAAUAAGGAAUUAAAACAUGAACUAUUGUCAAAAAAACUCAAAUAUAAUUGCACAUAAUAAAGUACAUCAAACAUAUAUAUUGCAGUACCUUUGUUUCAGUUGUUGCAGUAACAGCCUUUGCUCCAUGUGUAACAACCAGGUCCUUAGGCCAGGCAACACAGCUCCUAACCGUAUCGUCCACGGUUAAAAUCUCAUCCCUCACUGGAAUCGGUACCAGGGCAUCACCUUCAAUAGCCCAUAUAACUGAAACGCGCAUGUUGUUUUCGCCCAAUGGCACACCAUGUAGUAGCUGAUUGCUUGACUCACCACCGACAUCAAUGACUUUUGCAAUGGCAACUAUAUUUUCCAUCGUAUCUACUGCCAGUCGACACUCAUUUUCAUCACAAGUCAAAUCCUAACACAAACAAUGGAAAAAUAAAAAUUACUUAAAUUUUAUUCGUUUAAUUCAUAGCUGGCAGUAAAGCCUAAUGAUGGAAACAGAGAGGAGUUAAAGGAGAAAAGAGUUAAAUUACCAGAGCAAUAUAAUUUGCAGCCUUUGGAGCAAAGUCUGUAACCUCAUCCAAGUCCAUUGUUGUUUCUUCAUUCUGCUUAGGGUCAGGUACUUCAUGGGGGUCAAUCGCAUCCUCCAAGUACUUCUCAGCAUCUAAAUUCAAUCUCUUCUUGACCGAGCUGAGCUCAGCAUUUAUUUCCGUCGCCAUUUGAACCUUCUCGAAAUUGGGAUUGCAGCUCCCAUUCCCUGAAUUGAGUUCGUUCACUGGUGUAACAGGUGUAGGGAUUUGCACACCGGUAGACUGCAACCUUCCCAACAGUGACUCAAACUAAGCUUUCCAUUUUUCAUCAAGUUUCUGUAUCCUUUUUUCAGUUUCCUCCUCCCAUUUUGCUUUUUGUUCUGCCAUAAACUCCUCUUGCUCCUCCUCCAAUAUAAGCCUUAUACUUUUCCUGGUUGCCUGAGAACCACCACCUCUUUUUCGCUUUAUUGGCAAGUCAAAGACGACAUCAGGUCGAACAAAACCCCCAACUCCUCUUACCCUACCGGGAUGCUCUGGUUUCUUCAAUGCUAAGGUGAGGACAUCUGUUGACCCAACUGUGGUAAGUGAUCCCUCAGAUUCUGUUUUUUAAGGUUUACCUGAAACAAAAGCUUAACAUUAAACAUACAACAUAAACAACUAAUAUUAAAUUUUCAUACUCCUUUGAACAAUGGUAAAUUACUGAGUGAUUCUAACAGGACUUACAAUCCUUUUGGCCGUGUUCGCCACCUCAGGUGAUGAGAAGUUACCAUCCUUGUCAGAAUGUGCAUUCAGCCACAUUCUGGCACGGUCCAGCAUCUCAAUUGGGACUCCCACCUUCUGAGCCUGCAACAAUAUAACAAAGCAGAAUCAUGUUAGAAGUAGAACACAUUUUGAUUAAGGAAAAAAUAUUUGCUAUCAACCAAAACUUACCAAUUCCACUCUUGAUUGAGCAUAUCCUUUACGUGACAUCCUGUGAUUGUACUUGUUAAGCUUUCUCUUUGCACUUUGAACUCCCCGCAGUUCCUACGAAGCAUAGAAUUCAUGAACCACAAUGUUAACAUUUUAUUGGUUAUAAGCCAUCUUAAACAACAAGGUGGACAUAAAAACAUGUUAACAAACCUUAAAUUCUUCACUAAUCCUAUCUUCCACAAAAAGCGACCAAUGCAACUUGGGGAUGCAUCGAUAAUCAUCAAGAGGAUUUUCCAACUUCUCGGGACUGUCCUUGAAUGGCAUAACGUAGUGAGUGGUUAGUGUGCUCUUGAAUUCCCGCCAUUUGGUUGAAGCAAAUUUAAGGACAAAUCUUCUACAUUGCUGAGGGAUCACAUAAGCCUCCUACAUAAAACAAGAGAAAAAUAAUAGUCAAGACCUAUAUAACUCAUUAAGUCGAUGAAAAAAAAAUUACCUGAAUUGCUUCCCAUAUCUUCUCUUUAGGUUCAUCAUCCACAUUCCUCCAAUCAUCAAAGAUGAUGGAGAUCGUCGUACGUGCUAAGACCCCAAUGUACCAUUGCAUAUCUGUAGCAUUUUUACCUAUUGGUGUCCCCCUGUCAUCAGAUUCUAUGGGAAGCUUGAUCCCUCUGAUCAGUCGCUUUGUUACUCUUGCCAUAGUGACCAUCGGUCUGGAUAGUAAUCGCAGACCUCCAGUAAUAUUGGGGGUUUCCGCAUGAGGAAUUUAUUCUUUCUUCUUUCUGAUCGACUUUGCACUGGUUGAAACUGAACUAGACUUGGCCUUCCGGCUAUACUUCAUCUUCUUCGGGGCUGACACUGCUUCAUCACUUGGAGUUGCAUUUUUCUCAAGGGUGGCAUCCGCUUGAGGAGAAGUACGUAAAGUCUUCCCAGAAUCCAAGGUUGCUGUACCGAAAACUGCAGCCUUCUUCAGUUGUCGCACAACAUCGAUUCUUCUAGCAAUAUCAGCUGCAUUCUUUUAUGCAGAAGUAGACGCUGCUGGAAUACUAUCAUAAGCUAUAGCCGGCUUUUGUCGCGUCGCCUUGAUUCUGGAAGCAAUAACUUCUGCAGCUGCCCGUUUUUUUUGUCCCUUCUUUGAACCUAAAGAGUUAAGACCUUUCCUUGCUGGUGCCAUUACGUGAAACCCAUUUAAAAAAGAUUGGUCAGCUAGCAUACUGAGGUUAAAAAAGAAGAACAAUAAUGUCGAGAAAAAUAGGACAAUACAGAAAAACACACUCUUCAUAAUUAAGGCAACAAUGUUAUGUGUUAAAAAAAAUAUAUCAAUCACAUUUCAAACAAAACAUCCAACAAAACAUCAGACUGUUGUUCUAUUAACUUCAAUUAUAUAAAGAUUACAGUCCUAUUAGCUAGCAUUCCAUUCAUUGCCUUCAAAUUCACUAUUAACGUGACCAGGUAAGCUACUAUUAUCUAUCCAUAUUCCUUCAUUGCCAUCACGCAUAUGUCUGGUAGGGUGAUUCUCAUCUACAUCAUCAAAUGUGUCAACUGAUGGCAUUGCUGGAAUGAAUGAUUGUUCAUCUGUGUCUUCAACCUCAUCGUCAUCAUCAACCUCAUGGUAGUCUAUAUUCGGGCACCUCAUGACUACUGACCAUUCCGCAUCUAGGGGAUCCUCAAUAUAAAAUAUUUGUUUCACAUGUGUAGCUAACACAAAAGGAUCGUUUAAAUGUCCUAACCUAUUCAGUUUCACCAACGUAAACCCAAGUUCGUCUACUUUGACGGCUCUAGUACUCUCUACCCAAUCACAGUGGAACACAGGAACCCUAAACUUAUAGUAGUCCACCUCCCAUAUACUUCUAAUAACUCCAUAGAAGUCCAUAGCACCGUCGGAUGGAUUUUGAUCCCUCGCACUUGCAACUUGCAUUGCAUUGGCAAGCAAUGUUACACUGCUGUUUUGAAAUGAUCGAACGCAGUCUCUCUUUGGUGUUGUAGUCAACUCCAUUGACAUGGUAAGCGGCAUAGGUUGGCACUUGAUUUUUGGGACCAGCAGCCAUCCACCUUAAUGUUUGUGAAACUUUAUCGGAUUUCAGCCUCAAUUGAUUUGCAACCUGCCACGACGAUUGUUCAUUAAAAAAGGAGGAAGCCUAUGUGACAUACAUUUUCAAUUUUUGUAAAAUAACACUUGUACCAUCACAUAGUAUAUAAUUUCACUUACCCUUUCUUUUAACCAGUCUGGAAAUGUUGCAUUAUGUUUUUCCCUCAUCCACUUCUUGUUCUUCACGUUAUUUGGGUAAAUCAACUCCAAAUAUUCAUUGUGCUCCCUAGACCGAAGAACAAGGAAAACCAUUAAGCUCUGAAAAACUUUAAAGUUAAAGGGUAUUGAAAUAUAAAAAAUUAAAAAAGGCUAAUGUGUAUACUUACUUGAUGUAGGGCUGGACGUCUUCAGUAUUUUGUAAGACACAAAGGUGUGCAAGAUGCAUCUGCUUUCCGUACACAGGUAUGAUAGUUGGCCGUGAUAAGGGCCUGCUCUGUUUGUAGUUUCCAGCUUUGCUUGUCGAAGGAAUUCCCACAGUGAUACCACCUUCAGAAUGGAUACGCUCUUCUAAAUACUCUACAGCUUCUUCAACAAUAUACUUCUCAGCCAUGCAGCCCUCAGGAAAAUGUCGAUUUUUAACAUACCCUUUGAGUACUUUCAUGUACCUCUCGAAUGGGAACAUCCAUCGGAAAAACACAGGGCCACACCAUUCAACUUCUCUAACAAGAUGUACUGUUAGAUGAAUCAUAAUAUCGAAAAAUGAAGGUGGGAAUAAUUUUUCAAGCAAACAAACAGUAUCAACCAGAUCUGCUUGCAUUUGUUUAAGUCUAGAAACAUCUAUGACUUUACUACAAAUUGCCUUAAAAAACAGGAAGAACUGAAUAAUGGCAUACCUAACAAGCUUCUCUAGAACUGAUCUUAAUGCAAUGGGGAGUAGGUACUGCAUCACUGUGUGGCAGUCAUGUGACUUAAGACCGACCAGUUUUAAAUCUUCCAUGGAGACCAGAUUACUAAUAUUUGAGGAGAAGCAUGUAGGAACUGACAUUCCAAAAAAGGAUCGGCAAACUAUUUUUUUCUCAUGAUGCAGCAAAUUCCAACUAGCCAAAGGCUACUUGGCCUUUUUCUCCCCAGCUACCACUUUCAAGUCAGUUUUGAUGCCCAUAUCGACCAUGUCCAAACGGUAAGCAGCUCCAUCCUUUGUCUUACCAGGAAUAUUCAAGAGGGUCCCAAUUAUGGCAUCGCAACAAUUCUUCUCAAUGUGCAUCACAUCAAGAAUAUGGCGCACUGGAAUAUAUUUCCAGUAUUCAAGUUCAAAGAACACGCUUUUUUUUUUCCAGCAAGGUCUGGGUUGAUCACCUCGCUUGGCAGGCUUUUGAGUUUUUCCAAACUCAUGAGGCAGUCCUUCAACCCUUGCCAGAACCUCUUCUCCACUUAAUGGUUCAGGGGCGACUUCAUUCUCAAUCGUGUUGUCAAAUGCUGCAGCCUGCUUUCGGUAUGGAUGAUUUCUACGCAAGAAUCGGCGAUUCUUCAAAAACACCAUUUUCUUACAAUGUUUCAGCCUAAUGGGUUUGGUUUCAUCAACACAGAUAAGACAAACAUUAUAUCCUUUGGUGACACUACUCGAAAGGUUCCCAUACGCAGGAAAGUCAUUUAUAAUCCAAAAUAGGACUGCCUUCAAUGUGAAGGUCUCUUCUCUCACAGAGUCAUACACACAUUCAACCCCCUGCCACAGUAACUUCAAAUCGUCUAUCAACGGUUGUAGAUAGACAUCGAUAUCUUUCCCGGGCCGUUUCGGUCCAGAUAUCAACAAGGACAACAUCAUGAACUUCCUCUUCGUGCAUAACCAAGGAGGAAGGUUAUAUGUGACCAGAAUAACUGGCCAACAAGAGUAUUUGCUGCUUAAAGCAGCGUAAGGAUUAAAUCCAUCAGACGAAAGGGCUAAUCGAAGGUUCCUAGGUUCUUUCCCAAAUUCUGGCCACUGUGUGUCAACCAAUUUCCAAGUCGGUGAAUCAGCUGGAUGCCGCAUCAUGCCAUCUUUUUUCCUAUCGCCAUGCCAAGUCAAGGACUUAGCUGUCCUUGGAGAUUGGAACAUCCUUUUGAAUCUCGGUAUUAUAGGGAAGUACAACAAAACCUUUGCAGCAACCCCAUCCCUCACAACUCCGUUCUUUCCAAUCUUAUACCGCAAAGUAGUACAUGUUGGACCUACUUCAGCUUCAUGAUGGUCCCCUCUAUAUAGAAUGCAAUCAUUUGGACAUGCAUGAAUUUUUUCAUACCCCAUCCCCAAUAAACUGAGUGUUUUCUUUGCCUCACCUAUAUUGCAAGGUAUUUCAUUCCCAUCGGGAAGGAAGGACUCAAACAACAUUAGCCAAUCGGAAAUACAACCAUCAUAUUCUGUUCUUUGCUUUCAAAUUGAACAUUUCUACAAGAGCGUUCAAUUUUGUCAACUUUGUACACCCAGGGUAUAAAGCUUUAUCUCCAUCUUCUACCAGCCUAAGGAACUCAUCUGAGUCACAAGACAUCUCCUCAUCCUCAUCUUCUUCACCCUUAUUUUCUUCACCCUCUAUAUCCUCCGGCUUAUCUACUGAUUCAGAAUCUCCGCCACUAUCGCCCUCCACGGCAGCAGCUUCACCAUGACAGUCCCAAUUUUUGUAAUUGGUCAUGAUGCCAUUAAAAUAUACAUGGCCCUUGAUGACAACAACGGUAAAUCCACUGUGAUUACAGCACUUCAUACAAGGGUAGCAUAUGCUUGAUUUGUCGGCAGCAUUUGCUGACGCAAAUUUGAGGAAAUUUUCAAACCCAGUUUGAAACCUCGAAGAUCUUCUAUCAGCGAGCAUCCAAGUUUUUUCCAUCUUAUAUAAACACAUAAAAAUGGAAUAAUAACUAGUUUAAUAACCAAUCACAAUCAUUAAAAAUAAAUUGAGGAUCAAGAUAAACACUUGUACUAACAUCAUAAUAACCACAAUCACAACAUGCGCAUAAAAACAGAAAAAUAACUACAACACUUAGGUACUGGAGCAGAGGACUGAAACAGCUACCCAAGUCGAGGUCAUGCUUAAGGCUAGUGUUUUCAGUUCAAAUCAGUAACAAACACUUCAACUAUUAACAACUUGAACAAACAAGAUAAACAAUCACAAGCAUAACAAUAAUAAAUACAGGAAUUCUAAUUAAAAAGCUAAACAAACGAGCAAACUGGCUUACUUCAAUUUGGAUACCUCCACUUCAACUGAAAACCACUUCAACCGCUAGCCUACUUCACUCCAAACUGUCACUGAACAAGAACAAUUGAAUUUCCAAUCAAUCACUAUCAACUCAAAGAAAUCUGAUCUAUACAUAUCAGACCAAUACAUAUAAAUAUUUGACCAAGUAAACAUCUCAGGAUAGAAGAAUCUAACAACAUGCUGCAACUAAUAAGUUCUAAUAGCUCAACAUAAUUAGAAUCUAGAUUACAUAAUAGCAUCUAAAAGUUUGUUUGAUCAAUCAGACUGGGCCAUCAAAUAGAAGAAAAAAAAAAUGAAAACGCUUAUACAUCAUCAAGUUUCUUGUGAUUCAACUUUUCAAACAAACAUAUUGCAAUUAGUACUAGCAUCAAUGAAAGCAUUUUAUCAAUCUACUGUCUGUUUCGUUAAAGUAUUAUACUAGAUCAAUUGAGAAAGAGAAAGAAAGUCAGAUACCCAUUCUCAGCGUAUGUAAUUCCCAGAAUCCCAGACCCAGAAAAAUAAGAGACUAACACACAACAUAUAACAGAUCAAUUGAGCAAAAACCCAUCAUUCAUCACCUUUCGAAAGCAAAAUUUCAUAGAGAGAGAACAAUCCAAAUAAAUUAACCAAGAUGUAAUCAAUAAUCAUACCCACAGGAAAGUAUCCUGCUUAAUUCCUUUUGCUUCCAAACACAGGAAAGUAAAGACUUUCCUUUCCCAAGGUUUUGAUUCCAUGAACCAAACACAGCCUAUAAGAAAGAGACUAGGUUACCUGAUUGUGAGAGAAAACAUGUUGUUGUGUUCGAGAGAGACAGAGAGNNNNNNNNNNNNNNNNNNNNNNNNNNNNNNNNNNNNNNNNNNNNNNNNNNNNNNNNNNNNNNNNNNNNNNNNNNNNNNNNNNNNNNNNNNNNNNNNNNNNNNNNNNNNNNNNNNNNNNNNNNNNNNNNNNNNNNNNNNNNNNNNNNNNNNNNNNNNNNNNNNNNNNNNNNAAGUGCUUUGUAAACAUACAUCUUUAUAAGACAACUAUAUGCAAGAAACAAAAUUUACCUAAUCUAACCAUUAGAUAUGAUCGCAGUACUUAAAUAUGUAUGUGGAAGAAAAUUUAUCCAUUUUCGAUAACUUAUAAGUCUCGAUCAUUAGAGUCAACUUCAUAUAUACAUAAACUUUCUUAUAGCUUCCGCAAGAAGUACAUAAUCGUUUCAUCAAAGUGUCCAAACUAUUACAUAGAUCUAUUUUCCUACUCUUAACAAGAGUUUGAGUACCGGCUAAUCAAAAGUAUAAGUUUUGGUCGGAGGAGAUAAGAGCGUUUCCGUUUGGAAAAUAUGCACAAUUUAUGUUGACCACUUAUUUACAACAUUAGACGACAUAUAAUCGCCGUCUCACAUUGAAGAAAAGAGAGGGAAAAUUUCGGCGCCCAAAUUCAAAUAUUUCAGGUCCAGACGACUAUUUUUAUGUUGUGCGAUGAAUACAUUAAGGUUGGCGCCCUCUCCCAAACUCAAAUGAAUUUGAAUAUUUCAAGUUCAUACAGACGACAUAUUAACCUCGUCUGAUGAAUAGAUUAAUAGGUUGAGCCCUUUUUCAAACUUAUAUAUCAGGUUCCCACAGACGACAUUUAUAUGUCGUCUUAUUAAAUACAAUAAAAGGUAACCAAACUCAAUAUUUAAUUAUAAAUUGAGUAUUUUAGGGUCAGAGAGACCACUUUCAUAUGUCGUCUAAAGUUAUACAUUACAAAGUUCGUACACUCAAUUUUAUGGGUUUGUUAGACGUCAUUUGUUUGUCGUCUGAAUAAGUGAAUUUAAGGGUUCAAAAUGGAGGUAUAAAUCAAAGAUUUAUGGUUUUUUCAGAUGACAUUAAUAUGUUGUUGGAUGAAGUACAUAAAAAGGGGAUUAAAAGUAGAUUUCGCAUUCUUUCACAGACAACUUUUAUAUGUUGUCCGACGUAUUAUCAUAAAGUUGCUAAAUGUUGCUUUUUUACACUGUAUAUAUAUGCCGUCUGAAAUUUAGCAUAUCACAGACAAAUUGAGCAACAUCCAGAAGUAUGAAGGGAGCAUGGCACUCAUACGACUUAUACUUCACAAAUGUCGUCUGAAGGGUCGAAAAAUUAAUCAGACGACAUAAACUCAAAAUCGUCCAAAAUAUGUCGUCUGAAAAGUGUCGUCUGAUGAUGUAUAUGGCCUAAUGGUGGUGAGUGAGUGAUUGAAUAAGAUUGUUGUAUUGGGAUUUAAGCGGAGAUUCAACGACUUACCCAUAAAUUCAACUGCGAUUGUAAACCAAGCUUUGCGUAUUCACCCUCUCUCUCCGAUUCAAGCUUUCUUUCUUCUCCGAUUGCCUCUCUCUCUCUAUCUAUCUUCUCUGAUCGCCUAAACCGGUGUGGAAGGUAUUGUUUAUUUUUUCUUCUGGCGUGUCCUGUCUAUUGUUGAAGAGAGGGCAAAUCAGGCAAUACAGGUAAAAUGGCAUAAACGUAAAAAAUGAAGAAAAGCAAGGACAGAAGGGCGACGACACUGUUCAGUGAACAGUAAUAGACCCAUCCACUUAAUAUAUAGAGACUAGAAAGAUACCCGUGCGUUGCUACGGGAUUUCUUGUCAACAAAAUUUGUAUUCUACAUAAUGGAAUAGGCAGAAAUUUAAGAAUAUGGUUACUGAAAAUAGUCAAUUCUAAGGAAUUAAAAGAAGAGCCACUAUCGUAUCAUGUUCAGUUAAAAUGAUGAAUUAAUAUGCUGCUUCACUCUAUACAUGUAUAGAAAAUAAUUGGAGUUUCAGAGUGAUACUACCUAGUUGAGUUUAACUAACCUAUAUAAAUAUAUACAUGAUGCAAGCCUAAACCCAAAUCCAAUGACAUAUGCUCAUUCUUUAUUUCUCUAUGUCCAUCAUAAAGUAUGUAUCCACAAUGCUAGUCUACAUUUUUACCUGCACAUAUGCUGAUAGCCAGGUGAAUACAUUAUACUAGAAGUUUAGCAGCGUUGAUCACUAUACAAAGUGAAUGUAAAUCAUAUAUUACUGGAAACCAAUACAUGUUUUGAGGAGGGACCUAGCUUCUCUGUUUGGACAAGCAGAGCUUAGAUCUGCUUGGAUUUUAAGGAGAGCAUGACACGUCAGCUUAAUAAAAUCAAACGGCUGAAACUAAAUAUCUUGGACAUCCCAUCUUCUCAAAGUUAUAGCAGAUCUAUCUCCUCUUCUUCAUCGUCUCUUUCCAUUUCAUCAUCUCUCUGUCUUCUUCAUCUUAUUUUGAGCGAGUCCUUUUUCUUCAUCUUUAGUUUCGACAUUCAUAAUUCAACAAUAGCUAUUAGCUAUGCCAUAUUUAUGGUAAGCCCCAAUUUCUUAUCAUUUGAUUGUAGUGUUAAGACCUGGGUUUCUUAUCCACUCUUUACUUCAAUCAUACCUUUUGUUUCCAUGAUUCUGGUCACCUAUAUCGAAAUGGUCAUGCACAAUUAUCUGUGUAUUGAUGAUGUUAAGGGCCAGUACUAUAUCUUUCAUUUGUCAUCUGGGUACAUUGAUUUCAUGUAAAAAAUUGGUGCUUUUUGUGAUCUGGGUCCGAGCUUGAACUUGGGAGAGAGGAGUUAGAUAUGAGCAUGUUGGAAUCGGCGAACGAGCUGUAGAGAGAGCAUUGUCUUUGGUCUGCAUGAGCUUAGUCUUGCGGUUGCAGUAAUAAAACUCGAGAAGGCGGCGGAGAGGCGCGGUAGAGUGGCGGCGGCGAAGUUCAUACAGUCGCAGGAGAAGCAAAGUGUUAAGAAUUCCUAUGCAUUUUGUAUUCUCCUCCCUGUGCUCUUGAAUUAAAUGUGGACUGAGAUGAAGAAGAGAGAUGAACAUGGAAGAGAGAGAACAUCGGAGUAGGAGGGAGAAAAGAGGGGGAGAGAGAGAGGAGGAAGAAGAGAUCCUGAUCCAGUAUUGGUUUGUGAUAGCCAGGGCCUUGUAAGUCUUUAUUGUGAACCAUCAGAUUCCCUCAUGCUAACGUGGCACAAUCUCUUAACAAUCCAAGCAAAUCCGAGCAAUGGCUCUCCAAGCAAAGCCAAGUCUUUUGAGGAGACUAUGACAUAUCCUCAUUAAAGCUAGUGCAUCACCAUUAACUCAAAUGAAAAGUAUAUUGUAUUGAGUAAGCUAUUCAGACCCAACAAAAAAAAAAAAACAACAGAGCAAUAAUGACACGACCCACCCCGAAUUUCACCCUGAAACCCAGAGUAAGUCGUGCGGGGACCACCUCCAAGGAAAAUUUACUGAAAAGAUUAAGAAAAUCUCCCUUGCAGAUGGACAACCCUAACUCGAAAAUUUCAUAUUACACUCUUAAUUUAACGCUUCUGAAUAUCACAUAAUAUACAAAAUUCUAAAGUAUUCAGAGCUACUAAACACAAGCGGAAGCAAGAAAACACAAGUAGGUUGAACAUGUAACCUACUGAUGAAAACUGGCCGAAAAGCGGGUGACUAUGCCUCGUCUCCUACUAGAUCCAACCCGAACUCUGCAGACUGGGCAAUUUAAAACGAAGGGCCCAGGAGAAAACAUUUAAUAACGUUAGAGUGAGUAGGACAAAAAUAAUUAAUAAUUAAAUANNNNNNNNNNNNNNNNNNNNNNNNNNNNNNNNNNNNNNNNNNNNNNNNNNNNNNNNNNNNNNNNNNNNNNNNNNNNNNNNNNNNNNNNNNNNNNNNNNNNNNNNNNNNNNNNNNNNNNNNNNNNNNNNNNNNNNNNNNNNNNNNNNNNNNNNNNNNNNNNNNNNNNNNNNNNNNNNNNNNNNNNNNNNNNNNNNNNNNNNNNNNNNNNNNNNNNNNNNNNNNNNNNNNNNNNNNNNNNNNNNNNNNNNNNNNNNNNNNNNNNNNNNNNNNNNNNNNNNNNNNNNNNNNNNNNNNNNNNNNNNNNNNNNNNNNNNNNNNNNNNNNNNNNNNNNNNNNNNNNNNNNNNNNNNNNNNNNNNNNNNNNNNNNNNNNNNNNNNNNNNNNNNNNNNNNNNNNNNNNNNNNNNNNNNNNNNNNNNNNNNNNNNNNNNNNNNNNNNNNNNNNNNNNNNNNNNNNNNNNNNNNNNNNNNNNNNNNNNNNNNNNNNNNNNNNNNNNNNNNNNNNNNNNNNNNNNNNNNNNNNNNNNNNNNNNNNNNNNNNNNNNNNNNNNNNNNNNNNNNNNNNNNNNNNNNNNNNNNNNNNNNNNNNNNNNNNNNNNNNNNNNNNNNNNNNNNNNNNNNNNNNNNNNNNNNNNNNNNNNNNNNNNNNNNNNNNNNNNNNNNNNNNNNNNNNNNNNNNNNNNNNNNNNNNNNNNNNNNNNNNNNNNNNNNNNNNNNNNNNNNNNNNNNNNNNNNNNNNNNNNNNNNNNNNNNNNNNNNNNNNNNNNNNNNNNNNNNNNNNNNNNNNNNNNNNNNNNNNNNNNNNNNNNNNNNNNNNNNNNNNNNNNNNNNNNNNNNNNNNNNNNNNNNNNNNNNNNNNNNNNNNNNNNNNNNNNNNNNNNNNNNNNNNNNNNNNNNNNNNNNNNNNNNNNNNNNNNNNNNNNNNNNNNNNNNNNNNNNNNNNNNNNNNNNNNNNNNNNNNNNNNNNNNNNNNNNNNNNNNNNNNNNNNNNNNNNNNNNNNNNNNNNNNNNNNNNNNNNNNNNNNNNNNNNNNNNNNNNNNNNNNNNNNNNNNNNNNNNNNNNNNNNNNNNNNNNNNNNNNNNNNNNNNNNNNNNNNNNNNNNNNNNNNNNNNNNNNNNNNNNNNNNNNNNNNNNNNNNNNNNNNNNNNNNNNNNNNNNNNNNNNNNNNNNNNNNNNNNNNNNNNNNNNNNNNNNNNNNNNNNNNNNNNNNNNNNNNNNNNNNNNNNNNNNNNNNNNNNNNNNNNNNNNNNNNNNNNNNNNNNNNNNNNNNNNNNNNNNNNNNNNNNNNNNNNNNNNNNNNNNNNNNNNNNNNNNNNNNNNNNNNNNNNNNNNNNNNNNNNNNNNNNNNNNNNNNNNNNNNNNNNNNNNNNNNNNNNNNNNNNNNNNNNNNNNNNNNNNNNNNNNNNNNNNNNNNNNNNNNNNNNNNNNNNNNNNNNNNNNNNNNNNNNNNNNNNNNNNNNNNNNNNNNNNNNNNNNNNNNNNNNNNNNNNNNNNNNNNNNNNNNNNNNNNNNNNNNNNNNNNNNNNNNNNNNNNNNNNNNNNNNNNNNNNNNNNNNNNNNNNNNNNNNNNNNNNNNNNNNNNNNNNNNNNNNNNNNNNNNNNNNNNNNNNNNNNNNNNNNNNNNNNNNNNNNNNNNNNNNNNNNNNNNNNNGGAGACCGACCGAACGGGACCGGUCCGGCGGCGAACGGAGGUCGGACGGCGGCGGGAGGACGGCCGGAAUUCUGCUGGGUGUAGAGAGGGGAAAACCGGGUGAGAAGAGAAGAAAAAUCGGGAGGGAGGGAGAAGAGAAAGAAGAAGAAAUGGGUUGGGCUCGGCCCAGCCGACCCAACACCCCUUUUAACCCAUAAUUCCAAAAUUCAACACCCCGAAAAAAUAAUACCCGAAUAAAAAUUACCGUUUACUAGCUAAAAUUUACUAUUUUUACCGUCGCCGUAUAAUCCCCAUACGAAUUAUCCUCCGCACAUAAUCGUCCCCGAAACCCCUCUAGGGACCAAUUAAACUAUUUACUCAAUGAUCGAGACGGUAAAAUUCUUAUUAUAAUCACGCUAGUAAAUAAGGUAAAAAUAUAAGGGUCGGGAUGUGACAAAUAAUCUCAUUUUACUAUAUAUUCUUAAUGUCUGUCACAAACCACACUAAAGAGUAGACCAUAUAUGUAGUAAGAAACAUUACUACUCUAGGACACAUACCCUCUUGUUAUAUAUUUUAAUUUCUUGAUAUAUGUGGUAUCUAUUUUAGCAUUUUGACCAAAGCCAGCUAAGUUUACAUAAGGAAGCAAAAGAAUUAAAUGAGGUCUAUUAAGGAAUUUAUAUCCAUACGUCAAUUAUCUACUGUCUCGGUAUCUUUAAUUAUUUGUCAUCUCAAUACCCCAUCUCUAUAUUGUUGUAAAUGUAUUUCUCAUUCUAGUGUUACACCUUUAAGAUUUAAGAAUCUAUGAUAACUUGUAAUCCCCAUAGUCCCGGUCUAUCUAUGAAAUUAUGAACUUUAUCAGAAAGUCCUUCAAUUACAAGUUCUAGCAGAGCUCAAUCUUUUGCUUAUCGCAAAAUGCAAGAGACUUCAACUGAAAAUCAAUGAAAACCCUAUAGAUUUAUAUAUAAACCCUACAGAUCUAUAUAUAAAAGAAGGAAACAUAAGAAAAGACUAAUAAAAGUGCAUAUAUACUCCACAUAACAAACAAAGAAAGUCAAGCAACCACAAAAGCAACAAAAUUGAGACCAGUAGUUACUAAGACUCCACAUUUUGUUUCAUUUUGAAUAAUCAAACUCCACAUAAAUCUCCAAACUGAUAAUUUCCUACAGUAAACAUACAUAAAGACUUUACCUCUGUUUUAUUUGCAAUAUUUAGAUCUUUUCUGGCAAGAGUUCUUAUGACUAUCUUUGGAUCGUUGCAAUUUUUCUCAAGAAUUUGAUGAGUCAGUAUUAUAUUUAUUUUUCAGUUUUGUAUUUAUCUCUGCAAGAUAUCAAACAAAUAUAUAAACAUUUUCACUGGAGAUAAAAACUAUCAAAUGUCAUAUCCACAGCUUAUUGCUUCUAUUUUAACAAAAAAAAACACUAUUUCUAAUGGCUGGUCAAAAAACACUCAAGUCUGAGUUAUGCCUGAAUAUCGCCUAAAUUCAAAUUAUGGUGAGACCUUCUUAUCAACUUGAGGACUUUAGGUAACUGCAAACGAAAAUUUCAGGUGAGAUUUUCUUAUCAUUAUAAAAGUGUAAAUUAUAACAGUCUCAAUUGUGUAAACAUCUUCUACAAUUUAUAUAAAAAAAAACAUUAAAAAAAAACUCCAACACCUAGGCCAACACUGUUCACGUGAACAGUGAUUAUGAACAGUCUAUGAACAGUGUAUGAAAAAUAGUAUAUGUUAGAUGGAUUAUUAGAGCCAUGCAAUACGAGUCACUAGUAGAAAAAAAGGCUUAAGCGACGGGUAAAUUCACAUUUCGUCGCUUAAGAAAAUCCUAAGCGACGAAAAUAAAUAUCGUCGCUAGAAAUACAUUUUUCGUCGCUACAAUUUCCUAGGGCGACGAAAUGUUUUUGUCGCCUUAGUUUCGUCGCCACAUGUCCCACUAAGGCGACAAUAAGGUUUUUGUCGCAAACGGUUCAUGGAGCGACGAAAAUGUUAACACUUAAGCGACGAAACUAUUUGUCACGUGAUAUCCUUCACCUAACCGACAAAUUAACGUUUCGUCGUCUUAGGCGUACACUAAAGCGACGAAAUAUUUGACAUUAGAGCGACGAAACUGUGUGUUGCAUCAUAUUCUUCACUUAACCGACGAAUUUAUGUUUCGUCAUCUUAGGUUUACACUAAAGCGACGAAAUAUUUUACAUUAGAGCGGCGAAACUGUUUGUCGCAUCUUAUCCUUCACUUAACCGAUGAAUUGACUAUUUGUCGUCUUAGAUUAAGACUAAAGCGACCGAAUUUGACUUUAGAGCGAGAAAUUGUUUGUGGCAUGAUAUCCUUCACCUAAGCGAGGGAUCGUUUUGACUUAAGCGACGAAAUAUUUCGUCGCUUAAGUGAAAUCUUCUUUUGGUUAUGAGAAUCAACCGUUUAUUGUUGCCACAAUGACAAGGCUAGUUUUUUAUCUUGAUGAUCCAAAGGAGGGUGGGGGUCGAAAAGUUGUUAACGUGAUGUCACGUAGAGGUAUUAAUUACACUACACUAGCUUGAGAUGAGUAUUGCAAAUAGAUAUUGAGAAUGUGACUCUUGAACCAUAUCAAGAAGCCUCGACGUCUAAUAUCCCAGACAGGGAGACUAUUCGCAUCAACAACGACAUCCACUUCCAACCCCGCAAGUACAUUCCCAUUUUUAAUUUAGAGUUUGACUUCGGUUCACUUCCAUUCAUCCCAUGCCACCAACUAAGGACUUCAUUGACGACGAAGAGGAAGACUCAGACGAUCAUUCAUAUGAAGUGAGUGAGGAUGACGGGGACUACAAUGAUAGUGAUUGAAACUCAUGAUGUGUUAAAACAUCAAAUUUUCGAUUUAAUUAUGUCAUGAAUUUAUUAUAUAUGUAAUAAAUUUAAUCUAUUAGUUGUGAUAUGUAUUAAUUUUCGAUUGAUUUAGUUUUAUACUUUACUAACAUGUUGAUGCAGCGAAAAUAUAAACAUUAGAAUCUACCAACGGUGACUUGAAUCCACAAGUCUAGUUCUCUCGAAACCACGAGAGGAAUUCUGGAAUCCACCAGAGAAUUAAGAUAAAUACAAGGUUUUUUAUUAAUAUGAAAGCUGAUGACUACAACUGAUAAAGGCUCCUUAUAUAGGAGCAAAUAAACCCUAAGCCAACUAACAUCAAAGCCUAAACGCUCAUGGAUUAAAAGAAAACCAAAUCAAAAACGAACUAUUAAAAUUAAUGUCUGAAAAUAAGUAAAUCUGCAUUUUGAAGGCCUAAACGGACUCGGAUGGCCUAAAAAGCCCAUAGGUCGUAGCAAAGUGACGAGUUAAGUUCGUUGGGCCGUUCUGCUUCCAAAAAGGUAUCAUAAUAGUCAAUCGGACACCAAACGCCAAAUCUAGAGCAAACCGGAUUUAGACUUGUUCGAUUGAUCUGCUCUUCAAUCUCUAUCGUCAUCUGUUCUAUAUCACAUUUUAUGAGUAUUAAUUAGCAGAAAAAAGUGAAAUAUAAAUGAUUUUACAACUUAAGCGACGAAUUUUGUCAUUUUCGUAACGUAUAUUCUUUGGUGGUAAGUACAAAAUUUAAUCCACUUAAGCGACGAAAAACAAACAAUUUGUCGCUUUGGCCCAAAUAUUUGGCGGGCUGCUCAAAUUUUGGCCCAAAUUUAAACAAACCUAAGCGACAAAAACCAUAAAGAUUUUCGUCGCUUAAGUUGUUACUAUAUUUUGUUUCAGAAUCGAUCCCAAACACAUUAAUUUGCUUCCUCCUUACCGGUCUAAAACACCAAAUCCUCCCUCUUCCUCCUCUUGCCCAACCUACUGAUUGAAAUCCUCCCUCUUCCUCCUCUUGCCCAAUACCGAUCGAAAUCCGGCCUCCCUCUUCCUCCUCUUCCUCACAUCUUCCCUCUUCCUCCUCUUGCCCAAUACCGAUCGAAAUAUGGCCUCCCUCUUCCUCCUCUUCCUCACUUCGCAUAUCAAUUCAGCCACCUCCUCCUUAAUCCUUGAAUUCCUAAAUCCCUAAAUAUCACCUCCACCUCCUCCACUGCUCACAAAACCCAGCCACAUCCUCCUCUAACUACCUAGAUGCCGGUGCUCAGGAAAAGGAAAGCUCAGGAGGAGGUGGAGGAGCGUUUGCGACUGGAGUGUGCGCAACAAUAUGGCUCCUCUUCUGCCAGAUCCAACACAGCCACUCCGACGACGACGGUGCCAUCCCUUGCUGAAUCGGCUCCCUCUCUAACCGACGACGAUGACAAGUCAGCGACCCGAGUAUCAGAAACACUUUCUGAGGGUGCACCCAGGGUUGUCAGCGCUCGCCGGAAAUCGAAGAAAAGCGGAGGACCUCCCCAGAAAGGCAACCGGGGUGUGGUGAACUGCUCAAAGGUGUCUGAUAUUGUGAAAAGCAUGGGGAAGAAGAUCAACUUGGACUUUGAUUGGGAGGUUAUUGAUGGACCUCGUAAUUCUGAUGUAUGCAGCCUAUUUGUGAAUAUUGUUGGAAGCAUCAUACGAGAAAGAGUGGCAAUGAAGAAGGAAUCGUGGUAUGAUUUAGACAAGGAGGAGAGGAAGAAGCUUUUUGACGGUCUCACUGUAAGUUAAGUCAUAACUUUCAGUCCUUUUAAUUUUGUUGGUAUUUUGAUUCCCUACAUCAUUGCAACUUAAUUAUAACUUGUUUUCUAUGUCUUGCAGUGUUUUUUAUCAUUGAUUUUAAUGAUAUAAAAGCCAUUAAAUGGAUCAAAAAAAGGGCAGCAAGUGUAUUCCGUGAAUGGAAGCAUGACUUGUCCGAGAUUCACAAGCUUGGGGGAGAGAUGUGAUUCCGAAAGAGCUUUUGCACAGGCGGGAUGAGUGGGAGUGGCUUUGCACGCAUUUUGAUUCGGAUAAGUGCAAGGUAUAAAUUCAGUUUUGGUUAUGAGAUAGAAGGACAAAUACUUGCUAUUAGUUCAGUUUUGGUAUAAGACAUGUUAUGAUUAUGUGGUAUAUAUGUAUAUGUAUCUUACUUUGAAUUGCAUGAGUUUUGGUGACUGCAUACAGUUGGGAAUUUGGAUUAAAAUUGGAUAUGAUUGUUGAGUUUUGGCCUUGUGUUUGUGGCAAUGAAGUUGGUACUUUGAAUUGCAUGAGUGGUAUGAAUUGAAGAAAUAGUGUACAACCUGUUUUAAUUAUGUUCUUUAAGCAUGCAGCAAAAUGUUGUGAUUGGUGUUAUAUUGUUAAUUUGCCGUGUAUAGAUAUCAAUUCAUGACUUAGAAGCCACAUUUAGGUUUGUACCUGAAAAUGUAUACGAACUGUUUGGAAUAAAUUUUCAUUCUUUCUUUCUUUUUUAGCUGAAAUGUACACUGUGAUUAUAUGCUUGACCUUUUCUUUUCCUUCAUAGAUGAAUGAGCACCUCACGUGCACUAUCGUUUAGCUGAAAUCUGGAAAUUCUUUCUUUCCUUUUUAGUUGAAAUCUGGAAAUUCUUUGUAUUAGUUUACUUUUUAUUUAACUGAUAUGGUUUAAGAGUGUUCCUCAAAACAAUUCACUUUCAUGAUUCUCAAUGUGUUGCUUGAUUUCUAUGUUGAUUGUUAUUCACUUCCUGUUGAAGGUUGUUUGACAUUGCUCUUUAUUUCAGUAGCUUCACAUAUAUUGUUUGCUUGAGUGACAUUGCCUUCAUACGUUUUUGUUGUUCUAUGGACAUCAGCUUAUUAAAGCCAUGGAAUACCAAAUCUUAGUAGAAGACCUAAUUUAACAAAAGACUUGGUUUCUCAAGUUCGAUACUAUCUCCUGUGUAAAUUAGUUUUAAUUUUGUUGUUCUGUUAUAAGUAGUUUUGCUAUAUGUGCUUUCUCUUCUUAUAAUCAUGUUGGGGGGUUUUAUUAAUUCACAGUGUUCACAAAAAAAAAAGUUAGAGGUUGUUACCAUUGUCAACUAGCUUUUGUGAACUUGAAAAGAUGCAAUUGAGUUUAUUCUAAUCAUGUAUUACUUGACUACUCUUUGUAUAAUUAUUGUUACUGAGUUCUGGUUAUAUAUAUUGAAUUAAGAAGUAGCUAGAACAGAUGACCAACGUACAAAGGGAUAGAGAUAGUGUGUUUAGUAUUGAUUGUCUAAUAUGAGGCUGACCUGACUAUUUGUGUACUCACUAAAUUUAAAGGAUAUGGAUGGGUAGCAAUUUUCAAUCUAGGGGUGUCCAAAUCAGUUUCUGAAUUUUCAAUUUCUAUAGUUGGUAUGGUUCAAUACUCUUGUUCUUUAAUCAAGGGUGGCUUUAUGGUUUAGUUAUAUACAUAUAUUUAUUUGCAUACAGUAGUACAUGAUUGACUUAUUGUCACAAGACAUGGUUUCAUGGAGGAAGAAUGUCCUCAGUUAGGCAUUGUCCUAUAUUCUUUUGAUUGAAAUUUGGAAUUUAUAGGUUGAGUGUCAUAUAGUUGAGAUUUUUGACCGGUUACCUUCUUUCUAAAAAAUGUACAAAUUGGUUAGUUGUUUGAACUUGGUGUCUUCAUGAAAGUUAGAGUAGAGACCUUAAUGAUCGUUUCAGAACUAGAAUCUCUUGAAAAUAAGUUUUCUAGAAUUAGUUAUGAUUUUCCAAAGUUAUAGCUGAGUUGAAUAUUUUCCUGAAACAUCAAACUAUCCUUGUUUUGAUCGUGUACUUGGUAUUGUGUAGAGACGAUCGGUUGCCAACUCCAGCAACCGUGGUAAGAAGGAGUUGGAGCACCACUCAGGGAGGAAACCUAUCAUUUACCGGGUGGCCGAGCUAAGGGAUAAGGGUGCUUCAUUAGUGGUGGUUGACGUGUACCCUGUGACAUACGACAUCAACCAGCCUAAAGCUGCUGAGCAUUAUGUAAGUAUCAAUACCUAAUGCCUUAACAAAGUUUCUAUGCCACUUUGCCUGUUGCAUAUUUCAUGUGAUGUUCAUUUGGUAAUAAGUGUAGUUUGUCACACCCCAAUUUUCGAAAGAUAAUUUUUCAAAAUUUUUGGCAUUAUAUAUCCUAAAAUAUUAUAAUCCCAAAACCUGUUUCAAAAACAAACUUCAUAGGAAACUAAAAUUUAAUGCGGAAAUGUAAAUCACACAACUCAACACUGAGUUAAAUAUUACAUUUCCUUGUUUACAUAAACUUGAAGGUCAAGAAAAUGAAACACUCACAUGAGUUUAAUACUGUUUAACCCAAAUAUAAAAAUAUACAUAGUACAGCAAAACCCAACAAAAAACCCUGCCACUAAGCCUCCGCCUCAACCCUGCUGAUCCUCACCUGCAGGUUUAACCCCUACACCAAGAAUUGGUGCACCGGGUUGUAAACAACAAACCCGGUAAGCUAAAAAGCCCGUACGAGUAAUUCUCAAAAUAAACACAACACCUCCAACAACCCAUUAUAACACAAGAGCAAUUUAUAUCCAUAAUUAAAACCACAAUUUCAACACUAUCUCAAUUAACAUGUACCCAUGAGUCCCAAGUAUUAAUAAAUACCUCUCAUGACCUACAACAACAAAAUGUGUACCCAUGGGUCCCAGAUACCAUACGGUAUCUCCCAUGACCUACACUGACAGACGGACUAGAGCUCUAUUCCUAACUGCAACAAUCACCCGGCCAAGGCUUGGAACCCGGUUUGGCUAUUUAUUCAACAAUCACAAUAUCACGUCAUUAUCCUCAACAACACAAUAUUACAUCAUUAUUCUCAACAACACAAUAUCACAUCAUUAUUCUCAACAACACAAUAUCACAUCAUAAAUUAUAUCCUUCCACAUGGAUAUGUUUACAUGAACAAAAUAUAGAUAUUCCACAAGAAUAAUCUAUCAAUAAUCAAUAAAAUUAUGAUCACAUGAAUCUCAAAAUAGCAUAUAAAGAAAACUUGUUUUAUCUUACCUAUGAACCAUUGGCGAUCAAGCUCAUAUAUUUUUUUUAAAACAACUAAAAGCAUAUUAUUUAAAUCCAUCAUCAUCAUCAUUAUCAUCAUAUGACCAUAAUAACAAUACCUUGGUGAGAUUUACUCAUCUAAUUAUCUCGCUGCAAUUUCCACAACUGACAAUAGCAACCAAACACAACUUCACAAAUCACCUCAAAAUAACACAAUUAAAACCUUAGUAACUAAAAUACUAUAGGUUAUCACAAUACCCUUAACUAACCCUUAGUUCAAGGGAGGACAACUUUCCAAAAGUCGUCAAACUUAGAGACCCAAAAUGAUUGCCUCUAAUCCUCAAAUCCUAACUCAAACCUUCACCAAGCCUAAUAUCCCACUUAAAAUUCUAACAUGAAAACCUUGCUCACAACCUAGGGAUUCUACAUCUCAACAAUCUCACAACAACAAGAGCUAGCUAAAACACAACAACCUAAGCCACGAACAUUGCCGGACGCGCUGCCACGCGCCUCCACAAAGUUUCGAAUUUGAGAAAACUCUCAACAGCAAAGUUGAAGCUUGAAGCAAGGGGAACAACUUUCAUACCUGAGACUUCGACCAAUUUUGGCCGAAACCGGCUGGAAACUGCUCCGCACAGUAACCUGAAAAUCAAACUACAAAACCUGCAAAACCAGCCUCAAAACCUCAAAAACUUGCUUCAACCUAUACCUAGCCAUCACUAGAAGGAGGAGAGGAUCAAGACUCACCUAAGGAUGCCCCUCGUCGCCGCCGUAUACGGCGGUUCCGACCGGUGGCACAGCAGCCCCCUUUUGCCGGCUGAAAACGUUGUUUCCGGCGUCCCACACUGAGCAGCAGCUGCCCAGCCUUGAAGAGGACACCUGUGGGAGUCGAACGGGACCGGCGGCGGUCCAAUCGGUGGCCGGAUGGUGGUGCUAGCUCCGGCAGGAGUUGGGUUCUUGGGGAAACUCGGGAGAGAAAGAGGGAGAAGAGAGAGAAAAAAGUGGAUGACUUGUUUUUAGGGUUUCCAAAAAACAUCCCACACACAUUUUUCUACUUAUACUCUUUUCAAACCCGGAAACAAACUUCCUCUGAACGUAACUUCUUCAUACGACGUCCGUUUCAGACAUGCCACAUGUCUACGAACUCGUAUCGACAAACUCUACAACUUUCGUGAAGGAAGUUUUCGAAGAUAACUUACAAAAAAUAAAGUCAACUUUUGGCCUCUUAAAGUCAAAGCACUUAAAUAAACUCCCGAAACUUCAAUUUCGCAUAAACCAAAGAAUUUCCAUAAAUAAUCCUUCAUUAAUUAUGGGAAUAAUACAAGUAAAAUUGAUAUAAAAAUCUAGGGUAUUACAAUAGUUAAAUUAUAGUGAAUUGCUUAUAAGUGUUUUGUGCUGAAACUUUUGGUGUUAUGCGGUGUAGCUGUCUUAAGUUCAAAUUUCAUUAGGAUUGAGGACUCUGUUUGGCUUGAAACUUUGUACCCUUGUCCUUCCAUGUGAUUACCCUUGAUCUAGAAAGUUUUGUGUUGUUUGAUAAGGUAGAUGAUUCGUGGUGAAUUUUUGAAGUUGGGUACACUGCGCUGGAAAUUGUGUUUGUGUUCAGCAGUUCAGUUGCUUCGUAUUUGAUUGGGUUUUGGGUCUUCGUUUGGCUUGAAAUUUUUUGCUCUUGUUCUUCCUUAUGUUUACUCUUGGUCUGCAAAUUUUGGUGUUAUUUGAUAAGAUAGAUGAAUUAUGGUGAUUUUAUUGAAUUAAGUGCUUUGUGUUGAAAUUGUAUUCGAGUUAUGCUGUGGUUUGAAUUUGAUCAGGAUUUAAGACUCAUUUUGGUCUGAAACUUUGUACUCUUGUUCUUCUAUAUGAGAACUAUUGAUCUGGAAAGUUUCAGCUUAUUCCAAUGUAAAUUGACAAGGCGGUGAUUUUUCAAAGUUUACCCUGCAGUUGGUAAAGUCCCAGAAUUUUGAGUAUGCUUCCUUGUUUUCUGUUGAGCUAAGUGUGUGUGUGUAUAAACAUGUUGCUAGUGUAUAGAGAACUAUGUUACGUUCCAGAAUUACGAGGAUGAUUUACUAGCCUCAUUAGAAGCUUUCGUUGUGUGUGAUGAUACUAUGGGUGUCCAUAGUAGUUUGGUAUUUGAUUGUUAUAUUGUAAAGCUGAUGCCUGUUUUAUAUUUCAUGUGAUGUGUAUUUGGUAAAGUUGAUUACUGCUUCAGUUAUCAUGUUUUGAUGAUGUUAUAAUAGUUGCAUAUAUGACUUGUACAUAUUAUUCUUGAAUUGUAGGAAAAGUUGAAGGAACAUGGUGCUAUUGCCAAGACUUUGCAGAGCACUUAACACCCGGACAUCCCACCGGAUCAGCUGCCUCCUUUGGACUGGCCAACUCAACUAAGUGUUGUGCAAAACGCUAUGGGAGAAACAAAAGGGUCUUACCUUCGUGGUAUUGGACGAGCAAGCGUCCUAGAGAAGAGAAGAAGGUCAACAUCUUCUUCUUCAUGCUCUCGACUGAAUAAUGAGGCGAUGGCAGAGAUAGUGGCUGUUAGAAAGGAGGCGGCUGAGGCACAAGAGAAGGCUGACAAAGCAUAAGAGAGGGCUGAAAAAGCCCAAAAGAUCGCUGAGCAGUCUGUUGCAGAUUAUCAAGAGUUGAAGUUGCAAAUGGAUCAAAUCAUGGCUCGAAUAAGGCUACAGCCUAUGUAUUCACCCUCGGUCCCAAGCCAACAACCUCGAGAUGACAAUGAUGAUAAGGGCCUUGACACUUCUCAAAUUAGUUUAGGAAAUCAGUAGACUUUUCUAGUUUAAAUAAUUGUACAAACAAUAUUAGCUAGUAUUUAUUUUGUUGAUACGAUAACUUUAUUAUUAUUAUUAAUAAUAUAAAUAUUUCGGUUAAUUUAUUUUGGUUUUACAGGAAUUAAUAUAAAAAUAUAUUUUUGAGUUAUUAUAAUAUCUCUCUCUGAAUAAUAAAAAUAUAUAUUUUUUUUCAAAAAAACUAAAACCUAAGCGACGAAAGAUGCUUAUUUUGUCUCUUAAGAGUAAAAAUUAGGCGCCAAAAGUUGACAGGCCAAAAAAGUCUUUUGUCGCAUAAGGCUAUAGCGACGGAAAAGUUCGUCGCAUUAAAUGGAGCGACGAAAAAGUUCGUCGCAUUAAAUGGAGCGACGAAAACAACCUCAUCGCUAAACUAAACAGGUUCGUCGCAUUAAAUGGAGUGACGGAAAAGUUCGUCGCAUUAAAUGGAGCGACGAAAACAACCUCAUCGCUAAACCAAACAGGUUCGUCGCUUAACCGUAAAACGACAAGAGAACAUACGUCGCUGAACAACUUAAGCGACAAACACUUUUCGUCGCCUCAGCUAAUUAUUCGUCGCAUUAAAUCUAGCGACAAAAAAACGAUCGUCGCUAAACUAAAACUUUUCGUCGCUUAGCUGUAAAACGACAAAAAACAUACGUCGCUGGAAAACUUAAGCGACGAAUUGUUUUCAUCGCUUAAGUUAAUUAUUCGUCGCUUAGAUCUGUGGCGACAUAAACAAUCCCCGUCGCUUGGUUCGUUUUCUUAAGCGACGGAUUAUAUGUUUUUGUCGCUUAAGUACCUAUGAAACGCGUCAUAUGCGACGAAUCUUAAACGACGCCUGUUUCGUCGUUUAAGUUAAAAAGUGAUAAAAAUGAGCACUUAGGCGACGAUUUGUUCCCGUCAUUAUUUCUACCAGUGAGUAUAUCAUUGUCCGAAGUUGAGUUGGACGUAUUAUAUUAUAAUAUAAUAUAGUUUUAUUUCACUUUGGUUGUGGCUCUCCUGGGUUUAACCAACCGAGGGAGGUUCAUGCGGUUUCUGCUUAUAUGGGGUAAUCAGGUUAGUUCACCACUCCAAAUCUUUUCUUUUGAAUGCACCUAUCAAUUUGAUUCUCCCCCAUUAAGCAUUCUCCCUUCUUUUUAUCAUUUUGGGUCCUCAUUCCUUUGACUUUGAAAGAAAUUUCACUUUCUAGACAGUUCUAUUAUUGUUCCCAUCUUUCUGCUUUUGUUUUCGUUUGAAACUGUUGUUUGACGUUUACAUAAAGUUGGAUUCCUUGCAAUUGUGUUUAUAUCUUCCUGUUCUUGAAUUGGUGAUGAUCAGAAUUAAGGAUUCUAUAGCGUUUUGAUUGUUUUGAAUAUUGAACUUGUCCAUGAGGAAGGCCUUAGUCUACUCAUGGCUAUACAUUGUCUCCUAAAUUGUUGCAAGAAUAUGGGCAACAUGCCCCUCUUUGUGUUCUUCAAAGACACAAGGUAACUUCUUCUUUUUUGGGGGGUUCGGACCCCAAAUGUUUGUACUUUUGUUUUCUUUGCUGUUGGUUCUGUGUUAGAAUUUUAAUGUAAAUUUAUUAUAUAUAGUUUCUUAUCGCAAAUUUUAAUAUUAUUUGCAGGAAUGUUUUCAGAGCUGAUGAGCUAGGCCUGGAAAUAGUACAUAUUGCUCUUCCUACGCUACUAGCGUUAGUAGCAGACCCUGCUGCUUCUCUAAUCGACACAGCAUUUGUUGGCCAUAUAGGUAUCUCGUGGCGAUGUUUAAGUUUUGUGGUGGAAUUAUAUGUUCAGAUGUUUCACAAAUGCACUUCCAAUCUUCCUGUGCAAAUCACCAUUUUAUUGUAUCCAAUCCUUUUCCUGGGAUGUAAAUUGAAAUUUUUCGCUCAGCAAGCAAGAUCUUCAGUAUGAUGGCUUCCUGCUCCUUUUGAAAUAUUUUUCCUUACAAAUUGAAAAGCCUUAAUAAUGCUCAUAAGAUUGUACAAAGAGUCACCUUGGUAGGGAAGUUUCCUCAGUUUUUACAAACAACUGAAUAGAGAAAGCUUUUUUAUCCAGCUUUAUUAUAGGACUGCUAUAAAGUUAUUAUAUUGAAGUUGUAGGAUAUGAACUAGUUUAAGAACUUGAAUAAAAGUUUAUCUACUGGGUUAGUUAUAAAACUGCAGGCUAUUGAAACUUACCUUUGCCAUGAACCAUAUGGACCAGUUCAAUUUUUUGUGUGCAUUAUUUCUGCUGUAGUAUAUGUAGAUGUUCCAUACAAGAAGUGCCAAUACACUUUCCUAUAUCUGAUUAACCAUAAUCAUAGUUAUCAAUAAUUUAGCUCUUAAUUAACUCUGGAGCAUUGUAUGCUAUGGACCUAGAUUUGAUUGACCAUAAUAAUCGAUGACUUUUAUAGGUCCUGUGGAGCUUGCAGCUGUGGGAGUUUCUAUUGCUGUUUUCAAUCAAGUAUCAAAAAUAGCAAUAUUUCCACUAGUCAGUAUUACAACCUCUUUUGUUGCUGAAGAAGAUACUACAGAACCAUUAAGUACUCAAGAUGAACGACUGGAAAAUGCUACUUUCGUCAACAAGGAAAUGGAAGUACUCAAACCACUUGUUGGUACGUUGCCUCCUUUCCCCCUUCAUAAUGUUGAAUUAAACUAACAAUGUGGAUCACUUUAUUUUUUUAUAGAAGCUCCCUCCAUGAGAAUAUAUUGUGACUUUCUUAUAUUUUUGCCUCAAUUUCUAAACAGACUCUACAUCAUCAUCCAUUACCAUUGAUAAUACAGAAAUGGUCAAACCUGAGCAUGUCAGAAGGCGUAUUCCAUCAGCGUCAUCAGCGUUGGUCAUUGGCAGCAUCCUGGGGGUUAUUCAAACUCUAUUCCUAAUUUUUGCUGCAAACCCCAUCCUAAAUUACAUGGGGGUAGAUUCUGUAAGUUCAUUUUGUACGUUGGAGAUUUUAGAUAUUCUGUUUCGUGUUUCUUGAAGGUUGCAUUUUUUGUUAGUUUUGUUAUGGAAUUACCAGUUCCAGUCAACUUGAUUAUCUAUGUAGUUGGUAACUUCAACUGCUCUAAAUUAUGCCUCCUUUCACUUUUUCUACAUUUUCUGCAUCCUAAAUUUACAAGGUCUAAACUACACAAUGUUAUUCAGAACCUUGUAAAUACAUUUUGUUUUCUGUGUAGCCGAAAUGCGCAGAAAGAUGGCAUUAGCAAUCAAUGAAAAUGUCUUUCCAAUCAGAAAAUGCAUCCUAAUAUGGAAACUGGGGGUAUAAGUUAGGUAGAAAAGGAACAAACUUUCAUAGCAAUGUAAUGGGCAUUUGUUUCUGUAGAUAUCAUAAACUACAGCCUUUCUUAGAUUGUGCUAGAUUGGAACAGAACCAAACCGUAGUCUAAGGUUACAGAUACAAUCAGCGUGCUUGGUGCUAGCUUAUUUCAUGUGAUCUAGUUUUCUGGUUUCUACUGUGGCUUUUGUCUGUUGUUGUCCACUUUUGUUGCAUUGUGCCUUUAUUAUCGAUAAAUUCGGUUUCUUUUCAAAAUGGAAUAAUAAAAUAAAAGAACAGAGUAACAAAGCAAAGUUUUAGAAUCAAUAUUCUGGUUUCUGUCUCAUGUAUUCAAAAAACAAUGAUACACACAUCCUAAAUGAAACUGAGUAUCAGUUUUCAUCUCACAUAUGCAACACAUAUUUAUCACCUCAAGAGGCUCAGCAAGUUAUGGUCGUAGUUUUUGGGACAAACUAUCUUAUCUAGAGCUGUAAGUUCAAACAUAUUUUUGGAAAAGUUGCAAUUAUUUCUGCAUUUGUAGUCAAUGAACAAGAAUUCCAAGCUAUACUAGUCACUUGAUGGAAUGUUAUUUUAUUUUGUCAGGGACAGCAGUAUAGAAAAUUGUAUUUUAUUUUGGCACCAUUAAAAUUUUCUAUACCAUUAAAAUUCUAGUCACAUAAUCAAGUAGGAUCCCAAAUAAAGUUGGUUUCUUUUCAUACUUGAUUAUGUAGGUUACUUUGCUUCUCUAUGCAUGUGAGGUAUGAUGCUGGAUAUAAUGAUGCCGGAUAUAGAGCUAUUUGAUCUCACCUUUCAUUUUGAAUAAGCAAAAGCAGUGUCUCCUUGCAUAAGAUGGAUGUUAAAUAUUCAACAAUUAUUUUGGUAGUUAAAUCUAAUUAGGAGCUUUGAGUCGUACUGAAAAUGGAAGAUGACUAUAUUCUCGAUUCUGUUCAUUACUUCAUUUAUCAAGUUUUCGAUUCUUACAUUGAUAGAUCCCUUGUCAGCAUUAUUAGUCAUGUUUAUUGGAAAUCUGAAAUGACCGGCAUUCUGAGCCCCCACCGCUGCAAUUUUUUUUACCAUGAGCAUAAUUUAUUCGCUGGAGUUAAAUAACUUAUAGGAAUUUUACACCUCAAAGUGCUUGCAUGAAUCUACUGUUCUCAUUGAAAUCAUAAAUUUUGUUUUAUGAAGUUGUUCCACUUCUGAUAUUGAAAAUUACUUAAGUCCACGUUGUCCUAGAAAUUACAUUGUAAAUGAAGAAAUUUCUAUUCAUUCCAUUGCAGGGUUCUCCUAUGUUAAGACCAGCAAGACAAUACCUGACACUACGAUCACUUGGUGCUCCUGCAGUUCUUCUCUCUUUGGCAAUGCAAGGGGUUUUCCGUGGUUUUUAAGGAUACAAAAACUCCUUUAUAUGCUACAAGUAAUCUCUCUCUCUCUCUCUCUCUCUCUCUAUAUAUAUAUAUAAUUCUCUCUCGCUCUCUUCUGAUCCAUACACACACACCCUUUAAAAAUUCAACUGCAAUAUGUGGCCAGUGCACAGAUAAGCAUGACACAAUAAAACAGUCUGUUGAUUAGCUCUUGCAACGAGUGUGAUCGUUCCAAGAAUUUUUCUUGAAUAAUAGAAUUUUCUUCUCUUAAGAAAUCAUCUUGAGGCCUCUCAGAUUACAAUGCCACAGAAUUGGAUGAGAGUAAUUCAUGACCAUAGAAUUGGAAACUACAAAUCUUCAUCUAGGACAGCAUUUGUGCCUCAAAUUUUCUUGUCUUCAGCCUCUCAUCAUAGCAGUCUGGUCCUAGUCUCACAUUGAUGCAAAAAAAUUACCCGAGACAUUCUCCAUGUUUGUCUUGUCUUCACUUCCCCUGUUAAAUGAAGUCUGGACUCUGGUGUAAGUUUUCAACCUCCCUUCAAAUCAUCAUAUUGCUAUCAGUUUCAUAUUUGAAAUCCUAGAUUCAUCUUGUUUUCCCAUUUAAAUGCUGCUGGAUAAUUUGUAAACUAGUUCGAGAGUAAAUAGAGCACCUGGUGCUCAAAGGAUAAGAAAAUAGAGCACAUGUUGCUCAAAUGCAGAAAUGAGCACUUAUUUACUGCAUGGUUACUGGGUAAGUUAUACCUAUUGAAGCCAUUCUGCAUGUUUCUUCUUUAACUGCAGUUGUGGGAGAUGCAGUAAACAUCAUUUUGGACCCAAUAUUAAUGUUUGCACUCCAUAUGGGCAUUAGUGGUGCAGCGAUAGCCCAUGUUUUCUCUCAGUAAGCUUUACCUGUGGCUAAUAAUGAUUCAAUAUUAGAAGUCCGUACCCUUUUGCAAAAGACUUCUUUAUCAUGUAGAUGCAAAUAUUUCCCUCUGCUGUCUUAUUGCUGUUUACUUGUUAUGUGAUUAUUGUAGGUAUUUAAUCUGUCUGAUACUGUUAUGGAGAUUAAACAGACAAGUCGACCUCCUAACCCCAGGCGUCAAAGAUCUACGGAUUGGCCAGUUUCUGAAAAAUGGUAAAGGUUAUUUUUCUUUGCAAGUAAUGAAUCCGCAAUCAAGCUUGAUUGAUCCGCUUUCCAGAUUAUUUACUUCUCUCAUCUUCUAGCCCGUCUUCUAAAAUCACCUUCAACAAGAAAUGCUGAAAAAUUAUUUCCUAACUGUUCCAUAUCGUUUUCUUUUCAUCUUGGAUCAGGGGGUAUGUUAUUGGUGAGAGUUAUAGCUGCAACAUUCUGUGUCACCCUUGCAGCAUCAUUAACUGCACGGCAGGGAUCGACAUCAAUGGCAGCAUUUCAAGUUUGCUUGCAGAUUUGGCUUGCGGCCUCUUUGCUUGCAGAUGGGUUAGCUGUGGCUGGACAAGUAAGUAAAUUUUGGAAACAAAUACAUUAUGUGAUGGUGACGUACAUUAUUGGCAUCCCUAAUUUUUAUAUACUUAUAUAAUCCAGUCAAACAUAAAUAAUUUCCUUUAGUACGGUGGUAAACCUAAUUUGAUAAGAAGGUUGAAGUUACUAUAGUAAAAUUAAAAAUCUCUGAGCUGUGUUUGGCCAUGGCUAUGUGCUGAUUCAAUAAAAAUGGUAGCUUCAGAGAUCAGACAAACAUUUUUGAAUAUCAGGGUUACUUACAGUUGAUAUAAACCAAGGAUACAUCGAGUUAAAGUGUUCAGCACAACACCCUUAGGUGCAAGGCUGGCUCAAUUAUCAUGAAGGUCUACUACCCUAUUAAAGUUAUUGAUCCUAAGAAAAUAAAUAUCAAAGUUUGUUUUCUUGCGUUUAUAUUGUAUUCGGCAAGUCUUAGUUCCAAUACCAUUGUCGCAUUGACUGCCAACACCCUUAGUGACUCUCCAAGAGAAUGUUUCAGACUUUAAUUAAUAAAUAUAUUGAUAUUUCUCAGUUUCUGCAUCAAAAUUGCAGUUUUUUUUUUUUUUUUUGUUUUUUUUGUUUUUUGGUUUUUUCAUUGUGGUUUCUUUAGAUUCUUAUGUGAAGGUGGAAUUUUUUUUCUCUGCUAAGAUGUGUCGAGUUUUCCUCUGCACUAAAACCAGAUUUCUUGUUGUGCCUCAGCUGUUCUUGAUUUUUCGUUUUAUCUCCCAGCUGUUUUACUGUGGACAGAACUUCCAUUUUAAUUGGCAAGUUCUCUUCUAAGACUUUCAGAAGUCUAUCAGGAUCAAAGAAACACUCGAUUGCUUCAGUAUUGCAUACUUCUGAUGCUAGUACUCAAAUUGUUUUUUGUGACUAUUUUAGCCUUCUUACACUACCAUAAAUGAUCUACAUACAACAGUGUCUUCAUUUUCUGUUAUUUUUUUUCUUAAUAAUCAUCUGUUGCACUAGUUCACUCGAAUUAUAUUAUAUGUUUCUGUUUUGAUUCUUUCGGCGGUGUUGAUGUAAUCCAAACUUUCAGGCAAUCCUUGCAAGCGCAUUUGCGAGGAAGGAUCACAGCAAGGUUGUUGCCACAGCUUCACGUAUAUUGCAGGUGACUUAAAUUUUGGUUUAAUUUUUAACAUAUGAAGUCACUCCCUCUUCUUGUUCUGUAUUGCACUUCUAAUUAUUUGAUUGUGCAGAUGGCUUUGGUUCUAGGGAUAAUACUCGGAGUCAUGCUUACAGUUGUAUUGAAGUUUGCGUCAAGAUUAUUCACCAAAGAUAUCAAUGUUUUGCAGCUUAUAAGUUUAGGCAUUCCGGUAUUCCUCUCGUCCAUCCAAGCAUGAAGCAAAUAUAUAUAUAUAUAUAUAUAUAUAUAUAUACNNNNNNNNNNNNNNNNNNNNNNNNNNNNNNNNNNNNNNNNNNNNNNNNNNNNNNNNNNNNNNNNNNNNNNNNNNNNNNNNNNNNNNNNNNNNNNNNNNNNNNNNNNNNNNNNNNNNNNNNNNNNNNNNNGUAUGGUGGCGAACGGAGGGAUGUCCGCACUUUAAGCCGAGUGCGGACGUCCGCACCAGAACGGGCCUAUAUAUAUAUACAUACACACGUUAUCAGGUGCGGACGUCCGCACCGUGCGGAUGUCCCUCCUUUCGCCACCGUACGGCACCGGCCAGCACUGGCGAGGGUGCGCCUCCACCCUAGCGGACUCCAACAGCUUCCUCGACCUCUUUCCAUCUCCGCCGAGUCCGCCGAAUUCCAGUUUCCGGCCAGAUCACCCAAAACUUCAAACAAAGUCAAUCUGGCCGGAAAACUGGAAUUCGGCGGACUCGUCGGGGAUGGAAAGAGGUCGGGGAAGCUGCUGGAGUCCGCUGGAGUGGAGGCACGCCCUUGCCGGCGCCGUACGGUGGCGAACGGAGGGAAAUCUGCACUGUAAGGCGGUGCGGACGUCCGUAUCUGAAACGGACUGUGUAUAUAUAUAUAUAUUAUAUAUACGGAAAUGAUGUGGAGCGCACAUAUCCGGCCUCUAUAUAUAUAUAUAUUGUUCUAUUACCCUCCGUUUGUGAGCUGAUGAUUAUUCCUUGCUGGCUAGUUUAUUGCAGUGACUCAGCCCGUUAAUGCUUUGGCUUUUGUCUUUGACGGAUUAAAUUAUGGAGCAUCAGAUUUUGCAUAUUCUGCCUACUCAAUGGCAAGUCUAGAUUUCUUUCCAUUUUGCUGUCUAUUUUGCACUUGUUUACUAGUAGUUGAACUCUCUCAACCCCAGUUUGUCGCUUUAGUGAGCAUAUAGUGCAUGUUUGAUUUAUUCUAUGUUGUGACUCCAGGUUGUGGUGGCUUUAGUGAGCAUAUUGUGCCUGUUUCUAUUAUCAUCAAGCCAUGGCUUUGUUGGUAUUUGGGUUGCUUUAACAAUCUUUAUGAGUUUGCGGACAGUGGUUGGAUUUUGGAGGUAAGUUCUGUAAUUGAAAAAUAUGUACAAAAGGAAAGAGACCAUGUAACAACUAACUUGUUUCUCAAGGAUUGUCUAAACAUAAUAUCAUGAAUCUAAAUCAAAAGUUGCUUCCACAUUGAUCUUGAACCUGCAUUCCAGGAUAGGGACUGGAACAGGACCGUGGGGCUUUCUGAGGGAGUAGUUGGAGCCUAAAUGCAUUUGUCAAUUUAGCAGAUGGUACAUCCUACUGUACAUAGGUAACGACAAAGGGCAGCCACCUAUCAUUUCUUAUUCAAGUUGCUGAAAUGUAGCCUAUGUUUAUACUUCAUAAGGUUAGAAUGAAAGUAGGAACUCAGUUUUAUAGCCUAUAGUAACUACACAUAGAAAGCAGUGCCGAAUUUAGAUUAUUGAUCUUUAUGGUGGUUAUGUCCUUUUUUGAGUUCUUUGCUGCAAGUAGAACAACUUUUCCAAAGUUUUUUUUUGUUGCUUUACUCCUCCCUUAAUCCUCUAUUACUGUGGAAAAAAUGAUUCAUAUAUAGCUUUCCAAAGUUCUUUGAGUUUUUAUAGUCCAAGGAUUCUUACUGAGGCCGUAUCUUUGCAAAGCUAUAUAUGAACCAUUUUUUUCGAUUAAAAUACUGCAAAAUUCACAAUCAACCUUGGUUUCAUAGAGAGUAUAUGGAUUGACAGGCUUAUCCGUCUUGAUCAUUACAAAGUGCGAUGCUACCACGUUGAAUUUGUUGCUCGAGAAAGUCAAUAUAUUGCUUACAUAGCUCGCCCUUUAGAGUAGCUUCUUUAAAGAAGGUCCGGUCACUGACAUGUUUGAGUGAGGCAGGAAAACCAUAAUCACAUAUCAACGUUCUAGCUCUAUCUCCAUCUUACCUUUCUUUGUGGCCUGUCAUAUAUCUAUCUCCUUCAUCUUACCUUCAUACACAGCAAGCGCAACCUCUUAACUUGGACUCCAUCAUCGAAUUUCCACCAACAGUGAUGCAGGUGUACAGAAUGAUGCAUCAGCGAUAGUCCAGCUCAAUCCGAAUAAUAUCCAUUGGAAAAUCUAAUUGCUGGUCUCCUGAACAAGUGAAGCGUAUGGAGAGUUAUCAAGUCAGUUUCUGGUCAUAGUGAGAGUCCUGUUGAUGUUACCAAAAACCAACUUUGGAGAACAUGCCCUUUAGAAUAUCAUCGAGCCUAAAGGUAAACCUCAAAAUAACACAACAAAUUGAUGCCCAUUUCACUGUAGAUAUUACUAAUUGUCAUCAAAUUAGAUAGUACAACGGCAGAAAUGAAGAGACCUAAAGCAAUAGCAAUGUCGUUACCUAAAGGCGUCAGAAGCUCAUACCAGGAAAAUACCCAAGCACUACUGCUAGAAGCUCCAUUUUUUUUUUUUAAGUUUUAGAUUUUAAAUAUUUUAUUAAUAACUCACACACUCUACAUAUAUCGGUGAGGUUUGAAUCAGUCACCUCAAAGUUUUCAGUUAAACACCUUAACCAACCAAGUUACAUGUCACCGACAACUGCUAGAAGCUCCAUUGAAUCUAACCCAAACAUCCAGACCAAAGUUGUACAAUAUGCCAAGCAAGGGAUGAAGUGAACAAGUUCAUCUUCAGCAACAAUAAACAAAAUCAAUGUUCAUCAACACAAUUUUUCAUUAAACGACUAGUCGACUACUGCACCGUGCCGAAACUACGCUACAAGAAACUGAAUUUUAAUAUAAUUACGCCUAGACAAAUAAGAGAUUUAUGGAUAAGAGGUUUUACGAGAAACAAGCAAAGCAACGUUGCAUCUCAAAAGCAUUCAUGAAGCAAAGCCUGCAUUCCUCUUUAUAUAUUAUGAGCGAAAAUACUUGGACAUUCUUCCUCUUUCUGCAUUCCACAAUUUCUUUAACAUCUUCCAUAUUUUGUUUACAUUAAGUCAUUAACCAUGCUGCCUUGCAAGCCUAGCCGAAAUCCUAGCACUCCUUACUCCUAAGAAAACUAUGAAACAUCCAAACAUCCUCAAUCGAAUUCAUAAACAAGACUGUAUCCUUCUCACCUGGAUAGUGGAUACCAUGAUGAAUUACGCUACUAAGGGUAUCCCACAUAUUCAGAUGCCCUGCUGGACCGACCGGCUACUCCAGUUGAUUGCAAAACUACCUCGUUCUACAAUUCUAUUUCUCAGAGCAACAUGUUUGUGCUAAUGUAUUUCCAAUUGAAAACAAAAUCGACAAAAACUAAAAGGUUGAAUAUGCCAUAUAUUGACAAUUAACCCGUUAUAGAAAUAAAUUAUAGAAAUGGAGUAAAAAACACAAGCAGUCAGUAACCCACAAUAUAAUCCCUUCACUUUAUGUCAUUUGCAACGUACUUUAAAAGUUUCAAAUUAAUAAUCUCUCCUCGACCAUCAUGUCUCAAUUUUCGGUAAGCUUUUCAAAUGCCUAAGAAGGCUUUAGCUACCACAUGAACACAACCUGUUCUUUAGAGUGUCUAAUCUUGAUCUUCUAGUUCUACACUUGAUCUUGAGAGUACAAAAGCUCUUCUAUAUUUUGAUUUGCUUCUUUUAUACCAAAACCAUAUUUUCUUAACAAAAAUUACAUUUACAAAGAAGUCACAAGAAUCACAAGACAAUCAAUAAGAACAUUAAGAUACACCAUAUUUUCUUUUCUUUUUUUCAAAGUAAUAAAUCAUUCAUAUAAACGAAAAACCCUCCCACAAAUGCCUCUUUGUUCCAAGACCUAAACUCAUCUCUGACUAGCCUACCCAUCACAGCAGAGCAAGCGGACCCCCCAAGUUCCCAUCUGUAUCCACAAGAGACCAACUACCCAAACCUCCCAAAUGCUGCAUCGGCUCCCUUCUUUAAGAGGCCCAUUCCCUGUGAGACAGAUGAGCACAUGACUCAGAAAAAAGCUAAGACAAACCCAAAGCCCAGAACUUACAAAAGAGUCUCAAGGAAGAGCCCUAUCAAUGGGAGUGAGUCAAGCAUAGGUGGCUCAGUUAGCGAUGUUUCGAUUGGAGGCGAUUACCUCCAAGGUAGUGGUGGCUGGCCAACAACCACAAGGCCUCAAUGAUACACCUCUCGUGGAAUUGUCAUGGGUUAGGGCGCGCCAUGACUAGCCAAGCUCUUACGGAGCUAAUUUUCAAAUUCCGCCCUAUUUUUGUUUUUCUCUCGGAAACUAGGAUGAAGGAAAAAAGUAUCCAAAAAAAGAGAAAGGAGUGUAAGUUUGCUCAUGGAAUUUCUGUUGAUCCUGUGAGAACUGGAGGAGGCUUAGCGUUGUGGUGGGAUGAUUGUGUGUCAGUCCAGAUUCUGUCAAAAUCUAUUAACCUCAUCGACACAAUUGUUACUUUUAAAGCUGAUGGCUCAAACAUUAGAAUGACCUGGUUUUAUGGCCCUCCAAAAAAUGAAAAUAAGGUAGCAUUCUGGAAUAAUAUUAUGAACUUGGAAGGUGCUAUUGAUCUCCCAUGGAUAUACUUCGGAGACUUCAAUGAAUUUAUAUGGCCACAUGAGAAGGAAGGAGGCAACCCUUGGAACCCAAGCAAAAGGCGAUUUCUGAGAGACUUCAUGCAUGCCAACAACUUAAUUGACAUCUAGUUCAAAGGUCAACAAUUCACCUGGAGCAACAAUUGGCCAGAUGGGGAUUUGAUCAAAAUUCGACUAGAUAGAAGUAUUGUUAAUAGUAAUUGGCUCGAGAGAUGGCGUGCUUCAAGUGUCUUUCACUUUCCCAUCAUUGGUUCAGACCACUGCCCACUAGUAAUCAAUACUGAUCCAUCAGUUGAGAAAGGCUCAAAGACUUUCAAAUUUGAACCUAGUUGGAUUGAAGACCCAAAAUGCAAUGAGUUAAUCAAUGAAGCGUGGUUAGACAACCUUGGGGGUAAUUUUGCAAAUCAAUGGGCAACCAAUCUUGAUCAUUGCAGCAAGGCUCUUGGGAGGUGGAGCAAAAAGUUCUCCAACCAUAGAAGAAAAAUCAAUAGAAACAUAGAAGAGUUGCAAAAGGCGCAAGCUAAUUCCGACCCCGAAGCUCAUGAUCAUGCAAGUAGCCUAACAAAAGAAAUUGCCAGCCUUUGGGACAAGGAGGAGAAGUAUUGGGCGCAGAGAUCCCGCAUAAAGUGGCUGAAAGCCGGUGAUUCUAAUUCAAGAUUUUUUCACCUUACUACUAUUCAUAGAAGGCAGAGGAACAAAAUGCUUAAAUUGAAGAACAAGAAUGACAUUUGGCUAGAGUAAGAAAACAAUAUCAGAGAGGAGGUUGAGGAUUACUUCAAAGAGCUAUUUACGGGGGUUGGACCCAGGGAUUGGGAGGAAGCUUUAAGUGCAAUCAUGCCCACCAUUUCAGAUGACACAAAUAACAGACUUGCACAACUUAUAUCUAUUGAAGAAGUUAAGGAAGCGGCCUUUCAAAUGGGAGCCUAGAAAGCCCCGGACCCAAAUGGCUUCCAUGGCAUUUUUUACCAUACUUACUGGAAGACUGUGAAUGGAAUUGUUAAUGGAGUUGCAGCUGAGUUUUUCAGAACCGGGGAAGUUCUAGAAGAGUUGAAUCGCACAAAUAUUGUGUUGAUCCCUAAAGUCUCUAAUCUGGAAAAUGUGAGUCAAUUCCGUCCUAUCUCUCUAUGCAAUUAUUCCUACAAGAUCCUAUCGAAGAUUCUCGCCAAUCGGCUCAAACUUGUUCUCCUAGAGAUCAUAUGACCUGUACAAGGUGCCUUUGUCCCUAGGCGGCAAAUCCAAAACAAUAUCUUUGUUGCCCAUGAAGCUUUUCAUUAUCUGAAGAUGAGAAAAACAUGUGAUCUCCAUAAGUUGGCCCUCAAGCUAGAUAUGAGAAAAGCCUACGAUAAAGUUGAGUGGGAUUUUCUUGAAGCGAUCUUGUUAAAGCUGGGAUUUGGUAGAAGGUGGGUAUCCCUAAUCAUGGGGUGUGCUAGAUCAGUUACAUUUGCUGUCACUAUCAAUGGAAAAACAGGAGAGUAUUUCAAUCCUUUAAGGGGGUUAAGGCAAGGUGAUCCCAUAUCACCAUACCUCUUUCUCUUUACCUCAGAGGUACUUUCAUCCCUUAUGCAGAGAGCUUGUACCCAAAGAAAAAUUCAGAGCAUCUAUGUAAGUAACUUUACCCCUCCCCUCACUCAUCUCUUCUUUGCGGAUGAUUCCCUAUUCUUUCUAAGGGCUACCAAAGAUGAUUGUGCAGAAUUAAUGAGGGUGAUUAACCUCUACUGCAAUUCUUCAGGGCAGCAGGUUAACCUGGAGAAAUCAAGUCUCUUUUGCACACCAAAUACUCCUAAUCUCCUCAUUGAUAGCAUGAGAGAGAUUUUGAAUGUGCCACUAAAUACAAACCCUGGGAAAUAUUUGGGGCUGCCAACUGUUUGUGGUCGAUCAAAAAAGGCCUCUCUUUCGUUCAUUAAGGAUAGACUUAUGGAUAAACUCUAAGGCUGGAAAAUGGGCACUCUUUCUACUGCAAGACGGGAAGUUCUAAUUAAAUCGGUGGUAUUGGUUGUUCCUACAUACCCAAUGCACUGUUUUAAGUUCCCAUCCACCUUAUGCAAGGAGAUUGACAUAAUCAUAGCCAAAUUCUGGUGGGGACAGAAAAAAGAGGAAAACAAGAUCCAUUGGAAGAGUUGGGAAUACUUAGGGCUGUCAAAGAAGGAAGGAGGCUUGGGGUUCAGAAAUCUUUGUGACUUCAACACUGCUUUGCUAGCCAAACAAGUGUGGAGGCUUCACACUGAACCCAAUUCUUUUUGGGGAAAGAUGAUUAAAGGGAUCUACUAUCCACGCACAGAUCUUCUUCAGGCAGGAAAAUGGUCUAAGGCAUCAUGGGCAUGGAGCAAUUUACUGGAAGGUAAAGCUCUAAUUGAAGAAGGUGCAAGAUGGUUAGUAGGCAAUGGGAACUCCAUUGACAUAUGGAGGGAUAAAUGGAUUUUAAAAUCUGAAAUGCGCUUCAUUCGCCCUACUGUGCCUAUCCCUCAGUCUGCUCCGAUAAAAGUGUCUGAUUUAAUUGACUGGGACUCUUAUACGUGGGAUUUAUAGCCCAUUGCUGGACUAGUUCCUGAGCGUGAUAUGGAAGCUAUAUGAAAGCAGCUGUUCAGCCACAUUGAGAUUGAGGAUAGAUUAAUCUGGCCUCAAACAAGAGGUGGCUCUUACACGGUCAAAUCCGGGUAUAACCUAUUCCAUUCCCUGAAUCUAAAACCCACAGGACCUUUGAGCCACUCCUCUCAUAAAGUACACCCAAGUGUUUGGUCUGCUAUCUGGUUUAUCCAAACACUUCCCAAAAUAAAACACUUUUUGUGGCAAGUUGUGAAUAAUGCCAUACCCACCUAUCAGAAUCUCUUUCACAAGAAAAUUAUUGUUUCACCUAUCUGCCAAAGUUGUGGGCUAGCCCCUGAAACAAUUGAACACAUUCUACUUCUAUGCUCUAUUGCUAUAUGCACAUGGUUCUCUUUUUCUCUCAACUACAAGAUUAAUGUUCAAGAAAUCACAUCAAUGGAUCGUUGGAUUGAAAAGGUCAUAAAGCUGGCAGGCCCUAACAAAGAUUUACAAGCUAAUUGCCUUACCAGGAUAGCCUUUAUCUGUUGGGAGCUGUGGAAGAGUAGAUGCCGAUUCCUUUUCCAGCUCACCAUGCCUCAUCCGUUGGCAAUAGCCUCUCGAGCAAAGAAUGCAGCUUCAGAUUUUCUGCAAAUAAAACAUCAUAAGAGUCAAGGAGAGUCAGGUAUCGUUUCUACUUGUACCCCCACUUCUCUCAAUCCCGCUACUACCUCCCAUUCCUCCCUUCAUCACCACCAUAGAAACCACUUUCCUAUUCCUACUAACCCUCCCAUUGUAAUCCAUCCUGGAACUUCCAUUAACUCGGCCCACCCAUUAUCUCACAACCAAACACAUACCCACCAUAACCCCAUCACCAUUCAACCAACAAUCAUUAACCCAAUUCAAGAAACUUCAAACGUUAAUUGGGAAAGGCCACCCACAGGCUCUAUCAAAAUUAACUUUGAUUCUGCUUGGAUCAGUGAAACUAACCUUGUUGGGCUUGGAGUUGUUGUGAGAAAUCAUCAUGGCUCUCUAAUUGAUGGAGCCUCUCAAAGUUGCAGUGCGAACUCAUCGAUUGAAGCAGAAGCCCGAGCUGCUAUCUUAGCGCUCUCUCUCGCCAUGAAUUACUCUCACUUUCCUACCCGAAUUGAAUCAGAUUGCCAAGAGUUAGUUAAUAACAUCAACGACAUCAAUUCAGGGAAAAAUUAGAGAAUCUUACCUGUGACUGCUCGGAUACAUAGAGCUCCUCCUCCGUGCAGACCGAUCUCUUGGUCUUGGAUACCCAAAAAAGCGAACUGCGUAGCUCAUCAUGUUGCGUCGCUUAGUGUGAGGAAGACGUGCCCGAAUGUCUGGAUUGACAGACCGCCGUCAAUACUCUGAAUUAAAAAUGUUGAUUUAGGUAACUUGAUCACCAUACUCUGAAUUAUUUUCCUUGUUCGUUCAAAUUAUAAUAAAUUUACGUUAGGCAUGAGAUUUUUUUGGUCAAGAGAUCGAUAAACUUCAUUGCAUAGGUAUGAAAUAUAGUGAUUGAAUAUGUAUGUUAAGUGUGAAGUGUAUUUUAUUUUAGGAAUAGAAGUCAUCAACCACAUUAACAUAAACUAACAUAUUGUUCUACACGAAUAAAUACGUACUAGCUAGGUAUCCGGUAAUGAUUUCAAUAACAUUGAAAAAGAAGCUAGCCAUCAUUGAUAUAACGAUUUGAAGUCAAGAACAUAUCUUAUAGUAACAAACAAGUACUAAGUAGUCAAUAAUGAACUAAUAAUGUUCCCUUGGAACUUUUCCCUAGUAAAAUAUUCACAUUGAAAUAAAAAUCAUUGUUCACAUUAAAAUUCAAAGUCAUAACAUGUCACAUAGUAACAAAUAAGUUAUAAGUACCGAUAAUAACCUAGUAAUGUUCACUUGAAACAUUUCCCAAAUAGCAUGUUCACAUUGAACUUCACACUGAAAUAGAAGACAAUAUUUACAUUAAAAUUUGAAGUCGCCGUUCACAUUGAAAUUUAAAGUCUUAAACAUGUCUUAUAGUAACAAAUAAGUUAUAAGUAGAGGAUAAUAAACUAGUAAUUUUCACUUGGAACAUUUCCCUAAUGACAUAUUCAUGUUGAAAUAUAAGCCAUUAUACAAAUUGAAGUUCACAUUCAAAUAGAAGUCAUUAUUCACAUUGAGAUUUAAAGUGAUAAGCAUAAGUUAUAAGCAACCAAUGAUGAGCUAGUAUGUAAUGAUCACUAAACAAAUAAGUACUAAGUAGCUGACAGUGAGCCUGUGAAGUUCACUAUAAACCUUUCUUUAGUGAAAUAUUCACACUAAAGAAAAGAAAUAAGUACUAAGUAGCUUAACUAGCUAUGUGCUACCUGCAAGUUCACUGAGGACGUUUCCUAGCUUAAUGCCGUAUUCACACUAAAAUGGAAUAAAUAAGUUUGUGGUUUAGGGAUAAGAGUUUAGGGUUUAGGGUUUAGGGAUAAGAGUUUAGGGUUUAAAGGGUUUAGGGUUUAAUUACCAUUUUUAUGUAGUUGAUUUAGUUACCUUACAUGAACUAAACUAAAUACAUUUCUUUAUGGAGUCAAUUAUUAUAAUAAUUCAUUAGAUUUAGGGUCACAAUUACAAUUUUUUUUUUACUUUAUAUAUAUAUAUAUUUGUCCAAAAAAAACUUUAUAUAUAGUUCAUCCAAUAUAUAUAUAUAUAUAUAUUCAAAUGAGUUCAUAUUUUCGAACUGAGUAUAAUUAUAUGUGUGUGUAUAUAUAUAUAUAUUUCACAUUUUAAAUUUAAGCAUGAGUAAUGAAAAAAAUGGCUUAAAAACAUAUUUUUAUAGAAUAAAAACAAAAUAAUCUAGNNNNNNNNNNNNNNNNNNNNAAUUUACCAAAACUAAAAACAAAUACUGGAAAUAUAAAUGUCGAUAAACUCAUCAACCGAGUUAAACAUUUAAUCUCCUUAAUUACAUCAACUUCCAAAAAGUUUAGUAAAAACUACUUCGCUUACAUGAGCUUAAAAACAACUACCAUAAAAUACAAAUAAUUGUAUAUCGUCAAAACCCAGCUCGUAGGCCACUGCCUCCUACCUUCUGAUCAUCACCUGCAGGUCUAACCCCUACAUCACGAAUUGGUGCACCGGGUUGUAAACAACAAACCCGGUAAGCUAAAAAGCUCGUAUGAGUAACUCCCAAAAUAAUAACCCAACAAUCCCAACAUCACAUAUAAUUAAAACUGAUAAUUCCUGCAUUAGCAACUUAGUUCAGGAAUCGCCUAAAAGCAAGAGAAUUCAAAAGAAACAAUUAAGAAAACAUAAUAAUUUAAAAUCACUCAAAAUCAUAAAUGAAUCCUAUAAAUAAACAUAGUUCAAGAAUUCUAUUAAAAACACACAAUUAAGAUUUAAGAAUCUCCUGCGGAUAAGCAUAGUUCAGGAGACACUCAAAGCAAGAAAUUUAUACAACGCAUAAGAACAUUACACAACAUUUCUCUACUCUUACUUAUGAGUUCGCCAACACUUAGUCAUCCCCCAAAAGUAACCAAACAUAUGUGUACUCAUGGGUUCGUCAACACUUAGUCAUCCCCCAUGAAGUACCGACUGACAGACUAGAGCUCUAUACUGACCGUAACCAAUCACCCGACCAAAGCUUGGUUCCCGGUCCACCACGAAGGUUCCUAAUCUAAUAAUCACCACUAAGGCACACACAUACACAACUAAUGCACACAUUCCAAUACUCUCCCAACAUAACACUUAUCAAAUCACAAAAUAAUAAUAUAAUCAUAACCGUAACCUAUCACCCGAUUAAAGGCUAGGAACCCGGUUUGACUAUUUAAACAACAGUUCAAAUAUAAAAAUAUCAUCAACAACAUCCCAAGAGCACUUCAUAAAUUAUAUCUUUCCACCUAGAUAUAUUUAUAUAAACAAAGACAUAGAUAUUCCCACUAGAAUAAUCUAUCAACAACCAUAUUUCAACAUCACCAUAUCACAUGAUCGAAAGUCCUUUUGAAAGUAUUUUAUUUUUAACAGAAAACUUGUUUUCACUUACCAUGAGCCGUUGACAAUCAAGCUCAUUUAUUUUUUAAAACAAAGUCAUUUUCCUUCAAGGAAAAUUUCACAAUUAAUAAAACAAAAUUAUAAAGUAAAUUCGGUUCCUUAAGAACCCAUGUGAGAUUUACUCACAAUAUAAAAAUAGCAUCAUAAUCAUCAAUCAAAACCAUUACCAUCGUCAUCAUAAUAAUUAUCAUCAUCAUCAUCCUCAACAACAACAUCACAAUCAUCAUCAUAAUCAUCUCCAAAAUCAACAUCACAAUUAUCAUCAUAAUAAUUAUAAAUAUUUGGUCCCAAAGUGGACCUUGGUGAGAUGUUACUCACCUCAAAUCCAGCUGCGUCUUCUCACGCACAACACAAGCACAACACCAACUUGUCAAUCACCUAUGUAGCACAAAAUAACUUAGUGACCAACAAAACAAGCGAUCAACUUAAUGACCAACUUUGUCACUAACAACCAAGUGAUUACCCUUUACGCCAACUAGCUAAAACCUAACACAAAGAUUUACCAUAACGAGGCAAUCCUCGUAUGAGACCUCCCAAGGUCACCGAAACCCAUGAACAACCUAUGAUAACCAAAAAUGAUUACCUCUAUGUUCAGAUUCCAUAAACAAACACCGAAAGAAACGACUUCCGGCAAGGCCCCAACAUACUCAAGCAACAUUGAAACCUACAAUCUACAUGCUCACGUACUCGUAUCGACAAGCACAACCUAACAAUUACUCCUAACCACCCAACCUUUGCCGAAGGCGCCGCCACGCGCCGCCACAUGCCGACGGCGAGUGGGCCCCAUGCGCCACCCUACCAACCUACGAAUUAGCCCAAGCUCACAAUACAAAACUUGUAGAUUAAAGAGAGAGGAGCAUCUUUUAUACCUGAGGUUUCACCUAAAACGGCUGGAGCACGAAGGAAAACUCGUUGGAAGGUGGAAAUCCACCACCGUAACUCUACACCGUGAGUCGUGCUAGGAGACUACUAGAAAAAGAACCAGGGCACCAAGGAGAGCCUAUCUCGACCGGUUCCAAACUGCGUCGCCGCCGCCGGAGGGAGAAUUCUGGUCGGGUUGCAAACCGGGUCGCUGCCCUCCCUGUUGGUGAUCGAUUAGCACCGAUCCGGCCGAGUCGCCCUCACUCACUAACACAGGGAAGAUUGCGCCGAGGAGAGGAAGAUUUUCCAACCAGUGCCGUCGUCUGGGUCGGCCGGAGUCGGCCGGAAAACUCGGGUUGGGUCGUCUGGGUCCGGGUCGGGUCAGCUGAAAAACUUUGACAGUGAGGGUGAGGCGCGAGAGAGAAGAGAAGAGAAAAAGAGGGUUUUCCGGAAAAUUAAAUGAAAACCCUAACUUUUUCUUAUUUAACACAAAACCAAGGAAAAACACAAACUUCUGUUGACCAUAACUUCUUCAUACGAAGUCCGUUUUACGCGUGUCACGUGUCUAUGAACUCGUAUCGCCAUGCUCUACAACUUUCGUGAAGGAAGUUUCCCGAGAAACUCAACCGAUUAAAAAGUCAACUCUUAACCCUUCAAAAUAGAGCAUUUUCACAGAACUAAAAACUCGACUACUUCCAGUCCACUCUCUAAACCCAAAAUCCAUAUAACUCUUACUUAAAUAAUUUCUAAAAUAAUAUUAGAAACUAAUAUUAAAAUUCCGGGGUAUUACAUUAGUAACGUUCAAAGUCAAAUUAAUAUAAUUUUUUGUAAUUAAAUACAUGCAUUUUAAAGUUUUUUUUUCUUAAGAAAUAUACAACCCUUUUAUUGAUCAGCAAAAAUGUUAAGACCCACCCCAAAUUUCACCCUGAAACACGAGAUAAAUCCUGCGGGGUCCACCUUCAAGGAAAAUUUACUGAAAAUUCGGCAUAACCUUCUUUGAAAAUGGAAACCUCUUACCUGAAAAAUCCUACUUAACACUUCUAUAACCAAACAUCUAGCCUCAACACCUGGAGCCUUCUUGCUCCCCAAGUUCAUCACAUCUCCCAAUUAACAAUUACUCAACUAAACUAAUCUCACAACCAACAAUAACCAACAUUAAUUCACUAACUGGUUAUCAGAGCAUAUCUAAAGUUAAACGAAAAACAAUGACUAAAGAAUAAGCGGAAGCAACCUCUGACUAUGCCUCGACUCCAUGUACACUCGACCUCAAAUAACUUAGCCUACAAACUGGGCAUUUAAAACCAAAGGGCUCAGGGGAAAGUAAUUUAAAAACGUUAGAGUGAGUGGACAAAAUAAUUUAAAUAAUUUAACAAAUACUCAAUUUAAAUACUUUCCCACUUUUCAGCUUUAAAAACUUAAUAGUAUGCAACUUGAACGUCCUUAAAACUUUAAAUCCAAAAUCAUUUAAUAAAGGACAAACCAGCCCCGCUGGUUAAUUAAAACAGAAAUCUCAUAAAAAGAGAUAAAUCAGCCUCGCUGGUUAAUCAAAUAUAUUACUGAGAAGAAUACAAUAAGGGGAAGAGUUAUCACCAUGAAAAAGGAGCCUCCCAGGCUCGGGUCGGUGCCUCCCAGGCUAUAACAGCGUCCCACGCUAAGCGCUCUACUCACCUAUAAUGAGUAGCCGCUAAUAAUGGCUAGCUAACAAAUAAAUAUAAAUAUCGAUUGGUUGCCUCCCAGGUUAUAAUAGCGUCCCACGCUGAGCGCUCUACUCACAUAUGAAGAGGACCGCUAAUAAGGCUAUAAUAGCGACUCACAUAUGAUGAGGACCGCUAAUAAGGUUAGCUAGCAAUAAUCAAUAUAAAAGCGACCCUAUAUUACGGUGACUAAAAUCAUACGAAGUCACUUAAAUCUAUUAAACUUACCCAAUAUCAAAUGAAUGGUACGGUUCCCAACCAUAUUUGAAAAUCAUCAUAAAAAAUUAUACUAAAAUUCAAUGACAUGUCUCACAAUCAAAACAUUCUCAAAACCAUAAUAUAAGCGAGAUUUAAUUAACAAGUAAAAAUCAUAAUUAAUAUCUCAAUCUAAAAUACUCGCUAAAACAUUCUCAAGAUCAAGAUCGAUAUUCCACCAAUAAUUUCCAAAAUUAUAAAUAGCAAACUAUCAAAAAUCCCAUUUUCGGAUAUCUUUUAUAAAUCUCAAAGUCCACCCAUAAAACCAUUUUAAUGAAAUCUGGAAUUUAUAAAAAUAUCCAAACUCAAAUAUCAAAUUAGUAAUCCGAGCUCAAAUCUAUAAAUCAUGACCCAUAAAUAAUCAAUGUUUCAAUCUCAAAUACUUUCCAAGAUCAUUUCAUAAGCCGAAAUUAUAAUAUAAGCUCGGAAACUAAAAUAAUAAAUUAUAAAAUCUUGCAUGCAUAAUUAUUUAAAACUAAAAGGUCCACUCACAAGUUUAGGCAUAAGCCCGACGAUAACCGCAUCGCUACUCAAGCGAGGUUCCCUUCGUAUCUUGGCACAAUAAAUAUGCUUAGAACCACUCUUCGAUUUAGGAAAUUAAAUGCUUUAACUUAAUCAUCGAAAUCCUCCCAAAUAACCCACUAAUAAGCUAAUUAGAUUUUUACCAAACUUCAUCUACAACUUCAUUUCGUCGAUUCUAGCACUUUAGGACCAUAACCAAGAAAAUCCAAUGGUCGGAUUUUUAUUCUAACAACCGCCAAAAUUCUCAACCUUUGAAAAAUCCCAAACCUAACCAAAACUCCUCAAAAAAUUCCAAACUUCACAUCAUUAAUCUCCUCUUAAUAUAACACAUUUAAAACCCUGAAAAGCCCCCUUACAGCGGCGGCCGGCGGCCGACUCCGAUGACCCCCAAUGGCUACCAAAUUUUAACAGCAUCUUCCUCUCAACAUCCCAAACAACUUUCAUAACUAUCACUAAGUCCAAUUUCAAGCCUAAAUAGGGUAAUCGAAGCCAAACGUAUCAAGAAAACCCUAGGAAAUUCAAACACCCGAUUCUCCUUACCUAGCUCGAGUUAGGAUGCAUCCUUUUAUGGGUUUGCUGCUGGAAGGAAGAGCUUCAAGACAAGACCGAGAACUUCCAUUUUGAUGGCCGAAAAAAGGAGUUCCGGCGAGAACACCUCCGCGGCACAGCCGCACCUUCCCGGCGAUCGUGCUCCCUCACGGCGGCACGACACCGGCUGCCACCUACCUAGACUUGUAGAAGAUGCUCCAAGCUUCAAAUUGACUCCAAUCACGCCUCCUAUCUCGGUCGAACGGCGACAGACGGUGGCCGGAAAGUUUCCGGGUCGGGAGAGCUGCGGGGAGAGGAGAGAGAGAGAGCCAGUAACUUUCUGAUUUCUACCUUACCUCAUUUGGUAAGUUUCCCUUUUUAUACUCCCGACCAAAAAUAGUAACUUUCGUUUUUAGACCAUAACUUCUUCAUACGAACUCUGAUUUAAGCGUGGCACGUGUCCAUGAACUCCGUUUAACAUCCUCUAUGACUUUCAUGAAGAAAGUUUUCCCAAAUUUUAGAUGAAAGAAAAAGUCAACUCUUGGAGCCUUAAAUAGUAAACGGUUACUUAAAACGGUAAAAAGUCAAAGUAACCAAAAGUCAAUAACCGUAAAUUAACUUAAGAAUCGGGAUGUGACAAAAAACCUUACAUAACAGCUACGCAUGUGGGGUUGACAAAAAACUAUUACCUAAACAACAUGACCUUUUCUAGCAAUGAAGCACAUCCAACGUAGUUCAAUCCACACGUAUCAAAAGCAAAACAGUGAAUCAAACAUCACUAGAUUUCUUCAACGGCAAGAGCAGAGGCAUUUCCAAACAUCAAAACUCUCCCCACUAAAGCAAAAUAAAAAUUAAAAGUAAAAAUUACAGAAAGUAAAAACCCAGCCAACCAAAGCAGGAGCAAGCCCAAGAAGAAAACCCUAGCCCAGGCCCAACCCGCACCAAAAGUGCUAAGGGCACCCAAAAUGGGAACCCCGAGUAGCAGCUAGGCGUUGCCUCCUGCCCUCCUCCGUCGGCCACUAUGUUGCCCCUGCCACGGCCAAGACUGAUUAACACAGGCUAGAAAAGGUUAGUGUAACUCUAACAGUUUGGUUAUGAUUGCACAUGUUCAAUAUUUUAACAAAUGGUUUAAUUUAAAAACCGAGAGACAUAACUGUUUUUAGGUGCAAAGUAUAAAGUGUCACAAUUAUUUAUAGCUAUAAUUUAAUAUCAGGUCGUGCUUUGUUACGGAGUUGUAGAAUUCGUUGGCAUUCUGUGGAUUUGCAUACCUCGUUUCGAGUUGACAAGGAGACAAGGCUCAAGGAAGAUGGGCUACCUCGAUCAUCUACUUUUCUAUGUCAAAGUUCGUAACUUGUUCAUAACUUCAUAUGUUGACCAGUUGGAGACUUGUGGGGUUUGCCUCAGAUUUGGGACAAUUAAUCGGGUCUGGUGAUAUUAUGAGAGAGGUAAAUUUUAUUGAACAAUCUGUUAUGGUUGUUUUUGCCAUGGAAACGUUUAAAGUGCAUCCUAUGAUUGGUAAUUGAGUUAAAAACCUUUAAAUUGAUUAAGCUUUAUUAAUGGGUUACUGUAUGUAUGAAAAGGUGUGACUGUGUGGCCAACGAGGUUUGGCUCAGUUGGCAAGGACAGGUUUGUGGUGGAGACCCCAUUCAAGUUCGAUCCCGCUACCAACAUGCCUCGUUGGUUCGCGAUCUGUAAAUUCUCUUGUGAAAAUCCAUACCUGGAGGCUGGUGUGACAUGUACGUGUCCAGUGUCAGUCCUUCAGGGUUGAGGUUGCAGGUUUGCCUUGCCUUAAAGUCACGAUUUUCCUUCCAGAUAGUCCUUCUGUCAAUUUUCUCUGUUAAAAUGCUGACGUGGCCGUUAAAAACAUUAAAAAUUUUAACGGCAACGUCAGCAAUCUAACUGAGAAAAUUAACGAAAAGUCUGGAAAGAAAAUCGUGACUUUAAAGACCAUUCAGAUUAAAAUGAAACUACAAAGACUGAACAGAUGUCGACUUCAAACCACAUAGACUAUACAGUAUUUAACCAAAUCCAUUAUUAAACUAAGUGGGUUGGAAUUGUACAGCAGCUAGAAUGAGUUGUAUUUGAGACUCUAGAGUAGGACUUGAUUAUGAAAAAAUGUCGUUAGUAAUCACUUUGAGCUCCUACUGUAUUGGUGUAAUGAUAUUAGUAUUUCUUUGGUUGAGCCUUAAAUUGAAAAAUGAAGUCCAUGAAUAGAGAAGUGAUAAAAUAAGGCAUACAGAAACUUGAAUGCAUAGAUUAGUAUGUAUUUGUUAAUAUGCGUUCAUGCCUAUGCCUCACAAGUACGUAGAAUGGUGCCUAAUCCAGUGAGGCAAUAAUGUAAUGGUGCUACUGUGAUAGCUAGUUUAAGGAAGGCUGUUUUGUUAAAAUGAGCGUGUAAUUGUAGAAUAUUUGUAAAUAAUUACUUUUCUUGUAUGUGUAGGUUAAAUAUUUUGUAUAGAUAUAUGAGAUAUUUUUCCUAUUAGCACUACAAUUGUAUCUCUAUAUAAACCUCCAAUAUGGAGAAGAAUAUAUAUUGAAGCAUUCUAAAUCAUAUUGAAUCCUUAUUUUCUACUUGACAUCAGAGCUUGCCAAGUUCGAUCCUUUGAAUUUACACCCAAAACACCACAAAUCGCUACGUACCAAAAUUCUCAAAUCACACCACAAACAAAUCGUUGCAUACAUCAAAAUCAUAAUUCCCGAAUCCUUGAAUCUCAAAAACCAAACCUCCAAAAAUGGCACACCAAAUCAACUACCAUACCAUCGCACCAUGCCGGUCUCCAUGCAAACCAAAUUCAUAUGCGAACUCAAAAUGUACGCUAUGUGGAGUAUUAGGUCAUAGCAAGCAACGUUGCUUUGAAACAAUUGGGUACCCGGAUGGUGGAGGCAAAACCUGCAUCAAAUAAACCUUUUUUAUCGUCAGUAGCAUAAGGUAAAUAAGGGUAUUGUAUAGGGCCGGAGAUUGAGGGUACCUUGCAAAACAAAGCGUUAGUAAAACAUAACUAAUAUUAACAAGUAAUAAAAUCUUUAAACAAUUUACAAAAGUAGCUACUGUUUCUAAUGAACAGCAGUCAAAAACCUAAUUAAAA